ACAUGGAGAAGAAAGAGUGGUAGAAGGUUCCGCCGGCAAGGAUCUUGCCCAUGUUGCCGCUCGGGAUUCAAUUAGGGACCUGGAGGGUUUCGUCCUGGUGUGGGGUCGACGCACCUUGCUUCGCUGGGUGAGAAUUUGGGAUGAAGGUCCGAACAAUUGAUCGUCGGAGGCCGAUUCCGCCGCUGGACCGCAUCCCAUCGUGGCCGGUCCUCACCACCACUUAAUCACUGGUAUGAUCACGUUUCCAUAAUUCGCCAUCGACCCCUCUUCUUGUAGCAUCCGUCCAAUCGCGAUUUGGGGCACGGGCGUGCUGAUUCAUCGUGCUGCGGCGAGCUCACCGGUGGUGCUCCGGUUGCCUUCUCCCUGUCGCAACCGGGAGGUGGGAGACGAUCCAUUGGCCGUUGAUCCCCUAGCAAGCGGUUAGGAUUAGAUAAUGGGAGGACCGUUGAUCCGGGGAUGUGAGGUGGAGAAUCAAUCUGGCGUAGCCCUUCGCGCGUGCAGAUCCGGGUCGUGGAUCUGUGAUCUGAUUGGCUAGAGCGGUUAAAGCUGGUGAGAGUGUCUUCUGGCCGUUGAUUGCGGAUCCAUCGGCUCUGGUAGCAUACCGGUUGGAUUCAACGGCAGAUCUAAUCUAGAGCGUUGGUUUUUAAUCGUGCGACUGGGGCGCAUCCAUACCCCUUCGAUCCCGUACAUUUGUAUAAGAGCCCCUUGGCUUCAAGAUAAUAAACCCACCAUCCAUCCCUGUGUAGUAGAAUUACAAAUGAAUCCCAGAAACUUACAAAGCAGCCCUGUGCUAUUAAGGAAUUGUGUCCCCAGUCCAGAAUUAUUAGGGGUAUUCAUAAUUAAAUCAGAAAAUGAAUUUUAAUAUAAAAAUAAAUCCAGAAAAUUAUUUAAUUCAUAGAAAAUCUAUUCUAACUCCGAAUUGAACCAUUCUAGUGGCAUUAAUUUUGUUUUAAUAUUGUUCAUCACCUAGUACCUCUGUUUAGCCAUGAAACUUAGAUUAAAAAUUAUACACCUAGUUUCUUUUCAUCUACCACUUAAAAUUUCGGAAAAUCAUAAUUAAUUCAUUUUAACCCUGUUUUAAUCUGUUCAAAUUGCAUUAGCUUCAUAAUAAAAUUGCUCAGGCAUUAGUGACACUGUUUUGUCAUGUUCUUAAAAUAAUUAAAUACAUAUACUUAUAGGGUUAACUAUCCUAGCCCAAUGAAAAGAGGUAUUUUAAUUUGGUUCCUCUAAAAUUGACUAAAGUAUGAUCUUUAAGUAGAUUAUAAAUUAGAGUAAAAGUUGAGUAGUCAUAUCUUUAAUAUCCUUACUCAUAUAGUUUACAUAAUCAACAUAGAAUAUAGUUUUACAUACUUAAUCUUCAAUAUCUUCAAUAAAUCAUAACUCCUUAACCGUAGCUCCGAAUUUAAUGGUUCUCGAACCCACGAUCUCGUAGCGACGCGUAGAUUAUUAUUACGUAGUUUAUUCUUAUGUUUGGUGUGAUGUUAAUUUUACCUAUACCAUUUUUGUCUAUAUUGCUACGAUUAGCGCGAGGUCACGAGUCAUCUGAAGAGCAAGUUGGUACCUGGAAUCUCAAGUCCCAGGCAAGUUGUGCCCUUAAUCACUUCUUUUUACCCAGUCAUGUUCUGAUUAAUGAUAAUGAUCUGCAUAGGUUAAUUUUGAUGGGAUCCAAUAGGUUACCCUAGUUUGACUAUCUUUAUACCUUGUUUACCACUGAAGUUUUGGGUAGUACCUGCUAUUGCUUUAUGUGGUUUUGGGUAUAGAGAUACACAUUAUUCAUGAUUAUACUUUUAUUAUCAGUUGUUAUUUACUAUUCAUGUUAAGAUCAUUAUGUUAAUUGGAACAUGGAGCGACCACCCAGGAAAACAGUGCUACCACAAGGGUGGUAUGGGAUGCCCUUGGCUGACUAAUUAGGAAAGCUAAUGGAGGACUACCUUACCCGAAAUGGGCAAGGACAGUAGGGGAGUGGUCAGUGUAGGGAGGCCCUUGGGUUUAUUUUGUUGCGAUGGCGGUCGGGCGAGGAGUCCCUGCAAUGGAGCUUCCUAUAAACUGUAGCGGGUUUUCUGAAGCUAGUGGAACUUUGUAAAGGCCUCGUAGUGUUACCCUGCCUCGCCUCCUCAGUAGAGUUGUAUGGGAUUGGCCUUCUCUUGGCAUAUGGGUAACAUGACUUGUGGGUAAAGAUGUGCAACCUCUGCAGAGUGUAAAGCUGGUAUAUCAGCCGUGCUCACGGUCAUGAGCAGCUCGGACCGUCACAUGAUUAAUUUAUGGAACUAAAUUCAAUUUGUCAUAUACAUUGCAUUGCGAGUGUUGUUAUUACUUUUGUUCUACUACUUAAUUGGGUUGGUAUUUACUUAUACUUAGUAAUUGCUAAUAAAAUUUUGACCAAAUUUAAAAGCAAUGCUUAGCUUCAACCAUCCUCAUUGGUAAGCCUUACACUUCACAUGAGCUCCCACCUUUGGUGAGUUCAUGCACAUUAUUCCCCACAACUUGUUGAGCGAUGAACGUAUGUGAGCUCACUCUUGCUGUCUCACACCCCCCAUAGGUUAAGAACAGGUACAACAUGAUGAGACGCAUGGAGGAUGCUGUGAUGAGUACGUGAGUGGUCUAGGGCAUCGUCUCCCAGUCAACUUUGGGUUGCUGGAUCGUUGUCUCCUUAUGAUGUAAUUAUUUAUUUAUUUUGUACAAAACUCCUAUUAUAUAGUAAAGAUGUGACAUUCGUUUCUGUACCACUAUUCAUCAUAUGUGUGAGACUUGGUCCCAGCACACCUGGUGAUUAUUUUGCACCCGGGUUUUGGACCCCUAAAACCUGGGUGUGACAUAGGAUUACCUAGAAAUACCAACCCUAUUCCUUGAUUACCCUGGGAUAAACACUAUGCUUAGUAAAUGUGCUAUGGCUCAACUUGAUCAUUAUGAUGUCACUCUUUAAUGAUACUUUUGUUUCAGAAAUGAAAUUUGUAUUAUGAUGUUAACCCGAUGGUUAAACAAGAUCAUUUCGUAUUAAAUGUAACAUGGAGUGACCACCUAGGAUAACAGUGCAACCACUAGUGCUAUCAUGGCUCUGGCUUUGGUAAAUAGCUCUAUAAACUUAGUGCUUAGCUACCCUACCUGAAAGAUGGGCAAGAGGGGGCGGCAAUGGUUUGGUGGCAGCUCAUGUUAACAUGGGGUGGUAGUCUUGGCUAAGUUACCUCGCCCAAAGGGUCACCAAUACUGACGUGGAAACCUUAGCGGGUGGCUUUGUACUAUGGAUAUUUUAUGAAAGCCUCAUAAUGGAUCCCUAGCUUUUCACCUCGGCAGUGUUAACGGGUCCGUACAACCCAGGCUAGAUGGGAUACAUGGCUUCUGGGUAAAGUUGUACCAUCUCUAUAGAGUGUAAAACUGAUAUGUCACCCGUGCUCACGGUUAAGAGCAACCUAGACCCUCACAUGAUAACUGAACUUAAAGAUGGAGAAUAAAUUGUGAUCCGAUGGUUUAUAAAUGGUUUGCUUAAGUGGUUUCACUUAAGUGUUUUUGAUAUAAUCAUAUGCUUAUAAUUAAUUGGGAAUUUUUGGGAUACACUUACAAUUAGUAAGUUAGGCGUUGUUAAUAAAUUAUUAACCAUAACCUACCUUGUUUACCUUGCAUAACUCCUCCCACUUGCUGAGCCCCCACCAUAAGUGACCUCACUCCUUGCUAGAUUUUUUAUCAGAAGCUGAUGAGGAAGACUGUGACGAUGGUGAUGACAAGUACUGAGUCUAGCGAUGCGCCAGUCAUCUUCCCAUGGAAGAUUACCCUUGCUAUUUCUGAUGUACUUUGAUAAUGAUACUAUUUAAGACUUUUAUGUCUGGAUGAUGUAAUAAAGUUAUUAUACUCUUUUUACACCAUUAUUGCAUUGUCUUUUGAUAUAUUACACUUGUGACGUCAACAUAUGUGUGGAAAAUGGAUCCUGGCACACAUAUGAUAUGCAUUUGGUUUUGCCCCUAAAACCGGGUGUGACAGAUGUGGUAUCAAAGUUAUGCUGACUCUAGAUCGUUAGACUAGUUAGAAAUGGAAAGCCCAGUCUGUUCAAAAUAUGCUUAUUUUGCUCUUUCAAAUUUAUUUUAUUAAUCUUGUCUCUUUAAAAUUCAACUAAGGUGACACUUUCUCUUGUAGAUGGUGCGUACUCUCCAAACCACCCGUGUAAACACCAACCAUAUCCCUCCGCCACGGCAGGCUCCAUUCUACCCAGUGGUAGUGGAAGAAGUCCUGUGGAGCUACACCACCUUCAAGUGAGGAAUAGUGUAAUCUUGGAGGACAGUUCUCAGGAGAUUUUGGCAACACCCACUCCAUUGUCAGAGUCUCAUGCCUUUGCUACGGAAGCUUCAUCUUUAGCACUACCUAUACCAAUAGCUUAAGCCCCGGCUCCUGCAGGUGAUGACCCAGAUGAUUCUGGCGAUGAUGAUGAAGAAGAGGAAAACAAUGACAACAUUGAGGAUGUCAACAAUGAACCAGAAGACAACUUCGUUGGAUUGCGGCCUAUCGCAGAACAUUACACUUCAAUGUUCGAGAUGGGACACUUUCCAAACUUACUGUAGGAUGUGCUGCAUGCGUUGGGAACCUAUGUUUGACCUCUAUAUGACACAAGGCGAGUGUCUGAGCCUCCUCAGGCUUGUUUAUUACAUCACUCGCAUGCAUAUCAGAGUGUUGGAUGCAGGAAAUAGAGGUUUUAGGACUCUAUCAUCUCACGAGUCUCUGGCGCCGCUAUCAACCUACACUACUUUGGUCAGCAGUGAUGCUCGGAGAGCUCUAUGGUCUCUCAGCCAUAACUAUCAACAGCAGCUGCAUGACACGACGUACAUGCACCUUCCCCUACGCCCUCAUGGAGAAAGCCAGAAAAGUGUUGUUCUAGGUGAAGCUGGAGAAGAUCGCCUCAACACCCUUGUAGGUGUGGUGGCAUGUCUUAACACCGACCUGGACAGUGCUACCCUGGAUCUUUCAAGGGUACACGAAGAACUUGAAGACGCACAUGCAAGGAUUGCAGCCCUCGAAGCUCAACUCGAAGGGAGGAAUCCACCCGAAGCACAAGUCCCUGCCAUAGCUGUGUCCCCGCCCCGCAAGAGGAUUCGCUAUGGAGCCCCAGGAUCUAUUACCAGGCUACUCUAGAUUUAUAUAAGUCAUAUUGUAAUAAGUUCGAUUUUGUGUUAGAUGACAAAACUCUUUAUGAUAUUAUUAUUAUAAUAACAACCAUGUGAUGGUGAUGUUUGCAUAAUGUUUGAUUUGAAUUUUUGCUUGAGUGCAAUGAUCUUAUGGAAUGAUGGCCAUAAAAACAUUUAAAAUUAACAAAUAAGCUUAACUUUAGUUAAAAACUAUUCCCCCUAGAAUCUUUCUCUACCCUUCACUCAUCUAAAGGAAUGCACUUUCUAACCAACCAGAUGGUGAACACUCGCUCAGAUCCCAAAGAGACACAAAAUCAACGUACUGGUCAAUAAUUGCCACCACCGCCAGCCAACACAACAAUGGAACAGUUCAUUGCCGCGCAGAUGACACUUCUCCAAUGCCUCACUACCUCGGUACAGCAAAUUCAGCAGAACCAACAAGAUCAACAAAAUCCCCAACAUCAGAAUGCACCCCAAGCUCGGGACAAACAUAGAGAUUUCAUGAGCCAUCAUCCCCCUGCUUUUUCUCACUCGGUUGAUACCUUGGAUGUCGAUGACUGGCUUAAGGUCAUAAGCAAGAAGUUGGACAUUAUGCAAUGUAAUGACCGAGAGAAGGUCUUGUAUGCUUCUGGAAGACUUGAAGGUGUUGCAUCCGACUGGUGGGAUGCCUUCACUGCAGCACACUCAGAUGUAGAUGCGAUAACCUGACAGGAAUUUCAGGAGAACUUCCAUGCUCAUCAUAUUCCCUCGAGGAUAAUGAAACUUAAGAAGAAGGAAUUAUUACCCCUCACUCAAGGAGCUUUGUCUAUAGUGAAUAUCGGGAUCGUUUCACACAACUUUCUCGCUAUGCACCAGAGGAGGUUGACAUAGAUGAGAAGCGCCAAUAGCGGUUCUUAGAAGGCUUGAUUGGACCUUUGAACUAUCAGCUACAAAGCCACAGUUUCCCGAAUUUCCAAACUCUGCUUAACAAGGCGAUUGGCCUCAAAAACAAAAUAAGGGAAUUAUCAGAUCAUAAGAGGAAAUUUCAGGGACAGUCUUGCCGAAACACUCGUCCACAUAACAACUCUCAAGGUUCCCAGUUUUGCUCUAGAAAUCAGAGUGGAAAUAAUAAUUAUCAAAUGCAACGCUCUGGACUACAAGGACAGAGAAGCAACCAAUACCAGAACCAACAGAGGAACAACUCUUAGACCGACAAAAGAUUUAGUGGUUAUUAGCAGAAUCAUCAAGGAAGCGUCGUGAACACACCAGCCAAGAAUAACAAUACAACUACCCUAGUUUUGCCUAGUGGAUGUUUUAAUUGUGGAGAAGUUGGUCAUUAUGCCAACAACUGCCCAAAGCGCAACCCACAGACACUCCAAAGGAACAACAAUCAAAGGGUUGAUCAGAAUACACCUACUCGUGGUACUGCAUAGAACAAGACUCCGCAGAACCAGAGUAAGGGAAGAAUAAAACAUGUGACUGCAGAAACAGUUACAGAGGAUGUCGACGUGGUGUAUGGUAUGUUCCUUAUUAACUCCAUACAUGCAUCAGUUUUAUUUGAUUCUAGAGCAUCUCACUCUUUCAUAACAAAGUCAUUUGUGAAAAAGCAUAACAUAUCAAACUAUCCUUUUAAGAGGAAAUUAUUAAUUAGAUCACUAGGAGGUGAAAUUAGAGCCACUCACUCGUGCCCUCAAACUAAGCUUGAGAUUAGAGGAAUAAGCUUUCUUGUAGAGCUGAUAUUUUUGGAGUCAAGUGGAAUCGAUGUGAUACUUGUAAUAGGUUACUUGUCCAAUUAUGAUGGAGUAAUAUCUUGUGCUAAUAGAAUGGUUACAUUAACAAGUUCGCAAGGAGAAAGAAUUAAAGUCAAUGUUAACAUGCCAGCAGAAGCAAAAGCCAUGGUAAAUCAUUUGGAGGAGAAAUCUGUGGAAACAUAAGAAUAGUGUGUGAAUACCCAGACGUAUUUAUAGAGGAAUUACCAGGUAUGCCACCUGAUCGUGAUAUAAAAUUCUCUAUUGAAUUAUUACCUGGAACUACACCUAUUUCAAAAAGACCUUAUAGAAUAGAUGUAAAGGAUUCAGUUAAACUGAAGAAAAAAAUGGAAGAAUUAUUGGAAAAAGGUUUUAUUCACCCAAGUUUGUCUCCUUGGGGAGCCCCAGUUCUAUUUGUGAACAAGAAAUAUGGUUCGUGAAGAAUGUGUGUCGAUUAUAGAAGUUUGAACGAUGUAACAGUCAAGAACAAAUUCCCUUUACCUCAGAAUGAAGAUUUGUUUGAUCAGAUGAGAGGAGCUAAGAUAUUCUCAAAGAUAGAUCUAAGGUCAGGCUAUCAUUAGUUGAAGAUUCGAACUAAAGAUGUACCUAAGACAACCUUUACUACAAGAUAUGGAUUAUACGAAUUUUUGGUCAUGUCAUUUGGGCUAACUAAUGCACCAGCAUACUUUAUGAACUUGAUGAAUAAAGUAUUCAUGGAGUACCUAGACCAGUUUGUGGUUGUAUUCAUCGACGAUAUACUAGUAUACUCUCAGAAUGAAGAAACACAUGAAGAUCAUCUAAGAUUAGUUCUGCAGAAACUUCGUGACAACCAGUUGUAUGCAAAGUUCUCAAAGUGUGAUUUUUGGCUGAAGGAAGUCGCUUUCCUAGGACAUAUUAUCAUAGAUGGAGGAAUCAAGGUAGACCCCGGUAAAAUAAGUGAAAUAUUAAAUUGGAAGCAACCAACAGAUGUGUCCAAGAUCAGGAGUUUCCUUGGAUUAGCAAGGUACUACAGAAGAUUCAUCGAAGGCUUCUCCAAGAUAGUGAAACCUCUUACUUCACUGCUGGACAAAGGUAAAGAGUUUAAGUGGUAUGAAGCAUGUCAGAAAUGUUUUGAAGAAUUAAAGGAAAAGCUAACCACCGCACCAGUCUUAUUAAUGUCUGAUAUUCACAAAGGAUUUGAUGUGUAUUGUGAUGCAUCACAUCUAGGAUUUGGAUGUGUGUUAAUGCAUGAAGGAAAGGUAAUAGCUUAUGCCUCAAGACAGUUGAGAAAACAUGAAAACAAUUACUCGACACAUGAUUUGGAAUUAGCUGUCGUAGUGCACACUUUGAAGAUUUGGAGACACUACAUGAUUGGAAACAAGUGAAAAAUCUUCACAGAUCACAAAAGCUUGAAAUAUAUAUUUACUCGGAAAGAACUCAACCUAAGACAUCGAAGAUGGCUUGAGUUAAUCAAAGAUUAUGAUUUGGAUAUACAGUAUUACCCAGAAAAAGCAAACGUAGUGGCAGAUGCUUUGAGUCGUAAACGUCAAGUGAACAGUAUUGCUACCUAUUUGAUGCUGCAAGAAUUAUGUUGGGAAAUCGAACAGCUUAAUCUUAGUAUGGUUAAUAAUACAGAAGCGACCAUUAUGGAAGUGGAAUUUGCUUUGGAACAAGAGAUUCAUAAAGGACAAGAAUCCGAUGAGAAAAUUAAGGAAAUUAAAACACAGAUUAAUUUGGGGAAGGCCUCUGACUUCACAGAAGAUGAACAAGGCACAAUUUUGUUUAAGAAGAGGAUCUGUGUACCAAAAAUUGAACAUCUACGCCAACUUAUUUUGAGAGAAGCUCAUGAUUCGGCUUAUUCUAUACACCAUGGAAGUACUAAGAUGUACCAGGAUCUAAAGGAAAAAUAUUGGUGGUAUGGUUUGAAAAGAGAUGUUGCUAUGUUGCACUAUGUGAUGUAUGUCAAUGAGUUAAGGCAGAACAUCAAAGACCAGUAGGUUUGCUACAACCUCUUAAAGUACCUGAAUAGAAAUGAGAAGAAAUUGGUAUGGAUUUCAUAGUUGAAUUACCCCGUACUCAUGAUGGUUAUGAUUCCAUAUGGGUUAUUGUAGACAGGUUGACUAAAGUUGCACACUUUAUACCUGUGAAGACAACUUACUCAGGAGCUCAAUUAGCCAAACUGUAUAUGUCAAGGAUUGUUUGUCUACACGGAGUACCAAAGAAAAUUGUGUCAGAUAGAGUAACCCAAUUUACCUCACGCUUUUGGAAAAGAUUACAUGAAUCUAUGGACACUAAGCUAAAUUUCAGCUCAGCUUACCAUCCACGGACAGAUGGACAAACAGAAAGAACAAAUCAAGUAUUAGAGGAUAUGUUAAGAGCUCGUGCUUUAAAAUAUGGUAAAAGUUGGGAUAAGAGUUUGCCAUAUGCAGAGUUCUCUUAAAACAAUAGUUACCAAGCAAGUUUAAAGAUGCCACCUUUUGAAGCACUCUAUGGAAGGAAAUGAAGAACACCACUAUAUUGGAAUCAAAUGGGAGAAAGUCAAGUGUUUGGUCCAGAAAUUCUUCAGGAAGCAGAAAAGCAAGUGCAAUUUGUUAGAGAGAAUCUGAAAACAGCACAAUCAAGACAGAAAAGCUAUGCUGACAAUAGAAGAAGAGAAAUAAUCUUCAAAGUUGGAGACUUCGUGUAUCUUAAGGUUUCCCCAAUGAGAGGAAUGAGAAGAUUUAAAGUUAAAGGCAAAUUAUCUCCCUGUUAUAUUGGUCCAUUCAACAUUUUGGAAAGGAAAGGAGAAGUAGCAUAUCAGUUGGAACUACCCGACAGUUUAUCCUACGUGUAUGACGUAUUUCAUGUGUCACAACUCAAGAAAUUUUUAAGAGUACCAGAAGAAUAGUUACCCAUGGAAGAAUUGAACAUUAAUGAGGAUUUGACUUCUUCUGAGUAUCCGAUUAGAAUUUCGGAAACAUCACGAAGAAUUACUCAGAGUAAGUUAUCAAUAUGUGCAAAGUUGGGAAAGAGAAGAUGAACUCAAAACGGAAUUCCUCUACCUAUUUUCAGAAGUUCUCUAAUCUCGAGGACGAGAUUCGUUUUAGGGGGUAGGUUUUGUAACACCUCAAAUCCAUCAAUUUAAAAUAAUACGUUAAUAGUUAUUUAAAACCUAGUGGGGAAUAAAGUAGAAAUUUAAAACAAGUGUUUGACCUCAUUUGUCUUUAGAGAAUGAUUUUUUUGUUUUCUCAUAAUUGAUUGAUGAUUUUAUAAAAUCCCUUUUAUGUGAAACCCACUUAAUUAAAAUAGGAACUUUGGUCCAAAAAUAAAUAUUUUAAUUAGAAAUAAUUUUGGUAUAAUUAUUAUGAUUUUUUGAAGUAUUUAAAAAAUAUUUAUUUCUAUUUUUAUGGGUUAUAAAAAAAGAUUUUUUUGGAAACCCUAGCUGAAUCGGCCGAUUCAGCCCAUAUAGGACUAGCUGCCACUCCCCCUCCUCUCUCCCACUGACGGGUAGGCCCCACCCAGCCCCUUUCCCUUCUUCCAUCCACUCCCAUCCUCGACCCCACGCCAUCGCGCGCGCCCGCGCUAGCGCCUGGCCGAACCGUCCGCGCCCUCUCGGCCACGCCCAACCCCUCGCCUCCUCGCGCCCGAAACCUCCAUCGACGACCCUUCCUCUCCCCCCCACUUCCCCUCCCUCCAUCAAUGGAGGUAACUGCCGCAGCCAUGAUUGGCCACCGGCCUCUCCCUCCCCGACUCUCCCUCUCCCCUCUAUAAAACCGGCCAAUACCGAGUUCUCCCCUCCCCUGCCGAGCUCGCCCUCUCGAUCUCCCUCUCUCCCCUUCUCUCUCGCUUGACCACCACCGCCACCACACCCGUGCCCCUGCCCCGGCCUCGUCUCGGACGCGUGCCCUCACCUCGGCCACGUCCCGGACCAUCCGUGCUCGUCCCCGGACCAUACGCGCCCGUGCCUCGCCGUCGACUGCUCCUUGCUCGACCCUGUUCCUCCUCUCCCUUCGUUCAUCGAUGAACUGCUCGAACGCAAGAACUAGAGGUUGAAGACAACUCAAAUUUUAUUUAAAUUAUCAAAAUCAUGUUUUAUGUAACUAUUUGUUUUAAUUUGUGUAUAUUGUGAUUGUCGGUGGGAAAAUCCUUCGGUCGGGUGGCGGAAUGCACCCGCCCUAAUCCUAAGAUGAGGAGGGGGCCUAAUCGUUUGCCUGUUUGGUGAAUUUCCGAUGAACACAAGAGGACUCGAGGGAUUAUAGUGGUUCAGGCCGCUGGAGCGUAAUACCCAACCUCCACUGUGUGUAAGUUGUAUUGAGCGUGUCCCUUGUAACGCCGUGUCCCCUCCCUUUUAUAGUUUAAGGGGGGUACAUACAAGGAUGCUGAGCUCCGACAUGCGGGCCCAGGAGCAUAAUGGAAGGAAUACAUUAUGUGAAUAAUUAAUGCUGAUAGCACAUAUGAGUAGAGGUGUAUAGGCGGAGUCGUUUAGAUUCCCCCGUCUUAGUAACGCGUGAGUAAUCAGCGGGAGUCAUGAUGACUGCAGUCCAUGCAGUAUUGAUAGGCAGUGACCCUUUUCCUGGUAACACAGGAGUAAUGGUGAGUCAUUGUCCUUGCUAUGGUAACGUGUGAGUAACAGCACGGCCCACGCAACGUGGACUGGGCGCGCCUCCUGUCACUGGAAUAGACAAACGCACGUCUUAUCCAUAAUAAAUGCAAAGACGCGUGUAGCCUAGAGGCUUUAUGUCAGGCUCCGCCCGUUGGCUUACGCCGCACGCAGUAGGCCACAUGGCAGCAUCGGGUCUCCACCUGGGCGGGGAGCAGGGGUGUAUGUGAUAAGGUCUAGAUCUCACCAGAUCAGGUCUGGACACGUGUCGGCACUGGACCCCCUCCUGGGUCUUGAUUAAGGCCCGGGUAUGCUCUGUCCUGGGACCCUGGGACCCCACUGUGGAUAGCCUGGACCCCAUACAGGGGGUCCGGAUCCCAUUCCAGGGGUCCGGUUUGCACAUGUGGAGGUACUGGACCAAACUUGGAGGCCCGGACCGUAUAUACCGGGGUCCGGCACCUUCCCAUGGGGGUCCGAACUCGCUAGUGAUACCUCAGAGUAUGUCACUUUCUCUGGACAUGUGGCGGCACCGGACCCACCCAUGUGGUGGGGUCAGGUGCUGUUGCUGGCCCAGAGUAGUCGCCCGAGGCUUGGGGUGAGUCAUGGCCUGGUCCCACGCGACUAAGAAUAGCCGCAUGGGUACUGCAUCUUUAUACAGUAGUAAAGGGUACCCUAGUUUCAGGGUACAGACAGUGGCCCCCGGGCCCACAUCAGGGGAGGAUGCGAGCCUGCAGGUGGGGCCAAAGCUUGUACUUUGCCUCAACAUGGCCUGAUCGGUGAUUGGCGCGCUGUUUUCAGCACGUCUAAUGACGCGCCCACUGUCAAUCCACCUUCAGUCACGUCAAUUGUCAUAUCUGUCCCCGCGGCUGACUGACCCACGGUCCCCACGCUUGGCGGUUUCGUCGGGCCACGUGCGGGGCGCCUCGUUGCCGAUGCACUGGUUUAAAAUAACCUUUUGUCUUCUGCAGCGGCCCCAAGGAGGCAUGCUAUCGCGUGCAGCAGUUCGCAUCCUGCUCUUUCUACACCCGAAAUCUGGCAAACGAACUGUAUGACUUGUGGACCUGGGGACCCGGGCCCCCGUGUUAGACACUGGGCUGCCUGGGUCCUAGGUGCUCGUCGAACGGGAUUUCUUGCGGCGUUUCAGGGGCGAGCGGGAGAGUUUCCCUGAGAAGGGAUUCAGGUUUCCUUGAAAAAGAAUUCACCCCGCGUGCAGCAGUUACCUUUUUGCAUUCUCUCCCAAUCGGUUGCGCCCCUUUGCCUUCGUGCUCCUCUGUUCCACGCCUGCGCCGCCGCACACGCCAUGGCUUCGCUCGGUCACCCUGAUCACUUUCAGGCUGCGGAAGCGCUCAAUCUGGUGUGUCGCCUGCUUAGGUGGAGCCCACUAGGGCUCACCGGAAGAAUCCGUGCCGGCACUGCUCCCCUUGGCAAUCUCGCCGCCGGGGAGUUUGUGUUGUUCACGUCCUACAUCUCUUGUGGGUUGGCGCUGCCGAUUUCGCCCUUCUUCCUGCUACUGCUAGAGGAGUUCGGGCUUCAGCUUCAACACCUCACGCCCCACUCCAUCCUCCAGGAAGCAAUCUUCGUCCACCUCUGCGAGAUGUUCAUAGGUGUGGCCCCCUGCACUUCCCUCUCCUGCUACUUUUUCGUGCUGGUCAAGUCCGGGAAGACUAGGGACCACAUCGGUGCCUACUAUUUCUAGACGAGGCCAGAUCCGGCCAUAGUCUACAUCCCCACCUUUGGUGGUGCGAGGUGGGAAAACUGGCGCAGCGACUGGGUGAUUGCCAGCACCAAGGCCAACGACUGCCUCAUCCUGCCGAGCGAUGGGCCAACGCUCGACCGCAAGCAAUGGAGGACCAAGCCAUCCCUCUCGCCAGAGUUCCUGCCGUAUUGGACAGGAUCAAGGUUUUGGCUACGGGCGGCCUGUCAUCAAAGCACGUGGUUGGCGAUCUCCUGAAGCGUCAGAUCACGCCGCUGUAGAGGAGGUCGCGCCUAUCCUGCUGGUUCACCGGCCCGAACGACAUCGGUAGGAUCCAGCGCGGGCCGGGUAUCGAUCUGUCCUGGGAUGAGCUGGAACUCCUGGUGGGGGGAUUACUAGGGAGACUUUUGUCCCUGAAUCCCUAAUACUCCCCUAGGACAUCCCGGCGCUCUGUGAUGACCUAGGCCUGAGGACGGCGAUCUUGGCCAUGUUGCCGACCCUCGACGACAGCGGCGUGGCGGUUCGCUAGACCGGUGGCCGGGACCCCCUCCACGGGAUCCGGAUCUCCGAUGCACCGGCUGGAGGUCCCUAGCCCGCCGGUGUGGCUCACAGCGCCAAUCCCGUCGUGGCCCCCAACCCCUUGGACAAGGGCAAAGGGGCUGCAAGCAGUGCCUCCGCCCAAGGUAGCUCCAAGGGGUUGGAGGAGGAGAGGCGACACAGGAUUCGUUGCGCGGACGGGUCGCUCAUUUCGGAGCCUCCCCAGAAGUGCCAGAGGGCUGCAGGUGGGGCUGAGGAGGCCAGCUCCUAGGCCCACGACGCGCAGAGGCGCGUGAGUCCUCCAAUUCCGCCGCCACCACCACCACCAUCCGAGGGUGAUCACUCUCGGGGGCACCGGCAACAGCAAUAGCAACAGCAGGAGGAGCAGCGAUCGCCUCGCUUCCAGGGUCACUCGAAAGUCCAGGGCCCCAAGUAAGUGUAGUCCCUUUUUCCACGAGUCUAAUAAUCAUGCCGACAAGUCUUAACCCGUCAUCUGUUUGCCAGGGCUUCUUCCUCCGCUGCUCCCAAGGUCAUGCCUCCUCCGCAAGAUACCAGGUCCACCGACGGGUCUGGCUCUCAGCAGCAGGAAUCUGCUGAGGGUGGUGCUGGUGGUCCGCUCCAAGCUGCUGCUAGGACAGCGCCAGUGGCUCCCCAUGCCCCAACCGGGGAUCCGGCGGCAGCGGUGCUAGUGUCAGGUGGCAUCACAGUGGCGGAGCAGGUCCCAGCUAGGGGAUUCGCGCCCACUCCCGGCACUGGGGGUGACACAGGAGGCGCGUCCAGCUCCAACCCCCCGCCUGCUCCGGAGGAGAUGGAGGUGGUGUUUGGGCGGCGACUCCGGUCAGGUGCCGAGCAAGAAGCGGCACCAGUCCCCCUCCCCCGCAUGCUGUCCCGUGCCCACCAGGUUCUCAGUGAAACUAAGGAAGCAAUCUUGCGGGAGUGGGAGGUGCUUCAAGCUGAGCACCAGUGCCUCAGUGACUGGUGCACCCAACUGGAGGAGCGCACCAAGACGGCAUCCCGACAGUUCACCUCCGAGCGGUCCCAACUCAAGCGGGAACGCAAGGAGUACAAGAGAGACCUCCAGAGGGUGUGUGCCAGGGAGCUAGAGGUGAUCCAGAGGGAGAAGAAGGUGGAUAGGAGGGAGGAAGCUGUGACCCAGAGGGAGGCCGUCACGACAGAGUACCAGGCCAAGCUGAGUGCCCUGGAUCAGACUUUGGAAGCCCAGUGGGCCCAGCAGGUCAAGGCUGUGGAAAGGCUGUAGAGAUGGCAGCAAGAGCUCGAGGGCAAGGCCAGCGAUGUCGCCCUCGUCGAGGAAAACCUUAAGGCGAAGGAGCAGUCCUUGGACAGCGCGGGAGACGAACCUCGCCAGGCGAGAGACGGAUCUCGCCUUCAGGGAAGAAAUGCUCACCUGACGAGGCGAGUUGCUGGCCGAGCAAGAGCUCGAAGCAAAGGAAAAAGAGAAGAAGCUGGAGGAGCAGAUCUGCCAGUUCAAUGCGGCGCAGGCGGCGCCGGGCCCCCAGGCAAUGGAGGCCACCAGAAAGGCCCUCGAGGAUCUCUAGGCAGAACACCGCGCUGGGGUCCAGCACAUCGCCGAGUGGGCCGGCAAGGCAAGCACGACACUAGUGCCACUAGGGAUGAGCCCCAUCCCAGUGUCGGAGCUGCCAGUGUCGAUCUCCGAUGCCCUUCCAGUGCUGGACUCCGCUGCCAAUCGCCUCCGGUGUCUGGAUCAGAUCCUCGGUGCCCGCCUGGAGGUAGAGGGCAGCAAGCUCUACCGGGUGGUGGUUGAAUCUGUCCUGACGUGCUUCCGGAGCCACGACCCCGCCAUAUCCUUGGCGCCGGUGAUCGAUGGUCCGGUGGCCGCCACAGAAGACGCCACCCGGGAGAGUGUACAAGAUGCGGUGGAGAUUGUGGCCGCACGCUUUCAGCGUGAUCCUGCCGACGCUGAAUAGUCGAUCCUGUAGAAACAAGGCGAGGGUUCAGCUAGGGGCGGCUGUAAUAACUUUUGGUUUUGUAACAUAUUCUAAGAACCGCUAAUGAUGUAGCACUGGAACUUAAACUUAUCUGUAUGUUAUUUGUCCUUGCUGUGUGUAGCGUCAUCAACUUCCCCCUGGUACUUGGCCCCCAUGGGAGGUAGGCUCGAUGUGUCGAGGCUGGAUACCAGUACACCAAAGAUAAAAUUGGUGGUCCGGCCCCUAGGAGGUAGCCUCUACAGUUUGAGACUACCUACUACUAGACUGUAGGGAUGGCAAUUUUACCCGUGGUUUCGGGUAUCCACGGAUAUCCGACCCGCCGGUUUCGGGUUCGGGUACAAAAUUUAACCCACGGGUCUCACCCAUACCCGACCCGUGAUAAAAUUGGGUUGGGUACGGGUUUAAUAAUUUACCCGCGGGUACCGGAGGAUAUCCGAAAUUUUCAGUUUCCAUUUUUUCAGCCCACCAGAAAUCGGCCAACCCAGCCCAAUGUCCUUUAUUCAAUCACCCAGGAACCCUAGUUUUUCUCUCACGGUCUCACCUCAGGCAGUCACACACAAACUCAACCACCACUCCACCAGCCGCCAGAAAGCAGAAACCGCUCCAGCGCUCCUGCUCCUCGCCGGCGUCGACCCUGCCGCGGUGCCACACUGCCGCCUGUGUGGCUGGCUGGCUGUGUCCCUACCCGGCUUCCCCAGCUGCUUGGCCGCCACCCGCCACCGCCACUCCGCCAGCGAGGAGCGAGAUCCAGGCGAGGUGACCAAGCGAGUGCGGGCGUCCCUGCUUCCCGUGCUGGUGUCCCUGCGUCCAGGCGAAGCGACCAGGCGAGUGCGGGCGUCCCUGCGUCUGGCGUCCCUGCUCCCUGCUGUCCAUGUCGUUUGCUGUCUGCGCACUGGGAGCCGCUACCAAUUGUUGCAGAGGCUUCAUGGCGGACUGACUAACUAGACGCCGCUUCAAAUCUCAAGUCAAAUCUCAAAUCAUGUGUUGUUGUCCAAACUCCAAAGAAACUCCAAAGAAAAUCAUGUGUUGUUGCCCAGGCUUGCUUCUGUAACAAAAAUCAGAUUUAUUAUGUCUUGUUUUUUUGUUCUACCUUGUCAUUUAUCAACCAUGUGUUUUAUUUGUGUGGAGUGUAAUUAUACCCGCGGGUAUCCGAUACCCGCCCGAUACCGGAUAGGUACGGGCACGGGUACAAAAUCCUACCCACGGGUAUAGUCACGGGCGGGUAUGAGUAAUACCCGCGGUAUUGUCGCGGGCGGAUAUUUACCAUACCCGAUCCGAACUCGACCCAUAGCCAUCCCUACAGGACUGGGACCUGGACCUGCACACAGCUUCGGCUUUGAAGUUUUAGGAGCACACCCAUAGGACCCACCAUCUGGUAUCUUUCAUCCUUUGAUUCAUGCAACAUGACCUGCAGGAUUUAGCCUGAGAAUCCAAGCCGUAUGCCCGGACCCACAGGAUCACAGUUCCAAAUACUAGGACACCUGUUGCAGAGCGGUGGAGUGUGCAGGCUUAGGGUACGGAACCAUGCUAAGCAGCUACACAGCUCCGGACCAUUCCAGGAGACGAGCGUCCAUUCUCUGGAACUGGACCCGAGGUUGUCGGACCCCCUGCAGCAGUAGAGGGGUCCCAAACUGCCAGCCUGGCUACUCAAUUCGGAUUUCAUCAUACCAGCAAGGGUGGGAAAAUGUAUGGGUGGGUUAGAUAAAAAAUAAUGCUUGUAAACUGAAGUAGAAUAAAACCAUCACAAAAGCACAUCUAGGGGGUAAAUAUUUUCCUAAUAACUUGAUAUACAUGGGUGUAGACCAAUAGACCGGGCUUACGAGGGCGGGCCUCACCGGAUUGAUGUACACAUAUGCGCAACCUAGUUACAAAGGAAGAAAACUCAACCCCCCAGUUUUCCUUCUAUGGAUAGAACUUACGGAGAUGCUCUAUAUUCUAGGGAUUGGAAAGAGGUACUCCUUCUGUUGUGGCAAGGCGGACACACCCGGGUCGGCAUAUGUCCGUCACCUUGAAGGGUCCUUCCCAACUGGGGGAGAGUUUGUGGAGCCCUUCUCGGUUCAGUACUCACCUUAGGACUAGGUCCUCGACCCUGAGCUCCCUACUAUGCACAAACCGCUGGUGGUAGCGCUUGAGCGCUGGGUUGUACCGUGCAUUCCGGAUCGCCGCUCGCCAUCUACGUUCAUCGAUGAAGUCCAUGUCCUCAUGCCGCAGUUAUUCCUGCAUAGAUUCAUCGAAAGCCUGGACCCGUGGUGAGCCCAUAAUGAUUUCGGGGGGAAGACAGGCUUCAGCCAUGUAGACCAGGAAGAACGGGGUCUCCCCGGUAGCUCGGCUGGGUGUGGUCCGGUUCCUCCAUAGUACACACGGAAGCUCGUUGACCCAAUUUGCACCAUGCUUUUUUAAGCAGUCAUAAGUGUGUGUCUUGAGUCCCCUAAGGAUUACAACAUUUGCCCUCUCAGCUUGGUCGUUGCUCUUGGGAUGAGCAACAGACGCAAAGCAGAGCUGGGUGCCGAUGCCCUCGCAAUACUCUUGGAAGAGCCGACUUUUGAACUGGGUCCCGUUGUCUGUAAUGAUACGGCUUGGGACCCCAAAUCUACAAAUAAUCGACUUGAGGAAGGCAACAACAGCACCCUGGGUGAUACUGACCACAGGGGUGGCCUCUAGCCACUUUGUGAAUUUGUCGAUAGCGACGAAGAGGAAACGGUACCCGCCGACAGCCCUGGGGAAUGGUCCCAGGAUAUCCACCCCCCAUACGGUGAAUGGCCAGAAGGGUGGAAUCAUUUGCAGAGCCUGAGCCGGUGUGUGUAUCUUCUUUGCAUGAAACUGACAUGCUUUGUAGGACUUUACCAACUUAGCUGCAUCCUGGAGAGCGGUUGGCCAAUAGAAACCGUGCCGGAAGGCCUUACCAACCAGUGUGCGGGAUGAUGAAUGACUUCCGCACUCACCUCCAUGGAUCUCCGUGAGCAACUCACGGGCCUCCUCCUGGGUGAUGCACCGCAUGAGAAUGUCGUUGGCGCCACGACGGUAUAGAUCCCCUUCUACCACCGUGUAUCAUUUAGCCAACCGCAUUAUGCGCUCUGCAGACACAUGAUCUUCAGGAAGGAUAUUUUCUUUCAGGUAGUCCCAGACCUCAGAGAUCCAUGCAUCGCGACCACUCUAAGCUACUGGCUAUGGCGCUAAGAGGUUGGCAGGACCCUCUGUAGCACACACAAUCCUUGGUGGGUUCUGCAGAUGGAAUGCCACCGGGACUGCUAGCUUCGAGGUGCUAGUCUCGCCCCCUUCGCCCGGUUCGGCAAGAUGGGCGGUAGGCCUUAGCAGCCGUCUUUCGAAGACGCCCUCGGGCACGGGUGCCCAAGUUGAUGCUCUCGUGGAGAGUUCAUCUGCUGUUGAGUUGUUAGCCCGAGGAACAUGUUGCAGUUCCAGGGCAAUGAAAUCCUUUUCCAGCUUCCUUACAUGGAGGAGGUAAGCUGCGAGCCUGGGCUUGUUGCAGCUACAUUCUCCGCGGACCUGCUUGAUAAUCAGCUGGGAGUCCCCCUUCACAAGGAGCUGGCGGAUCCCUAGGGAUAGGGCCACAGUCAAGCCAAAAAUCAGUGCUUCAUACUCUGCCAUGUUGUUGGUGGCCUUGAACUCAAGGUGCACCAUGUACUUCACUUGAUCUCUGCUUGGGUCGAUGAGGACCACUCCUGCACCACCACCCUGCUGGCGGGCGGAUCCGUCGAAGAAGAGCGUCCGGUGGGGCUCGGUGAAGACCGGAGCCCUAGGCUCCGUAGGUGUGGGGCCCGAAUCGGGAUCCGGACCCCCAGGAGCGCUCGGUGAAGGGGUCCAUUCCACGAUGAAGUCAGCCAGAACCUGGCUCUUGACAGCGUGGUGAGGAUGGAAGUCCAGUUGGAACUCAGCAAGCUCCGCGGCCCACUUGGCGAUGUUGCCUGUGGCGUUAGAGUUGUGGAGAAUGGCCCUUAACGGGAAGGAGGUCACCACCACAACUUUGUGUGCCUGAAAAUAGUGGCGCAACUUCCUGGACGCAACAAGUAUAUCAUAGAUAAGCUUGUGUGUCUCAAGGUACCUGGCCUUUGCCUCAUGGAGGACUUCACUAACGUAGUAGACUAGCUUUUGGAUGGUUCGGACCCCUGCGGUUGGUCCUAAGCCCUCAAACUCUUGACCUUCCAUCACCAUCGUGGUGGUCGGACCACCACCUUCUUGUAGGGGAACUUUUUGACUCCCCUGGGGAUGUUGUGCUGUCCUUUCGGCGACCAGCACCAUGCUCACCACCUCUGUUGCCGCUGCAAUGUAUAAGUGCAGCGGCUCCCCUGGCUCUGGAGCUACCAGUAUUGGUAGGGACACAAGGUGCUGUUUCAACUCUUGAAAGGCUCGUUCUGCCUCCUCAGUCCAAGAGAAUGGGCCGGACUUCCGUAAUAGCUUGAAGAAAGGUAGCGCCCUCUCAGCCAGUCUUGAGAUGAAGCGGCUAAGGGCGGCCAGUGACCCCAUAAGCUUCUGGACGUCCUUGAUUCGGGCCGGAGGCCUCAUUGUCUCAAUUGCUUUGAUCUUCUCUGGGUUUGCUUCAAUGCCCCGGUGCGAAACCAGGAAUCCCAGCAACUUCCCUGUGGAGACACCAAAGACGCACUUUUCUGGGUUCAGCUUCGUGCGUGUUGCCCGUAGCUUGCCAAAGACCAGGGUUAAGUCUUCCACUAGGGUUGACCCUCUCUUAGUCUUGACCAUGAUGUCAUCAACGUAUACCUCUACCCUGUCCCUAAUCAGGUCACCAAAAGUCUUACUCAUCGCUCGUACAAAUGUUGGCAAGGCGUUUUUCAGACCGUAAGGCAUUACAACAUAACAGUAAAGCCCAUCCACAGUUACAAAAGCGGUAUACUUCAUAUCUUGCAUAGACAUCUGGAUCUGAUGGAAACCAGAAUAAGCAUCUAGGAAGGACAAGAGGUCACACCCAGAGGUAGAAUCCACGAUUUGAUCUAUUCGUGGAAGUGGAUAUGGGUCCUUGGGACAGGCCUUAUUGAGGUUGGUGUAGUCGAUGCACAUCCAAAGCUUCCCGUUAGCCUUGGGAACGAUGACUGGAUUGGCCAGCCAUACUGGGUGAUAGACCUCUUCGAUGAAGCUAGCGCGCAGCAGCUUCUGGACCUCCUCACAGAUGAAAUCCUGCCGCUCAAUGGACUAUCUCCGAGGCUUCUGACUCACCAGUUUGGCGUCAGGGUGGAUCUUCAGAUGGUGUUCGAUCACCUCCCUGGGGAUCCCAGGCAUCUGCGACGGUUCCCAUGUGAAUACGUCGGCAUUUGCCUGAAGGAAGGCGACGAGCACGAUUUCCUAUUUCUCCUCCAGAUUGCCCGCGAUGCGAGUGGUCAGGGAGGAAUCCCCGCUGAGCUGGAUAGUCUUGACAAGACCGCCGUCUGCUCCAGAUGGUUUCACCUUAGGCACCUUGGUAGGUGCCUUGGUAAAGGAAGUCGAGGGGUCCCUCCCCCCGUCAUCCGGGCGAGCGGUUUCUGUCGCUAGGGCAUGCAACUUCUCGAUAGCUGCAAGCGUAGCGGGGCGGUCGCCCCGCACAGUGAGGACCCCAGAAGGGGACGGCAUCUUGAGGACCAAGUACCCGUAAUGGGCAAUGGCCAUGAACUGGUACAGGGCCGGCCUGCCAAUGAUGGCAUUGAAAGGGAGGUUAACCUCCACAACGUCGAACUGAACAUUCUCAGUGCGGAAGUUCUCCUCAGUCCCGAAUGUAAUUGGGAGUGCGAUGCUCCCAAGGUGUUACACCGGUUGAGGGCCCACUCCGGAGAAUGGGCGAGAGGGUCCCAGUCGGGAUCCUAGGAUCUGCAGUUGCCUGAACGCAGCGUGAUUGAUGACGUUGAGCGUAGCCCCACCAUUAAUCAGGACAUGAUGUAGCCUCACGUUGGCGAUGACAGGGGCGGUGAUGAGUGGUAGUAUGCCAGCCCCUGCCAUGUUUUCGGGAUAGUCGGAUGCCCCGAAGAAGAUAGUGGUGCUCCGCCACCGCUGAUGUGGGGCUGCCUUCGGGACCCCUGGGGUCGCCGAAAGGACCUCACGACGUAGGGACUUCACGUUCCUACGGGUGGUGAGCUCCCAGCUUUCGCCAUACAUCACGUACAGCUUCUUGCGGCGGUCGUUGUCAUCACCGGAGUCAGAGUCUCCAGUGAGGAUGUCCUUGAGGACUUGCUCGGGGGACUGAUACCCGAGGUCCCGUUCUCCCGCGGCCAGGUCACCUUCGUCGACCUUCUCCUUGCUAGGCCGGCGACGAGGCGGCGAGCCAUCCUUGGAGGCCUGCUCGCGCCGCUCGCUGAUGCGCUUCACGAGCUUGAGGAUCUCUCGGCAUUCCGAGGCGCUGUGACGACUGUUGGGAUGGACAGGGCAUGAACCACUGUUACUUCCCUGUUGCCGUGGACGCUUGCCACGCUCGAUCCGGCCCCCAGCCGCUGCUAUGGCGACUGGAGCACCAGACUGCGGCCUAUCGUGACCGUGGUUCUUCUUCUUCUUCUUGCCACCGCCCUGGGUGGCAACACCUGAGCCGCCCGUCUGGGUAACUCCAGUCUGCGGUGCCGAGUGCCAUGCACGACCCUCGACAGCUCUGGCGCAUUUGUCGGCUAGAGCAAAGAGCGUAGUGAUGGUUUCUACUUCAUGCGUCGCCAAUUUCUCCAACAUCUCAUCAUGCACUCCCUGUCAGAAAGCAAUGAUAAUAGAGGCAUCAGAAAUGCAAGGUAUAGUCCCUCGUACCUUGGUGAAGCGGGAGAUAAAAGCCCAGAGAGUCUCCCCGGAUUCCUGCCUCACUGCAUGGAGAUGAGCCUCCACGCCAUGCUGCUGAUAAGCACUGGCGAAGUUUGCUGUGAACCGUGCACAGAGCUCUUCCCAGGAGUAGAUCGACCUCGGGGUGAGGUUCAUGAGCCAGGUCCGGGCCGGCUCGGUCAAGGCUACAUGGAAGUAGCUUGCCAUUACGGCAGUGUUUCCACCAGCUGCCGUAAUGGCGGUGACGUAGACCUGCAAGAAUUCUGACGGGUUUGAUGUACCGUCGUACUUCUCCGGCAGGUGUGGCCGGAACUUGGGUGGCCAAGUCGCCACGCGAAGAUGAUCCGCUAGUGCGGCACAGCCCACGCCGACCAAAGGGACACCCGCCUGGAUUCGGGCGCCCCUUGCAGUGAAGUCUUGUCGAGGUUGUGACCCUCGAUGUUUUGCCGGCGCUCACGCGCCCUCUCCAGAGAGACUCGAGCAUCCUCGCCCGCACGCCUGCGGUUGAGCUCUGCCCGCAGGUCGUCAGUCCGUGCACCCUUCACUAAGGGUGAGCGCACAGAUGCCAACGCCUCGCGUUGACGCCAGAAUGAUCGUGGCCUAGACCUUGCCGAGCUAGGAUGGGCCAUGCCGAGAAGACGAUCGACAUCCUCGCGCCACUGCCUCAUGGCGCCCGGUGAGGCCAUGGAGCUAGGAGGGUUACGUAGUAACUCCCUGGCUGCAGACAAUGCCCCACCAGGAGCAGCUCCCGACGGAGCCCUAGAUGUCUGUGCGGGCGUGUGCUGCUACGCAGCGUGCAUAGCAGCAGCACCAGGCGCAGGGCAGUAAGAGCCUCGUGGCACGGAAGAUGCUGUCCCUUCCUCCAUCAGGAAGUCCUCGGGAGACAAGUCGUGGUGCUCGACGAUCUGAACCAUCGUGUCGAGCAAGAAAAUAGGCGAAAAACCUAAAGCAAGACCCCCUACCUGGUGCGCCAAAUGUCGGUGGGAAAAAUCCUCCGGCCGGGUGGUGGAAUGCACCCACCCUAAUCUUAAGAUGAGGAGGGGGCCUAAGCGUUUGCCUGUUUGGUGAAUUUUCGAUGAACACAAGAGGACUCGAGGGAUUAUAGUGGUUCAGGCCGCUGGAGCGUAAUACCCUACCUUCACUGUGUGUAAGUUGUAUUGAGCGUGUCCCUUGUAAUGCUGUGUCCCCUCCCUUUUAUAGUUUAAGGGGGGUACAUACAAGGAUGCUGAGCUCCGACAUGCGGGCCCAGGAGCAUAAUGGAAGGAAUACAUUAUGUGAAUAAUUAAUGCUGACAACACAUAUGAGUAGAGGUGUAUAGGUAGAGCCGUUUAGAUUCCCCCUGCCUUAGUAACGCAUGAGUAAUCAGCGGGAGUCAUGAUGACUAUAGUCCAUGCAGUUUUGAUAGGCAGUGACCAUUUUACUGGUAACACGGGUUAAUGGUGAGUCAUUGUCCUUGCUAUGGUAACGUGUGAGUAACAGCACAACCCACGCAACGUGGACUGGGCACGCCGCCUGUCACUGGAAUGGACAGACGCACGUCUUAUCCGUAAUAAAUGCAAAGACGCGCGUAGCCCAGAGGCUUUAUGUCAGGCUCCGCCCGUUGGCUUACGCCGCGCGCAGUAGGCCAUGUGGCAGCAUCGGGUCUCUGCCUGGGCGGGGAGCAGGAGUGUAUGUGAUAAGGUCCGGAUCUCACCAGAUCAGGUCUGGACACGUGUCGGCACCGGACCCCCGCCUGGGUCCUGAUUAAGGCCCGGGUAUGCUCUGUCCUGGGACCCAAUGUGGACGGCCUGGACCCAAUACAGGGGGUCUGGAUCCCAUUCCAGGGGUUCGGUUCGCACACGUGGAGGUACUGGACCAAACUUGGAGGCCCGGACCGUAUAUACCGGGGUCCGGCACCUUCCCAUGGGGGUCCGGACUCGUUGGUGAUACCUCAGAGUAUGUCACUUUCUCUGGACAUGUGGCGGCACCGAACCCUCCCAUGUGGUGGGGUCAGGUGCUGUUGCUGGCCCAGAGUAGUCGCCCGAGGCUUGGGGCGAGUCAUGGCCUGGUCCCACACACAGCUCCUUUACCACGCGACUAAGAAUAGCCGCGUGGGUACUGCAUCUUUAUACAGUAGUAAGGGGUACCCUAGUUUCAGGGUACCGACAGUGAUGUGUAUGUAAACGCUUAAUUUAAAGUGUAUGUGAUGAAUUAGUAUAUUAUUAUCUGUCUUAUGGUGUAUGUUAAUUGUUUACAAUUAUUUUAGAAUUUAUGUUUAGAAAGAAGAAUGACAGGAUUUUGUAGACCAGGUGUUAGUGAUGAAAACACUAGAUGAGUGAUUUCACAAUUACUAGUCAGUUACCUGUGCGUUGCGACAACUCACAACAAUACCCACGUAAAUUAUCCACCAAAAAGAUCUCAAGAUUUUCUAUUGAUUGUCUCCACUCUUCACAUAAUAUUUUUAUGAACUCACGGGUACCAUAGGCAGCAAAUCAGAGACCCCCAUCCCUCGCCUCCCUAACUUCCAAGGUUUCAUAGAGCAGGAGGGGAAGGGAAGAGGCGGACAUACCUGUUCGUUGCCGGAGAAGGACACGACGAAGACAUGGGCAUCUGGAAGCGACAUAGGUAGUAUACCAUGAGAUAUAUAGGGAGAGAGCACGCAAGCGGAGAAAGAAGCCCAGCCAGAGCAACUCCAAACCAAGAGGCACCUGCACCAGGCGUCAAUCCGAGAAGGGCAAGAGAAUGCAAGUGUCUUCUCAGCCCUGGACCCGCUGAAGCGACACAACACCACCACCAACUCCGUAGCAUAUGCCGACUGCUGCCACGCUACGGGCCUUGGUUGUCCAAUAUCUCAGACCUAGACUCCUCAUCGCCAAGAUAACCUAAGCGUGGCAGGCGCCACCAUGUCCUCCUCUACUGCACCACGGAGAAAGGCCAGGAGCAUAACCAACUCGCCCCGUACCCGCGUCGACGAGCGUUGGUCGGCUCGCGGCUGCGACCGUGGGUGGGGGCAGUAGGUUGGGGAGGAAGAACAGGGUGAAGGCCCGGAAUACGAACGGGACGUCCGAUCACGGCGGAAACAAUGGUACACGCUUGAUGUGAAACGUCCUUGUGAACGUGCAAUAGCCACUACGCGAGUCGGUGUCGGGGCUAGUGUCGGACGAAUGCGGGGAGGAGACGCAUGCUCCUAUGCCCUCUGCCGAGAAUGGGGUGGCACGGUGGUGGAGGCAUGAGGGGAGAGAGAAAAGAAGUAGAAUGGCGAACGAGGUGGUGGUAACUGAGGCGAGGACCAUCAUUAUCGUGCAGAGGUAUAGAUUGCCAAAUGGGUCGUGUCUGGCGAGCCGGCCCGAGGCACGACCCAUUUAAUAGUGUCUGGGCCAACCCGGCACAAGCGACGUGUUGUGCUUGGGGCGUAGCCUCGGCCCGUAGUGCUGGCCCGGCCCAACAUGAUUUUUUUAUUUUACAAAAAGCAAAUAUACAUAUGUACCAUUUAUAUUCAAUAUUAUAAACACUUGAGCAUGAUGUUCUAUUGGUUAAACAGCUUCACCCAAUGUCUCCCACCCUUCUUCCAUCAGGGUGUGGGUUCAAACCCUACCUCCUGCACCACUUUUUAACAUUUUACGCUGAGUUGAUUUGGAAAAAAUGUAGGGACUUUUUUUGUAAAAAUAUAAUGCAGGACGACCAUUGAAAUUGGUGCUUUAAAUAUAGUACAGAAAUCUUGUUUAUAAUGAAUUUAGAGUUUAGUCUAGAUGUAUGUACUCAUAGGUUGAUAUAUUUAAUUUAGAACCACUAAAUAAAUAAUAGAAGCUUUAUUAACAUUGAGAUAAUAUAAGUAGUACAUGUGUUCAUAAUAAUCCAAAUACUGUACUUUUUAACAUUUUACGCUGAGUUGAUUUGGAAAAAAUGUAGGGACUUUUUUAUAAAAAGAUAACGCAGGACGACCGUUGAAAUUGGUGCUUUAAAUAUAGUACAUAAAUCUUGUUUAUAAUGAAUUUAGAGUUUAGUCGAGAUGUAUGUACUCAUAGGUUGAUAUACUUAAUUUAGAUCCACUAAAUAAAUAAUAGAAGCUUUAUUAACAUUGAGAUAAUAUAAGUAGUACCCGUGUUCAUAAUAAUCCAAAUAGUGUACUCCAAUCAGUGGUUUAAUUUAUUAAUAAAAUUAUUUGACCUCUAAUUAUUAUGAUGACAUUUUUCCUUUAAAGAACAGAUAAAACUAAAAGUAGACACGUGUUUAUGGUAGAAAUAAUUAAUUAAUUUAUUUCCGUAGAGUUGGUUAAAUCACUACCUCUAAGCUAUGUUAUGUAAAGUACUUUGUAGUCGAAUUUCCAUAUAUCUUUCACUAUUGAUAAUCCAAAAAUAGAAUUUAUAUUUUAUGUCGUAGCAAAUGGAUGUCAAUACGUGUAGACUAAUGAUAUGAUUACGAACUAGGUUUUAUUCUAGACAUUUUUUAGUAUGGUUUGUAUGGUGAAUGUUAUUCAUGUAAUGGGGUAUGUUACUCAUGUAAUGGUGUAUGUUUAUUUAUUUGAUGAAUGUUUUUAUGUACAAUAUGCGAAUCUAUAUUAGAACCUGAUUUCGUGGUAGAAGACCAAAAUACGUUUGAAGAUGAUCCGCGGGACACCUUUGAGCAAGGAAAGUGGAUUCUCCCUCUGCAUUUCUGUUUGUACCCAAAUAAUGCAUAUAAUAAUGUUUACUUUUGGAUAUCUGCAUAAAUUUGAUGGUAUUUGCCUAAAUAGGGUUACCUAGAAAUACCAACCUUAUUCCUUGAUUACCAUGGGAUAAACACUAUGCUUAGUAAAUGUGCUACUGCUCAACUUGAUCAUUAUGAUGUCACUCUUUAAUGAUACUUUUGUUCCGGAAAUGAAAUUUGUAUUAUGAUGUUAACCCAAUGGUUAAACAAGAUCAUUUGUAUUAAAUGGAACAUGGAGUGACCACCCAGGAUAACAGUGCAACCACGAGUGCUAUCAAGGCCCUGACUUUGGUAAAUAGCUCUAUAGACUUAGUGCUUAGCAACCCUACAUAAAAGAUGGGGAAGAGGAGGCGGCAGUGGUUUGGUGGCUGCUCAUGUUAACAUGGGGUGGUAUUCUUGGCUAAGUUACCUUGCCCAGAGGGUCACCAAUAUUGACGUGGAAACCUUAGCAAUGUGGCUUUGUACUAAGGAUAUUUUAUGAAAGCAUCAUAAUGGAUCCCUAGUCAUUCACCUCGGCUGUGUUUACGGGUCUGUACAACCUAGGCUAGAUGUGAUACAUGGCUUGUGGGUAAAGUUGUACCACCUCUGCAGAGUGUAAAACUGAUCUGUCAGCUGUGCUCACGGUUAAGAGCAACCUGGACCCUCACAUGAUAACUGAACUUAAAGAUGGAGAAUAAAUCGUGAUCCGAUGAUUUAUAAAUGGUUUGCUUAAGUGGUUUCACUUAAGUGUUUUUGACAUAAUCAUAUGCUUAUUAUUAAUUGGGAAUUUUUGGGAUACACUUACAAUUAGUUAGUUAGGCGUUGUUAAUAAAAUAUUGACCAACUAAAAUGCUUAUCGCUUAACCAUAGACUACCUUGUUAACCUUGCAUAACUCCUCCCACUUGCAGAGCCCCCACCAUAAGUGACCUCACCCCUUGCUAAAUUUUUUAUCAGAAGCUGAUGAGGAAGAUUGUGGUGAUGGUGAUGACGGGUACUGAGUCUAGCGAUGCGCCAGUCAUUUUCCUGUGGAAGAUUACCCAUGCUAUUUUCGCUCUACUUUGAUGAUAAUACUAUUUAAGACAUUUAUGUCUGGAUGAUGUAAUAAAGUUAUUAUACACUUUUUACGCCUUUAUUGCAUUGUAUUUUGAUAUAUUACACUUGUGAUAUAUGUGGAAAAUGGAUUCUGACACACAUAUGCUAUGCAUUCAGUUUUGCCCCUAAAACCGGGUGUGAUAGUGCUGCUGCUACAGUCUUAGGAAUGAUGGUAAAAAUGUUGAGCCUUCAAUUUUAUUUUAAAUUGCUCUUUGUUACUUGUCAUCGUUACGCAACCUAUAUUAAUCUUAGCUUCUAAUGUCUUUUCGCCUAAAUCUGUUGCGCUAUUGUGUUGUUUAGAUAUUACUUUUACUAUCUAAUUAUUUCUAUACUAUAUUAAAGCAUCAGUUUCAACGGUCGUCCCGCGUCAUUUUAUUACAAAUAACCCCUCACAUCUAUUUCAAAUUAACCCGCUGUACGACCGUCCGCUCCGCGCAACCAACCUCCACGUCCCAAAACACACAUCCGCAUAUAGAUGGCCAAAUGGCGGCCCGACAUGGGCUUGAUGCCCGUGGGCCACAACUCUGGCCCGGGCACGACAUGUCGGCCUGAUGACUGUGUCGGGCCGACCCGUUAGCCCGUCGGGCCAUUUGGUUAAAUGGAAGAAGGGCGGGAGACACUGGGUGAAGCUGUCUAACCAGUAGAACAUCAUAAUCAGGUGUUUUAAUAUUGAAUAUAAAUUGUACAUAUUUAUAUACGUUUUUUUGUAAAAUAAAAAAAAUCGUGUCAGGCUGGGCCAGCACUACGGGCCGAGCCUACAACCCAAGCACAACACGACGCUCGUGCUGGGCUGGCCUAGGCACUUUUAACUGGGUCAUGCCUUGGGCUGGCUUGUCAUACACAACCCAUUUGGUCAUCUAUACCUCUGCACGAUAAUGAUGGUCCUCGCCUCAGUUGCUGCAACCUCGUUCGUCAUCCUGCUUCUUUUCUCUCUCCCCUCAUGCCUCCGCCUCCGCGCCACCCCAUUCUCGGCAGAGAACGUGGGAGCAGGCGCCUCCUCCCUCUAUUCGUCCAACACCAGCCCCGACACAGACCCGCGCAGUGGCUAUUGCACGUCCACGAGGACGUUUCAUAGUAUGCGUGCACCAUCGUUUUCAACGUCGUCGGAUGUCUCAUUCGUCUUCCCGUCCUUCGCCUUGUUCUUCCUCCCCAACCUACUGCCCCCCUGCUCACCGUCGCAGCCGCGUGCCGACCGAUGAUCUUCGACGCGGGUACGAAGCGAGUCGGUAUUGCUCCUAGCCUUUCUUCGUGCGUGCCGUCGAGGAGGACAUGGUGGCGCCUGCCACGCUUAGGUUAUCUUGGCGAUGAGGAGUCCAGGUAUAAGAUAUUAGACAACCAAGGCCCAUAGCAUGGCAAUAGUCGACAUAUGCUACAGAGUUGGUGGUGGUGUUGUGUCGCCUUGGUGGGUCUAGGGCUGGGAAGGCAUUCACAUUCUCUCACCCUUCCCGGACUGAUGCCUGGUGCGGGUGCCUCUCGGUUUGGAGCUGCUCCAGCUAGGCUACUUUCUCCGCUUGCAUGCUCUCUCCCUAUAUGUAUCUAGAGGUAUACUAUAUAUGUCGCCUCUAGAUGUCUAGGUCUUCGUCGUGUCCUUCUCCGACAACAAACAUGUAUGGCCGCCUCUUCCCUUCCCUUACUACUCUACGAAACCUUGGAACUAGGGAGGCGAGGGAAGGGGGUCACUGAUUUGCUGCCUAUGGUACUCGUUCAAUGGCUCGACAUCGCCUGUCUACAUGGCAUUUUCCUUACCACGAUGUCAACUCGGUAUGCUUCUACCGCUUCUAUGUACAUGUCACCCAUCCUUAUGUCAUUGCAAAAAUUAUUGUGUUGUUCAUCUGUUGUUUUGGGUGUUAGUUUUUUGUUGUGCUAAGGACUGAACAUAAUUUGGGUGUGUUAAUACUUUAUUUAUUGUCUACACAUGGUUUGUGUUCUUCUGAUGAUGGCUCAUGGAUCCUGCAAAAUAUGUGUUAGGAUUUGGAGAUCCAUGCGGACACUACCACAGGGUGCUCGUCUCUUGUGUUCUUGGCUCUUGCAAGCAUUAGGUCGUUUCUGAGACUACAUUGGCGCAAUGGACUCCAUGGUGUUUGAGGUUGUUGAAUUGGAUGGAGCAACAAUGAUUUGUCGCACUAACAGUAAAAGGAAAAGUUAUUUGUUGGUUUUAAACAUUAGUAAUUGCUACGAAGUAUAAUAAUUUGUAUGGAGCGCAUCCAGUUUAGCAACCACUCCAUAUUUUGAUCUAUUCUUUUUAUAAGUUUGAGUUCAUGUGACUUAUUUUAAAAACUUGAACUCACAAACUUGCUCUUAUUUGGUCUUUGUAUAGUGGAAUUAUGUCGUUCUAUAAUAUCUAUCCGUUCAUUUAGUUGUUGUGAACUCUCUUCUAAUCGCUCCCUUCAUUGGUCGUGUUGUACCAAGACAUAUUGGAUGGAGUAAACAACAACAUCAGUUAGUCAAAUCAAAAAAAAAUAUUAUGCGAAGAGCGGAGACAAUCAAUAAAAAAUCUUCAGAUCUUUUUGGUAGAUAGUUUACGUAGGUAUUAUUGUGAGCUGUCACAACGCACGAGCAACCAGGGUCGUACCUGAGGGGUGCGGAGGGUGCGGCCGCACCAGCCCUCCAAAAACAGAGGGGCCCCUAGCCACUGGACGCUAGCACUUUUUCCUGUUAAACAUAUUUAUCCUAGACACAAAUACACAAAGAGCGAUGCGCCAUCGAUCAGUCUCGUUUAGAUUGUUAAACUAAUGUCUCAAUUACUUAUCGAAUACUCCAUCCAUUCUAAAAUAGUAUUUGUUUUAUCUCUUGAUUAUUAUGUUUACAUUCAACUAGAUGAUGAUGAAUCCACUAAAGAAGCAAAACAAAUUCUAUUUUGAUAUAGAUAUAGUAUUAUUUACUAUACAUAUGUGUUGAGGACCAUAAUUAGGGGUACCCCCAAGACUCCUAAUCUCAGCUGGUAACCCCCAUCGGCACAAAGCUGCAAAGGCCUGAUGGGCGCGAUUAAGGUCAAGGCUCAGUCCACUCAAGGGACACGAUCUCGCCUCGCCCGAGCCCAGCCUCGGGCAAAGGCAGCCGACCCCGGAGGAUUCACGUCUCGCCCGAGGGCCCCCUCAAGCAACGGACACACCUUCGGCUCGCCCGAGGCCCAGUCUUCGCAGAGAAGCAACCUUGGCCAGAUCGCCACGCCAACCGACCGUAUCACAAGAGCAUUUAAUGCAAGGAUCGCCUGACACCUUAUCCUGACGCACGAUCUUCAGUCGACAGAGCCGAAAUGACCGCAGUCACUUCGCCGCUCCACUGACCGACCUGACAAGAAAACAGCGCCGCCUACGUCGCUCCGACUGCUGUGCCACUCGACAGAGUGAGGCUGGCAGCAGCUAAGUCCAGCCUCGGGCGCCAUAGGAAGCUUCGCCUCGCCCGACCCCAGGGCUCGGGCUCAACCUCGACGCUGGACGACGGACUCCGCCUCGCUCGACCCCAGGGCUCGGGCUCAACCUCGACGCUGGACGACAGACUCCGCCUCGCCCGACCCCAGGGCUCGGACACAGCCUCGGCCUCGGAAGACGGUCUCCGCCUUGCCCGAUCCUAGGGCUCGGGCUCAACCUCGACGCUGGACGAUGGACUCCGCCUCGCCCGACCCCAGGGCUCGGACACAGCCUCGGCCUUGGAAAAACGGUCUCCGCCUCGCCCGACCCCAGGGGUCGGACUCAGCCUCGACCUCGGAAGACGGACUCGACCUCGACCUCGGAGGAGCCUCCGCCUCGCCCGACCUAGGGCUUGGACCGACCAAGUCGCCAGGGGGCCAUCAUUACCCUGCCCCUAGCUAGCUCAGGCUACGGGGAACAAGACCGGUGUCCCAUCUGGCUUGCCCCAGUAAACAAAUAAUGAUGGUGCCCCGCGUGCUCCAUGACGACGGCGGCUCUCAGCCCCUUACAGAAGCAAGGAGACGUCAGCAUGGAUUCGACAGCCCCGACAGCUGUCCUUCCGCAGGGCUCCAGCUCUCCUCCGACGGCCACGACAUCACAUGAACAGGGUGCCAAAACCUCUCCGACUGCCACGACGACAUGUACUUAGGGCUCUAGCUCCUCUCUGCUAGACACGUUAGCACACUGCUACACCCCCCAUUGUACACCUGGACCCUCUCCUUACGCCUAUAAAAGGAAGGUCCAGGGCUCUCGUACGAGAAGGUUGGCCGCGCGGGUGAACAGGCCGACGCAUAAGGCUCUCGCUCUCUCUCUCUCUCCCACGCGAACGCUUGUAACCCCCUACUGCGAGCGCACCCGACCUGGGCACAGGGCAACACGAAGGCCGCGAGUUUCCUCUUUGCCUGUUUCUUCCCCUCUUCGUGCUCCAUCUCACGCCGACCCAUCUAGGCUGGGACACGCGGCGACAAUUUACUCGUCGGUCCAGGGACCCCCCGGGGUCGAAACGCCGAUAGUUGGCGCGCCAGGUAGGGGCCUGCUGCGCGUUGACGAACAGCUUCCCGUCAAGCUCCAGAUGGGUAGUCUCCAGCAACCUUUCCAACCCGGAACGAUGCUCCAUUUCGGGAGUCUUGAGUUCAUGUCCCUCGAUGGCAGCUACGACAUGAUACUCCUUCCUCCGCCGCGCGACAGCGACAAUGGCGGCCGUCAGCCUGCCCGCCGGCGGCGGAAUCAACGACGUCUUCCCCACAUGGCGGAAGAACAACAUCCGGGUUUGUCCCGUCACCUCCCCCACCGACGGAGGAGGAGGCGGGGCAACCAUGGCCAAGCAGGAGGCGGCGCCUUGUCGGCUGUCGAGCAAGUCGACGACGUCGGCGCCCCAGCGGGGGACACGUCUGGCUUCGACCUUGCAUCUGAGACGAAGACGAGCGCCGUUUCCCCGCAACACGCCAACCCCAAGCAGACGAACGACGCCAGCACGCUUGCGAAGGACUUGCUGGGCGUCGCCCUCGUACCUGAGACAACGGUGCAGUCCGCCCUUGACUUGACUUUGUCACCGCCCGUCGACCAAGAGGUACCGACCGAUUCCCAUCUUGUGCCUUUUGGAUUCAGCUUCGACCCACCAAGCGACCUCGCUUCGAUGGAAGCCUUCAUAGAGGCAUGUACCAACCCUCCGGGGUACCAUAUGCGGUCGCCCUGGGACAGACUGAUGGUCGUCUCGACCUACGGACCCUCGGGUUCCGAGGAAGAUGACGAGACCGACUUUUGUUGGGAUUUCUCCGGGCUCGGUAACCCUAGUGCCAUGCGGGACUUCAUGACCGCAUGCGACUACUGCCUCUCCGAUUGUACCGAUGGUAGCCGCAGCUUCGGCGAUGAGGACUGCGGCCCAAGUCGUGAAUGUUUCCACGUCAAUCUAGGGGGUCCCGGCGAAGGCAACCAUCUUGGUAUGCCGGAAAACGGCGAUCCCCCUAGGCCUGCGCCACGCGUUGACAUCCUUCGGGAGCUAGCUGUGGUCCCAGUCCCUGCGGGGGGUCAGGACGCACAGCUCGAGCAAAUCCGCGAGAUGCAGGCUAGGCUCGACGAGGGAGCAGGAACACUUGAGCAGUUCCGAUGGAACAUCGGGCAGGAAUGGGCAGACCAAGCUCUGGCCGGAGAAUCGCGUCAUCUACCCUAGGGCAUCCAACACCGCAUUGACGACGACGUCAGGACAAGGCCGCCACUGGCUUUCAGUGGGGUCGGCAAGAACCUGGCUGCAACAGCAAUACUACUUCGCGCGAUGCCGGAACCAUCGACCACCGAAGGGCGGCGUAUCCAGGGAGAGCUCAAGAAUCUCCUAGAGGAUGCCUCGGUCCGACGGGCCGAACGCUCUGCCUCCCGAAGGCAGGGGUACCCUCGGAGCAUCGCGCCACGACUUCUCGAUUCGUGCGGGAAGCCUCGGUCCACACCGGGCGCACGCGCAACACGGCGCCUGCGGCCUCGGGUCGCCUCGGCAAUGAGCACCACCACCGCAACCGUCGAGCCCACCUCGACGAGAGGGUGUGUCGAGGCUACCACCCUAGGCGUGGGGGACACUACGACAGCGGGGAGGAUCGGAGCCCCUCGCUCGAACCACCCGGUCCGCAGGCUUUCAGCCGGGCCAUACGACGGGCGCGCGUUCCCGACCCGGUUUCGAACCCCGACUACCAUCACAAAGUACUCGGGGGAGACGAGGCCGGAACUGUGGCUCGCGGACUACCGACUGGCCUGCCAGCUGGGUGGAACGGACGAUGACAACCUCAUCAUCCGCAACCUCCCCCUGUUCCUCUCCGACACCGCUCGAGCCUGGCUGGAGCAUCUGCCUCUGAGGGAGAUCUCCAACUGGGACGAUCUGGUCCGAGCCUUCGCCGGCAACUUCCAGGGCACGUACGUGUGCCCUGGGAACUCCUGGGAUCUCUGAAGCUGCCACCAGCAACCGGGAGAGUCUCUCCGGGACUACAUCCAGCGAUUCUCGAAGCAGCGCACCGAGCUGCCCAACGUCACCGACUCGGACGUCAUCGGCGCGUUCCUCGCCGGCACCACCUGCCACGACCUGGUGAGCAAGCUGGGUCGCAAGACCCCCACCAGGGCGAGCGAGCUGAUGGACAUCGCCACCAAGUUCUCCUCUGGCCAGGAGGCGGUUGAGGCCAUCUUCCGAAAGGACAAGCAGCCCCAGGGCCGCCAGCCGGAAGACGUCCCCGAGGCGUCCACUCAGCACGGCACCAAGAGGAAGAACAAGAAGAAGUCGCAAGCAAAACGCGACGCCAUCGACGCGGACCUUGUCGCCGCCGCUGAGUACAAGAACCCUCGGAAACCUCCUGGAGGUGCCAAUCUCUUCGAUAAGAUGCUCAAGGAGUCGUGCCCCUAUCAUCAGGGGCCCGUCAAGCACACCCUUGAGGAGUGCGUCAUGCUUCGGCGCCACUUUCACAAGGUCGGGCCACCGGCGGAAGGUGGCAGGGCCCACAACAACGACAAGAAGGAGGAUCACAAGGCAGAGGAGUUCCCCGAGGUCCACGACUGCUUCAUGAUCUACGGUGGGCCAGUGGCGAACGCCUCGGCUCGGCACCGCAAGCAAGAGCGUCGGGAGGUCUGCUCGGUAAAGGUGGAGGCGCCAGUCUACCUAGACUGGUCCGACAAGCCCAUCACCUUCGACCAGGGCGACCACCCCGACCGCGUGCCGAGCCCGGGGAAAUAUCCGCUCGUUGUCGACCCCGUCAUCGGCAACGUCGGGCUCACCAAGGUCCUCAUAGACGGAGGCAGCAGCCUCAACAUCAUCUACGCUGAGACCCUCGGGCUCCUGCAGAUCGAUCUGUCCUCGAUCCGGAUAGGCGCGGCGCCUUUUCACGGGAUCAUCCCCGGGAAACGCGUCCAACCCCUCGGACAACUCGAUCUUCCCGUCUGCUUCGGGACUGCCUCCAACUUCCGAAGGGAAACCCUCACGUUCGAGGUGGUCGGGUUCCGAGGAACCUACCACGCAGUACUGGGGAGGCCAUGCUACGCCAAGUUCAUGGCCGUCCCCAACUACACCUACCUCAAGCUCAAGAUGCCGGGCCCCAACGGGGUCAUCACCAUCGGCCCCACGUACCGACACGCGUACAAAUGCGACGUGGAGUGCAUGGAGUACGCUGAGGCCCUCACCGAAUCCGAGGCCGUCAUCGCCGACCUGGAGAGCCUCUCCAAGGAGGCGCCAGAUGCGAAGCGCCACGCCGGCAACUUCGAGCCAGCUGAGAUGGUCAAAUCUGUCCCUCUCGACCCCAGCAACGACGCCUCCAAGCAGAUACGGAUCGGCUCCGAGCUUGACCCCAAAUAGGAAGGAGUGCUUGUCGACUUUCCCCGCGUGAACGCCGAAGUCUUUGCGUGGAGUCCCUCGGACAUGCAUGGCAUACUGAGGGAUGUCGCCGAGCACUCGUUGGAUAUCCGAGCUGGAGCCCGACCCGUGAAGCAACCUCUACGUCGAUUCGACGAAGAAAAGCGCAGAGCCAUAGGCGAGGAGAUCCACAAGCUGAUGGCCGCAGGGUUCAUCAAAGAGGUAUUCCAUCCCGAAUGGCUUGCCAACCCUGUGCUUGUGAGAAAGAAAGGAGGGAAAUGGCGGAUGUGUGUAGACUACACUGGUCUAAACAAAUCGUGGAUUCCACUGCUGGGUGCGAAACCCUGUCUUUCCUCGAUGCCUACUCAGGGUAUCACCAAAUCAGGAUGAAAGAGUCCGACCAGCUCGCUACUUCUUUCAUCACACCUUUUGGCAUGUACUGCUACGUUACUAUGCCAUUUGGUUUGAGGAAUGCGGGUGCGACGUACCAAAGGUGCAUGAACCACGUGUUCGGAGAGCACAUUGGUCGAACGACCGAGGCUUACGUCGAUGACAUCAUAGUCAAGACGAGGAAAGCCUCCGACCUCCUCUCCGAUGUUGAAACGACAUUCCGGUGUCUCAAGGCGAAAGGCGUAAAACUCAAUCCCAAGAAGUGCGUCUUCAGAGUCCCCUGAGGCAUGCUCUUGGGGUUCAUCGUCUCCGAGCGGGGCAUCGAGGCCAACCCGGAGAAAAUCGCGGCCAUCACCAACAUGGUGCCCAUCAAGGACUUGAAAGGCGUACAUAGGGUCAUGGGAUGCCUUGCGGCUCUGAGCCGCUUCAUCUCGCGCCUCGGCGAAAGAGGCCUACCUCUGUACCGCCUCUUAAGAAAGACCGAGCGCUUCACUUGGACCCCGAGGCCGAGGAAGCCCUCGGGAACCUAAAAGCGCUCCUUACCAGCGUGCCCAUCUUGGUGCCCCCCGCUGCCGGAGAAGCCCUCUUGAUCUACGUCGCCGCUAUCACUCAGUUGGUCAGCGCCGCGAUCGUGGUUGAGAGACGAGAAGAAGGACAUGCAUUGCCCGUCCAGAGGCCGGUCUACUUCAUCAGUGAGGUGCUGUCCGAGACCAAGAUCCGCUACCCACAAAUUCAGAAGCUGUUGUACGCGGUGAUUCUGACGCGGCGGAAGUUGCGACACUACUUCGAGUCUCAUCUGGUGACUGUGGUGUCAUCCUUCCCCCUGGGGGAGAUCAUAAGCGAGACAAUCUCGUUCGCCCCUCGGAAGGCCAUCAUGUCCCAAGUCUUGGCGGACUUUGUGGCUAAAUGGGUCGACACCCAGCUCCUAGCAGCUCCGAUCCAACCAGAACUCUGGACCAUGUUCUUCGACAGGUCGCUGAUGAAAACAGGGGCAGGCGCGGGCCUGCUCUUCAUCUCGCCCCUCGGGAAGCACCUCCGCUACGUGCUACGCCUCCAUUUCCCGGCGUCCAACAACGUGGCUGAGUACGAGGCUCUUGUCAACGGGUUGCGCAUCGCCAUCGAGCUAGGGGUCCGACGUCUCGACGCUCGCAGUGACUCGUAGCUUGUCAUCGACUAAGUCAUGAAUAACUCCCACUGCCGCGACCCGAAGAUGGAAGCCUACUGCGACGAGGUUCGGCGCCUGGAAGACAAGUUCUACGGGCUCGAGGUCAACCACGUCGCCCGGCGGUACAACGAGACUGCGGACAAGCUAGCGAAGAUAGCUUUGGCGCGAACAACGGUUCCCCCGAACGUCUUCUCCCGGGACCUACAUCAACCCUCAGUUAAGACAAACGACACGCCCGAGCCCGAGAAGGUCUCGGCCCUGCCCGAGGUGCCCUCGGCUCAGCCCGAGGCACCCUCGGCUCAGCCCGAGGCACCCUCGGCCCCCAAGGGUGAGGCACUGCGCAUCGAGGAAGAGCGGAAUGGGGUCACGCCUAAUCGAAACUGGCAGACCCCGUACCUGCAAUAUCUCCACCGAGCGGAGCUACCCCUCGACAGAGCCGAAGCUCGGCGACUGGCGCGGCGCGCCAAGUCAUUCGUCUUGUUGGGUGACGGGAAGGAGCUCUACCACCACAGCCCCUCCGGCAUCCUCCAGCGAUGCGUAUCCAUCGUCGAAGGCCAGGAGCUCUUACAAGAAAUACACUCGGGGGCUUGCGGUCAUCACGCAGCGCCUCGAGCCCUUGUUGGAAAUGCUUUCCGACAAGGUUUCUACUGGCCGACCGCGGUGGCCGACGCCACUAGAAUUGUCCGCACCUGCCAAGGGUGUCAAUUCUACGCAAGGCAGACGCACCUACCCGCUCAGGCUCUGCAAACAAUACCCAUCACCUGGUUGUUUGCUGUGUGGGGUCUGGACCUCGUCGGUCCCUUGCAGAAGGCACCCGGGGGCUACACGCACCUGCUGGUCGCCAUCGGCAAAUUCUCCAAGUGGAUCGAGGUCCGACCCCUAAACAGCAUCAGGUCCGAACAGGUGGUGGCGUUCUUCACCAACAUCAUCCAUCGCUUUGGGGUCUCGAACUCCAUCAUCACCAACAAUGGCACCCAGUUCAUCGGCAGAAAGUUCCUAGACUUCUGCGAGGAUCACCACAUCCGGGUGGACUGGGUCGCCGUGGCUCACCCCAUGACAAAUGGGCAGGUAGAACGUGCCAACGGCAUGAUUCUGCAAGGACUCAAGCCGAGGAUCUACAACGACCUCAACAAGUUCGGCAAACGAUGGAUGAAGGAACUCCCCUCGGUGGUCUGGAGUAUGAGGAUAACGUCGAGCCGAGCCACGGGCUUCAUGCCAUUCUUUCUAGUCUAUGGGGCCGAGGCCAUCUUGCCCACAGACUUAGAAUACAGUUCCCCAAGGACGAGGGCCUACGACGACCGAGGCAACCAGACCAACCGAUAAGACUCACUGGACCAGCUGGAAGAGGCUCGGGACAUGGCCUUACUACACUCGGCGCGGUAUCAGCAGUCCCUACGACGCUACCACGCCCGAGGGGUUCGGUCCCGAGACCUCCAGGUGGGUGACUUGGUGCUUCGGCUGCGACAAGACGCCCGAGGGCGCCACAAGAUCACGCCUCCCUGGGAAGGGCCAUUCAUCAUCGCCAAUAUUUUGAAGCCCGGAACAUACAAGCUGGCCAACAGUCAAGGCAAGGUCUACAACAACGCUUGGAACAUCCGACAGCUACGUCGCUUCUACCCUUAAGAUGUUUUCAAGUCGUUCAUACACCUCGUUUACAUACGCCAAUAAAGUCUAACCAUCAAGGAAGGGUCAGCCUUGCCUCGGCAAAGCCCGACCCUCCCUCGAGGGCUAGAAGGGGCGAACCCCCUCUGCGUCAAAAUUUUCCUCGAAAAAAGUCUUCCAUCAAAACGACUUUCGUGUCUCCCGGCUAUAUCAGUAACAGGACCCCAAGAAACGAAUAAGAGUGCAUGUAAGUGGCAAGGCCGACCGAGCCGAGGGACUCCUACGCCUCUGGGAUACGGAUACCUCACUCAUCGCCUACCACGAAAAAUAACUCUUACUUGGGUAAGCAAUCCUGCUACUGACGAACGAGUCCGAAUAUGCAAAACAGGAGGAAAAGAUACACAACCUUAUAUUACAAUGAUAAAGUGUUCGGGCCUCGGCGGCCGCAAAAGACACAUAUGCAUUCAAAAUAAACUGCUCCGGCAGAAUCAGGCGUCGCCCGGAGAAGGAGUCGCGCCCUCGGCUUCGUCCCCACCCUCGGCGAGAUCCGCCCCGGCCUCGGAUGACGGCGCAAGUGGGAGGAUCUCUGCUUCGAAGGUGGUCGCCAGCACCGCGCUUGGGCCCGCGGCGGCCGCGUCAAGCCUCUGGACUUCGGCCAGGGCAGCUUCAUCUUUGUCGGGAAGGCAAUACCCCUCGCUGACCCGCUCCAGAUCCACGUCGUAGUGGGAAGCGAGCACGGCAAAGGCCCGCCUGACGCCGUGAUGCAGCGCCUCGCGGAGUCUGCCGCGCGCGUGGUCACCCAAGGCCUGCAGGCGACUCUGAGGGGAGCUUCCCGAGGGGACGUCGUCGAAACCAAAGACCCGACAGAAGGCCGAGAUGGCCUCGGACAUGGCCACGUGGUCGGUCUCCCUCUGUUCGGCCGCCUGGGCAAGUGCCUUGGUGGACUCAUCAAGGGCAGACUCGAGCUCUGCAAACAGCCAAAGCAGAAGACUUCAAACAUGAGUUGAGGAACGAAGCUGAAUCAAAAUAUUAAAACAGCCAAGACAUACCUUCUGCUCGGGCACGCUGCUCCGAGGAUGCGGCUUGGGCCACGGCUAGUUCUGCCGCAAGGGCUCUGGCCCGAGCAGACGCCUCGGCUAACUGGACUCCAAGAGCCUCAGCCCGGCUUUCAGCUUCGGCGGCCCGGCCUCGAGAUUGGUCCCGCUCGCCGAUGACCUGGCCAAGCUCCAACUGCUGCCGCUGCGCUUCUGCGCGUGCCGCCGCUGCCUCUGCUCCCAGAUCGACACAGAGCAACCGAAGGUCCGCCACCUCGGCGCUCCGUUGGGAGAGGCGCUCGGUAGCCCCGGCAAGCGUGGUCCUCAGGGACCGCAGCGAACCCCAGACAUCGGCCUCACGGCGGAUGAACGACGACUUGGCGGCGCUCAGAUCCGUCAGAUCCCGAGGAAAGGAAGCAGGGCGUCACAAAGAAUGCCUUGAUCACGUGAAAGGUAUGCUUGAAAUCAUUACCUGGAGGAUCUUGGGAACGUCCCUGCAAAGGACCUCCAAGGUCGAUCGAAGCGACCCCACCGUUGCCUCGGCACACUCACGAAGCCCGUCCCAAGACUGCUCCUCUCGCUCAUCGUCAAGAACGAAGAGGGGAUCUGAAGCCCCACUGGUCCAGAAACAGAGCGACUGACGCCGCCCGUCGGGACUGCGCCGUGCGGGGAUGAGGUUGCCGCUCCCCAGGACGGGUCGCGGUUCCGCGCCCCAGGACGGGUCGCGGUUCCACGCCCCCCUCCUUCGAGGCACCAAGUAGCGACGCCUCAGCCAUCUCAGUGUCGGCGGCGACGGGUGGCUCCACAACCAGAACGGCAACCACCUCGGCAGAAGCCGGUGCCAGCGCCGGCAACACGUCUGGUGGGCUCGAGGCCACAGCCGCGCCAGCAGUCUCCCUCGGCACGACGGCCGAUUCGACGGAGGAGUCGGCCUCGGGAGCUCGCCCCACGGCAACUUGUGCCGCCUGGGCCCCCCGCUUUGGGGCAUCUUGUAAGAAGGCCAGCUGGCCGGCGAGGCCUGGUGCGGCACUAGCUGCAGAAGCUGGCGCCGUUUUGAGGGCCUUCCGGGGAGCCAGACCGGUCGAACCAUGCCUCCGUUUGCUAGGAAGAAAAGGAAGAGCAGGAUCAGGACACACAAAGGAGGAACCAGGACGAAGAUAUCCUAAGAUACUUACCCACUCCGGCCAUGAUCAAUCGUGCCUGUGGGGAGGUCUCUCGAGCCUCGAUCCCCAAAGGUACCACCGAGGUCAGCCCCGCUGCUAGCUUCGGCACCAUCCUUGCCUUGGGCGCCAGAGGCACCAGAGGGACAGACUGCCCUGGCGCAGCCACGACGACCCGAGGAUCACCCUCCUGCGCAGUCGGCACGGGCAACGGUUCUUGGGGAACAGGCGGCUCGGCCUGACUCCCCGGGGUCACCCCAACUACCUCGGCCAAGGGGUCAAGUACCCCCUCGGCCUGCCCCCGUUCUUCGGACUGGGACCCCGACGUCCCGGCCCCGGAUACCGAUGGCGCCAGCCCGCUCGGGGGCUGACUCGACGACCCCUGGCCCAGCCUCAGAUCCGGGCUGAGGCCAUGGCGGGCAGCCAUGUCGUCGUCUUCAUCAUCGUCUUCAUCGUCGUUGUCGUCAUCAGGCGUCUCCGGCGACGGCUCCCUCGGGAGCCCAUCCCUCUCCUCCCGACGACGAAGCCUUUCCAAGGCGUCCCGAGCCCGCAUCCGCUCGCGGGCCCGAGCCUUCUUCGCGUCCUUCUUCUCCUUCCUCUUCUCUGUGGCGACCCUCCGCGCAGCUCGGUCCAACGCGUCCUCCGGGACCGGUGGCAGGGAAGGCUUGUGAAACCCCACCUCCUGGAGACGGAUGAAAAGUCUCGGGUGUGAGAACCAAGGGCAAUCCGACACAAGAAGGAAGAAGGAGCGGACACUCACCAGGGACACACACCCGCGAUCGGGACGCAUCGAGAGCUGGGAAAAGGCGCCGGCGUCUAACUUCCCUACCAUGCCGGCUACCCGCCUGUGGAGGUCAUCGGCGGGAAGGGGGUCCGAGAACAUCUGCAAACCCUCCAAGUCGACCCCCGGCGUCAUCUCCCAAAGCGGCAGCCGCCGCUCCGUCAAGGGGAGCACCCUCCGGCGAUAAUGGCGGCAACCACCCCCACGGCGGUGAGCCCUCCUUUUCGCAGCUCCUCCAAGGCCUUCAAAAGGGGCUGGAGAUUCUUCUGUCUCUCGCGCGGGGCCCCGUAGCGCCAGUUAUUGGCGGCGGCGGUCACCAAUCGUUGAGAAAACGACGGGAGCCUCCCGUCAUCAUUUCGGAGAUAAAACCACUGGCGCUGCCACCCUUUGUUCGAAGACGAGAGGAUGGCAGGGAUGUACUGCAGCGCCCGCACCUGCCUCAACUGGAGGAUGCAGCCACCGACCCGCACCGCCAUGCGAACUCUUCUUUCCCCCGUCGACGAGGCAAAAAGCUCCGCGGAGAAGAGAUGGGUCCAUAGGUCCCAUUGGGGGGCAAUCCCCAAUAUCCUUCGCAAACCGCCGCGAAGAUGGCUGCUUGCGAGAUGGAGUUGGGACUGAGAUUGUGCAGCUCCACCCCGUAGACGUGCUGAAUCGCCCGCAUAAAACGGCUUGCCGGCACUCCGAACCCCCGCUCGUGAAAGGAGACGAAGCUCAGCACAUACCCCGGCGGCCGGGACGGGGCGGCUCCGCUCGGAGGGGCCAUCCACUCUGGCUGCGAGUCACCGGAGAGAGGGUGAAGCAAACCAUCAGCAACAAGGGCCUCCAGAUCAUCCGCCGUGACGGUGGAGAAAGGCCAUCGGUCACGCGGCGAAACAACAGUCACCCGGUCGGCAUCACCGAGCAGAAGAGGUGGCGGCGGAGAGGACGAGGUGCGCGGUCUCCUUUCUUUGGCUAUUCCCUCGGGUUGCGAAAACCUAAGUGGGAGGCGAGCAGCAGAGUAAAGAACCGUCACCGAUCCCUCUCCCGAAUAUAUAAAGGCCCAGGCGAGACCCGUUCAACACUUCGCCCGAACCCGCCGCGAGAUUCAAAACUCAAAGCGAGACGCCCGUUCCUCGAACGGCUCGCGCACGCACAACGGCUGCCCUGCGAACCACUCGUCCCGUCGCAUUAACUCCACGGCAGGACAGGCGGCACCUUUGGCAGGCAAAGCAGGCGACGCUUCACCUCCGCCAUGAUGACCGCGUCAAAAAAGGUGUGCCACGUCAUUCGAUUCUGUAUCCUUUUCCACUUCCUCUUUCUCUCUCUCUUGCUACGGGGACCGGGAAAGGGGAUACUCUGAAAGGGAUCCUUCUCCGCGAAGGAAGCGGGCCCCGAGCCCCCCUACUGAUCAGAGGUUCGAAGGCUGGCCCCUCGAAAGGGUUCAACAGCCACCUCAGAGCACUCGGGCUCCGCGCCCACUACUGGUCAGAGGUUCGAAGGCUGGCCCCUCGGAAGGGUUCAACAGUCGCCUCAGGCCACUCGGGCUCCACGCCCACUACUGAUCAGGGGUUCGUAGGCUGGCCCCCGAAGGGAUCGACAGACGCCUCAGAGCACGCAGAGCGAGGGAUGACCCUGGGUACGUUCGAUACAUAACCAAGGCUCGGGCUACACUCCCGAGGUACCCUAGGACAUUUCCGAGACCGACGGGAACGAUUUUGUAACGGAAUCCCACCAGAGGGAGGCAUCGAGCCCUCGGACCCCGUCAAAAGGGGACCGGGUCCGGCGAAUCACCCGCAGGUACUUUUGGAGCGCGCCUCCAGGCCACUAGCCAACCCCUAACGAAUGGGGCACGGGCGUCCACUCGGAUUACCAGUUAGCAACUCACUGGAGACACCAUGUUCGGCGCCCUCCGAGGGCAACAUGGUGCUUUCCCCCCUCCUCCUUGCGGAAAGGCGACGCAGGGGCGUAUGAAAAAAGCCAAGUCUGUCCUUGACCGUCCUCCCGCUCUGUGCGGAGGCUCGGGGGCUGCUCUCGCAAACCCGGCUCCGGCCAAACCGUUGACAGCGUCAACAUACCAGCCCGAGAACUUGGGACUCGACUAUGCACCUGGGCUACGACCAGUUCGCAUGAGGGAACAACCAGACCGGCCGAAGCAUCACGAAACGCGCUAAGACGUCGAAGGAGUCAAACCACUCCUCCGAGGCCUCGGGGGCUACACCCGGCGGGUGCGCUCGCGCGCACCCACAGAACGAAACGCAACCAAGAAAGGCCAGUCCCCUUGCAAAAAAGUGCGACAAAAGCCUCCAAGCGAGUAUCAACACUCCCUUCGAGGCUCGGGGGCUACUGUCGGGGACCAUAAUUAGGGGUACCCCCAAGACUCCUAAUCUCAGAUGGUAACCCCCAUCAGCACAGAGCUGCAAAGGCCUGAUGGGCGCGAUUAAGGUCAAGGCUCAGUCCACUCAAGGGACACGAUCUCGCCUCGCCCGAGCCCAGCCUCGGGCAAAGGCAGCCGACCCCGGAGGAUUCACGUCUCGCCCGAGGGCCCCCUCAAGCAACGGACACACCUUCGGCUCGCCCGAGGCCCAGUCUUCGCAGAGAAGCAACCUUGGCCAGAUCGCCACGCCAACCGACCGUAUCUCAGGAGCAUUUAAUGCAAGGAUCUCCUGACACCUUAUCCUGACGCGCGCUCUUCAGUCGACAGAGCCGAAGUGACCGCAGUCACUUCGCCGCUCCACUGACCGACCUGACAAGAAAACAGCGCCGCCUGCGUCGCUCCGACUGCUGUGCCACUCGACAGAGUGAGGCUGACAGCAGCUAAGUCCAGCCUCGGGCGCCAUAGGAAGCUCCGCCUCGCCCGACCCCAGGGCUCGGGCUCAACCUCGACGCUGGACGACGGACUCCGCCUCGCCCGACCCCAGGGCUCGGACACAGCCUCGGCCUCAGAAGACAGUCUCUGCCUUGCCCGACCCCAGAAGCUAUAGUCUUAGCGUUAGUCUCGCUCUUAGUCAGUAUUAGUUAGACAGGGUAGUUUGCUUAUCCUGUGCAUUUAUGUUUAUCAUGAUGAACUAUGUUUGCUUUGGAUUUUUGUAAUGACUGUCACCAGAGUGUGGGUAUCCCCUGCAUUUUGGUUUACCUGUUAUAUGUUAAAGGAGUUAGCUAUUUAGUUGGGAAGCCAUUUGUUCCACUUUCCUCUUUAUCUAAGAAGCUGUGUGGUCUGUGUUGAAGAUCAGUGAAGAUGCUCAUCUGUUCAGUGUUGCUGAAGAAUUCUAUACCCUUUUCUUAUGCUGCAAGAUUUUCAAGACCAGUUCUGAUGUGUGGUUGCAUUCUGCAGAUGUCAGAAAACAGGCGUAGAGGAGGAAGGCGUGCUCAGCAGGAGCAAGCCGCUCAGCAGGAAGAGGUACCCCAGCAACAGCAACUGCCGCCCCCGCCCCCGAUGUCCAUCGAGCAGAUGUUCCUGAUGCAGACCCAGGCAGUUCAAGCCAUCAGUCAGACUCUGGCCGCCAUUCAGCAGCAGCAACAACAGCAGGCCCCACCUCAACCCCAGAUGCCUCAGAUGCCUAGGGACAAGCGUGCUGAAUUCAUGAGAGGUCAUCCCCCAACGUUUGCUCAUUCUUCUGACCCCAUGGAUGCUGAAGACUGGCUGCACACUGUGGAACGGGAAUUGCAUACUGCUCAGUGCGAUGACAGGGAGAAAGUUUUGUAUGGUCCCUGUCUGUUGAGAGGAGUAGCUCAGUCAUGGUGGGAGUCUUAUCUCGCCACCCAUGCCAACCCCGACACCAUCACCUGGGAAGAGUUCAGAGGUAGCUUUUGUCAGUACCAUGUUCCUGCAGGUCUGAUGACAGUGAAGGAGGAAUUCCUGGCUCUCAAGCAAGGGUCAUCGUCUGUCAGUGAGUACCGGGACAGGUUUCUGCAGUUGUCUCGCUAUGCUCCUGAAGAUGUCAACACCGACGCCAAGAGACAGUACUGUUUCCUGAGAGGCUUGGUCGACCUCUACAGUAUCAGCUGAUGAAUCAUACCUUCCCGAGAUUCCAGCACCUGAUUGACAGAGCAAUCAUGACAGAGAGGAAGCGUAAGGAGAUGGAGGAUCGCAAGCGCAAGAUCAGUGGACCCCAGCCUGGAAGCAGCAAUCGUCCUCGUUUCUCAGGCAAUCAACCUCAGCAGUUCAGGCAGAACCAGCGUCCACCUCAGCAGCAGCAGCAGUUUCAAAGGCAGUAUCCUCAGCACCAGUAUCAGAAUCGUCAGAACAAUCAGUCAGGAGGAGGUCAGUUCCAGAGGCAGAAUCAGCAGGCACCUCAUCUUCCUGCCCCAGCAAACCAGCAGAACAGUCAGGUAGCACCAGCUCAGGUUGGAAACAGAGCAUGUUUCCACUGUGGAGAGCAAGGCCAUUGGGUGAUGCAAUGUCCGAAGAAGGCAGCCCAGCAGCAGUCAGGUCCUAAUGCCCCAGCAAAGCAGAAUGUGUCUCAGCCUGGAGCAAGCAACCUCUCUCAACCGCGCUAUAAUCAUGGGAGACUGAACCACUUGGAGGCUGAAGCAGUUCAGGAGACCCCCGGCAUGAUAGUAGGUAUGUUUCCAGUCGACUCCCAUCUUGCGGAAGUGUUAUUUGAUACUGGAGCAACGCAUUCUUUCAUUACUGCAUCAUGGGUAAAAGCACAUAAUCUUCCAAUAACUACCAUGUCAACCCCCAUUCAAAUUGACUCAGCCGGUGGUAGAAUUCGAGCUGAUAGCAUUUGUUUGAAUGUAAGUGUGGAAAUAAGGGCAAUAGCGUUUCCCGCUAACCUCAUAGUAAUGGGUACUCAGGGAAUAGAUGUCAUCCUAGGGAUGAAUUGGCUUGAUAAGUAUCAGGCAGUCAUCAGUUGUGAUAAGAGGACAAUCAAGUUGGUGUCCCCACUAGGAGAGGAAGUGGUGACCGAAUUAGUCCCGCCUGAGCCGAAGAAAGGAAGUUGUUAUCAGAUGGCUGUUGAUAGCAGUGAAGCAGACCCAAUUGAGAGUAUCAAGGUUGUGUCUGAGUUCCCAGACAUGUUUCCAAAGGACUUACCAGGUAUGCCACUAGAGCGGAAAGUUGAAUUUGCUAUAGAGCUACUCCCUGGCACUGCCCCCAUCUUUAAGAGAGCUUACAGAGUAUCUGGACUAGAGUUGGUUGAGCUUAAAAAGCAAAUUGAUGAGCUAUCAGAGAAAGGUUACAUUCGGCCAAGCACCUCGCCUUGGGCCGCCCCUGUCCUAUUUGUGGAAAAGAAAGAUGGCACCAAAAGGAUGUGUAUCGAUUAUCGAGCUCUGAAUGAGGUCACCAUCAAGAACAAGUACCCCUUGCCCAGAAUAGAAGACUUGUUCGACCAGUUGAGAGGAGCCAGUGUGUUCUCCAAGAUAGAUCUGAGGUCAGGUUAUCAUCAGCUCAGGAUUCGACCUUCAGACAUUCCGAAGACGACAUUCAUUACCAAGUAUGGGUUGUAUGAGUUCACUGUGAUGUCUUUCGGUCUAACAAAUGCACCGGCCUUCUUCAUGAACUUGAUGAACAGUGUAUUCAUGGAUUAUCUUGAUAAGUUUGUGGUGGUAUUUAUUGAUGACAUUCUGAUAUACUCUCAAAGUGAAGAAGAGCAUGCAGAUCAUUUGAGGAUGGUAUUGCAGAGAUUGCGAGAGCACCAGCUGUAUGCAAAGUUGAGCAAGUGCGAGUUCUGGAUCAGUGAAGUUCUGUUCUUGGGUCACAUAAUCAACAAAGAAGGAUUGGUCGUGGAUCCGAAGAAAGUGGCAGACAUUCUGAACUGGAAAGCACCAACAGAUGCCCGAGGAAUCAAGAGCUUCAUUGGAAUGGCCGGAUAUUAUCGGCGAUUAAUUGAAGGGUUUUCGAAGAUUGCGAAACCAACGACAGCGUUGCUAGGCAACAAGGUUGAGUUCAAGUGGACCCAAGAAUGUCAAGAGGCUUUUGAUGCGCUGAAAGAGAAGUUAACUACAACGCCUAUCUUAGUCUUGCCUGACGUGCACAAGCCCUUCUCGGUGUAUUGCGAUGCUUGUUACACAGGUUUGCGAUGUGUGUUGAUGCAAGAGGGAAGAGUUGUGGCUUACUCGUCCUGACAGCUGAAGGUUCAUGAGAAGAAUUACCCAAUCCAUGACCUGGAGUUGGCAGCAGUGAUUCACGCAUUGAAGACAUGGAGGCACUAUCUGUAUGGACAGAAAUGUGAGGUUUACACAAACCACAAGAGUCUGAAGUACAUAUUCACUCAGUCAGAGCUGAAUAUGAGGCAACGAAGAUGGUUAGAGCUGAUCAAAGACUAUGAGUUGGAGAUUCAUUACCAUCCAGGCAAAGCGAACGUGGUGGCAGAUGCUUUGAGCAGGAAGAGUCAGGUCAAUCUGAUGGUCGCUCGUCUGAUGCCUUAUGAGUUGGCCAAAGAGUUUGACAGGUUGAGUCUCGGAUUUCUGAAUAAUUCGUGAGGAGUAACAAUUGAGUUGGAACCUACCCUGGGGCGGGAAAUCAAAGAAGCGCAGAAGAAUGAUGAGAAGAUCAGUGAGAUCCGGCGACUGAUUCUAGACGGCAGAGGCAAAGAUUUUUGGGAAGACGCAGAAGGUGUGAUAUGGUUCAAAGACCGCUUGUGUGUUCCCAAUGUCCAAUCCAUUCGAGAGUUGAUCCUCAAGGAAGCUCAUGAGAUAGCCUAUUCGAUUCACCCUGGUAGUGAGAAGAUGUAUCAGGAUCUGAAGAAGAAAUUCUGGUGGUACGGAAUGAAGAGGGAAAUCGCAGAGCAUGUGGCGAUGUGUAAUAGUUGUCGGCGGAUCAAGGCAGAGCACCAAAGACCAGCUGGAUUGUUGUAACCGUUGCAAAUCCCUCAGUGGAAAUGGGAUGAAAUUGGCAUGGAUUUCAUAGUCGGAUUGCCUCGCACUCGAGCCGGCUACGAUUCCAUUUGGGUUGUGGUGGACCGCCUAACCAAGUCAGCCCACUUCAUACCAGUCAAGACCAACUACAGCAGUGCAGUAUUGGCAGAAUUGUACAUGUCUCGGAUCGUUUGUCUUCAUGGUGUGCCAAAGAAGAUAGUGUCAGACCGCGGAACGCAGUUCACCUCUCAUUUCUGGCAGCAGUUGCAUGAAGCCUUGGGCACACAUCUGAAUUUUAGUUCCGCCUAUCAUCCGCAGACAGAUGGUCAGACCGAAAAGACCAAUCAAAUUCUUGAAGACAUGUUGAGAGCCUGUGCGUUGCAAGAUCAGUCCGGAUGGGACAAGAGAUUGCCUUAUGCAGAGUUUUCCUAUAACAACAGUUACCAGGCCAGCUUGAAGAUGUCACCAUUUCAGGCGCUCUAUGGGAGAAGUUGUAGAACUCCGUUGCAAUGGGAUCAGCCUGGAGAAAAGCAAGUGUUUGGGCCAGACAUUUUGCUUGAAGCUGAAGAGAACAUCAAGAUGGUCCGAGAGAAUCUGAAGAUAGCACAAUCAAGGCAGCGAAGCUAUGCAGACACAAGAAGAAGAGAGCUGAGUUUUGAGGUUGGAGACUUUGUCUAUCUGAAAGUGUCACCGAUCAGAGGAGUCAGACGAUUCGGAGUCAAAGGCAAGCUAGCGCCCCGCUACAUCGGUCCGUAUCAAAUCCUCGCAAGGCGUGGAGAGGUGGCCUAUCAGCUCAGUUUGCCAGAAAAUUUGUCUGCUGUGCAUGAUGUUUUUCAUGUGUCUCGGUUGAAGAAGUGUCUGCGAGUGCCAGAGGAGCAGUUGCCAGUGGAAGGCCUUGAAGUCCAGGAGGACUUGACCUACACAGAGAAACCAGCGCAAAUCCUUGAGACUGCAGACAGAGUCACCCGAAGGAAGACUAUCAGAAUGUGCAAAGUCAGAUGGAGUCAUCACUCUGAGGAAGAAGCAACUUGGGAGCGCGAAGAUGAUCUGAUGGCUAAAUACCCUGAGCUCUUUGCUAGCCAACCCUGAAUCUCGAGGGCGAGAUUCUUUUAAGGGGGAUAGGUUUGUAACGCCCUGAAUUUGGGGGUAGAAUUUUUUUCUUCUUUUCUCUCACCAAAUUCGGGCGUUACUCUCUUUUCUCUUCCUGUUUCGCUCUUUCUUCCCAAUUUCAAACCAGUAUAGUGACAAGUGUCUGUGUCGUGUAUGAACAAAAACCUAAGUGUCAUGGGUGUUGCAUCAUGCCAAAGCACAUUUCUUUGUCUGAUAUUGCGUGUUCGUCUCGUUCUGUCUCGGUUUUCGGUUCACGAUCGGAGUCUGUUUGAUAGUCAUGCGUGUCGUGGGUUUUGAUCCGCGAAGUGGCGCGGCCCAACCCAGCCCAGCCCAGCCCGGCCCGGCCCGGCCCGCGCGCCCUCGGCGCCCCACACCCCCAUGCGCCCCCUCCUCCUCUCCCUCUGUCAUUUGGAUUUCCCGCGCAGCAACCUCCCUCUCCCUCUUCCACCUCUCUCUCCCCGUGGUGCCCUAGGUUUUGGAGACGGUGAUCGCCGGAGUUGGAUCCCGAGGUGAGCUCCCCUCCCCUCCCUUCUUCUCUCUCUCUCUCCCUCUCCCUCCUCUUCUCCCCCUGCGUGCGCCCUCUCUUCUUCCCCUGCGCGCGCGCCCCCGCCCUCCCGUGCUCGCGCGGCGGCGCGGCCCCUGCCCCCCUGCUCGCGCGGCGGCGCCCCCGCCCCCUCCCUGCUCGCGCGCCGCGCGGCCCCCACCCCUCCCCUGCCCGCGGCGGCGCGGCCCCGCCCCCUCCCUGCUCGCACGGCGCGCGGCCCCCGCCCCUCCCCUGCUCGCGCGACAUGGCCCCCGGCGCGGCGGCUCAGCCCCCAGCGCGGUCCCCUGCCCCGGCACGGUGGCUCGACCCCCGGCGCGGCGUCCCCGGCCCCUGCGCGCGACGUCCCGGCCCUCGGCGUGGCUCGCGUGGCCUCGGCGCGGCCUCGCGCUUCCCCCGUUUACCCCCUAACGCGUUCCCGCGUGCGCAACCCCACGCGCGCGGCGAAUAUUCUUGGUUUUUAGUUAAUUUCAAACUCCGUUAGUUAGCGUGCUGUGUUGCGCGCUUCGUCGCGCGACGAAUUUAUCUAAUUUCAGAUUCUAUUGAUGUGUUGCGUCGUGCGCUUCGUCGCACGACGAUCCUUUGUAAUUUCAGGUUGUUUAAUGUGUGACGUCGCGCGUCGAGCCACGCGACGUUCCACUUUAAACUCAGUUCUGUUGACGUAUGCCAUCGUGCGUUUCGCCGCGCGACGCUCAACGUCUCUUUGUAAUUAAUGCAAGUGUCUUGUCGUGCGCUCUCUCGCACGACGAGUCGUUGAUUUCUUAAUUCGAUUUAGAGUAUUAUGUCGCGCGUCUCGCCGCGCGACAAUCCUUUGAAUUUAUCUUCAUCUGCUUAUAAUGAUUAGACAUGAAACAUGACUUUACUUUAUGCUAAACGUAGUGUCUAAAUUAAUGACCUUCAAUUGAGCGAGUGGUUUAAUUUAUAAUAAUGUAACGUGAUCAUUUCUCGACUGUAUUUUCCUCUUUCUCUCUUAAGCGUAAUUGUGAGCCCGCGUGGAACGUCUGUUUAUUUGUUGCAUCCUAUUGUGUGGUGUACUGUUCUUUUGUAUUAAAUGUGUGGAUGUAUGUAUGUUUGCGCUCGAAUAGAGAACGAUCCGGUUGAGGAGCCCGAAGAACUCGCAGGAGAAGCCCCUGAGCAGCAGUCGGUUGGUGGAGGCAAGUGUCCCUUGACCUAUCUCUGUCCUAUACAUACUUUAAUUUACCUCCCGCAUUACAUAUUCAUACCUAAGGAUUGACUAGCUUUUGUUAUCCAUGUCCUUGUUACCUAUCUGGGUUGGAUUAUUAUUGCUUAAUCUUAUGCUAUUGCUCAACUCUAAUCAAUGAACAUGAUGAGAAUUAUCAAUGAUACGUUGUUUUCCCCUCUUUUAUUAUGAUGUCAUACUUGUGGUCUUCAAGGGGGCUCGAGCGGUUUCUCGAGUGCCUCUCCGUAAGGACCUGUUCGUUGGAUGACCACCCGGGAAAACAGUGCAACCAUGAUGGUGGAAUGGGGUGCCCUUAGCUGAAUAAUUAGAGGAGCUGGGGUGUAGUUUGCUUAGCCGUCGUGCCGUCAAUGGGGUUCGGUGUAUGCGGCUCGCUCUGCCAAGCUUGGGUUCGCCCCCCUUGGGGAGGAGUGCGAUGCAUUUAGGAAACCUAACGGGCGGCUACAGCCCCGGGGAAUCUUUGUAAAGGCUACGUAGUGAUGCCCUGCUGGACCACCUAGGCAGUGGUCAAUGGGGAGUAGCUCUCUCCAGGCAGAAAAUGAAUCACGGCUUGUGGGUAAAGUGCACAACCUCUGCAGAGUGUUUGAAAACUGAUAUAUCAGCCGUGCUCGCGGUUAUGAGCGGCCAAGGGAGCUCCAGUGAUUAGUGAUACUUGAUCAGAGAUGUUCGGUUUGCAGGUGGCAAUGAGAUUGAUGGUUCUUGGUUUUGACUCUGGUAAUGGUAAGUGGUACUCUUUCCGUUUGGAAAGGAGUACGUUUGGGUAAUAACGUGGGCUAAAUCUAAAACUUGGCUUUCUCUACUAGUAAUAAUAAUCUGACCAACUAAAAGCAACUGCUUGACUUAUCCCCACAUAAAGCUAGUCCACUACAGCCAAAUAGGAUACUUGAUGAGUAUGUUGAUGUGUACUCACCCUUGCUCUACACGCCAAACCCCCCAUCCCCAGGUUGUCAGCAUUGCAACCACUGCUCAGGAGAAGAUGAAGCCGUGGAAGGAGACCAUCAGGAGUUCCAAGAUUAUGAUGAGUUCUAGGCAUGGGUUAGCGGCAACCCCCAGUCGGCUGCCUGUGAAGGCCGCGUUUAUCUACGUUUCUUUUCCGCACUUUGAUUUAUUGUAAAGACUAUGUGGAUGUCUCAGACAUAUGAUGUAAUCGACUAUUUCCCUUUUUAAUACUAUUUGAGCACUGUGUGAUGAUGUCCAUGUUAUGUAACUGCUGUGUACGUGAAUUGCUGAUCCUGGCACGUACAUGGUUCACAUUCGGUUUGCCUUCUAAAACCGGGUGUGACAAUGACAAUCUCUUUUCAAUUCUUUGGAUUAAAGGCAGGAACUGCUGAAGUCUAGGCUUUGAAAGACCCAAAGGCAAUCCAAGGUAAGUGAACUGCAUUGCACCUAUCUGGCAAUUGAGAGUUCUUGACAGGAUCUCCAUCUUCUCAGGGUUAACAUUUAUCGGAUACAUACUUGAUUUGUUAUAGUUGACCCUAAGACCAGUUGAGGUUGCAAAGGAAUUGAGAAUUGCCUUAAGAAAGAAUAAUUGCUUCGGGCAGGCCUCCAUUAUCAAGAGAGUAUCAUCUGCAUAUUGAACAAUAGAAAAAUCUUGUUCAGAAUUAUCUGGCAGAGGAAGCUGAAGCAAAUUCAGAUGUCUAGCCUUAUUUAUAAUGCUUUGAAGAAGGUCAGCCGCCAAGACAAACAACAAUGGCGAAAGAGGAUCUCCUUGUCUAACUGCUCGCUUGCAGUGAAAGGAUUUCCCUGGGACUCCAUUGAGUAACACCGAAGAAGUGCCAGAAUGUAGAAUAUUUCGAACCCAGUUAAUCCACUUUGUACCAAAACCUUUAUGAAUCAUAACCUGCAGAAUCAGUUCAUGUUCUAAGGUAUCAAACGCCUUUUCGAAGUCCAGUUUUAGCACAAUGAUUUCUUUUUUUGAGGAAUGACAUAAGUGAAUGUAUUCAUAGGCCCAAGACAAGCAAUCUUGAAUUGUUCUUCCUUUUAUGAAACCAUAUUGGUUCCUGUGAACUAACCGUGUCAUCAUUGAUUGCAGCCGAUUUGCCAAAAGCUUCGUUAAAAUUUUCAUACUGUUGUUUAGUAACGAAAUUGGCCUAUAAUCUCCCACUUUUUGCGGAUUGUCCUUCUUCGGGAUCAAAACAAUGAACGAUCCAUUAAUACUUCUUAGGCAAACCUCUUUGUGAUAAAACUUUUCACAUAGAUCAUAAAAGUCUUGAGCAACGAUGUGCCAACAUUUUUUAAUGAAGUUGGUGUUGAAUCCAUCAGGACUAGGGGAUUUGUUAGAAGGUAGGGAUUUGAUAAUGUUGUCAAUCUCCUGCUUAGUGAAUGGAGAGUCUAACCAUUGUAGAUCGUCAUUUCUGAUUAAAAGCUCUGAUAGAUCAAAAUGAAUACCUAAGAAAUCAGAAGAUCCCAGUCUACUCUUGAAAGCAUCCCAAAGAAGAUUUGAUUUGUGAUCAUGCUCCGAGUGAAUUAUCCCAUUCUCAUCAGUCAAUGAAGAAAUUGUAUUUCUUCUGUGCUUUAUCGUGGCAUGUGCAUGAAAAAUGGGAGCAAAUAUCUCCUUCAGUGAUCCAUUUGAUAGACGCCCAUUGCUUCCAAUAAAUUUUCUGAAUAUUUAGCAAUUCAGCCACUUUUUGCUGCAUAAUAUCUCUGAAGUUCCAUUCCUCAAUAGAAAGAUCACGAUGUUCUUCAAUAUUGUCUAUAAACUCUAUUAGCAGCUUGGUAUCGCUCACCGUUUUAUCAAUUUUUGGUAAUGAUUUUUGCCAAUCCUUUAGAACCUUCCGUGCAAUCUUAAACUUGGCUGUUAAGUUUUUUGCUUUAUCAGGCAGACAUGGAAGGCCAAGCCACGUGCUUUGAAAGAUAUUCAUGAAUCCUUCAAAUUCUAGCAAAAAAUUUUCAAACCUAAAAAUCUUAGGUUUAGGAAUCUUGGACUUAAAAGAAACCAGACAAGGCACAUGGUCAGAGAUGUCACACGGCAUCGUUUUUGCACAUGUAUCCGGAUAAACGAUAGACCAUUCUUGCGAGAUGAAAAACCAAUCUAAUCUAUGAAGAAGGGGUUCCCGCUGCCUAUUCGACCAGGUGUACGAUAAACCGUGAAGGGGAAUUUCAACCAAAUCUAGAUUACUUAUUGCUUCAUUGAACUUCAACAUUAAAUUAAUAUCGCCCCCAGCUUUAUUCCUAUUUCUGGCCACCGGAUUAAAUUGAAAUCACCAACAAGAAGCCAAAGCUUAUAUGAUGGCAUAGAAAUGUUAUAAAGCCAGUUGAGGAAAUCUAUUUUCCCUUGAGGAGUACAUGGUGCAUAAAUGUUCGUAAUAAUCCAAGAGCACUGUUGGGGGCCUUCGGCUUCCGAAGGUCCUCAAAAACAAGAUUUAACAGUGUUUCUGGAGUAUAAUGUGUGAACAGGUAUCUUCGGACUCGAGUCGAUAUCACAAGUAGAAGAAGCCCAAAUAAUACGAAGGUUGAUACAGCGCCGAAGAUGUGAGCAGGAAAGCUUCGGCGUGGUAGCAGAAAAGGAAACCGACUUAAAGAUGAAAGGGCUAUUCAGACCUCGGUGGAUUACUAUAGAAUUACUACGAAAUGUAAAGGGCAUGGAUGUAAUUUUAUAUGGGCUGCGUCCCGUGCCUAUAAAUAGGUGAACAGUACCCCCGUACUGCUGAUGCUGACUUGGCAUUUUGCUUUUGCGUCACGCUUGUACUUUCGCCUUCUUUCAAGCCGAAGGUACAUUUGUAAUAUGAUGUUAUUUCUACUUUUCUAUAAUAAUAAUACAGAAAUGAGUUGAUAAUAAUGCAUAAUGUUUUAUGCUAUCUUUUGUGUCUCAUAUGAUUCCUUCUUCAUUAUUAUAUGUUGAAUUUGUGAAGGUAUGUCCUUCAUAACCUUCAUCCGAAAAUCAUUAUGUCCUAAGGGAAAUAAUGCUUCGAAGGACGAAGGGCUUUAACGUUUAACAUUUCUUGUGUUGCCUUGUUCUUAAUUCAUAGCAUUUGAGAACAAGUCCCCAACAUUGGCGCCCACCUCCGGUGAACUCACUUCCACUCUUUGAGUUUUGAACACCUUCGGCGAUCAUAAACCUUCGCUAUGGCGCCGAAGAAAGCUUCAGCAACUGGGGCUGCAGCUCUACAACCGCUAGACCCCAAUCAGGAAACUCUCUCCCUUCGGGAGGCCCGAAGCCAGAAGAGGAAGGCUGUCAGCCCGACACCGCCAGAGGAUGAGCUAGACCAAGAAAUCAGAGACAUGGAGAUGCUUCAUCAACAGGUGCAGAGGAAGAAGGAAAAGAUGGCCAGGCUAGCUGAACUGCAAAGGCAGAUAGACGAAGCCUCUGAAGAAGUUCGUCAUCUUACUCAGGAUGAGCACAACCGAAGGCCUCAGAAUAAAGACCUUCAUCAGGAGGGUUUCCUCAACGAAGAUGACUGGUAUGAGAAUUUUCACCAUGGAAAUUUUGCUUUUGAUGAUGCUUCUCCUCUGUCCGCUGAGCUGCAGGCUACACCUUGGCCUCCGUCCUACAAGCCGCCUCAGCUUCCUAUAUUCGACGGCCAUUCAGACCCGAAGCAGUUUCUGAUGAGCUACGAAGCAACAAUAUCUUCGUAUGGUGGCAAUACUGCAGUCAUGGCAAAAUCUUUUGUUAUGGCUGUCAGGAGUGUUGCUCAAACCUGGUAUUCCUCCCUUUGGCCAGGAACGAUCACUUCAUGGCAAAAGCUGAAGGACAUGUUGUUAACCAGCUUCCAAGGGUUUCAGACGAAGCCGGUCACUGCUCAAGCUCUAUUCCAGUGCACCCAGGAUCACGAAGAAUACCUUCAGGCGUAUGUCCGGAGGUUCUUGCGUUUGAGGGCACAGGCACCAACAGUGCCCAAUGAAAUUGUCAUUGAGGCCAUGAUCAAGGGACUUCGGCCAGGACCUUCAGCUCAGUACUUUGCUAGGAAGCCUCCUCAAACUUUGGAGAAGCUGCUCCAGAAGAUGGACGAGUAUAUUCGUGCCGACAAUGAUUUUCGUCAAAGAAGGGAGGAGGCUUUCAGGUUUUCUGAAAUGACCAGGGGCUUCGGAGGAAGAUUUUAUCCGAGGCAUGUUAGGUCAAUUCACAACUCUACUCAAAAUGAUGAUAAGGGAAGUCAGCAGCAAAGGCCACAGUGCUCCUCAUAGGCUUCGGGGCAACAGCAAAGCUCCUUCCGGCCGCCAGCUCCAAGAGGCAGAGGCACCAGGGGCUUCGGCGGAAGGUUUGGAGAUCAACCAAGGAGAAUAUUUUGCUUGUUCUGUGGUGAAAACAAGGGCCAUACCACCAGGAUGUGCCAUGUUACCAUCCAAAAGCAAAAGGAGAUAGCCGAAGCUGCAACACAACAGGCUCAUCCGAUGCAAAUCAUGCACACUGCUUCGUAUCAUUCGCCUUACAUCCCAGAAUAUGUAGGCAACCACCCUGCAGUUUCUGUUGCUUCGGCGAGUCAACCUCAAGCUUCCUGGCAACAGCCUCCGCCUCCACCACCGCUGCAACAAGGCCAGCAGCCAGAAGGGGGCCAAUAUGCUCAACACCAAAGGGACUUAAGAGAACAGUCCGAAGCUCACACAGUCAAUAGCACUGUGCCAGAGUCGAAGCACAUCUAUUGACAAAUAUCCUACCUUGAUAGUAGUCUUUUCCAUUCAGUUUUAUUUUCUGUGUAAUAAAGGACAUUUUUUAAAUUUCAUGUAAUAGUUUCGUUGUUUGCCACAAGGAAUAUAUUUUCUCCACAGGCUUAAGUUGUUGAAGCUUAAAGAUUUGCGAUAACAAGGAGGACCUUCGAAUUAUCAAAAAUUCUUCGAAGCAACAAAAAGUCGUUCUAAGGAACACAGAGUAAGUUUGCUGAAGUUACAAAAAGCCGUUCCAAAGGGAGCGCAGUGUAAGUUUUCUGCUCCAAAGUCGUUCCAAAGGGAAUGCAAAGCUUACAGCGAAAAAUAAACGCUGAUACCGCCUAAGUAAAAGGCGAAGCGCGAAAAGUCAACGCGAAUACCGCUAAAAGUAGAAGGCGAAGAAGCUCCUAAGGGAGGCUUACAGCAAAAAAUAAACGCUGAUUCCGCUGAAGUAAAAGGCGAAGAAGCUCCUAAGGGAGGCUUACAGCGAAAAGUCAACGCUGAUUUAAAAAGAUUAUGUGUUUUAUUACAGGGAUGUGCGUGUAUCUUCGGAACAAAUACCAUCUUACAUAGCAUAACAUCAUCACAUCAUUUCGCAUGGCAUAAGCAUCAUACAUCAUGCUGCAUAUGGCACAAGAAGGGGACACAAUAUCGAUCUUUAGAAGAAUGUUUUGAAAAAGGGGAAAAUCAUGCUAAGUCACAAGGAGAUACACUAUUGAUCUUCGGAAGUGUAGCUUCGGAAAAUAUCUUCACGAAGCUUGGAUAUUCAUCAUCAGAACACUACGGAUAUUGUUGUGAUAAAUGAAAAUUCUUCUUCACGAAGCAUGAAAAGAAGGGAAGGUGUUUUUUCGUCAAAGACUAAAAAACAGUACGUAUGUAAAAUUUCAUGCAUCGUAAAGAAUUGAACCAUAAAAACAAGUAUAUUAUAUUCAGGGUUACAAGAUGUUACACAUAUUACAUUUCAGAAGUUUUUACAAUAGCACUUAAUCUUCUCUAAGUACAACUUCCGCAGCUUCGUUCAGGAGCCGAUUAACAACUUCAUCCAUGAUAGCUUCAGCCAUCUUUUUAAUUUCGUCGUCUCCUUUCGGGUGAGGGCCCGGAGACGCUUUAGUAGGAUCUGAAAGAGGACAGGAUACGGCUACAUUGCUAUUACAAAUUGCGAACAAAGUUUAAAACCAAAAAUUACAACACAAUAAAAACCAUUAGUUAAUACCUAUUUGCCCUUCGGGCUCUGCGCUUUUCUCAGUAGCCUCUGCUACUUUUCUAGCAUCAUGGAUGCCCUUUUCGCUUUUUUGGAUAAUUUCUCGGGCCAUUUCUCGACCACCAUUAUCCCAGACAUCGGUGAAAAAUUUUCCACCAACCAUGCUAGCUUCGGCUGAAGGAUCUUUUGCAUCUUCGAAGGACAAGGUAGCUUCGGAUUGCGCUAAAAUCUUUACAUGCUCGCAGCCCUUUUUCUCCAAAAUGGUGGCAAUCCCCCUGGCACCCGAGAAAGCACAUAUGUCUCUGCGGCUAUUUAAAAUUUCCUCAAAGGCCUCAGCUUCGUGAUUAAUCCGUUCGAUGGGACCUUCGGGGUUGCCUCUUGUAAAGUUUUCUUCGCUCUAGAAUGCGCCGACGCUGGCGAAUCUAGCUUUCAUCUUCUUAACACACCCCAUAGAUUUAUCAUAGCAUCUUUUCUUGGACGAACGAAGCUCUUCAACAGUUCCUUCUAAAUGAUUUGCCCAUUGGUCGCUAAGUUCUCGCUUCGUUUCUUCAAGUAUGCGUUCCUCUUUAGCUCUGGCCAGUUGUUUUCGAAGAUCUUCAAUUUCACGCUUCUGAGCCUCAGCUUGACCUUUAAAAGUAGCUUCGUCUUCUUUUAUUCUAUUUAUCAAUGAAUGUAAUAUUUUAUCUUUUUCGAGACCUUCGUUCCUUAGUUCAAUUACUUCGGAACGAAGGUUGCUCAGGACUAUAACGCACCCUUCGUCUUCGGCAUCUUUUUGGGCCCCGAGGGCAUUGCUAAGUAUAAGGCCCUGCAAAGAAAAAUGUGUGUGCGUCAAUAAAUUUAAGCAAACGAAAAAUUUUGGUCUCAAGAAAAAAUACAAAGAUCUCAUUUAUUGCACCUUUAAGCUAUUGUACGCCAGGCUGUCGGCCAGUUCGUUUUUCGACAGCACCGAGAGCCCGUCUUCUAGUGUUGGGAAUCCGAAGCUCUUGCUCAUCUCCCAACAGACAGAAAUCUCCUUGCUAUCAGGGAGACAAUACAAGAAGUCUUCUUCUCCGCUGCCGUUGAAUAUUAACGCCCCCUUUGGAUACUUCAGUUUUUGGGCGUAAAGCUGGGCCUCUUGCUUUUCUUUUUCUGAUAAUUUUUUCCCCGAAGCAUGUCGAACAAUAUAAUCAAGGACUUUGGGGAAUGCUUCGGGGGCAACAGCACUGAUUUCUUCAACAAGAAUUCGCUCUGUCAUUUUUUCUUCCUCAGUUUCCAAGGAUUUUACCUUCGUGGGCUCUGAGGGCCCAGCUUCAGCCUCAGUUUCUUGCUUAGGAGCAUUAGUAUCAAAAAUUUCAGUUUUCGCUUCGGAAGUUUCAACAGUCUUCUUCGGAGUUGUGCUUGAAGACUUAAUUGUCUCCAGAACAUCUAGCACAUUGACCAUUCUUUUUCUUUUCGGAGUCACCGCUGGACCCUUUUGGUUUUUUAUUGUCUCAACAUUUGCUGAAGGACUUAAAACUUCUGAUAUUUUUGAUCCCUCAGUUGAUCCUUUUGCUUCUUCCAUUUUUUCUGUCGAUGGCGCUUCGGCCAUCUCUUUGGUUUCUGGUAACAAAAUCUUUGGUUCUUCCAAUUCUGUUCUUGUUGGCGCUUCGGCCAUUUCUGCGACUUCUGGCAGCAAGGUUGGCUCUUCAGCCUCGGUGACCGAAGAGGUCUCUCCGGUGAACUCAGGCACCGAGGCUAGUUCAAUAUAGCGUGGCCGAUGUGUGAGGACCUUUAUCCUUUUUCUUUUCGGUGCUGGCUCACUAGGAGCAGCUGCAGCUUCUUCUUUCGCAGAAGUCGUGCCUUUUCUUUUCUGCCCUCGAAUGGGAUAACGAUAGUCAGGGUAGACGAACCCGAUUGCGUCAAACACUCGGUUCAGUCUUUUCUUUUUCCGGCCUCCGAAGGCUGCUGACAAUGCAGUAUCUUCGGCCUUCGAAUAAGCCCCAAGUAGUUCAUCACUUACAUUUUCAACGCUUUUUAGCCAGUCAUCAUCUGGCUCAACGAAUUUAUCUCCGAACUUGAAAGUAUACUUCAGCCUGAUAAGACCACCUUCGUCAGCCUCCUUUAUGGUCUCUUGCGGCAUUUCCCAUUUUUCCACGAGCGGCCAUACUCUGAAGGCAAUAUGCUCUUGGACCAAAUCUCUCGUUCCAAUAAAAGAACAAAUAACUCCGAAGGCUCUCUGGCAUUCUUCGGCAGCUUCAUUCAUUUCAACCUUCGGCCUCCGCAGGCCGAAGCUUUGCCAAAUAGGGCGCAUAAUUAUACCUUUAAUAUCUUCCUGUGUUUUCAGGUCAUUCUUCACAUAAAACCAUUCUGUCAUCCAGUCGCCGGGCCAUCUCUUCCGAAAGGUUGGCACGGGACAGCUUGACCCAGACCGAGAAACGAAAUUGUAGCAGCCAAAAUUAUUGUGAUACUGUUCCUUACCCCAGGGUUUUGUUUCGUAUGAUAAUUCGUGUAUGUUGCAGAAACUUUUCGCAUCAGGUUCCAGACCUUGGCUUCUCACGGCCCACACGAAGAUAUUCAGCCUUAUGAUUGCUUCGGGGGUAAGUUGGUGAAGAUAGACUUCAAAUAUUUUCAGCACCUCUACGACAAAGUUGCUGAGGGGAAAUCGAAGUCCAGCUUUCAAAAAGCUUCGGUACACUACGACUUCAUUUUCUUCAGGGUUCGGACAAGUCUUUUCUCCUUCGUCAGCCCUCACAACGGACAAGUCCCGGAAAUAUCUUCCCCUCAUGUUGACAAGAUGAUUUUCUUUGAUACUUGAUUUGCCGAAAACCGCAUGGCUUGGUCGCCAAGGGCGAUCUUCGGAGUCUUCACCACCACUAUCCACAUCAUAACUGUCGCUGUCAUCAGUAUCUUCAGACAAACCUUCUAAAAUCCCUUUGGUGAUUUUUUCUGUAUUGGUCUUCGACAUUGCUAUAAGAAACCCUAGGUUUUUCUCUUCAGAGAGACUCAGCUUCAUCUCGGCAGCAGCCUUCUUAUCUGAAGACAUCUUCGGAAACCCUAAAAAACUGUUUUCAACGCCGAAGCUUAAAAACUUAAAAAGCUAAGCAAGUCUUGGUGCGCAAGAGCUAAAAAUUGAGUGAGCAAGAGCAGAUGGCAAGAGAGCGUACCAAAUGAGCUCGCGGUAUGCUCUUAUUUAUAUGCCCAGUGCGUUGAAAAUUGAAAACCCCGCUUGUCAGUGAAUGUUGCUAUUCUAGCAAAGGGAAGGUGUUUUUUCGGACCUUCGGCUUAAGGCCUUCGUCCAUGUCGCAAUCUAAAUUUAUUAUUCUAACAAAUUAAUAUUGCGAGGGGCUACUGUUGGGGGCCUUCGGCUUCCGAAGGUCCUCAAAAACAAGAUUUAACAGUGUUUCUGGAGUAUAAUGUGUGAACAGGUAUCUUCGGACUCGAGUCGAUAUCACAAGUAGGAGAAGCCCAAAUAAUACGAAGGUUGAUACAGCGCCGAAGAUGUGAGCAGGAAAGCUUCGGCGUGGUAGCAGAAAAGGAAACCGACUUAAAGAUGAAAGGGCUAUUCAGACCUCGGUGGAUUACUAUAGAAUUACUACCAAAUGUAAAGGGCAUGGAUGUAAUUUUAUAUGGGCUGCGUCCCGUGCCUAUAAAUAGGUGAACAGUACCCCCGUACUACUGAUGCUGACUUGGCAUUUUGCUUUUGCGUCACGCUUGUACUUUCGCCUUCUUUCAAACCGAAGGUACAUUUGUAAUAUGAUGUUAUUUCUACUUUUCUAUAAUAAUAAUACAGAAAUGAGUUGAUAAUAAUACAUAAUGUUUUAUGCUAUCUUUUGUGUCUCAUAUGAUUCCUUCUUCAUUAUUAUAUGUUGAAUUUGUGAAGGUAUGUCCUUCAUAACCUUCGUCCGAAAAUCAUUAUGUCCUAAGGGAAAUAAUGCUUCGAAGGACGAAGGGCUUUAACGUUUAACAUUUCUUGUGUUGCCUUGUUCUUAAUUCAUAGCAUUUGAGAACAAGUCCCCAACAAGCACGCCGAUAAUUUGGAUAUGAAUUCCACUGAUUGAGCAUAAUCAUUUUGAAAAAUGACAUUUCCUGUCAAUUUUGAACUUUUCCAAAUGAUAACUGAGCCCCCCGAGUUCCCCAUCGAAGGAACAUAGGCAAAAGAAUCAAAAUGAUUAGGACAGAAGUUUUUUAGAUAGACUAUAUCAAUAAGUUCCUUUUUAGUUUCUUGUAAGCAAAUAACAUCACAGCCAGAUUCCUGAAUUGCACAACGAAUGCCAUUCCAUUUAACACUGGAAUUAAUUCCUCUAACGUUGUGACUCAGAACAGACCACUCUGAAUAAUUAGCAGCAUUAAAAUUAUUCAUUAAGUAAAAUUGAAGGUUUUUUGCCAGAGAGAGACCCAAAUCCAAGCACCGAGUGGGUAAAUAAGUGCCAAUCAACAAGUAAAAGAGUAUCAUAGGCAGAAAACAUGCACACCCAGGUGCCAGCCAAGGAACAUAAAGUUCUGAGAUUAACCAACCCAAAAACCCAGAACUUCAAAAGACAAAAGCCAGACUCCAACCAGCACUUCUUCAACCUAUUGUUUGUCUUCUUUAGUGGUAUCAUCAUUCUUCUCAUUUUUCUUGUCCUUUUUGCUCGUCUUCUUUGGACCGAUAGAUCCUGAUGAAAAUUUCUUCUUCUUCAAAUUGUUGUCAGAUAAGUCUUCAUCUGACAUGUUACAGAAUUUGGUCCCCAGGUUCCGGAUGACCUUGGAAAAUAGAGAUGGGGGACCAUCAAAGUUAUGAUGGCACAUCAGACAGUUCCUUUUUGGGAAAGAACCCUGUCUGAACCCAGCUCUGGAGUCUUUCAGGCGCUUACUCCUUCUGAGCUCUGAUUCCACAAUGAUUGGGGUACGGACAUCAAAGUUGUUCUUUUCCUGCUCAGAGUUUGUUGACUGGGUAUUCUCCGAACAAACAUCAUCUAGGAAUUUAUCUUUCGGGCAUCCCUUAGGAAUGGCAAAAGAUAAGGACUCAAGUUCUGGCUCCAGCAACAAUGAAGGUAUUUCUGAUGACAAGAAGGACUUGGACCAGUUAAAAGCUUCCGGUUGAAGCAAAUUUGAUAGGAAGAAGGGUGCCCAUUUUUUGGGAAUCUUCACUGAAAUGUCUGGGAUUCCUGCUGGAGCAAAAUAAUUGGCCCAAAUCCUGUAAAGCUAAGCAGACCUUUUCCUCUCCAAGUGCAUCUGAAACACUGGAUCUGGUUGCCACUCCAGAGUGAACAUGAAGUUCAUUUCCAUAUUGUGAAAGAAAUGAUUAUUAUUUUGUCCCCCAUCUUGGGCCUCUGGUGGCUGGUCAUCAUUAACAGCAAGAGGGUCCAUCUGAAUAACUGGGCCAUCAGCUUCUUGUGGCCCAUUAAUAGGAGCAUCAUUUAGAGCAGGCCCAUUCCCUGGCAUCAUAGGCCCAACCUCUAAAAUGUGGCCAUUCUGAAGGGGUGCAUCCUGAAUGGGUCCUAUGGAGCUAUCCGACGACAAUCUAGAGUGUUGAUUGCUAAGUUGCUGCUCAUCCGGUUGAAUGGGCUGCGGGACCUGCUGUUCAGGGUGAAUAUUUUCUAUCCAUUGAUCCCACUCCCCCUAGACAUUGUCCUCUUGAAGGGCCGACAUUUCUCCUCCCAAAGGAACCAGCGGGAAGUUGAGGUCGAGGCCAACUGGUGGCAUAGGUUGACCCAAACCAAAAAAACGAGAGGAAGCUGUUGACCAUCUUCCAGAGCAAGCGGAAUUGGGUCCGCAUUUUGAGCUUGCCCACCAAGCAUGUUUUGUUGGAUGAUUUCACACUAGACUGUCCAGGAAUCCCCAAUGAAACCAUCUGCUUCCGAAAAACAAUGAACGGAGGGACUUCUUCAAGGGAAGUGACACGGACAUGAAGCAAUGUCCUGGUGACAUUAUGGUGAUCCUCCUCCCAAAGAAUCAACCUGCCAAACGAACCAAUAGCUUCUUGCAGGUACUCUGAAGAACGGUAGUCCAGAGGAAAACCCAAUAACAUGAGCCAACAUUCACGAUUGAAAAAAAGAGCCCGAUGAUUCCAAGCGUCAUUAUGAUGAAGAGCAGUGAAAGUAGCAUCCAGGUACUAUUAAGGACCAAGCAAAACAAGGUUAUCACGCUCCAAAACACUAUGAAACUGCACCAGCACCUGACCCAAGUGAGAACGCUGAAUAUCUCUCACCCCUAUCCUUCGAUGCUCCACUAAAUAUUCCCUAAUCACAUCUCUGACCGCAGGAAAUAAGACCUCAUGCUCAGGUAAAGGAUGGAUAUUAAUAAUCACCCAAUCCUCAUGCAUUGGCGGAAGUCUCCGCGAGACUGACCUGGUCAUGAUUUCACGAUGCUGGACCGCCAUGGCGCUGAAGCCUGGCGGGAGGAAAGGCUCAGGGUCGACACACCGGUACGCCAUUGCAAUAGUUUCCGAAGAUCGCCAGCGAACAAGAGGCAAAAGAGCGGUUUGGGGUUUUGGUGAAGUGACACCCAGCGAGAGCUCAAGGACGCGAUAGGUGUCUGUUCGGAUUUUUUAAAUAAAACCACCCUGGCGAACUCUUCAAAGCAACCAAACUUAGGGGAGACCCAUCUGUCAGGGACCCUAGGAGAGGGCGGAACCAAGAACUGUAGUCUAGGAAAUUUAACGUCCCUUCCAAAAUGCAACCGCACUCAAAGGAAGGGAACGAAGAGAGAGGAAAUCCGAAAUCUGUUUUAUUUAAAUUACAAAAUAAUUCCAAAUGUCCCUUGACUUUACAAAAGUGGCAUUGAAAAGCUGAAGGGUCCCAACCAAACGAACCAGUCAUCACAGAGAUGUUUGAGGCCGCAGGCCCAGGCCCAGACGUGAAAGGCCAUUCCGCAAAAUGGGCCGCCAUUGAAGCUUACGAGCUCUAGGUAAAUUUGAAUUUGAAUUUGAAAUGUGGCAAGCAUCGCGCCCGCGACGACCGCGGCUAAUCAUGCCUCCAUUAUGAUUAGAGUAACUCACCAUGGAGAACAUCCAGCGAGAAGGAAUACUCAUGGGAAUUGCCAAGUUCUUCGCUUUGAAUGAAUUCCGAGAGCCCAGAAAUCUUGAAGGAGAACCUAAUCGCUUGAAGACAGAAAGCCUUGUCUCAUCAAAAUUCCCAGCAGAGUGAGAAAGCAUCUUACUACGAUGAAUCAGGAUAGCAUUUGCACCAGAUAACAGAGGAAGCUUAACAAUAUUGGCAAAAGAAAUUUUCUUCUUGCCCUUAACAAUCCACCAAUUGGCAUUUUCUUCCUGAAUGAAUUUCCUGUAUUCAUAAGUCCAAUUUGGUCCACCAUGAUUCCAAAGAUUGAAGAAAGCCCUAAAUUCCGAGCGAUCAAUGCAUUUAGAAUUGUAGAUAUGAAAACCAACGGCCUUGGAGGAUACCGAGAAGCGAAAAACCCGAUCAGAGAGCUGGGAUACAUUGAAACCCUUUGCAAAACCUCCCAGAGCGGCUUGAAGAAGAUAACCCACUGCAAUCGAGUCAAGCUUGAAGAAGCAGCGACCAAAAGAGAUGACCAACCAAAAUGUCAAAGGAAUAUCCGGAUGCCCAGGACACACUGGAGAAGCUAAGUGGCGCCUAAUAUCAUCCUCGAAGAGUAAUCCCGACCGAAAAUCCAAUUUUGCCAGAUCCAUCUAGAAAAAACGAAGAAGACCAAGUAGGAGAAGAGAGGGGGAACAGAAAAGCACUUCAAAGCAGACCAAUCCCGAGAGCUAAUUGAAGAUGAAGAGAGUGCGGAGAACAAUUGAGAUCCACCCGCCAUACUCAUCCGCUGAUGAAGAAGGAGCUGGCAGCCAAAUCUUCCCAGAGGAGGAGGGAUGGGGAGGAGGGAAUCGCCAUCAUCUUGUAUCACAGCUCGGAUUGGCUCCACGGAUUGGCUCCACUUCUUAAUUUAUGUUGCUUUGUUUUUUAUAUGAAAAAUGUAGCCAACAUAGCAUAAAUAUAUGUAUUUCAUUGACGAGUAAAGUAAAUGUGACGGUUCUUCCAAAUCACGCACUUUUGAUUUUUACAAUACCAACUGUUACUGAAAAUUUGGUACGAUUCACCGUCAAGCACUUGGACCACCAGGCUAAGACGUCGAAGGAAAAAUAGCAGCCUCAAUCUCAAGAAUCAAGAAGCGAUAGCGUGGAUGCUUCCACCACGGCCGCCGGCGCCUUCUGAAGCGUCCCGAUCCUUUGGGACUCAAAUGUGAUACAAUUUCUAGUCCCAGGAGGCUAGUAAUCACAUUCAUUACUUCAAAUAGUUACAGAGUCUGAAUAAUGUUAUUACAAUACCGGGGGAUACAAGCUCGGAAGUGAGCCGAGAAACAUAAGGCGCAGUGGAAGAUAAAAUAGCCCAAGCCACAGGCAGAACUGGGUGAAGACACAGCCCCAUCAAUCAAGCAUAGCAGAAAAGAAGUCUUCAGCUGCUAAAAAACAUAAAUAAAUCUGGGUGAAUACACUAGGUAUUCCGCAAGCCCACCCGGCUCCCGUAAAGAGAAAGUGACCUAUAUGGUACAUGCUUUAUAUGGUGGAGUUGAAGUCACUCAUACUUUUUCAGAGAAGGGCAGUAUUCGUUAUUUAUGGUUUUCCCAAGACAAUAGAAGUAACACUUGCUUGACCACCACUGAGCUUCCUGCUCCCGUGGUACCACUUUCUUUUCAGAACAUACACACACAUUUCCCUGUUCCCGGUUGUAGUAGAAAAACUAAUUGUCAUACCAUACCAGACUCGUCCAUACCAGUGGACACGGCCUAUUCGAAUAGGUUUAGACUCUGCGCAGAGGGGUACACUUUACCCACUAGUCCGGCUCUGCGAUCUCAUGGCCAAUGAGACCCGAAUCCGAAACUCUUUCCUUCCUUGUACGUCCGAACCUUAACGGUUAUACCGGAAGGAGUCAGGCCACCGCCAUGUCCAAACCGGACAAAACAUUCCCCCUCCUUAUCCUCCCGGUGCUACCCCAGCCUUCAUAACCCUGGGGUUGGACCGUACGAGUUUAGAUCGAGUGGUUGCCCACACAGCCUCAAGUGGUUGUACUUUUUGAGAGCACAGGUAAUGAAAGAUGACAAACCGGUCCUUAUACGAGAGGACGAUCCUUCUGCUCACGCCUAAACCAGCUGAGCCAGCACCUUAGGCCCUCCCCUAAACCAGGGAGUCCCUGAUCAUCCUACUCACCAGGUGAUGAGGGUGAGUACCCUUCAUCGCACACAUUGGGAAAACAUUCCACUUGUACCCUUUUCACUUGCCCCAUAUCUUUUAAUCAAAGUAAUAGUUAAUGCGGGCCCUCUCGUGCUCACCAUGCAAUUCGAUUCCCAUCCCAUAAUCCAGGCUUAGGCAGUGGUAGAGACAAAUAGGUAAAUAAUGCAUCAAGGGAAGGAUGGACUUGCCUUCGUCGAAGCUUUCCUGGCACAAGAGGUUAAUCUCGGAGGGGUCGGGUUCUUGCCCUUCUUCCGGAUCUAAGAGUUCCGGAGGAUCGGAUCCCUCUUCCGCUAAUUAAACACAGAUAAAAAACAAUACAUCAAACAUAGUGACCUUUGUGGGGUGUGCAAAUUUUUAUACUUUAUUAUUUUUGUGCCCUAAUAAUUUAUUUAGACAAUUUUUGGCGCAUAAAAUAUUAGCAUCUAAAUAUAUAUGUGAAAAUGAGAAAAAGAAAUAGGAAAAAGAAAAGAGAAGGAAUUCUCCAGCUGACUGGGCCAGGGGAGGGGAUUUCGGCCCACUCAGCGCGGGCGCACUUGCGGCCCAGCUGUGAGGGAGUGACGGCGGGGAACGGCGCCGUAGCGCGGGCCCACCAGCCAGAGAGAGGGGGGCUAACGGCGUUGACGGCAACGGAGGGGGGGGGGGGGGAAAGGGGCUCGACCGGGGCCGGUCGACGGCGAGCUCCACGGCGGUUCUCCGCCGCCGGUCCGGUUUUGCGAUGGGGAAACGGUGGCGGAGCAUGAGUGGUAGAUGGGGAUCACAGGGGCGGGGCGAAUUUCGCCUGCGGGGGCCUAUGGCGGCCGGUCCGCGGCACAGUGGCGGGUGCCCGCGGCGGCGAAGCCGCCGGUGAAUUUUCUGGCCAUAAUUGAGUGGGGGAAGUGGCGUGUCGUGAACGUGGGAGUGUGGCGGAGCUCUUGGCACGACUUAAUUGAACGGAAGAUCGCCAGAGAGGGAGAGGGGAGCUCACCGGAGCGGUGAAGGGAGCACGGCGGCGCUUGCUUGAAUGGCUCGGGGAGGAGGGCAGUGGGGGUGGCUGGAGUUGUGUGGCGAAGACGGGGCUCGGGCGGGUCCUUUUAUAGGCGCUCGGGGAAGGGAGGGGGAUGGGGGAGACGGCGAGCACCGGCGAGCUCGCCAUGAUGGUGGAAAUGGCGCUAACGCCGAUUGGGACGGCUCGGGCAGGCUGAGGGGGUGAGAGGUCGGCUCAAGCACAGUGGCGGGGUUGUCGCGGAGGCUGGCGAGCAUUAAUGGCGAGGCGACGAGGCGAGGGGGCACUCGGCGGCGGACGCGCCGGUGAGGGUUGGGCGAGGGAGAUGGAGCUGACGAGUGGGCCCUGGCUGCCAGCGAGAGGAGUCUGCGCGAGAGGGAGGGGGUGAGGCGCUGACGGGCGGGGCCCGAGUGUUAGUGGAGGGGAGCGGCGCGCGGAUUGGGCCGCCUGGGCCGGGAAGAGAGGGGGGGGAUGCGGGCGCGCGCGAGCUGGGCUGGAAAUCGGCCCAGUCGAGGGAGGGGAGAGGGUUUUCCUUUUUCUUUUCUUAUUCUAAUUCUUUUCUUUUCCCUUUUCUACUUUUGUGUCUUUUUGUUUCUUUUUCCCUUGCAACAAAAAUUCUCUAAAUGAACUUGGGUGAUAAAUAUGGUCUAUGUGAGGUGCUUCAAAUUAUUUUAAGUGUAUGCAUAUGAUUAGGUGACCUAGGGGUAGAGUUAAGGGAGAAGGAUCAAAUGAGGGGGGGAAUUAGGGGGGUUAGGGUUUCAAACCUCGGGUUGGGAUUUUUGGGAUGUUACAAACCUACCCCACUUAAAGGAAUCUCGCCCUCGAGAUUUAGACGGGAUUUGGGAAAAGAUAAGGGUAUUCCUUCCUCAAGAAGUCCUCACUCUCCCAGGUAGCUUCCUCUUCUCCUUCUCUGCUCCACUGAACUUUACAGAGCUUUACUUCUGAGGUGCGGGUCUUUCUGACUGCUGAAUCAAGAAUCUUCACUCGUUUUUCACGGUACUGAAGGUCUUUCUGAAUCUGUACUGUCUUUUCUUCGAGGUGACUUUCUGGUGCUUGCAGGCAUUUGCGGAGCUGGGAUACGUGAAACACAUUGUGGUCGUCGGACAUGGAUUCUGGUAACUCCAGACGGUAUGCUGCGGGUCCUACCCUGCCAAUGAUGGGAUAGGGACCUACAAAACGUGGGGCUAGCUUCCCUUUGACUUGGAACCUCCUGACACCACGCAUUGGAGAAACCUUGAGGUAGACGAGGUCUCCCUCCUAAAAUCGGAGUUCCCUCCGCCUGUUGUCUACAUAACUCUUCUGUCAACUCUGAGCUUCGAGAAACCUUCUGCGGAUCAGUGCAACUUUCUCUUCUGCCUCUUUGACAAAGGCAGGUCCUUCUAGUGCUUUUUCCCCCACGUUGGACCACAUGAGAGGGGUCUGGCAUUUCCGUCCAUACAGUGCUUCGAAUGGCGACAUCUUGAUGCUGGCCUGAUAGCUAUUGUUGUAUGAGAACUCUGCGUAGGGUAGACUGGAUUCCCAACUUCUAUCAAAAGCUAACACACAUGCUCUUAACAGGUCUUCAAGGACUUUGUUGACUCUUUCUGUCUGCCCAUCUGUCUGAGGGUGAUAAGCGGUACUGAAAUCUAGCUUGGUGCCCAUAGCUUUCUGAAGGCUUGUCCAAAAUUUGGAUGUGAACUGGGUUCCCCUGUCUGACACUAUCUUCCUUGGGAUGCCAUGGAGUCUGACUAUCUCCUUGAGAUAAAUCCGGGCAAGGGUGGCUCCUCCAAAGGUAGUUUUCACUGGGAUGAAAUGGGCUACCUUGGUGAGGCGAUCUAUUAUUACCCAGAUGGAGUCAUUCCCUUUUUGCGUCCGGGGCAGUCCGGUUACGAAGUCCAUGCCUAUUUCUUCCCACUUCCAUUCAGGUAUCGGAAGGGGUUGUAAUAGGCCUGCAGGUUUUUGGUGUUCGGCCUUCGUCCUUUGGCAGAUGUCACAUCGGGCCACAUACUGAGCUAUUUCUUUCUUCAUCCCUUUCCACCAGUAUCUGGUUUUGAGGUCCAGAUACAUCUUGGUAGUUCCUGGGUGGAUGGAGUAGGCCGAGUCGUGAGCUUCCUUGAGUAGGACUUCUCGGGCCUCCCCCUUUGGUACACACAGACGAUGUUUGAACCAAAGGACUCCUUGGUCAUUUGUCCUGAGGUCCGGGAGUUGUUCCUUGCGGGCUUUCUCCACAAGCCUUGCUGUCUCUGAGUCUAGACGUUGAGCUUUGCAGAUGAGGUCUUCUAGCAUUGGUUUGACUUCAAGACUGUCGUUGUUUCCCAGACAUGCAUUUAGUUGUGCUGAUUCUUUCUUCCAGUCUUCUAGAAAGUUGGUUCCUUUUAUUCCGAAUGGUUUUCGACUGAGGGCGUCGGCUACCACGUUGGCCUUCCCGGGGUGAUAGUGAAUUUCUAGGUCAUAAUCCUUGAUCAACUCUAACCAUCUUCGCUAUCGGAGGUUGAGAUCUGGUUGAGUGAAUAUAUACCUCAGACUCUUGUGAUCGGUGAAAAUGUGGCAUCUGUUUCCGAUUAGGUAAUGCCUCCAUAUCUUCAAGGCAUGCACUAUGGCUGCUAAUUCCAAAUCAUGGGUGGGGUAAUUCUGUUCGUGCGGCUUGAGUAGGUGUGAUGCGUAAGCAAUGACUUUCUCGUUUUGCAUUAGCACACACCCUAAGCCUUGCCUCGAGGCAUCACAGAAGACGACAAAAUCUUGAUGAAUAUCUGGCAGUGAUAGAACGGGUGCUGUUGUAAGUUUCUCCUUUAUGAUUUGGAAACUUCCUUCACAUUUUGGGGUCCACACAAAUUUAUGGUCUUUCUUGAGAAGUUCUGUCAUUGGUCUUGCUAUGCUGGAGAAUCCUUUGAUGAAGCGGCGGUAAUACCCUGCCAUUCCUAGGAAGCUUCGAACUUCACUGACGUUGGUUGGUUGCCUCCAUUUUGAUACUGCUUCCACCUUGGAAGGGUCCACUUCUAUCCCUUCUGCGGUUAAGAUAUGCCCAAUGAAGGCUAUCUUUUCCAACCAGAAUUCACAUUUACUGAGUUUCACAUAAAGUUGGUGUGCUCUGAGUUUUCCAAGGACGAUCCAAAGGUGACGCUUGUGGUCUUCGCGGUUCUUGGAGUAGAUAAGUAUGUCGUCGAUGAAGACUAUGACAAACUUAUCUAGCUCUUCCAUAAACACUUUAUUCAUGAGGUUCAUGAAAAAGGCGGGUGCGUUUGUCAGUCCGAACGGCAUCACUGUGAACUCAUAUUGCCCGUAUCGGGUGACAAAUGCAGUCUUUUGGAUGUCUGCUUCCUUGAUCCUCAAUUGGUGGUAACCGGACCUUAGGUCUAUCUUGGAGAAAUACUUGGCUCCUUGAAGCUGAUCGAAGAGGUCGUCAAUCCGAGGGAGUGGAUACUUGUUCUUGAUGGUAACUUCAUUUAACGAGCGGUAAUCAAUACACAUUCUCAUGCUUCCAUCCUUCUUAGAGACAAACAAGACUGGUGCUCCCCAAGGCGAUGAGCUGGGACGAAUGUACCCCUUUUGCUGAAGAUCUACGAUUUGAAGCUUCAGUUCUGCUAACUCGGUUGGAGCCAUGCGGUAUGGUCUCUUUGCGAUAGGUGUCGUUCCAGGGAUCAGAUCUAUGUAGAACUCCACUUCUCUUUCUGGUGGCAUUCCUGGUAAUUCUUCUGGAAAUACGUCCAUGAAUUCUUCUACUACUGAUAUACUUUCUGUUGCCAGAUUGAACAUCAUUGGGUCACUGGCGGGUGGCUGUGCCUGACAAGAGACUGACUUUCCCUGCCGGUUGGUGAGGAGGACUGUCUUGUCUGCGCAACUGAUGAUGCCUUUGUGUUUAGUUAGCCAAUCCAUCCCUAGGAUCCCAUCAAUUCCUUUGGAUGGCAAGACGGUUAAGUCUGCCAGGAAUACUACCCCACUUAAAAGGAUUCUGACUUGGGAGCAUUUUAGCUGGCAUAGAAGGUCGGACCUUGUUGGGACUAUGCUUCGUCGCCGAAGGUCUGGUAGGAAGAAACAGCUUCGGCUGAAGCUGUCCGCAUGUGAUGACCGAAGGUCCUCUUCAUGAAGCUUCGGAAUUUACAAACCGACAUAAAAGUAGAAUGACCUUUUAGUCCAUAAAUGUUUGAGUCGCUGUUGUAAUCCCUUAUGAGGGGCAUAAUUGUAAUUCCUCACAGGCUGCGCCCUGUGCCUAUAAAUAGGUGAACAGUACCCCUGUACUGUUCACGCAAUCUUGUAAUUACUGGCACAUUACGCUGGGAUUAUUGCUUUCUGCCAAGACGAAGGUAUAAAUGUAUUUAAAUAUUAUGUUUUAAUAUCUAGGUUCAUAUAAUAAAAUAUGUGAACAAUGCUAUUUAUUUUCGGUAUGUCUUUCCAUAAUGUUUCAUGUGUUAUAUUUUACUUCAUAUUGUUUUUCAAGUCUGAUCACGAAGGUAUAACCUUCGUGAUAUUUUGCUUAUGGCCUUCGUCUGAAGCUCAUUAAAUCCUUGGGGAGAUAAUGCUUCAGCGGACGAACGGCAUUAAUAUUUAACAUUUUAUGUUGCUUUGUUCUUAAUUCAUAGCAUUUGAGAACAAGUCCCCAACAUUAGCGCCCACCUCCGGUCAACUCACUUCCACUUUUUGAGCUGAUGGCUUCGAUUAACGAUCAAGUUGGAGCUGCUUCGGCCCCGAAGCUGGUGCUCCCGAUAACAGGUGGUUCGUGCUCAGAACCAGCCAACAAAAAGCAGAAGAAAGAGGCGCAGAGAAGGGUACAACAUGUUGGAGUGCAGGGACCCUUCAUCAAGUCAAGAUGGUCCCACAUUCCAAUCACCUUCUCCCAAGAGGACCUUCAGCUCAAGGAUUUUCCUCAUAACGAUGCUAUGGUUAUUUCUUGUGUUAUCAAAGGGUUUCUGGUCCACAAUGUCUUGGUUGAUACAGGCAGUGCAGCUGAUAUUAUAUUUGCUAAGGCCUUCAGACAAAUGCAAGAGCUAGAAGAUAAGAUUCAUGAUGCUACACACCCUCUCUGUGGCUUCGGAGGAAGACAGAUUGUAGCACUGGGCAAGAUCACCAUGCCAGUGACCUUCGGAUUCAUCAACAACACCAGAACUGAGCAAGUUGUGUUUGACAUUGUUGACAUGGAAUACCCUUACAAUGCAAUUAUUGGUCGUGGCACCCUCAAUGCUUUCGAAGCAAUCCUUCAUCCUGCUUACCUUUGCAUGAAGAUACCUUCGGAUCAAGGACCCAUUGCUAUUCAUGGAAGUCAGGAAGCUGCCAGAAGGGCCGAGGGAAACUAGACUAACUCAAAAGCAAUCCAUAAUAUAGAUGAAGCUGAAACUUGUGAACAGUACAAAUUCAGAAGGGAGAAAGCAGCUUCGGCAGAUCAGCCGAAGCCCAUGCUCUUAUGUGAGGACAUAGCAGAGCAGAAGGUGCUGUUGGGCUCUCAAUUAUCCGAAGAACAGGAGAAAACCUUGAUAAGGUUUUUGUUCAACAACAAAGAUGUUUUUGCAUGGUCAGCCAAUGAUCUUUGCGGAGUUAACAGGGAUGUUAUUGAACACUCGCUCAAUGUUGACCCAUCCUUUAGACCCAGAAAGCAGAGGCUUCGGAAAAUGUCUGAAGACAAGGCCGAAGGAGCUCGCAACGAAGUCAAAAGACUCCUCAGUGCAAGAGUUAUCAGAGAAGUAAAGUACCCAGAAUGGCUAGCUAACACUGUUAUGGUAAAAAAGGCCAAUGGAAAAUGGCGAAUGUGUAUCGACUUUACGGAUCUCAACAAGGCCUGUCCGAAGGACGAAUUCCCAUUGCCAAGGAUAGAUUCCUUAGUUGAUGCAGCAGCUUCGUUAGAGCUUAUGAGUCUUCUAGAUUGUUAUUCAGGCUAUCAUCAAAUUUGGAUGAAGAAGGAGGAUGAGCCGAAGACCAGUUUCAUAACCCCCAGUGGAACAUAUUGUUACCUUCGGAUGCCCGAGGGGCUCAAGAACGCUGGAGGAAGUUUCAGCCGAAUGACUGUGAAGGUUCUUCAGUCUCAGAUAGGCAGAAAUGUGCUAACUUAUGUUGAUGAUAUCAUUGUAAAAAGCACGAAACAAGAAAAUCACAUUGCUGAUUUGCAAGAGACAUUCGCUAGUUUUAGACAAGCUGGUCUAAAGCUGAAUCCAGAAAAAUGUGUCUUCGGAGUAAAGAAGGGGAAAUUUCUUGGAUGCUUGGUUUCAACAAAGGGAAUUGAAGCUAAUCCAAGUAAAAUUGAAGCUAUACUUCGAAUGGAGCCACCAAAUACAAAAAGGGGGCCCAAAGACUGACAGGGAGGCUGGCAUCUCUCAAUAGAUUCAUAUCCAGAUCAGCAGAGAGAAAUUUACCAUUUUUCGAAGUGCUGAAAUCAGCCGAAGUCUUUCAAUGGGGACCAAGCCAACAAAAAGCCUUCGAGGAACUGAAGCAAUAUUUGAUAGAUUUAACAACAUUAACUCCACCAACACUAGGGGCUCCUUUGUUAUUAUAUGUGGCAGCUUCGCACUCAGCGGUAAGUGCAGCACUUGUCCAGGAGAAGCUUGAUGGCCAAGUCAAGAGGCAGGUCCCAGUAUAUUUUGUAUCUGAGGUUCUUAGUUUAUCGAAGAAAAACUAUACAGAAUUGGAAAAGGUGUUAUAUGCUGUUUUGAUGGCAUCCAGGAAGCUUCGGCAUUACUUUCAAGCAUACAAUAUUGUUGUUCCUUCUUCGCAACCGUUGAAUGAUAUUAUGAGAAAUAGAGAAGCUACUGGACGGAUUGGAAAAUGGGUUGCAGAGCUCAAUGAAUUUUGCAUUGAUUAUGUGCAUAGAUCUUCGAUCCAGUCUCAAGCGUUGGCAGAUUUCAUUGCUGACUGGACGCCAGGGGCUCAGGAUGAAGAAACAAAUAAAAAUGCCGAAGUAUGGACAGUGUUUUGCGAUGGGUCUUGGGGAACCUUCGGAGCAGGAGCAACCGUUGUGUUGGUCUCACCAUCCAAAGUUAAAACUUGUUAUGCGGCACGACUCGAUUUUAGUUGUACAAACAAUAUUACUGAGUACGAAGCCCUGCUUUUGGGCCUUCGGAAGUUAAAAGCAAUGGGAAUCAGAAGGGCCAUUCUUAAAACUGAUUCCCAGGUUGUUUCGGGUCAUAUCGACAAGAGUUGUAAGGCUAAAGAUCCGAAGCUUGAAAAAAUAUCUAGACACGGUCCGAAGGAUUGAAUCUUCCUUCGAAGGAUUCUCUGUCAAAAAUAUCCCUCGAGGACAAAAUGAGCAUGCUGAUUUGCUAGCUAAGUCAGCAGCACAGGGGCUGCCCUUACCUUCGGAUGUGUUCUUCGAAACAAUAAAAGCACCUUCAGUGGAACUUCUUGAAAGAGCAGUCCUCAAUAUAUCUCCUGUUUAUAGUGAAGAUUGGAGAACUGAGAUCAUUUCUUACCUUCAGGGUAACUUCCUUUCAGAUGACGAAACUUAUAACAGGAGGAUAGAGGCAAGAGCUCGUCCAUAUGUCAUGAUAGAAGGGGAGUUGUACAAGCAUGGAGUCUGUGCUCCACUACUCAAGUGUUUAUCUAGAGCCGAAGGCAUAGAAUUGAUGAAAGAAAUACAUGCAAGCCUGUGUGGAUCUCACAUUGGAUCUAGGCCGUUACUUGGAAAAGUUUUUCGUCAAGGGUUUUAUUGGCCGAAGGCAGCUUCGGAUGCAACGGAAUUAGUUCAAAAGUGCGAAGGUUGUCAGAAAUGUGCAAGAGAUCAAAAACAACCUUCGUCUUUAACUCAGCUGAUACAACCCAUCUGGCCAUUGCAAAGGUGGGGCCUUGACUUGUUAGGUCCGUUACCACCGGCCCAAGGAAACUUAAGAUAUGUUGUAGUGGCUGUGGAAUAUUUUUCUAAAUGGAUUGAGGCAAAACCUUUAGCCACAAUAACUUCGGCCACCAUUCAAAAGUUUUUCUGGCAGAAUAUUGUUUGUCGUUUCGGAGUACCAAAGGCCAUCACUGUAGAUAAUGGAACGCAGUUUGACUCCGAAGCUUUCAGAGAAUUCUGUGAUCAAAUUGGCACGAAGAUCCAUUUUGCAUCAGUCAGGCAUCCAGAGUCAAAUGGACUUGUUGAAAGAGCCAAUGGCAUCAUAAUGACAGGAAUAAUGAAGUUAAUCUUCAAUCAACCCAGGGGAAAGUGGCCAGAUCAAUUAAUCAAAGUGGUAUGGAGCCACAACACAACAACAUCAAGGUCAACAGGCUUUACUCCAUUCAAAUUAUUGUUUGGUGACGAAGCAAUAACUCCAGAGGAAGCUAAAACUGGAUCAAUAAGAAUAGUAGCUUCAGCAGCAUCAGAUUCUGAAGCUGAUCAUUCUGUGGAAAAAGAUGCUAUAGAAGGGAUCAGGAUUCAAGCUGUGGAGAACAUCAAUAAAUAUCAAGCCGAAACAAUCAAAUGGCGUGAUAGAAAGGUUCGGCUAAAGAAUAUUGAGCCAGGACAUUUGGUGCUUCGGAGGGUGGCUAACCCAGAUACAGUGGGCAAGUUGCAGCUGAAAUGGGAGGGACCUUUUUUGGUAGUAUCUUCGUCAAGACCCGGUUCAUACAGGACGGCAACGACAUUCCUAGAUCUUGGAAUGCGGAUGAGCUUCGGCGAUAUUAUGUAUAACUCGAUGUAAUUUUUUAUAUUUUUUAUUUUUCUUUCAUGGCACCCUUUUCCUUUCUGAAGGGGGAGAAAAGUUUUUAAUGGGGCCAUCACAUGUAAUUUCCUUUUUUAGUUCUAUAAGAGCAAAAUCUCCCAAAGAUGUAAAUGUAAAAACUGAGAACGCACCAUCGAGUGCCGAAAAGAAACAGAGAAGAAGCUCGAAAGUCGUCCCUAAGGGGAUGCGGAGCACGACGAAGCUACUAAAGAAGUCACUCCAAAGGGAGCGCAGUGUAAGUUUUCUGCUCCAAAGUCGUUCCAAAGGGAAUGCAGAGCUUACAGCGAAAAGUCAACGCUGAUACCGACGAAAGUAAAAGGCGAAGAAGCUCCUAAGGGAGGCUUACAGCGAAAAGUCAACGCUGAUUCCGCUGAAGUAAAAGGCGAAGAAGCUCCUAAGGGAGGCUUACAGCGAAAAGUCAGCGCUGAUAUGUGAUUGUUUUUAAGGAAAUAACGGUUGUGAUUAUGGCUUCGGAUAUGUGUUUGGACAUUCAUUUGCACACCACAUUACAUCAUAACAUUUGCAUUCAUAAACAUUCAUCCAGGCAUAUGUAGGAUAACCAUCGUCAUAGCAUAAGUGGUUGCUUCGGCAAAAAGGAAAAAACUGUCCUUCAUACUUCGUUGUGUACGAAAAGAAGAGCUUCGGCAAAAAGAAAAAGCUGUUUUUUAUGCUUCGCUGUGUACGAAAAGAAGGGAAGGUGUUUUUUCGCCUUUCAUCUCAAAAAGAUAAUUUCGUCCACAUCAAAGCACCACAUACAUUAAUGGAAGGGUAAGAGCAUAUUACAAGGUAUGAGAAAAAUUCAUUAAGAACCGUUUAGCCAUAUUUACAAAAGUUAUUUCAAAAGUUUCUUGAGUUUUUCUACAGUCUACUUCUACUGAUCUUCAUGGGGCCUCAGCUUUGGCAUCGUACUCUAAGCAUCGGUCUUGGCUUCGUCAUCCUACAUGAAUUAAGUUGCUGAGAGUCAAAACCAAGUUUGAAGGAAAAGGUAAGCACAAGGUAUGAUUUCUUACUGGUUCAAGAUGACUCCGAGCUUCGUCUCCAGCCUUUUCUCGCCCGCCUUUUGUCCAUAUCAUCUUUACAAAUCUAUUAGAAAUACUUCGGGCGAGGUCAGGAAUAUCAUCUAAAAUUGAUGGUGAUAGAGUGAAAUUGGGCCUAUUCACAAUUUUUCCAUGGUCGCAGCCAGCUUUCAGAAAAGCUGCAGCAGUGCCCCGAGAAGCUACCCAGGCACAGAAGUCACCGUGCCCGGCUAUAACUUCGUCAAGCUCAUCAAUUUCACCCUCAAUAUGUUCGAAGGUUUUUGGUAAAUCUUCAGUUGACGGGGUGAACUUCCCACUGCUAGCCCCGACUGAGUGGAAGAUUUUUCUCAGUCGUUGAAUACAUUUAUUGCUAAACUCCAAACAUUUGUCUUGAAGGCUUGCCAAUAAUUUUUUCAAAUCUGAAUUUUGUUGGACUUCGGCUUCAAGUUUCGCAUUAAGUUCUUGUUUUUCUUGUUCAAACUGUUCAGAUUGGUAGAGAAGCUUCGUAUUCAAUUCUGUUAUUUUAGCUUCGGCUUCUGCCAAUAAGCCUUCAGUUGCCUGAAGCUCGAAGUUCUUCUUUUCAAUAGUAGCUGAUUGCUCUUUUAUUUUGCUCUCCAAAUUUUCAAUUAUAACCUCGUGUUUUUUGUUUUCCAGAUCUUGCUCCAUUUUCAAAGCUUUACUCAACAGCAUACUCUGCACAUAAACAACCUUCGUUAGAAAUGUCUUCGUUAUUAAAAACAAUAAAAGUCAAGGGAAAAGUAGUUCACCUUGAAAUUGGAAUAAAAUAAACUACCAACGAUAUGUUGUCGUCGGUAGCGGCUAAUAUCCGUUUCUAGCUUCGGAAAACCGAUACUCUUUGAUAGAGUACCGAUAAUCUUAGCUCCAGUUUGAUCCCGGAUACAGUCUAAUUUUUCAUCGUCAAUACCCCCGAAGAGGAGUGCUCCUGGUUUAUAUCCGCAAGAUUUGGCAUAUUCUUUAAGCUCUUCUAUUUCGGUUUUUGACAGUUCUUGUCCAACUAAAUUUUGAAACAUGAAGGCUUCGUCCUCUGAAGUUUCGUCAGAGAUUUCCUUUUCUUUCCCAGACACUGCGGCCAUGGUCUCCUCGGCGGCAGUCGUAACUUCUUCUAUCAGUAUUUUGUCGAUAUGUUCGAUUGUUGUUUCCAAGUUCAAAUCUUCGGUUGAGGUAGCUUCGGUAGCCGCGAUCUCCGAAGGUGCGACUUCAAUAUUUGUUAUUUCCUCAGCAGCUAGUAUCUUCCGGGUUGAGGCUCUCGGUGGUGUCUUGUUAAUGACUUCUGUCACUGCGAUGAUUCUUUGUCUCUUUGUUUUAGUUGUUUCCUUCGUUUUUUCGGGCUCCUUUUCCUUCUGAAAAAACUUCGUCAGUUGAGGCCCUAAUGGACUUAGCUUCACAGGCAGAGAUUCAGUCAUUACCUUCAAAAUUUCUUCCACGUCAGUGGCAGAGCGUGAUGCGGGAGUCUCUUCUUCGUCGGAUACUUUUCGCUUCGGAGAUGAUACUUUUCUCUUCUUCGGAAUUUUCUUCUCUUUUGGUGGUUCUUUCUCAUCUUCAUUUAAAGCUUCGGCUACCCUUUUCCUUUUCCGGCCUUCGACACCUUUAUUCAGUUGUUCGUAGUCAGGGUAUUCGAAACCCAAGGCGUCCAGCACUCGAUUCAGUCUUCGCUUCGGACGGGUACCGAAGGCCGCAGUCAUCAACUGAUCUUCUUUUUUGGAGUAAUUACCGAGUAUUUCAUUGCACAUUAUUUCAAUUGUGUCCAGCCACUCUUGGCAAGGUGUCUUAAAGUAUUUCUUAAACUUGUAAUAGUAAGGUAACUGCACAAGUUCCCCUUCUUUCUUCUCCCCCUCUAGCUUCGGCAUUUCCCAUUCUUUUAAAGUAGGAAAAACCCUGAAGGCCAAGAACUCUUGAACCAGGUCUCUUGUGCCGAUAUGCUCUGAAAUAAUUUUAAAUUCAGCCAGUGCAGCCCAAGUGGGACCUUCUAAUGACAUUUGGCAUCGCGGUCUUGUUUCUCCGAAGAUCAAUUCAAGAGGGCUUUGUACUAGCUUCUCUUUGUCUUCAUCAACCUUCACAUAAAACCAUUCCGACUUCCAACCUGCCGGCCAUUUGCUUCGGUAGCUGAUUACAGGAAACUUUGUGGUUUUCCGAUAAGCAAAAUUAUAGCAACCAAAGUUAUCGUGCAAUCCAUCUUUUCUAGCUUUCGUCUGGUAGUGCAGCUCAUGAACUCGACAAAAGCUGUCGGCAAACGGCUCCACCGCUUGGCUUCGGAGGGCCCAGAUAUAAACACUAAGCCUAACGAUAGCGUUAGGAGUCAGCUGAUGAAAGUAGAUCCCAAACUUCUUCAAUACAUCUCCAAUAAUCCCAUGUAGGGGGAAUCUCAACCCAGCCUUUAGAAAGCUCUUGAAAAUGACUAUCUCAUCCUUCUCCGGCUUCGGGGUAGUUUCUUCCCCCCCCGAAGCGAAGUAGCUUCUUCUGAUUCUCACUGAAAUAACCCGACUUCACCAUCUUGGAGAGAUCAGCCUUAGAGACAGUCGACUUUCCGAAGUCCAAAUGGCUGGGCUUACUUGGCAUGGCAAUAUGAUAAUCAUCUUCGGAAUCAGUUUCCUCAAUGUCUCCUUCUUCCGCUUCGGCAGUUGCCUGUUCUGUUUCAGCAGUGGGGAUUUCUUCCGUGAUUACCAGUCCGUAUCGUUGCAUCGCUUCGGAGAUGGGAACAGUCUCCGAUCCUUCAGCUUCGCCUCCCUCACGCUCAACUCUAGCGGUAGAGCGCACUCUAGCCAUUUAAUUCUGAUUUUUUGGAAACUAAAUACUUUUCUUCCGAAGCUUUUUUCUUCUGACGAAGUAGGCUUCGAGCUGGAGCUUCGUUUGAUUUCGAGAGUCAAGCUUCGGCUAUAGUUAAAAAUUUUGGCAGCAAAACUGUGCAAAUAGCAAUGAAUGCUGUGGUAACUUCACACCUACCCGUCUGUUUAUAUAGUAAUGCAGGUAAGAAGGUGAAUCACCAGGAUUUCUGCACCAGGCGAACAGCUGCUUGCACCCGCUGUGUGGUGGACCGCAGAAGCCAAAUAGUAACUCUGCAAGGUGGGACCGCUACGCGCUCGGAAACUGAAUCGUUUCUCGACAACGAGCUCAGGGAAGGUGUUUUUUGGACCUUCGGCUUCCCGAAGCCUAAGAUACUUUUUUCACGGAUCAAGCUCGUUACGAAAAACGAUCUAGCACCGCGAAGGGGCUACUAUUGGGACUAUGCUUCGUCGUCGAAGGUCUGGUAGGAAGAAACAUCUUCGGCUGAAGCUGUCCGCAUGUGAUGACCGAAGGUUCCUCUUCAUGAAGCUUCGGAAUUUACAAACCGACUGUGACGGAACCUCCCAAGUAAUUAGGCCCACCUACAGUUGUCCUUGUCCAACGGACUUCAGACAACCCUGUAGGUGCCCCUGAACUACUUGACAAGCUCGGUAUCUUUCCUUACCUCACCAGGAACGCUUUACCCGUCUUGCAGACAUUACAGAACAUCGGAGAUAAAGAAAUGCGGAAGCGAAUUACAUAAACUUACAUUUAUUUCAAAAGCAAGCUUGAGUUAUUUUAUUACAGACCAGACUAAAAGUGAGUGCAGAGUAGUAACAUUAUACAAACCAGGGGAGGCACGAACUCCUCCCGAUAAGUCAUAAGUAAAAGAUCCUAAGUGGAGGACCGAGUUCUCCCGCACUUCAGUCAUGUCUUUCUUCUUUUGGAACCACCUUGGCACAGAAGCAGCAAAAGUCUGCUACUUCCUCACCUAAAAACAACGAAGGGAUAAACCCUGAGUAUGGAAUACUCAGCAAGUCUUACCCGACUAAAGAAAAGACUCUCAAGGGUAUGCUGGUUAUAUGGGAGUCAAGGUAAGGCUUUUCAAUAUUCAAAGACUCUGUUUUGCAGAAAUGCUUACUAAAGUGGAUCCUUAAAAAUCCAAUUUUAUUUGUCAAGUUAGGUAAAAUUACCUGGACUAGAGUUCUUUCUACCCUAGUUCAAUCACUGGUCCUGUACUAGCCAAUUUCUCAACAAAAACCCUUUAUCUUUAGUGGAAUGCUACGUGUAAGUCAGUGGCCAAGUCUCCAUAACCGCGGAGGUACGGCGAUCCGAAUCGAUUAUACUCAGCUGAGGAUCUCCAAUCACACGACAUAUGUAGCACUUAACCCUUGCAUAUGUCAACCCGCCACCGGGGUUCUUAAGACCGGAUCAGGUUCACGCAAACCGAGAGCACAGCUACACCACCGUCCAGCCUCUUGCCACGGAGGGUACACGCUACUCUCGCCACCGCUCCACGCCCAUUUCGUGUUAUCUUAUUCCGGCCUUAGUCUACCCGAGGCAAGGCUUACCCAUGACGAGGCAUGUGACCAGUUAAAGGGUCCUCGGUCAGCAGGCCUACAUCGACAAGGUCCUUAAUCGACUCAGACGGAGACACUACACCGAGACUCUCUUCUCGUGCAAGUCACCCGCCCGGUCUCAGCUUAAUCAUUUAACCCAAAACUUGGUACCUGGCAGAGGUACAUCUUUUCCGAUGUUGAACCCAUCAGGGCCCUGAUGGAUCCACCAUCAAAUUUUAUUUUCGAAAACAGCCCACCCUCUUUUGCCACAACAUCUUUUGUAAAAAAAAACUUUUGUUUUUCUAAAGCAAAGCUAAGCAUCAAAAAGCUUUUGUAAAACAGGUGAUCAAGGAAGGUAAUCAGAUUCAAGGAAGGUAAUGCAGGAAGGGUUUUAUCAAGCAACUCCUAUCACCUAAUGCAUUAAUCAAGUGAGAAAGAUUUUAAAAUAGCAAGGAAGGUGGCAAAUGCACCGGGGCUUGCCUUCGUUUACAGGUGAUUCCGGUUCGGAUCCACAGAUAUCGAAGUAGAAACUAUUCCCGGCCUGGGAUUCCGAAGGUGGUGGUGUCCUGUCUUCGGGGACUUCUACCUCUUCUUCACGUUCUAAUCAUAACCAAACAUAAGUAUAAGAAUGGAUGCCAUGGGAUGCUCAUGAGGAUGCAAAGAUAGCAUAAACUUAUUAUUUAUGUCUUGAAUACAACUUUCCUUCACAGAGUUCCGGGAACUUAGGGUUUCCGGAGUCGGUAAAGGAGUUCAUAGGGCAGGGGGGUGUUUUGGGGUUUGGUGAUCAAACAAGGUCCAAAUCAAUUCAAACUCUACCCAAGGCUUCUAAAUAGUGUAUAACACUCAUAUAAAAAUUUUGGGCAUUUUAGGACUUACCAAUUAUUUUCUAAAAAUCUAUAACCAAGACUUUUAACUACUUUAAAUACCUUAAAAUUUCUUAUUUCCACUAAAAAUCACAAAACUAUUUUUAUUAAAUACUAGGGAAAAUAACAAGCCUAGGAAAAUUAGUUUCACAAUUUUAGCAUUUUUCUACAUUUUUCUACAUAUUUCUCAAGUUUUCCUGAAAAAGAAAAGGAAAAGGGUUAAACAGAACUGGGCCGGAUUCAGCCCAGCGGCCCAGGUCCAGGGAGGAAAGGCGCCCACGCGCCCCGCGCCCUGGCGGUUUUGCAGAACGACCCCCGCGUUUUUAACUAAAUGAAAAUGAGUUUCUUCACUGUUCCGGUGUGUCGCUGACAAAUUACAGAAACGCCCUCAGGUUUCUAAUCCUUCACAGAGGGAGGUCCACGACGAGGAACAGCCCUCGCCGCACCCCAGCGAGCCAAUUCCGGCCGGCCAACGCCAUGGCUGGAGCUCCCGUGCGACAGGGACACAAUUAAACUCCUACCGAACACUUCCCCUAAAUCAAUUUCACCAACGACGCACUACAACGUCCUGGCCACGGUGACAGUGCGGGUGAUCCAAAGAACAACGCGUUCCCAAAGAUUGGUGGCAGUAUAAUUCAAUUGGGUGGGUCGGUGAGCAUCACGGGGUUGUGGAAGCACUCAAACGAGAAGGCAUAGAAGAUGAACUGACCGGGAUUGUGCUGGCCGCAGUACGGUUGUUUUCACGGUGGCGGGGACUGUAAUUGGGGGAAACGAGCGAUUCUCGGUCCCAGGUGAAUAAUCCGGGGCAAGGUUUGGUGCAACUGAUGCGUGAUUAUCCUACGGAGCCGCGGGGACACUCAAUUUAUAGUGAGGGUAAGCGGUGGCGUCUAAUUUUGCGCAGAGAGACCGGCGGCCGAGACGAAGGGUGAGUCAUCGGCGCAGUCUAUCGUGGCGCGCCCCGAGGUGAUUCCUCCGGCGAGGAACUAACCUACGCAGGAUGUCCUUGGCGACGUGGUAGAUCGCCAAAGCACGUGGCGUUCACCAGGUAAACGGCGAGCUCCGGUGAGGAUAAACUCGGCCGGCCGUGCGGCAAGUAGAUGAGAUGGCCGGACCAGCUAACAGUUGUGAUCCAUCCCGUGCUAGAUCUUUUUACCCAUCCCCGGUGUUAUCCAUUCCUCCCUGAGCACGAAUCGGAACGGCAGUGGCACGAAUCGCGGCGGAUAGGUCAUCGGCGGCGAGGACCCUGCGCUGGCGGUCUGAUCCUUAUCGGACUACUGUACCAUGGGAUAUGUUCAUCAGUGUGCCUGACAGUCAUAGUUUAGGACCAAAACUCUCUAAAGUUUCUCUAGUAACUCACUCCACUCUCUGUAGCAAAGUUUCAAAGCUACAAACCAGCUACAAUUCGACUAUAGGGAUUGAACUCAUUUGAGCACUGGAUCCAAAUCAAAAUCGAGCUCAAAGUUCACCUCAUAACACUGUAACUCUGAAAUUCAACUUCAAGCAGUCUGACAGCCCAUCUUUGAUUGGGUUUUUCUCCAAAUUUCACAUAAGACCAUGGCUUGAAUCCUUAAACAAAGUUGUUCCCCUAAGAUUGAUCUUCAACUUUGAUGUGGUCACCUAUCAUGAAUUCUCACUAUUUUGAAAGCUACACAGCCCCAAAGUUGGGCCUACAACCCUGUUUUUAGACUUAGCAUAGGAAUCAAAAUCAAGGUCCUUUUUGCAAAUGAGUCCAAAACUUAGGGUUUGGCUUUCAAGUCCACAUAUUUGUGAACCAAUUGACUUCAAAUACUUAUUUGGCUUGGUUUUUGCACUUUAGUCCAAAAGUGGACUAAUUUUGCAUAUAAGCCCCUAGGGUUUGGUUUUAGGGUUUUCCAGGGUUCCAAUUAGGGUUUCUGGUAUCCCAGGGGUAUAAAAGUGAUUCAAGUUUAUUCUUAGGGUCAUUUUAUGACUUUUACCCUAAAGCUUUUAGGGUUUCUCAACUUGGGUUAAGUUUUACCCCUUUAACCACCAUUUAGGGUUAAGUCCUUUAACCAGGGUUCCAUUUGCAAAACAUUUAAAACAAUACAACUUGUUUGAAAUUUUUACCUAGUGAAUGCACUCUAGGUGUGUCAAACAUAUGCAAAUGCUAAUGUUUAUGAUGUCAUGCUCAAGUUUUAGUUAUAGUAACACCAGGGGUGUUACAUCCUUCCCCCCAUAAAAGAAUCUCGUCCCGAGAUUAAAAAUCCUAGGGUAGGUAAUGGUAAAGGAAACGCAUCACAUUUUUAUUUCCUUAAUUUUGGUACAAGGCAGGGGUGAUGUGGGGGUCACUUCUUUAGUACACAGCUAUACAGACUUUACAAUUUACAUGAGGCUAAAAAGCCUGGGAAAUUCUUUUCUAGAAAAUCUUGGGUUUCCCAUGUAGCCUCAUCUUCAGAAUGCUGGUUCCACUGUAUCUUGUAAAAUUUGAGAGUCUUUCUUCGGGUGACCCUGUCCUUUUGAUCCAGAACUCGAAUAGGAUGUUCCGAGUAUGUUAAAUCUGGUUCCAGGACAACAUCAGUCACUUCAACGGUUCGAUCAAGAACCCGAAGACACUUCUUCAAUUGUGACACGUGGAACACAUUAUGCACAGCAGACAAUGUUUCGGGGAGCUGAAGUCGGUAUGCCACUGGUCCACAUUGCUCAAGCACCAGGAAUGGACCAAUGUACCUGGGUGCAAGUUUCCCUUUAACCCCAAAACGCGAUACACCUUUCAUUGGUGAGACCUUCAGGUAAACAUAGUCUCCAUCCAGGAAAUAUAAGGGCCUUCGCCGUUUGUCUGCAUAACUCUUUUGACGAGCUUGUGCCUUCUUCAUAUUAUAAAUAAUUUUCUGAACCUUUUCUUCGGCCUCCUUUACCAUAUCAGGCCUAAAGAAGUACCUUUCUCCAGGUUCAGACCAAUUUAGCGGAGUUCGACACCGACGUCCAUAUAAAGCUUCAAAAGGUGCCAUCUUGAUACUUUCUUGAUAACUGUUAUUGUAUGAAAACUCCGCUAGGGGCAAACAUUCAUCCCAUUUUGGUGAGAAGUCCAGGACACAUGCCCGCAACAUAUCUUCAAGUAUUUGGUUCACUCUCUCAGUCUGCCCACUGGUUUGAGGAUGAUAGGCCGAACUGUGGAGUAACUUAGUACCCAAGGAUUUGUGAAGUGCUUCCCAAAACUUGGCUACAAAUUGAGGUCCACGAUCCGACACUAUGGUCUUUGGAACACCAUGCAGACUAAGAAUACGAGCAAUGUACAAUUGGGCGUAGACAGUAACUGGGGAAUUUGUCUUGACUGGCAGAAAGUGAGCAACCUUUGUAAGCCGAUCAAUUAUAACCCAAAUAGAGUCAUACCCUUUUAUCGUCCUGGGCAGUCCCACAAUAAAGUCCAUACUAAUGUCUUCCCAUUUCCAUGUUGGGAUUGGCAAAGAUUGUAAUGGACCAGCAGUUUUCAUGUGUAUGGCCUUGACACGUCUGCAAGUGUCACACUUAGCCACAUAGCGUGCAAUUUCAAUCUUCAUCUUUGUCCACCAGUAAUGUUGCUUUAAGUCUUGAUACAUCUUAGUGCUUCCGGGAUGAAUAGAAUAACGACUAAGAUGUGCUUCAUCAAGAAUUUGCUGGCGGAGUUCUUCGUUCUUUGGCACUACUAUGCGGUUUUUAAACCAUAUCACACCUUGAUCGUCUUCCUUGAAACACAUGGCUACUCUAGCCUUUAUCUUCUCUCGAAUGUGCUUCAUACCCAGAUUAUCUUUUUGAGCAUCAAUUAUCCUUUGCAAAAUGAUUGACUCAAGCUUUAGUUGAUUUAGAGUCCCUUGUUGGAUGAUUCCCAGGUUUAGCUUUUCCAUUUCUUGACACAAAGUGUUCUCGGAGGUCUUCGCCAUAAGACAGUGGCAGGAAGUCUUACGACUCAACGCAUCUGCCACCACAUUGGCCUUGCCUGGGUGAUAAUGGAUCUCCAGUUCAUAGUCUUUAAUGAGCUCAAGCCAUCGUCUUUGCCUCAUAUUUAACUCUGACUGGGUGAAGAUAUACUUCAAACUUUUAUGAUCUGUAUAUAUGUGACAGAUAUUUCCCAGCAGAUAGUGACGCCAAAUCUUUAGGGCAUAAACCACAGCAGCUAGCUCUAGAUCAUGAGUUGGAUAGUGCUCCUCAUGUCGGCGCAACUGCCUUGAAGCAUACGCAAUUACUCGGCCCUCUUGCAUCAGUACACAGCCGAGCCCACUGUCAGAUGCAUCACAAUAAACAUCAAAAGGCUUGGUGAUGUCCGGUUGAGCCAAUACCGGAGCAGUGGUCAAUAGUGUCUUCAGUUGCUCAAAAGCUUCAUUACACUUAGAAGACCAAUUGAACUUAAUGUCAUUCUUCAACAAACUUGUGAUUGGCUUCACAAGCUUAGAAAAAUCUGGUAUGAAUCUGCGAUAAUACCCAGCUAGUCCAAGAAAACUCCGGACUUGGUGAACAGUUGUUGGGGGUUUCCACUCCAGAAUAUCUUUGACCUUGCUAGGAUCUACCGCAAUUCCUUUAGCCGAUAACACGUGCCCCAAAAAUUUAAUUUCUUCCAGCCAGAAUGCGCACUUGCUGAACUUGGCAUAUAGUUGGUGUUCCCUGAGGCGCGUCAAUACAAUCCGUAAAUGCUGAGCAUGGUCUUCUUCAUUCUUGGAAUAUAUCAAGAUAUCGUCGAUGAAGACUACCACGAACUUAUCCAACUCGGGCAUGAACACCGAGUUCAUCAAAUAAGUGAAAUGGGUAGGAGCAUUUGUGAGCCCGAAAGACAUUACCAGGUAUUCAACCAAUCCAUAUCGCGUAGUAAACGCGGUCUUCGGUAUAUCCUCGGGCCGAAUACGGAUUUGAUGAUAGCCCGACCUGAGAUCAAUUUUAGAAAAUACCCUCGCCCCAGUCAGUUGAUCAAAUAAGAUGUCAAUCCUUGGAAGAGGGUACUUAUUCUUGAUGGUGACCUCAUUUAGGGGUCGAUAAUCCACGCACAUUCUCAAGGUUUGAUCCUUCUUCUUAACAAAAAUGGCGGGGCAACCCCACGGGGACGAGCUUGGCCGGAUGAAUCCCUUAUUCAGUAGAUCUUGUAAUUGAAUUUUCAAUUCCGCUAAUUCAUUAGGGGGCAUGCGGUACGAUCUUCGGGAGAUGGGAGCCGUACCGGGCUUUAGCUCAAUUACGAAUUCUACAUCUCUUUCAGGGGGCAGUCCAGGCAAAUCUUCCGGAAAUACAUCUGGAAACUCACAUACUACCGGAAUGUUCUUGAUCUCCGGUACAAUGGCUUCAUAGACUCUACCAGAAGCUUUGGCUGGAUUGGUUGCGGGGAGAGUCAAAAGAAUCUCUUCUUGGUUAUAGCUCAACCUGACGGUUCUGAGUUCAGUGUUGAGGAUUGCCUUGUGUUGGGUUAACCAAUUCAUACCCAAGAUUACAUCUAUAUCCUGGCCCUUCAGAACAAUCAUGUUAGCAGGAAAGUUCCGUCCGGCCAUUGUUACUGGCACUCCAUAGGCCACUUCUCUAGUAUAAAUGUGUCCCCCAGGUGAAUGAAUUUUAAAUCCCUCUUUCGAUUCAUGGUAUGCAAUAUGAUGUUGUUCCACAAACUUCUUGCUAAUGAAUGUAUGUGAAGCACCAGAAUCAAAAAGAAUAAUUGCUGGGUGACUGGCCACGGGAAACGUACCCAUCAUCACCGGUUCUCCUUCCGGUGUAGUAGCCACUUGAGUGUAAUACACACGCCCCGUCUUCUUCGUAUUUUUCCCCAUAGCAUUUCCUUUGGGCUGAGUUGAUUUCCCAGAUCCUUGCGAAGCAUUUGAUUGAUUUUGCCUAGGAUAUGGGCAGUCUUUGAUAAAAUGUCCCGACUUGCCGCAAUUAAAACACCCAGUGGAAGAACUAGGCAAGGCAGGGAAUCGAGUGCCUGGGGCACCCGGCUGUUUUGGGGUAGUGGGGGUAUUGUUGGGGCGGAUAAUGAUUGGCUGUUUAAAGGGGAAUGAGGGUGGACAAGAAAAAGUGCGAUUUUGGUUUGAAGGUCGAAUCACAAACCGUUGCUUCUUCGCCUGGCCCUGAUUAGGCCUCUCACCACCGAAUCCCUUAUUCUUCCCAGAAUUUGUGUAUUGGGCUUCAACAGAUAAGGCCGUGCUGACAGCCUUUCCAUACGUGAGAUCUAUGCAUGUGGCCAUUUUCCUUUGUAGCCGAUCAUUCAGUCCCCGCAUAAAACAGUUCUUCUUCUUUAAAUCCGUAUUCACCUGGUCGAUGGCAUACUGCGACAGGUGAUUAAAUUUGUUGAGAUAUUGGUUGACGGUAUCUCCACCUUGUUGUAACUUCAUAAAUUCCUCUUGUUUCAUAUGCAGCACUCCUUCGGGGAUAUAGUGUUCACGGAAGGCUGCUUUAAACUCAUCCCAGGUGACUUGAUGGUUGACAGGUUGAAUAGCCACAAAAUUUCCCCACCAGGUACUGGCAGGACCACGGAGUUGUUGUGCUGCAAAUAACGGCUUCUGCGUCUCUGAGCAACGGAGAAGACCAAACUUUUGUUCAAUGACCCGAAUCCACUCAUCAGCUUCUAGGGGAUCUUCUGCCUUGACGAAUAGAGGUGGACGGGUUUCCGAGAAAUCCAGAUAGGUGGUCUCACGGGGGCCUUGCGGGUAACCUCUUCCCGCCUGCUACUGGAAUUGCUGCUGACCCGCCAUUUCCCUAAGGAAGCGGGUAUUGUCUGCGGUGGCAUUCACCAAGGCGGCGAUCGCCUCGGCUAACGUGUGAGGAACCGGAGGUGGGUUUGGGGUAACAUCCCUGCCCCCAGAAGUUCCGGCUGCGUCCUGUCCUCGAGUCCUGGUCGGCAUCUGUGGCAAAGAACAUUUGAAGUAAACAAAAUGUGCCAGAGAAAACCUUCCAUUUUACAUUACUAUAAAAAGUAAUGAUACAGACUCGAUAUUACAUAACAGGAUACAAUACCCAUUAUACAAAAGUUCAACCUAUUAUACAACAGUACACCCUACAAUACCCUAGUCUACUUUUACUUCUAUUACACUCUUAUUCCUGCUUUCCAUUAGUCUUGGCGGCUUCAUCGUCAGGUGUGGGAGUCCAGACAUCAACCAACCUCAAAGAAGGAGGGGGCUCAAAAAGGUCUAACUCCCCACCCAGCGCACGUCCCGCAACGUGAGAUGGUCCAGCUUCCGCCUCAGCAGGUUGUGCAGGCUCACUUGGGUGUAGUUGUGAGUAUAGUAUAUGGACUUCCUCGUGCAACGUAUUGCAGUAAACCUGCAGGUUAUCAACCGUUGAGCUAAGUUCUUUAAUUCGGGCCUGAGCCCUUGCUUCCUUAGCACACAUUAGCAAAUGAGACUGUACGGCCCAGUCAAGUGCUAAGUCUCGAUCAGCGAGUUGAUCCUGCAAGUGUCGGAUGUCCCUUCUCAGUUCAUUGAUUCUAUCUCCGUCAGCGACCCAAGCAUCGGUCCUAUGUUGCAGCGCUGCUUGAAGUCGACUCACACGGGCUUCAAGGUCUCCGAUGGGGUCGUUACUUCCACUGCUGCUGCUUUCAUGUCGGGGAGCCAAUUGAUGCCGAGGCACCCCAAUCGGUCCCGAAGACUUGCGUGCCGUUAGCCUGGUACGUGGCGGCAUCUUUUCUAAGGGGGAAAAUGUUAUUAGUAUAGUGCUUAGCAUGAUGCAUGUAUAAUUACAGAAUCAACCUUAGUCGAUUCAACCUUCUAUACGUUGCACUCUUCCUAUCUGGUCUUUAAGAUAGACUUCUUCAGAAUACUUAGGUAAGAAGAGAAAAGAGUUCUUUGGUAAGACUUUUGAAAAUCCUUUUGAAGAUGCCUCAUAAUAUCUGCCAAGAAGGGCUACGCUCCGAUACCAGCUGUGACGGAACCUCCCAAGUAAUUAGGCCCACCUACAGUUGUCCUUGUCCAACGGACUUCAGACAACCCUGUAGGUGCCCCUGAACUACUUGACAAGCUCGGUAUCUUUCCUUCCCUCACCAGGAAUGCUUUACCCGUCUUGCAGACAUUACAGAACAUCGGAGAUAAAGAAAUGCAGAAGCGAAUUACAUAAACUUACAUUUAUUUCAAAAGCAAGCUUGAGUUAUUUUAUUACAGACCAGACUAAAAGUGAGUGCAGAGUAGUAACAUUAUACAAACCAGGGGAGGCACGAACUCCUCCCGAUUAGUCAUAAGUAAAAGAUCCUAAGUGGAGGACCGAGCCCUCCCGCACUUUAGUCAUGUCUUUCUUCUUUUGGAACCACCUUGGCACAGAAGCAGCAAAAGUCUGCUACUUCCUCACCUAAAAACAACGAAGGGAUAAACCCUGAGUAUGGAAUACUCAGCAAGUCUUACCCGACUAAAGAAAAGACUCUCAAGGGUAUGCUGGUUAUAUGGGAGUCAAGGUAAGGCUUUUCAAUAUUCAAAGACUCUGUUUUGCAGAAAUGCUUACUAAAGUGGAUCCUUAAAAAUCCAAUUUUAUUUGUCAAGUUAGGUAAAAUUACCUGGACUAGAGUUCUUUCUACCCUAGUUCAAUCACUGGUCCUGUACUAGCCAAUUUCUCAACAAAAACCCUUUAUCUUUAGUGGAAUGCUACGUGUAAGUCAGUGGCCAAGUCUCCAUAACCGCGGAGGUACGGCGAUCCGAAUCGAUUAUACUCAGCUGAGGAUCUCCAAUCACACGACAUAUGUAGCACUUAACCCUUGCAUAUGUCAACCCGCCACCGGGGUUCUUAAGACCGGAUCAGGUUCACGCAAACCGAGAGCACAGCUACACCACCGUCCAGCCUCUUGCCACGGAGGGUACACGCUACUCUCGCCACCGCUCCACGCCCAUUUCGUGUUAUCUUAUUCCGGCCUUAGUCUACCCGAGGCAAGGCUUACCCAUGACGAGGCAUGUGACCAGUUAAAGGGUCCUCGGUCAGCAGGCCUACAUCGACAAGGUCCUUAAUCGACUCAGACAGAGACACUACACCGAGACUCUCUUCUCGUGCAAGUCACCCGCCCGGUCUCAGCUUAAUCAUUCAACCCAAAACUUGGUACCUGGCAGAGGUACAUCUUUUCCGAUGUUGAACCCAUCAGGGCCCUGAUGGAUCCACCAUCAAAUUUUAUUUUCGAAAACAGCCCACCCACUUUUGCCACAACAUCUUUUGUAAAAAAAAACCUUUUGUUUUUCUAAAGCAAAGCUAAGCAUCAAAAAGCUUUUGUAAAACAGGUGAUCAAGGAAGGUAAUCAGAUUCAAGGAAGGUAAUGCAGGAAGGGUUUUAUCAAGCAACUCCUAUCACCUAAUGCAGCAAUCAAGUGAGAAAGAUUUUAAAAUAGCAAGGAAGGUGGCAAAUGCACCGGGGCUUGCCUUCGUUUACAGGUGAUUCGGGUUCGGAUCCACAGAUAUCGAAGUAGAAACUAUUCCCGGCCUGGGAUUCCGAAGGUGGUGGUGUCCUGUCUUCGGGGACAUCUACCUCUUCUUCACGUUCUAAUCAUAACCAAACAUAAGUAUAAGAAUGGAUGCCAUGGGAUGCUCAUGAGGAUGCAAAGAUAGCAUAAACUUAUUAUUUAUGUCUUGAAUACAACUUUCCUUCACGGAGUUCCGGGAACUUAGGGUUUCCGGAGUCGGUAAAGGAGUUCAUAGGGCAGGGGGGUGUUUUGGGGUUUGGUGAUCAAACAAGGUCCAAAUCAAUUCAAACUCUACCCAAGGCUUCUAAAUAGUGUAUAACACUCAUAUAAAAAUUUUGGGCAUUUUAGGACUUACCAAUUAUUUUCUAAAAAUCUAUAACCAAGACUUUUAACUACUUUAAAUACCUUAAAAUUUCUUAUUUCCACUAAAAAUCACAAAACUAUUUUUAUUAAAUACUAGGGAAAAUAACAAGCCUAGGAAAAUUAGUUUCACAAUUUUAGCAUUUUUCUACAUUUUUCUACAUAUUUCUCAAGUUUUCCUGAAAAAGAAAAGGAAAAGGGUUAAACAGAACUGGGCCGGAUUCAGCCCAGCGGCCCAGGUCCAGGGAGGAAAGGCGCCCGCGCGCCCCGCGCCCUGGCGGUUUUGCAGAACGACCCCCGCGUUUUUAACUAAAUGAAAACGAGUUUCUUCACUGUUCCGGUGUGUCGCUGACAAAUUACAGAAACGCCCUCAGGUUUCUAAUCCUUCACAGAGGGAGGUCCACGACGAGGAACAGCCCUCGCCGCACCCCAGCGAGCCAAUUCCGGCCGGCCAACGCCAUGGCUGGAGCUCCCGUGCGACAGGGACACAAUUAAACUCCUAUCGAACACUUCCCCUAAAUCAAUUUCACCAACGGCGCACUACAAUGUCCUGGCCACGGUGACAGUGCGGGUGAUCCAAAGAACAACGCGUUCCCAAAGAUUGGUGGCAGUAUAAUUCAAUUGGGUGGGUCGGUGAGCAUCACGGGGUUGUGGAAGCACUCAAACGAGAAGGCAUAGAAGAUGAACUGACCGGGAUUGUGCUGGCCGCAGUACGGUUGUUUUCACGGUGGCGGGGACUGUAAUUGGGGGAAACGAGCGAUUCUCGGUCCCAGGUGAAUAAUCCGGGGCAAGGUUUGGUGCAACUGAUGUGUGAUUAUCCUACGGAGCCGCGGGGACACUCAAUUUAUAGUGAGGGUAAGCGGUGGCGUCUAAUUUUGCGCAGAGAGACCGGCGGCCGAGACGAAGGGUGAGUCAUCGGCGCAGUCUAUCGUGGCGCGCCCCGGGGUGAUUCCUCCGGCGAGGAACUAACCUACGCAGGAUGUCCUUGGCGACGUGGUAGAUCGCCAAAGCACGUGGCGUUCACCAGGUAAACAGCGAGCUCCGGUGAGGAUAAACUCGGCCGGCCGUGCGGCAAGUAGAUGAGAUGGCCGGACCAGCUAACAGUUGUGAUCCAUCCCGCGCUAGAUCUUUUUACCCAUCCCCGGUGUUAUCCAUUCCUCCCUGAGCACGAAUCGGAACGGUGGUGGCACGAAUCGCGGCGGAUAGGUCAUCGGCGGCGAGGACCCUGCGCUGGCGGUCUGAUCCUUAUCGGACUACUGUACCAUGGGAUAUGUUCAUCAGUGUGCCUGACAGUCACAGUUUAGGACCAAAUCUCUCUAAAGUUUCUCUAGUAACUCACUCCACUCUCUGUAGCAAAGUUUCAAAGCUACAAACCAGCUACAAUUCGACUAUAGGGAUUGAACUCAUUUGAGCACUGGAUCCAAAUCAAAAUCGAGCUCAAAGUUCACCUCAUAACACUGUAACUCUGAAAUUCAACUUCAAGCAGUCUGACAGCCCAUCUUUGAUUGGGUUUUUCUCCAAAUUUCACAUAAGACCAUGGCUUGAAUCCUUAAACAAAGUUGUUCCCCUAAGAUUGAUCUUCAACUUUGAUGUGGUCACCUAUCAUGAAUUCUCACUAUUUUGAAAGCUACACAGCCCCAAAGUUGGGCCUACAACCCUGUUUUCAGACUUAGCAUAGGAAUCAAAAUCAAGGUCCUUUUUGCAAAUGAGUCCAAAACUUAGGGUUUGGCUUUCAAGUCCACAUAUUUGUGAACCAAUUGACUUCAAAUACUUAUUUGGCUUGGUUUUUGCACUUUAGUCCAAAAGUGGACUAAUUUUGCAUAUAAGCCCCUAGGGUUUGGUUUUAGGGUUUUCCAGGGUUCCAAUUAGGGUUUCUGGUAUCCCAGGGGUAUAAAAGUGAUUCAAGUUUAUUCUUAGGGUCAUUUUAUGACUUUUACCCUAAAGCUUUUAGGGUUUCUCAACUUGGGUUAAGUUUUACCCCUUUAACCACCAUUUAGGGUUAAGUCCUUUAACCAGGGUUCCAUUUGCAAAACAUUUAAAACAAUACAACUUGUUUGAAAUUUUUACCUAGUGAAUGCACUCUAGGUGUGUCAAACAUAUGCAAAUGCUAAUGUUUAUGAUGUCAUGCUCAAGUUUUAGUUAUAGUAACACCAGGGGUGUUACACCGACAUAAAAGUAGAAUGACCUUUUAGUCCAUAAAUGUUUGAGUCGCUGUUGUAAUCCCUUAUGAGGGGCAUAAUUGUAAUUCCUCACAGGCUGUGCCCUGUGCCUAUAAAUAGGUGAACAGUACCCCUGUACUGUUCACGCAAUCUUGUAAUUACUGGCACAUUACGCUGGGAUUAUUGCUUUCUGCCAAGACGAAGGUAUAAAUGUAUUUAAAUAUUAUGUUUUAAUAUCUAGGUUCAUAUAAUAAAAUAUGUGAACAAUGCUAUUUAUUUUCGGUAUGUCUUUCCAUAAUGUUUCAUGUGUUAUAUUUUACUUCGUAUUGUUUUUCAAGUCUGAUCACAAAGGUAUAACCUUUGUGAUAUUUUGCUUAUGGCCUUCGUCCGAAGCUCAUUAAAUCCUUGGGGAGAUAAUGCUUCAGCGGACGAAGGGCAUUAGUAUUUAACAUUUUAUGUUGCCUUGUUCUUAAUUCAUAGCAUUUGAGAACAAGUCCCCAACAGACCUUGGGGUUCGGGUGACCAAGGGAAUCUCUAGAGGAGUAGAGGGAAUGCCAUACUUUUCCACAAAACUAGUGGCUAUGAAGGAGUGGGAUGCUCCAGAAUAGAAAAGUACGGUAGCGGGAGUAAAUUCAAUAAGGAACUCACCGAGUACUACUCCCGGAGCCUGCUGAGCUUCCUGGGCAUCGACAUGAUUUACACGUGCCCUUCCUUGGUACAGAGCCUUGUUCUGCUGGCUGACGGCGGAGGGCGCCUUGGGGGCGGAUGCCGAGGUAUUCUUGGGGCCAUUCACCGAGUUGGAGUAGGCGGGUACUGGUGGCUUCAGCUGCGGACAGUUGUUCUUGAAGUGACUGGGAUCACCACAGUGCCAACAUGCAUUUGCCGGGGGUUGGUUGCUUGCCACUGAGGGGAAUGGAAAGAGCUCUGACUCUGCUGGCUGAAUCGCGACGGAGUGGGUCCAGCUGGUCUACUGAAGUUUGGCCCCUUGGGUGGAAACCCAAAUGAUCGAGUCUUCUGGUGCCGGUCCUGCUGCUGUGCCCGGAGAACCUGGAACUUCCUUUUAAGAUGCCCUUUUUCUUCCUCCUUUGCCAUUUCAACUUGCAUGGCCUUGUUGGAAAGGUGAGAGAAGUUGAGGAAGUCUUGGCUAGCCAGGAUUGUCUUGAGUUCUGGACUGAGUCCCUUCAGGAAACGGGCCAUCUUUUUGCUCUCGGUACUAACAUCAUCUGGCGCAUAGCGGGCUAACUCUGUAAACUUGUGCACAUAUUCGCUGACAGAUCUUCCGUCUUGAGUCAAUUCUCGGAACUCGUCCUCCUUAAGCUGUACCAGUCCUUGGGGCACAUGGUGCUCCCAGAAAGCUGCUUCGAAUUCCGCCCAGGUAGCAUCUCUGAUGGUGACGUUGAAGGUGUCCCACCAGGCUAAGGCCAUCCCAAAAAGUUGGUGGGCAGCCAGUUGAACAUGCUGAUUUUCUAGGCAACCAAUGGCUUAUAGUUUUCUUUUGAUCGUGCGCAUCCAAUCGUUUGCAUCGAGGGGGUUGCUUGAUCCGGCGAACGUGGGAGGUUUGAGUCUCAGGAAAUCCCCCAUUCUGUCUUGUGGUCUUCCACCAUUCGGCCGUUGAUUUUCUAGAUUUCGAGUGAGGACCUCGAUGAGUCGGGUUUGAUUGGCUAGAACUUGGGCUAGAUCUAAGGGUAAUGGUGGAGGUGCGGGGAGGUGGGUUUCACUUUCUUCUCUAACGACUUCCCCUUCAGCUCUCAUGGGAAACCCUGCUCCAAUACCAGAGGCGGUAGGCGUGGUUUUAUCCGAAGCCAUCUGCCAGGGAAGAGAGUCACUAUUAUGCACAUGCAAAUUGUUUUUAACCAAGUUAUUUUAUUCAUUACACCAUCGCAUUACAAGCCUAAGACUACUACAGGUGGAACUACACGAGAGCGUUCCCCGAGGUACUAGCGAAUUCCUUAUCUAAGGUGUCCCCAAAUGCCUUGAGAAGAUCAUCGAGGCUUGCUAGGGAUACAUCCUCGUCGUCGGACCAAUCAUCUAUUCUGGGGGGAGGUAGGGCUAGAGGGGCCUUCUUCUUCUUCUUCUCUAUCUGGCAUCCUUGGUUGGUGGUCUUCUUCUGGAUUUUCUUCUUGGGGGCGAGUUUCUUUAGCUUCUUAUCAUAGUCCAUCUUUAAAGUCCGAUAGGCUUCACGGGUGUUGGCUUCCUCGCCUUCUGCUAUGUUGAGACUUUCCUGGAGGGAUGCCUUCUCUUGCUUAAGUUCUUUGACUUGCUGCUCUAGGCUUUCCACUCGGGAGUUUAGGUGGGUGCAGUGGGAGGAGAGCUCGUCGUAGUGGUUGUCGAGGGUGUGGAGGUAUCCGGCCAUGUAGACGAUAGUGGGGUCAUCUUCUGUGGGGUUUCCUCCUGACAGAGCCUGGAGACUUUUCCUCCAGGUGGGGGUGUUUUUGUUGUAGGGUGGGAAAUAUCGGAGGGGGGUCUCGGAAAUCUCUCGACUAUAGUUUUGGCACAGUUGUUUGAGGGCUUUUCGAGCGACGCUCUGGCAAGUGUCUGGGAAGCGGUGCCCGAUGAAGGUAAUUUGGAAGGGAGGGUGGUUUGGGUAGUUCCGGCUUUCUCCCAAGUAGACCGCCAUAGAGCACUUUUCUAUUUCAUUUUCACGGUACUCCUUCCAGACAUAUUCGGGCUUCUUGCGGAUCCCCAAGCGUAGCGUGCAACUCCGAAGAAGGUGAGGAAAGCCUUCCUCCUCUGAGCAAUAGGAUGUCCUAAUCACCCAGGGGUUUUCCAUCUGGUAGACGAAAAGAAAGGUCUAUCAAUAUCGGGGAAAAGGGGAAGAGUGUUUCUUGGGGGUAAGAGGUGUUUUCUUGUUAAGGCAACUUUUAAGGUCAGGGCUGUGGUCUACGGCCAUUCCUAUAGGCUUUGAUACCACCUGAAGCGUCCCGAUCCUUUGGGACUCAAAUGUGAUACAAUUUCUAGUCCCAGGAGGCUAGUAAUCACAUUCAUUACUUCAAAUAGUUACAGAGUCUGAAUAAUGUUAUUACAAUACCGGGGGAUACAAGCUCGGAAGUGAGCCGAGAAACAUAAGGCGCAGUGGAAGAUAAAAUAGCCCAAGCCACAGGCAGAACUGGGUGAAGACACAGCCCCAUCAAUCAAGCAUAGUAGAAAAGAAGUCUUCAGCUGCUGAAAACAUAAAUAAAUCUGGGUGAAUACACUAGGUAUUCCGCAAGCCCACCCGGCUCCCGUAAAGAGAAAGUGACCUAUAUGGUACAUGCUUUAUAUGGUGGAGUUGAAGUCACUCAUACUUUUUCAGAGAAGGGCAGUAUUCGUUAUUUAUGGUUUUCCCAAGACAAUAGAAGUAACACUUGCUUGACCACCACUGAGCUUCCUGCUCCCGUGGUACCACUUUCUUUUCAGAACAUACACACACAUUUCCCUGUUCCCAGUUGUAGUAGAAACACUAAUUGUCAUACCAUACCAGACCCGUCCAUACCAGUGGACACGGACUAUUCGAAUAGGUUUAGACUCUGCGCAGAGGGGUACACUUUACCCACUAGUCCGGCUCUGCGAUCUCAUGGCCAAUGAGACCCGAAUCCGAAACUCUUUCCUUCCUUGUACGUCCGAACCUUAACGGUUAUACCGGAAGGAGUCAGGCCACCGCCAUGUCCAAACCGGACAAAACAUUCCCCCUCCUUAUCCUCCCGGUGCUACCCCAGCCUUCAUAACCCUGGGGUUGGACCGUACGAGUUUAGAUCGAGUGGCUGCCCACACAGCCUCAAGUGGUUGUACUUUUUGAGAGCAUAGGUAAUGAAAGAUGACAAACCGGUCCUUAUACGAGAGGACGAUCCUUCUGCUCACGCCUAAACCAGCUGAGCCAGCACCUUAGGCCCUCCCCUAAACCAGGGAGUCCCUGAUCAUCCUACUCACCAGGUGAUGAGGGUGAGUACCCUUCAUCGCACACAUUGGGAAAACAUUCCACUUGUACCCUUUUCACUUGCCCCAUAUCUUUUAAUCAAAGUAAUAGUUAAUGCGGGCCCUCUCGUGCUCACCAUGCAAUUCGAUUCCCAUCCCAUAAUCCAGGCUUAGGCAGUGGUAGAGACAAAUAGGUAAAUAAUGCAUCAAGGGAAGGAUGGACUUGCCUUCGUCGAAGCUUUCCUGGCACAAGAGGUUAAUCUCGGAGGGGUUGGGUUCUUGCCCUUCUUCCGGAGCUAAGAGUUCCGGAGGAUCGGAUCCUUCUUCCGCUAAUUAAACACAGAUAAAAACAAUACAUCAAACAUAGUGACCUUUGUGGGGUGUGCAAAUUUUUAUACUUUAUUAUUUUUGUGCCCUAAUAAUUUAUUUAGACAAUUUUUGGUGCAUAAAAUAUUAGCAUCUAAAUAUAUAUGUGAAAAUGAGAAAAAGAAAAGAGAAGGAAUUCUCCAGAUGACUGGGCCAGGGGAGGGGAUUUCGGCCCACUCAGCGAGGGCGCGCGGGCGUGGGCGCGCUUGCGGCUUAGCUGGCCCAGCUGCGAGGGAGCGACAGCGGGGAACGGCGCCGUAGCGCGGGCCCACCAGCCAGAGAGAGAGAGGGGGGCUGACGGCGUUGACGGCAACGGAGGGGGGGGAAGGGGCACGACCGGGGCCGGUCGACGGCGAGCUCCGCGGCGGUUCUCCGCCCCGGUCCGGUUUUGCGACGGGGAAACGGUGGCGGAGCAUGAGUGGUAGAUGGGAUCACAAGGGCGGGGCGAAUUUCGCCUGCUGGGGGGCCUAUGGCGGCCGGUCCGCGGCACGGUGGCGGGUGCCCGCGGCGGCGAAGCCGCCGGUGAGUUUUCCGGCCAUAAUUGAGUGGGGGAAGUGGCGUGUCGUGAACGUGGGAGUGUGGCGGAGCUCUUGGCACAACUUAAUUGAACGGAAGAUCGCCAGAGAGGGAGAGGGGAGCUCACCGGAGCGGUGAAGGGAGCACGGCGACGCUUGCUUGAAUGGCUCGAGGAGGAGGGCAGUGGGGGUGGCUGGAGUUGUGUGGCGAAGACGGGGCUCGGGCGGGUCCUUUUAUAGGCACUCGGGGAAGGGAGGGGGAUGGGGGAGACGGCGAGCACCGGCGAGCUCGCCAUGAUGGCGGAAAUGCCGCUAACGCCGAUUGGGACGGCUCGGGCAGGCUGAGGGGGUGAGAGGUCGGCUCAAGCACAGUGGCGGGGUUGUCGCGGAGGUUGGCGAGCAUUAAUGGCGAGGCGACGAGGCGAGGGGGCGCUCGGCGGCGGACGCGCCGGUGAGGGAUGGGCGAGGGAGAUGGAGCUGACGAGUGGGCCCUGGCUGCCAGCAAGAGGAGUCUGCACGAGAGGGAGGGGGUGAGGCGCUGACGGGCGGGGCCCGAGUGUCAGCGGAGGGGAGCGGCGCGCGGAUUGGGCCGCCUGGGCCGGGAAGAGAGGGGGGGAUGCGGGCGCGCGCGAGCUGGGCUGGAAAUCGGCCCAGCCGAUGGAGGGGAGAGUGUUUUCCUUGUUCUUUUCUUAUUCUAAUUCUUUUCUUUUCCCUUUUCUACUUUUGUGUCUUUUUGUUUCUUUUUCCCUUGCAACAAAAAUUCUCUAAAUGAACUUGGGUGAUAAAUAUGGUCUAUGUGAGGUGCUCUAAAUUAUUUUAAGUGUAUGCAUAUGAUUAGGUGACCUAGGGGUAGAGUUAAGGGAGAAGGAUCAAAUGAGGGGGGGAAUUAGGGGGGUUAGGGUUUCAAACCUCGGGUUGGGAUUUUUGGGAUGUUACACCUUCUGCCGGGUGACUAGGCGGCGCGGGCCCUCGCAUAAGCACACUUGCGCUCGACAUCGCCGCCGGGGACACGACAUGAACCUUUCUGCCGCUGCCUUUCUUAGGGCGGCCCGGCGGAGCAGGUCCUCGCAUGGCCGCGCGCGCUUUCGCCGCCGCCGGUGCGCCAUGCGUUUUGCCGCCGCCGCCUUGUGCCGGGAGACCAGGCCGGGCGGGUCCUUGCGUCACCACGUGCGUGGUCGCCGCCGCCGCCAUCACGGUGUUCGUGGGCGGCAUAACCGCGCUUGCUAUCGUCGCCAUCGCCGGAGCUUCGUGGACUUGCCCGCCGCUCCCCUGCCUCGGGGCGCCGGGGCACCCUUUCGGUGACGGAGCGGGCCUGGUGGUGAGACGCCGCCAGGGCCACGUCGUCCGCUCCCCGCGGCACGCUUGGCCGGCUGAUGGUUGGAGCUGAGCGGUGGAAGGCGGCGGCGACUAGGCCGAACGACACGUGGCGCAGCAGCUGGCGCGCAAGCGGGCUUGUCGCUUGCGCAGACGGAGACAACGCCAUGGCCGUGAUGUGCUGGCUUGGAGAGUUGGAGUCGUUGGUGAUAUGCGUCCGAAGAAGUGACGAUCGAUGUGAUCGCUCCCUUGCAGCGUUGCGAGGGUAGAUGAACCGGAGCUGCUGCCCAAGUGCCGAUGCCGAUGCGUUGGCGGCGUCGGUGGUUGUCUCUGCGGUCUGCACUGGGAAUGGAACGAGCAUUGCUUUAUAGUAGUAGGCGAUCGAUGGGCAUGGGCGGAGGCAGCGAGCCAGCGAGUGGGGAACUGGGGGUGGCGUCUGACUUCGACUAGUUAUGAAGUGGACCGCAGUCAACCUCAAUUUCGUGCGUAUUUUACCACUUCAAAGCGGCUACCAAGAACGAAGUUUGAGCAUUGACCCGCUCAAGCGUGUGGCCGUAGGUACGUACGAACGAUCCGGUCCGGUCCGUACACCCGUGCCACUGGGUGGCUGAAGACUGUACUUGCCGUCAAAAAAUGUAUACUAGUCAAGUGCUCUGGAGUUGCAACGGUAAAUAAAAUAUUCGACAAGGAUGGGAAAAUCCUGAACCGACCGUUAUCAUAUAACCGAUUUUGUUAGUUUUGUCCCGAUCGAUUUCGAACCCGAUAUAAAAAACGAAAAUAUGAUGGAAAAAUCCUGAACCGACCGUUAUCGUAUAACCGAUUUUGUUAGUUUUGUCCCGAUCGAUUUCGAACCCGAUACAAAAAACAAAAACGGAACGAAAACGUGAUAUACAAAACGAUAAACGGAAACAGUAGAGUUGUUUUUCCGAACGUUUAACCGGAUCCCGUUUUUAAUCGGGAUGAUCCCGUUUUGUUACCGUAUUUUAUAAUUCAGGAUCACUUCAAUACGGCCUGCUCCAAUCUAGAUAUAACUUUGAGGCCCAGCCCAUCUAAACAAAAACCUAACCUAGGUUACCUAGCGUCGUCCGCUCCUCUCUCCGCUCUCUCCCAGCCGUAGCAAACGCCGCCGUCCGCCCUCCACAGCUUCACUGCUCGUCUGCUCCAGCGACCAGCGGGCAGCUGGGCACCGUUCUCCUGCUCUCUCUCAGCCGCGCGUGAGCUGUAGCAAACGCCGUCGUCCUCUCCUGCUCUCUGGUCUCCCAGCGGUGAGCCAUAGCAAACGUCACUGUCCUUAUAUGCUACAUUAAACUAUGUGUGCUCCAGAUUUACAUGGCUUUUAUAGUUUUAUCUAUGUUUAAUUAAGACUUGUGUUUACAAUUUUUUAUUUGUUGUUAAGUUUUGAAUAUAUGGUUUCAUUGUAUGAUUUUACCGAACAAAAAUACCGGUUCCCAUCCGAUUUUGGCUUUAACCCGACCGGAUCGUAUCGUUUUUUUGAUUCCUAUAUUUAUCCCGUUCGUUUUCGUUACCGAUAUAUCCCGUUUUCGUCCCGCAAGGUGUCAAGGACCUGGAAUCCCCGACUUGCCGGACCACGGCUACGUAGCUCGUAGCCGUCGGCCGUCCUCUCCGGUUGGGGUUAUGCCCCCCUAACCGCAGGCUUGUGAGGCUGGAGGUGGAAGAAGAGACAAAUUCCUUAUUGCUAUAACCGUGCAGCAUAGCUGGGUAUAUAUGGCCGUCGGCCACCUACAAAUGGAGCAAGUCUCCUUGAUUUUCUCUAGCCUGAUUGAUUGCUUCUUUCCUAUUCUUAUCCCUCUUUCCUAAUCUCAGCCCCUGCUAUCUGUGGCUGAUUUGCAGCACCUGAUUUUAGCCCUCUUUCCUAAUCUCAGCCACUUGCCAUUGGUGGCUGAUUUGCAGCAUGCGCUGCUGCCUGCUCUGCGGCCGCGCGCUCGGUUGCUCGCCGGACAUCACGCGCGCGCCUGCGCCUAGUGAAUGUAUUACCGUACAUGACAUCUCUCCCGGCCUCGAAAACCAGCUCGUCCUCGAGCUGGAACUGUGGAAAGCUGGCCGUGAAGUCUUCAAGCUCCUCCCAAGUCGCUGCCGUCGCUGGUUCACCCUGCCACUGAACCAGGACCUGUUUAACGCCGCGAGCUAGGCGGCCAGCCAAGACCCGUGCAGGUGCAGACACGGCGGCGCCGUUGAGCGUGGCUGGCAGCGCCGGCGGUUCGGAUGGUGGCGAUCCCACAAACUUUCUGAGAACCCCCACGUGGAAGACGUCGUGGAGUCUGGCGCCGGCCGGAAGCUGUAGGCGGACUGCCACGUCGUUGAUGACUUCCUUGACGCGGUAGGGCCCGACAUAGCGCGGCUUGAGCUUGCCUGCUGCCGAGCGUGGCAGUGUCGCGGACGGCCGCUGCCGUAAGCGAAGAAGGGCCCAGUCGCCCACCUGGUAGAUGACUCGCCGGUGGUGUUGAUCGUAGGCGCGGCGCUGGGACUCUUGAGCCUGGUGGAGACGGUAGCGGACGUCGUCGAGGAAAGCAGCGCGCUCCUCCAUCUCUUGCGCCACCGCGGGAAUGCGUGCAUCGCCCGGCUCAUAGGAUCGGAUGGUUGGCGGGUCGCGGCCGUACACCACCCGGAAUGGCGUGUCGCGGAGUGAUGACUGGAAGGCAGUGUUGUAGGUGUACUCCGCCCACGGAAGCCACCGGAGCCACUGUCGAGGGCGGUCGCCGGUGAAGCAGCGAAGGUACAUGGCGAUGACGCGGUUGGCUGCCUCCGACUGGCCGUCUGUCUGGGGGUGGAAGGCGGAGGACAUGAAGAGCUUGGUGCCCGUGAGCUCCAUCAGCUCUGUCCAGAAGGCCGAAGUGAACACGGCGUCGCGGUCCGAGACGAUGGACUGCGGAACGCCGUGCAGCCGCACCACUUCGGCGAAGAACGCCUGCGCCACCGAUUCUGCCGUGUACGGGUGCGCCAGCGGGAUGAAAUGGCAGUACUUGCUGAAGCGGUCGACGACGGUGAGGAUGACCGUCUUGCCUUGGGCGCUGGGCAGCGCCUCGAUGAAAUCGAUGCCGAUGUCGGCCCACACCGCCGAGGGGAUCGGCAAGGGCUGUAGAAGACCGGCCGGCCGCAAGUGAUCAGACUUGUAUUUUUGGCACGUGCCGCAUGCCUUGACGAAAUCCUGCACAACACGGCGCAUGUUUGGAAAAUGGAAGUCGCGCUUCAGCCGAUGUAGGGUGCGUAGGACGCCUUCGUGGCCAUCGUCGUGUAUGGCAGCCACUAUUUCCUGCAGGAGAGGGGACGAUGCCGGGAUGUAGAGGCGCCCAUGCAUGGCGACCAUCCCGCCCAUGAUGGACCACGGCGCCGUACGUGUGCCCGCGCGAAUUUCCUCGCAGAUGGCGACGAGGGCCGGGUCCGUAGCUUGGGCUUGGCGUAGCCGCGUGAUGAAGUCGAAGCGGGGUGCGGAUAUAGCCAUCAGCGCGCCCUCCUCGGUGUCUUUUCGGGACAGGGCGUCGGCGACGGUGUUCGUGGCACCCGAGCGGUACUCCACCUCGAAGUCGAAGCCCAGGAGCUUUCCCACCCAAUGGUGUUGAGGGAUGGUGGCCAGCCGCUGGUCGAGGAGGUACUUGAGACUGAAAUGGUCAGUCUUGACGGUGAAGUGCCGACCCCACAAGUAUGGCCGCCAAUGGCGAACGGCCUGGACCAAGCCGAUAAGUUCGCGCUCAUAGGCGGCGAGGGCGCGAUGCCGGGGAGCGAUUGGCCGGCUGAAGAACGCGACCGGGUGUCCCUCCUGGACAAGCACCCCGCCGAACCCUGUGGCGGACGCGUCGCACUCCACCACGAACGGCUUGCUGAAGUCCGGCAUGGCGAGCACCGGGGCGGAGGACACGGCUGCCUUGAGUGCUGCGAACGCUGUCAUAGCCGCGUCGUCCCAGACGAAGCCAUCCUUCUUGAGGAGGGCCGUCAACGGGGCAGCCACGGUGCCGUAGUUGUGGACGAAGCGGCGGUAGUACCCGGCAAGGCCGAGGAAACCGCGAACUGCCCGGACCGAGCGAGGUGGCGGCCAGUCGCGGAUGGCGGCCACCUUGGCCGGAUCCAUAGCCACCCCGGCUGCCGAGAUAAUGUGGCCGAGGUAGGAGACGGCCGGCGCGCCGAAAGAGCACUUCGAGCGCUUGACGAAGAGCCGGUGGCGCUGCAGCUCGUCGAGAACCGCCCGGAGAUGGCGGAGGUGAUCGGCCCAGGUUUUGCUGUAAAUUAGAAUGUCGUCAAAGAAUACCAGGACGAAACGGCGGAGGAAUGGUCGGAGCACGUCGUUCAUCAGCGCCUGGAACGUAGCCGGAGCGUUGCAGAGUCCGAACGCCAUCACGAGGAACUCGUACAGGCCAUCGUGCGUGCGGAAGGCGGUCUUGUGCACAUCCUCCGGCCGCAUCCGCACCUGAUGGUAGCCGGACCGAAGGUCGAGCUUAGUGAAGAACUUGGCGCCGUGGAGCUCGUCGAGCAGCUCCUCUACCACCGGGAUCGGGAACGCGUCUUUGAUGGUGAGGGCGUUCAGGGCUCUGUAGUCGACGCAGAAACGCCAGGAGCCAUCGGGCUUCUUGACCAAGAGAACCGGUGACGAAAACGGGGAGUCGCUGCGGCGCACGAUCCCUUGCUCGAUCAUCGCGGCGCACUGACGCUCCAGCUCGUCCUUGUGGGCAGCCGGGUAGCGGUACGGGCGGACAGCCACCGGCGAUGCGUCGGGCUUGAGGAGGAUGCGAUGGUCGUGGGCGCGCUUGGGAGGCAAGCCCGAAGGAGCGGCGAAGAGCCCCCCAAACGAGUCCAGGAGAGCCUCCAUCAACGCAUCCCCCCCUGUCAUGGUGCGCACCGCCGGCUGCGCUGCGCGUGGGGUACCCGUCCAGGAGACCGAGCGCCCUGGGCGCUGAAACGUCAUGCGGCGGGUGGCGAGGUCCCACACGAUCGGUCCCAGGGCCCCCAGCCAACGCGUGCCGAGGACGACGUCGUACCCGGCCAACGGCAUGACGAAGAGAUCGGCCGGGUAUGGUUCGCCCUCGACGAGGAGCGGCGCGUUGCGGAGGACGCCGGCACAGGAGAUCCGCUCGCCGUUAGCCACCAUGGCCGUGAGACGUGGACGGCGCUGGAUGGGGAGGCCCGACCGGUGUGCUGCCGUCGCGGAGAUGAAGUUGUGUGUACUGCCCGAGUCGAGCAGCGCCACCAGGGAGGCCGGACCGAGGGUGACCGCGAUCUGCAUGGUGUCAGUCGGCGCCACCCCGGCCACCGCCUGCAGGGAGAAGAGCGGGGCGUUGGGCUCGGCCGCGCCCGUGUCCCCGUCGACCCCGGUGUCAUCGAUCUCCACCCCAUCCACAAAAAAGAGACGCCUGCAAAAACGAUUGUGGCCCCGAGAGUACUUCUCGUUACAAUUGAAACAUAAGCCUUGCCGACGACGAUCCGCCAUCUCCUCGGGUGACAGGCGGCGAGCGCCCUCGCCGCGCGCGUGUGCUGCACCCACCGGCGGCGCUGGCAGGGCCAAGGGAGGAGGUGGCGCCGGUAGUGUCGGAGCGGCUGGUCGUGGAGGGGGCGCCGGCAGAAUACCCCGCGCUGCCGGUCUUGUCGCCGCCUGGACGCGGGCGAUCUCCAGCUGUUCCACCUCCCGCGCCAGGCUCAUCGCGGCGCUGAGAGUGUCGGGGUGUAGGAUGCGCACCGAGUGACUGAGCGGCGGCAGCAACCCCCCCGUGUAGAGCUGGACGCGCUGCGCCUCCUCCAUCGGACCGGCGUGGGGUAGGAGUUCCUGGAAACGGUUGGAGUACUCUUCGACCGAGCCGGUGCGGCGGCAUUUGGUGAGCUCGAAGAAAGGCGCGGACCGGCUGGUCGGCCCGAAGCGCAGGUUGAGCUGCUCCUUGAACCGGCGCCAGGACGGGGUGCCGUCAUCCUCUUGCAGCUGCAUGUACCAUAGUUGCGCGGUGCCUUCGAGACUGUAUGAGGCCAUCCACACUUGCUCCUCUGGCGAGGAACGAUGUUGGCGAAAGUAUGACUCACACUUGUUGAUGAAGAGGAGAGGAUCGGUCUUGCCAUCAAACCGAGGGAAGUCCCAUUUCUGGAACUUAGGCAGGCGGUCGGUGUCGCGAGGGCGUUCCUGCAUGGUGCCGCCGGCGGACGACGACGCGGACUUCUCUUUGAGGCCGGAGAUGUCGGCCUGCAUCUCCUGCAUCAUCUUCACGACGUCGGCAAGGGUGUACUCCGACAUGGUGCUGGGGGCAGAGGAGCGGGUGGGAGAUGGUGGUGUUGUGCGGCUGGUGGGGGGUUCGGUGGACUGGGAAUUGCUGGACGAAGAUCGCCGGACUCGUGAUACCAAGCUGUCAAGGACCUGGAAUCCCCGACUUGCCGGACCACGGCUACGUAGCUCGUAGCCGUCGGCCGUCCUCUCCGGUUGGGGUUAUGCCCCCCUAACCGCAGGCUUGUGAGGCUGGAGGUGGAAGAAGAGACAAAUUCCUUAUUGCUAUAACCGUGCAGCAUAGCUGGGUAUAUAUGGCCGUCGGCCACCUACAAAUGGAGCAAGUCUCCUUGAUUUUCUCUAGCCUGAUUGAUUGCUUCUUUCCUAUUCUUAUCCCUCUUUCCUAAUCUCAGCCCCUGCUAUCUGUGGCUGAUUUGCAGCACCUGAUUUUAGCCCUCUUUCCUAAUCUCAGCCACUUGCCAUUGGUGGCUGAUUUGCAGCAUGCGCUGCUGCCUGCUCUGCGGCCGCGCGCUCGGUUGCUCGCCGGACAUCACGCGCGCGCCUGCGCCUAGUGAAUGUAUUACCGUACAUGACACAAGGUAAAUAUGAAAAUGAAAACGGUAGAGGUAUUUUUCCGACCGUUUUCAUUCCUACGUACGAACGAUCCGGUCCGUACACCCGUGCCACUAGGUGGCUGAAGACUGUACUUGCCAUCCAAAAAUGUAUACUAGUCAAGUGCUCCGGCGUUGCAACGGUAAAUAAAAUAUUCGACAAAGUAUUAGUGCACAACGAUUACAUAAAAAUAAAUAUCACAUAUUAUUGAUCUCAAUCCUAUAAAUUCUUUGUUAACAACCAAUACAAAAUUUCAGGGAGCAGGUCGUGGGGAGGGCACGAGAGGUUGGGGACGAAGAUGGUUUGGACCCGAAGGCAGGUAGGACAGGGAAGUGCGUAUGACAGCAGGUUGAUUCGUAGAAUUUUAAGGGGUAUUUGUAAAAGUAGUCCAUAUUAUUGCCAGCUACUAUCCAAAUUACUGCUUUUGUUUAUCUGAACAUUUUAGUAAUCUAAAAUGAUGAAUACAUUCAUAGCAAAUGCAUGUUAGCAACAUGAUUUUUUUUGGUUCACAUAGGAGCAGGAGAUAACCUCAACCAAAAUGCCAUGUGUUUCUAUUUUCUAACCAGCAGGAGCUUUGUACAUCACAAAAAAAUAUUGCAUAAAUGAAUUUCUAUCAAGAUGAUAAGGAGUAUCAGUAAGUCUCUACAACAAAUAGCAUCAUGUGUUAAAUUCAUCACUUAUUGUAACUUUUCUGUCGAAGAAAUAACUGAGAAUAGCAUCAAGCCACAGACGAUUGUAGUAAAAAAAUUGAUGCUCCUUCCAAAAAUUGAUGCAAGAAAAAACAUAGGGGAAAAACAAAAAUAUUUGGAUAGUAAUAAAGAAAAAAUAUCUAUGCACAUGUAGCUUCAUCAGAUCGAUGUACAGCCACAAUUAGCAAGGUGCUAGAACCAAUUUCAUGUCAAAACAGAAGGCGACACAAUCACAUUUAGGUUAGUUGGAGACUCACUAGACGGUAUAUUGUGAGGCGGAGGGGCUCAAGACGGUAUGUUGUGAGGCGCAGGGUCUCGAGAACAGGAUGUUGGAAGUGUUGCUGCUCCAGCUCGUGGCUACUGUGGGGUGAGCUACAUAAGGCUGCCAGGACGGCGGUUGGGAACGCAGACGAGCAAGGAUGGUGGGCACGAUAAGGUUGGCGCAUGUGUUGAACGAGGGCUAGUGAGGGUGGAGGGUGUGAUAAGGCUAUUGGGUGAGCGCAAAAUGCGUAGACAGCGGGUGGGCGAGAAUGGCGGGUGCGGCAUGCACGGACGCGGUUAGAGCAGACACGGCAAGAACGAAGCAUGAUGUGGAUUUUGUGAGGCCGCGGAUGGAGCACAUGCGGUUACUUGUGGGUUCAUGGCGAGCGGAGGGGUUGCGAGAUUUCUAGGGCGCUCGGGCCGGUUGGAAGCUCCACGACAAUGGAGGCAUGGUAGAGGCGGCGUGGGGAGGGAGGUCGCGAGGAGGCGACAGGCGGAUCAUUGAAGUGAGGAGGGAGGUCGCGCGGAGAUCCGGAUGAGCGGAGGCAUGGCGGAGGUGGAGUGGGGACGGAGGGCGCGGGGAGGUGGCGUGGGGAGGUAGGUUGGGGAUGACCGUCUUUUUUGCUUUUUGGCCCUUUUGGGGAAAGUUUUUCACAAGUAAGCCCUUUUUAGUUUCAAUUCAGAAAAUGGACCCUUACCUCGACGCCAUCAUUAUUUGCGCCAAGGUUACACGUCUCGAUGCCAAUAUAAAUGGCACCAAGGUAUCGCUCCGGAGCGCUGAUGUGGCACAUACGUGGUAGGGGUUGGCGCUGUCACUAUUGACGCCGACCCCUGCUGCCCGCAAACGGCCGCUUGGCCCUUGCGUUCGUGCGUUAGUAGCCCUCCUAAUAACGACAGACGUCUAGGAUAAGUUGCCCUUGCACUAAUGGACGUCUAGGAUAAGUCUUAAACGCUUCCUGGAUUUAUUUCCCGUUCCUUCACGUUAGUAACCUGAAAAGAAAACACGUACAAUGGCAAGUACCUAUCAGUUGGCAUGUAGCUGAAAUUAAAACUCGUAACACUAUGGCUAUGACCUGGAGCACGUACAUAUGAUUGCUGGAGACAACGAAAAAUAGAAGUUGUUGACAAACUGUUGUAAAUAGAAACUGCGUGCUAAUAUAUAUAGAUAUGAUAUUAGGAGCCCUAGGCUUCCAAUAGCUGGGCGAAAGCCCUGACCGGAUGUUGCCAACCGGUUCAGCCGCACCAGGUCCGAAGCAUCUAUAAAAGAAGCUCCAGAUCGCUAGGGUUCAGUUUUAGCGACGCCGGCAGUUACGCCCCCAUCCUCGAGAGGUGCGCGCGGCGGCGGAUCCUGGGAGCAAGCGCGCGACAGCGAAUCUGGGGGACAUGCUCGCGACGGCGCAUCCGGGGAACACGCUCGCAGCGGCGGAUCCCUAAGGCCAGCGCGCGGCGAUGGCCCCCCUGAGGUGCGCACAACGGCGAGGUGGGAGCGGCUGCGACAUCGGAUCCCGAGGGCACAAACGCGACAGCGGCCCCAUGAGGUGCGCACGACGGCGAGGUGGGAGCGGCCGCGUGGCAGAUCCCGAGGGGCACAAGCGCGGUAGCGUCUCCUUGAGGUGCACGCGGCAGCGACUGCUUAAGGUGCGCACGACGGUGACGUGGGAGCGGCUGCGGCGGCGCGACGGCUGAUCUCGGGGGCACGUGAGCAACGACGGCACCCCUAAGGCGUGCAUAACGACGAGGUGGAAUGGCUGGUGCGAUAGAUCUCAGGAUGCACGCGCGCGAGGGUCAACCCCUGAGCGUGUACUACUGCGAUGUCAUCCAAGGUGGGAGUGGCGAUGGCGGACUUCCCUAGGCGUGAGCGACGAUAGCAGCCUCCCUAGGCACAAAGUGGUGGCGCAUCCUAGAUGUGAGGUGGCGGUUUCGCAGGGCAGUGGUCCUAUUUUUAUGCUAUUUUGUAUAUAUAUUUAUGCCAAUGUCAAUAGGUUUUUAAGACCUAUAUUUCAGUUCAUGGCUCCGCUUCCAUCUAUUUGUCUGUUUAUGAUAUUUCUAUUGACAUUAUACGCAAACGAUUUAUUGAUUUUAUGCAUUAUCUCGUUUACUUAAUCCAGCGUGUUUUGGGUUUCUACCAUUUAUGCCAUAUGCAUAAGAUAAAUUUACGACUCACACAUUUACACAACAAAAUAGAAAUUUAGAAAAAGGUAACCGCUCUAAGAAAUGAGGUCAUUUGCCACGAUUCCAUAAAUCUCGCGUAUGCCGGUCCAUUUCCUUUUCAACCCACAUUUUUGCCAUUCUAAAUUUGUGCACAUGCAGUAGAAAACAGAUUGUUUUACCAGUCUACCGUAGGGCAUAAAUAACUUCACCAUGUUGUAUAAUUAGUAUCAAUAUAUAUCAUAAACUGGUUCUAAUGAGCUUUGAUGCAUGGAUGUUGGAGAUAUCCUAUAUUUAUGGAGGAAAUAAAGCAUUUAAAUCAGAUUUUUCCCAUACAUGUUUUCGUUAUGAAAUAGAUCGAUGAUUUACACUAAAAUUCAUACCCAUUUACGCUGUUUUGGUUCACAUUUUACGCUGAAAUCCACCUGAGCUCCCACACACGACCCGAUCCAUAUCUUCUGUUUCGAUAUAUAUGGUAACUUCCAGCUUCGUGGGCGCGCUAAUCACGGUGGUGUGUGGACCCACCUGAACGAACCAAUGAAAAGUUUGUUGUCGCUCUCCUGUUAUGCAAGUCUAAACCAUUAAAUAUGCUAGCAUAAACACGAGUAGGAACCAACUACCCGACCAGCGAACACGACGCUGGCCCACCUUCGUCCAUCCUAACUCGACCCCAUCACGUGCGGACCUUCUGUUUACGCAAAACAUAACACAUGUUUACGCAUGCAUAAACGUGUCCCACAAUCGCGCGGACGCACAUGCCCCACUGGCCUGACCUGACCACGCGCGUAGAGAUGGCAAUGCGUACCCGGAACUCGAAACCCGAUGGGUUUUUACCCCAUUAGGGUACGUGUUUGGGUCAAUUUUCAUACCCAUGGGUUUGUUAAUGGGCAUAAAUGUAUACCCGACGGGUUCAUGGGUACGAGUUUGUUCCUAUAGUACCCAAACCCGUGAACCCGUGGGUUUUUUAAACCCGACCAAACCUAGUGCAUAUUGUCAUUUUAUUUUAUAAACGAACAACAAACAUGUUAUCUACCUAUUUACUUCCUAAUUUUUGUUAAAUAGUGAAUGUAUAAGUAGUUGGUGAGAGUGUUGCUUGCUUGCUAUUAUACGCGCGUGACCACUACCCUGGCUGGGACUUCCCAUGUCUAUCGGAAGCCCAGGACUUACAUUACCGACAUCAUAUAUAUAUAUAUAUAUAUAUAUAUAAUAAGGAUUAAGCUGAAGUCUUCAGAAAGUUCGAAUUCCUCAAUAAUCCAUUGUGCUUUUGUGUGAAAAAAAUAGACCGUACACAUACCAACAGCUUAAUGUGGAUAUUAGUUUGUGUUUUCGAAAUCAAAUAAGUGAUUAAGCAUGUCCAUCAAACAAUACCAAUGCACGUCAUCAAAUCACUUGUUCAAAUAAAUGUUUUUUUUGUUUAGCACAAGCAAGCAUUAGUUGUGUUGGUUACAGACGUUAGCAUUAAUCUUUGUCGUCGUUGGUUCAAACCCCAAUAGACUCAUGUUUUUUGGUGUCUCCAUUUAUUUUGUACACUGUAAUACCCAAAGUUGUAGACCAUAGAAAACAAGGAUAACACUCUUGUGUAUUUUGCUUCAAAAUACUAUCAUAUGAGAACACUCACUUUUAAAAGAAAAAUAUCAACAAAAGACACAUGAACAACUUAUGCAUCAUAUUGGAGUUUUGUUUGUGCAUUGAAUAAUAAUAACACUAAUAAAAUAUAAUAUGAGUUGAAGAUUUGGAUCAAAACCUAAAUUUGAAAUUGGGAUUUGAAAAAUGGAAAAGAAGAGAGAAAUACUAUAAAAUACAAAAUGAAUUUAUAAAUAAAUAGACUCAACCCAUAAAGGAAUGUCCAAGUCAUACAUUCAAAUCUAAGUACAAAUUCACUACAAAAUUUGAAUUCAAAAUUGAGACUCAAAAAUAAAAAGGAAAAGAUAAUAAAGAAAAAGAAAAAGAAAGGUGAUAGCUACUCGGGCUGGGAUGCCAUUUUGGCCCAUCUUCACUCACCGCGCAGCCCACCCGCGGAAGCAGUCGCCGACAACUGAGGCCUAGUCGUCAGAGGCUAUUCUUGCGCUCGCUCGCGUAUACAACUAUCACCAUAGCGCGGACCCACUCUGUCAGCCUCACUUCGCGGUGCGCUCUCCAUGCUAGCCUCAUACCAACUGACCAGUGGGGCCCCUUUACUGCUCAUCUUCCGUCGCGGUAAUAGAACUCCGAUGGCCCCGGGAGCACGGUGCUAACUCCGGAUCCAAUCCUCUUGGGGAUAAAAGCUAGCCCUCGCGCCACUCGUCGACUAGACAUACCUCCACGUCGUGAGCCUCUUGUGCAUCAGCCUCUCCUCCAUCAUCGAGCGAUGUGGGUGAUUGUCGGUGCACAACGAAGAAGGAGACCGCGGCCACCGUCAGUGGGACCACGACCGCGCCGAAGUUCAGCCCUCGAGCCUUGGACCUUUGCCCGUCCCCAGGGAACAUCUCAGUGUCGUUGGGUGAGGGUGGGAGGCUGUGGAGGACCUUGGAUUAUCGUCGGUGCCCCAGAACCACCGUAGAGCCACCGGACAUCGUCGCCUGACCCCUGAGCCGCUCAAUCGUCGGUAAGGAGUGGUCAACCAUAUUCGCCAUGGUCCCUACUUUGUUUAUCCUCUAGCAUAUUUGAGGGAUCAUGUGUUUGGGCCUGGUUCAUCGUCGCGCCGGCAAUGGCGCCGCCGUCGGUGCUCGGGCGUCGGCGGGUCUCAGCGAUAGGGUGGCGGUCGGAUCGCGACCGUUGGAUUGGAAAUAGACGAGCGAGAUUAGAAGGUCCAUACCCAUUCAGCUGUUGAAUCCGCGCCGUUGGUGUGGAUCUUGCGGCUACGAUUUAAUUUCGCCUCGGAUCGAUCUAUGUCGUAGAUUAGCGAUUGUGCGACCAAGAGAGAGGGAGAGAAGAUCGUGCGCCAUGGGUCGUGGAUUUCAGAUCCGACGGUGGUGAGUGAAAGCGGGAUUUUAACCAAAGCCGAUCUAAUAUGGGCCAUUCGUGCUCGAUCUAACGACUGAGAUCGACUUAUACCCCUUCGUUGUGCACGUUUUGCAGAAAAGCCCUUCUAUUUUUAGAAAACCAACCUGCAGUCCAUCUCGGGUUUGCACUGAGUCUGGGGAGAAUUGCGAGUUAGACCCUGUGUUUCUGAGUAAAUGACGCACAUUCCAGAGGGAAAAAAAAUAGAGAAACAAUUCGGGAUACUGAUUUUCAAUACAAAAAAAUUUAGAAACUUGUAUAAAUCAUAUUAAAUUCAUUUUAGCUCCAAUUUGAUCCAUUCCAGUUACAUUAAUUUUGUUUUAAUAUUGUCUAUCACUUAGUACCUCUAUUUAGCCAUGAAGCUUGAAUUAAAAUUGUUCAUUUGAAUUAAUCUAUUCUAAGUGCUAAAUAACUUCAUAAAUGCAUAACUUAAUAACCAUAGAUCCGAAUUUAGUGAUUCUUGUUCCUACGAUCUCGUUACACAACAUAGAAUAUUAUUAUGCAUUCUAUUCUACUGUUUGGUGUGAUGUUAAUUUUUGCUAUACUUUGUAUUUUUGCAUUGAUGCGAAUAGACGAGCAAGCCACAGAGGAUCCAGGGGUUCAUAAGGUGGAGACUGUUGAGUAGGAGCUCAUUGAAGGCAAGUUGUGCCCUUGACCACUUCUUUUUACCUAGUCAUGUUCUUAUUAAUCAUAAUGAUCUGCAUAGGUUAAUUUUGAUGGGACCCAAUAGGUUACCCUAGUUUGGCUAUCUUUAUGCCUUGUUUUACCACUGAAUUUUUGGGUAGUACAUGCUAUUGCUUUAUGUGGUUUUGGGUAUGGAGAUAUACAUUACUCAUGUUCACACUUUUAUUAUUAGUUUAUUAUUUACUGUUCAUGAUAAGAUCAUUAUGUUAAUUGGAACAUGGAGAACCACCCGGGAAAACAGUGCUACCACAAGGGUGGUAUGGGACGCCCUUGGCUGACUAACUAGGAAAGCUAGUGGAGGACUACCUUACCCGAUAGGGGCAAGGGCAGUAGGGGAGUGGUCAGUGUGGGGAGGCCCUUGGGUUGAUUUUGCUGCGAUGGCGGUCAGGCGAAGGGUCCCUGCACUGGAGCUUCCUAGAAACUAUAGCGGGGUUUCAGAAGCUUGUGGAACUUUGUAAAGGCCUCGUAGUGGAACCCUGCUUCGCUUCCUUGGUAGAGGUGUAGGGGUCUGAUCAACUCCGUGGCAAAUGGGUACAUGACUUGUGGGUAAAGAUGCGCAACCUCUGUACAGUGUAAAACUGGUAUACUAGCCGUGCUCACGGUCAUGAGCAGCUCGGACACUCACAUGAUUAAUUUAUGGAAUUAAAUUCAAUUUGUCAAUUGCAUUGCAUUGGGAUUAUUUAUUAUUAUUUUGACUUACUAUUACUAUGGUUUGGUAUUUACUUACAUUUAGUAACUACUAAUAAAAUUUUGACCAACUUAUAAAAGCAAUGCUCAGCCUUAACCUUUAUUUAUUGACUAGCCUUACACUUCACAUGAACUCCCACCUUUAGUGAGUUCAUGCACAUUAUUCCCCACGACUUGUUGAGCUAUGAUCUUUUGUGAGCACACUCUUGCGAUACAUAAAGCCCCCCACAGGUGAAGAGCAGGUGGUCGAAGAGGAACCACACAACGAGGAGUUCGACCUGAUCUAGGUGGCGUCUCUCAGUUAGCUUUAUGGCGUCAGGGAAAUAAUAUUUAGUUUGCUUUAUUUUUAUCAUUUAUUUUGCAAGACUUUCGCUAGGUAAUAAGUACAUUUAUGAUAUUUAUGACAUUUAUCUCUAUACAUUCUGUCAUUAUAUGUGUAGUUCUUCCUUGGCGCACAUAUGAGACGCACCUGGCUUUAUCCUUUAAAUUCGAGUGUGACAUACACAUGACCAUGCACGGGCGCGGGCGUGAAGCUGGGCCUGGUCAUUUGUGGGCACCGGGGAUCCGCACCAUGACAUUGACCCCUGCCACAUAGGUGACACGUCAACGCUCCGAAGCGAUACCUUGGUGGAAUUCAAACUGAAAAGGGCAUACGUGUGAAAAACUUUCUCAAAAGGGUCAAAAAGCAAAACAUACGGUUGGGGAUGGCGGCGUGAGGAGCGAGGUCGAUGAAAAUGGUGUGGGCCCAGAGGAAGGCGGGACAGAGAAGUGUGCAGGACAGUGGGUUGAUUCGUAGAAUUUCAGGGGGUAUUUGUAAAAAAUGACGCAUGGCGACUGUUGAAACUGGUGCUUUAAUAUAGUAGAGAUAAUCGAAAGACAUAACACGAAUCAGAGUAGGUAGUCGCCAGAGGACGCCGUCUAGGACACAAGAAUGGAGGGAGGUCGUCACUUGGGCCACCUGAACUGCGCCUGUAUUGGAGGAUGUCACGUGCGACCGUCGUCGCGAACACCUCGCGCCUUCGGUGAUGCCGCUUGAACACCUCAUGCGGCGCCGUCGUUCGUGGGUUAGGGUGUGUCACCGUCGCUCGGGUCUAGGGGUGUGUCCCUGCUUGCCCGCCCGCCUUGGGAGUGUCACUGCUCUCACCCGCCUCAGGCCCCCGGGUAGCCGCCGCUUGCCCGCACUAUGGCCUCAUCGUCGCUCGCCCUUUGGAUCGAGGAGUCGCCGCCACUGCGCUACCGAUCUGGGAACCAUCGCCGCUACUCCGAAUCGAAGCACCAGCUCCACCGCGCGUCUAGGUCGGGGAGCUUCCGCCAUCGUAACCGCCGGACAGAGGUCCACCGCCGCAGGCGCUCUCGAGCAACCGCCGCCAUCGCACGUGCUAGGUUGGGCGUCGUUGCUCCUAAAUCAGGGUGAGGCGUCAAAAACUGAACCCUAGCGCUCUGGGUCUUCUUUUAUAUUCGCUGAGACUUGGUCCGGCUCGACCGGAUGGCACUGUCUAAUCUGGGCUUCCUCUACAUGAGCCGCAUGGCACACUAUAUUUCCCCAUCCUGGAUACACUAGUGGUCCGCAUUCAACAUCUCUGUGCUAGCAGCUAUACUAAAUUUUAAGUUUGUAAAUGAGGCAUAUUUUUAAAAGUGUUGACACAGUGACAAUGUAAAGUAGUGUUUUAUAAUUGUUGAGAUUGAGAUAGAGAAAAAAAAAACUUUUAUAGGGUGUUUGGUUUGAGGAAUGAGCUAGUCCAUUAUCUUCUCACUCUUCACUUUAUUUGUUUGGUUUGUGGAAUGGAAUAAGUUGAUCCAUCAUCACCUCAUUCCUCAUGGUUAGUUAUUACUAAUAUGAGGAAUGUGGUCAUCCCAUCAAAUUUGAGGAAUAGAUCUAUGAUGCACCACCUCAUUUUGGAUGGAGCGAUUCCUCAAACAAACACCCCACUAAUGUCUUAAAAGACGCUGGGAAUUGAGGCCUCCCUCGUGCUUCUGCGGGCGACAACCUAUGCGCAUGCGACACCUAACAAUCUGGACCCAAAAUUUUAUCUUCAAUCAACCUAUUGAUGUUCUGGUUCCGUGCUCCUCUCUCCCUCCCACUCUCCGGUCUCCCAUGUCGUCUCGUCCGCCUCUCUCUCUCUCUUGUUCCAGAUCUGUCGAGCCCUGUCUCCUCCCAACCUCACCACUAGGCAUGUGUCCCUGCUGUCCCCCGUGUUGGACUCAUCCAACCGCUGCUUCAGAACGUGCACUAGGUGGGUUGACCACACGGUGGAUGCGCCCGCCUCCUCAGCCACCUCGCCAUCUUCGUCUUCUCCGAGGCCUCAGCCACUAGUACACAGAGCCUCUAUAGUGGCGGUUCUAGAGACGUUUGCACUGGCGUUUUUCAGUGCCGCCAGUGCUAGGGGCUAGUGGAAAUCGCCAUUUCCACUGACGGUUAUUCAAGAACCGCCAGUGGAAAUAGCAUUUCCACUGGCGGUUUUCUUAAGAAACCGCCAGUGAAAAUAGCAUUUCCAUUGGCGGUUUUAUUAAGAAAACCGCCAGUGGAAAUGUUAUUUCCACUGGCGGUUUGUUUUAUUUAGCCGCCAGUGGAAAGUUUUCCCGCCUUUUUUAAAAUUUUCGUACUGAAAUUUAUAUAUUUACACACACAAACACAUAUAUAUAUAUUGAUAUUGAUAAACAUGUAGUAUUGAUAUUAAAAGCAACAUGGAAUUAAAUUCUAUCAUACAUUUAUAUACAUCAAAGUCUUGUUUACAACCAUGUAUGCAUCACACAUUAUAUACAUCAAAGUUUUCACUUAAGCUCUAAUAACUAUCUCGGCUAAGAGAUAGUCUACUAAUUUCUGUUAGUAUUCUAAACUCUGGCAAAGCUAAUGUUCCGGAAGCAUCGUGAUAUUUCCCUUCUACGGGAAUGACCUCUUUCAAUAUGAAUGUGCACAGGUCCUCAACUAUGCCAUACAAUGCACCUUCAGUCAAGUUCUCCGGGCUUCCUUGUUGAAAUUGCUGUAAAGGAAGUUUAUAAACAUUAUCUAUUUAUACUCAAUAAUAACACAUUUGCAUCUUUAAUGACAUAAAUACAUACGUGACUAUUACUAAUAAUACCUUGCCAGGGUUCGUGAUGUAUCGUCCGUUCAUUCUCAUGAACUCGCACACGUAGAACCCACAUAGGACCGAUCCGGGUGGUUGCUUGUGGCACUACAUAACGGGAGAUUGGUUAUUUAGUUGCAACAUUGUCCUAUGUACGUACAUGUAUGAUAUGUAUUCAUAAAUUCACAUACUUACCGGCCAGUUAUAAUGGAUGUCUAGUGGCACGCCUUUUUUGGACGUGUCGUACUUUCCACCUCGUAGCUUAUAAAACCUAAAUGCCCUGUGAUCUCAAAUAGAAUCACCAUGUUAUUCUACAAUUCUCAUCGAUAUAAGUAUGCAUGCAUAGAAAAGGCUUACAGCUCUAAGAUGCCGAGGAAUUUUGAAUAGGCCGAAGGCUCGGUGUGCAAGGAGUCGAGCACCAGCACCUUUCCAACCUUAGGAUAAAUGAAGAAGCAUAUCCUGUGGUCCCUGUACAAAUCAAACUUGUGAUACAUGUGUAUUGAAAUUAUUAAUUUUAUUUAUGCAAAAUCACACUUACUUAAAGUUGUACGGGGCCACUAUGGAUUCCCUGUCUUGAAAUUGAAGCAUUGCGUGUGCUAUGUAGGUGGCGUAUCUUGCUUCAAAAUCCUUCUUCAGAUCCUGGAUACGCACCUCAAUUUCUUCGUCCGUUAGUGUCCGUUAGUCCCUGUAAUGCUUCGUUGCCUUUUCCGAUUCUAAAAGUGUGGUUAUCCUCGCAUAUCUUUAUUGGGUUGAGAUACCCAACCCUUUUACUAGCACUAGCAUUGGGAUUGGUACCAUAAAGGAUCUCCUGCUGAUCAUGUUGCAUUCUGCAACGCACACGUGCAUGUCAGAUAUUGAAAAUUUAUACAACUCACUAAUAAUAACACAUAUAUGUGGAGUAUGAGUGACACUUACAAUGCAAAUAUGGUUACAAGUUGCACGUCGAGUCUCUGAAGGUUGAUUAACCACAUGUCCUCGAAUGCAACAACGACUUUUUGAUUUGAACCAAUAAAAGCAUGGGCUGGUAUAUUAACACUGAUGGUGUCGAUGCCAACUGAAGAUGCCCGCAUGUACCAAUCAUGCAACCUUUUAAUAUUAGCCGGGACCUUCAUUAGUUUCUCAAAAGUGAGUAGUGAUCUACCCAGCACAUAUUUUUUAGGCACGUUUUUAUAAUCUGCCUUAGUUGGCUUCUUUAUCUUUGCGGCCAUUGCCUCAGCCUUUUUUGCGGACUCCUCGAGAUCGGCCAAAUCUCUGACGUGAGGCUCCGUCCAAUCCCUUUCAAAAAACGAGCUGUGCCAGUAGUGGAUUUACUCUUCUUUUUCUUCUCGAACGGGGACACUAAUUUUGGUAUAGAAACUUUAGAUUUCUUUGAUGGUCGUGGAGAUGGCUGUGGAGAAGGUGGAUCCCUGAAGGGCGAUGUAUGUGGCGGAGACGGUGGGCCACCAUGAGGAUGUGGAGAAGGAGGGUCAGAAAGAGGAUGAGGAGCAGCAUGUGCAGUUUGAGGAGGUGAUGAUGGAUGUACAAUAGGAACAACAAUUUGAGAAGGCGGAGACGGUUGGGCCUGCGAUGACGGCUGUCGUGGUGGAUCAACCAAUUCGACAUCCCUUCGAGGCCAAAGGAUAAAAUUCUUGAUAUCUUGUCCAAGUGUCUCGAUACCUUCGGGCCCAGGGAUGUCUAGCAUGUCGUCCUCGUAUCCUUGGAUGACUGUCGUCACUUCUACCUUGCAAUAUUCUUCUGGAAUGUCGUUUCCAUGGAACUUGCGUCCUGGGAUCGCAAGGCCUGUGGCUACUUUCUUUGUACGCUGAUUGUUAAUACCAUAUCUUAUAACUAGUGUGCAUGCCAUAGGCCUUGUGAUGUCAUCAACUGGAUAGCGGACCUUAUUUCCCGUUGACGAGACAGAGCUUGGGAUGGUCGUACCCUCGGUGGAAGCCGACGUUUGAGCUGCUGGAAUUAUUUGCAUCUGUGGAGUGGUCAUCUAUUGAACAGACAUCGCACUCGCCAUCGCCAAUUGCUGCAUCAAUUCUGGAGGAGGAUUCGAUAGCAUUUCAGACAUCAGGCCUUUGAACUCUUUCUUGGCCUCCUCCUUAAAAUAAUUCGCCAUCUCUUCCUUGUAUCGAUCACGUUUCUUAUACAUACCUUCCCAUUGUGGUCCGAAUCCUUCCUUCCAUCCUUCCUUAGAUGAGAUUCCUCGUACACGACCAGGAUGCUCAGGGUUACCGAGACCAGCCGUUAGAAUGUCUCUCUCCCUUUGCGGCUUAAAUGUUCCUUGGCUCUGCUUAGCUGCAAUUGCAUAUAUGUUUUUUGCCGCUUCUUCGACAGUGGGAUCAUCAAAAGAUACACCAGACUCAGUUUCCCUUGGUUUUCUAGCACGGAUCCAAUUAGCUGUCCUUUCACCAAGUUGCUCGGACAGCGUCGGCAACCCUGCAGCCUUCUUCUCGGCGUCUUCUUGUCUCCAUUUAGGAACCUGACGCUUGUAACCACCUGUGCCAAGGUGGUGGCAGUAUUUGUUCUUCUUAGAUAGUUCCGAAUUUGCCUCACUUAGCGAUAUGAAAUCAGGGCUGCUCUUCUGCUCUUUAAAUACUGCCCACUGACCUGCUGAGAUUUUAUAUUUUUCGUUGGGUCUAGGUCUUUCUUUGCAAACUUUGUAUUCAUCUCAGACCUCCAGUUUCGGAAAUUGAUUGCAAACUGCUUCAUCGUGUAUUUUUUCACGAGUUCUUCUGAACCCCGAGGCAAAAUGAACCUCGUUAUUAGCUUAUUCCACAUUUGAUUCUUGACAUCAUCUAAUACAUCUCUCCACUGUCGGAUUGUGAUGUCAAGAUUAUCUCUAACUAAGAACCCAAGUGCAUUCUGGAACUUAGGCAGUGCCUCUUUUGGAGCUAGGGGCUGACCAUUCGGGCUCACGUCUGCGAUUUUAUAUGUCUUGUCAGGAAACUUGUUUAGCCCCCUGUCACCUCUAUUUCGAUCGCUCUGCUUCCUUUUCCUUGACCUCUCGGUGGUUGUCUCGGUCGAUUUCGGUGCGCCUUGGGUUGGUUCAGGUGCGCCUUGGGUCGGUUCCGGUGCGUCUUGGGUCGGUUCCGGUGCGUCUUGGUAUCGUGCCGCAGCUUUUUCGAGCAUCGCACGAAAUUGAGACAAGACCUCGUAUUCAUGUAAUAAAAUGCACAAGAAAUCAUGCAUGUGUAAUAGACAUUGUGAAAUCAGCUAAUUAAUUAGGUACACACACGAAAUUAAGGAUGUGUAAUUUACCUCAUGGUCUUGUGGAUCAUAAGUAGGGUCACGUUGCAACUCACGCGCAGCGGCCCUAUCUAUGCUAGUGGUAGGAAAAGGGUCGCUAGGCAUUUCAUAUCCUUCACUGCUGGAUUGUUCUUGAGCAACACUCUUGUCCAUGUGGUCGUGCCCUAAUCCUUGAUUGGAGAACUCAUUGAGCUAUAUAUAUACAAAUACAUAUUAACACAUAUUAACAUAAGCAAUAAUUAAAUUCAUAUUAACAAAUACCCUAACCCUUAACCACUAACACUAACCCUAAGCCCUAACCCUAACCCCUAAUAUUGUGAUACGGAUAUUAUCGAGUUACGUAUAGAGAAGGAGAGUCGUAUAGGACGUAGAGAGAGAGAGAUGGAGAGUCGUAUAGAACGUAUAGAGAGGGAGAGAGGGAGAGUCGUAUAGAACGUAGAGAGAGAUGGAGAGUCGUAUAGAAUGUAUAGAGAGGGAGAGAGGAGGAGUCAUAUAGGACGUAGAGAGAGAGAUGGAGAGUCGUAUAGAACGUAUAGAGAGGGAGAGAGGAGGAGUCGUAUAGGACGUAGAGAGAGAGAGAGAUGGAGAGUCGUAUAGAACGUAUAGAGAGGGAGAGAGGAGGAGUCAUAUAGGACGUAGAGAGGGAGAGAUGGAGAGUCGUAUAGAACGUAUAGGAGGAGUCGUAUAGGACGUAGAGAGAGAGAGAGAUGGAGAGUCGUAGGAAAUGGCGUUGUUAAUGAAGCUUUGAUUUUUUUUGCUUUGCUAAUGAAGCUUGAUGCAUACUCUUUGUGUGAGAGAGAAAAAGGACAGGUGAUGAGAACUCGCUCUGGUCAAGUGGGGUUCUGAUGAGUUGCUCUUAAUCGAAGCAACGCAAGUGUGUCGUACGUCGUCUUCUAAUUUCACUAGCUAAUAGUACUACAAUGGAAUACGUUGUUUGAGACAAUCAGACAACUAUUUGCCAGGUCGUGCCACAUGUAGCUGCAUGUCUCAUCGCACAUGCUUGCAGUAGGGAUGAUUCAGGGACAUCUGGUAGAGCUCACAUAACUCUAUAAAGCUAAACGGAUAAAAACUGAAUUGCUCCGUGGCAGAAGUGAAGUGAAUCUAGUCUACAUUUUAUACUAGAGAGUGGAAGCCAAAAAAACAUGCUUUCCGCUGCUCUCUCCUCUCUCUCUCUCUCCCUCUCCCUCUCUUUCCUCUCUCUUCCCUCCCUCCCUCUCCCUCUCUUUCCUCUCUAUUCCCUUUCCCUCUCUCUCCUCUCUCUUGUGGCGGAACUGCCCGAAUUAUUCCAACUUAAGUGCCUAAGUCCCGCCUUAGAGGCUAGACCACACUUAAAUGGGAAUAACCCGUCAAUCCCUCGGAUCUAGUCCGACACGGCUACUGACAGGAUCAAGUACCACAAUCUCACUCGAUGGUGAGUCACAGAGCAAAUACAAUAAAGCAUAAAACCAUGCAUUAAGGAGUAUUAAAUUAUUACAUCAUCAUCGGAGUUUUGCAAAAGUAGUCAUCAUUGUUUGAAGUGCAGUGGAAAUAAAAUAACGAUAAAUAAACAGAGAGAUGGGGAAGCCUGUCCCAUCACUCCUCAUGCUCCUCCUCAGCCGAGGCAGGGUCCCACUCGACAGUCCAACCCGGUGGCAAGAUGGACGGCCAAGUCACUCCAGCAACCAUGUCCUCCAGAGAACCUAUAAAAUUAUGCCACGAGCAAGGCUGAGUAUACUAAUUGUCGGCGUUUCGAGACCGAGGGGUCCCUGGGCCGACGAGUGAAUGUUGCCCCGUGCCCCAGCCCAGAUGGGUCGAGCGCGAGGGCGAGCGCGAAGGGGGGAGAGCGAGGCGGCCGGAGACCGGCGUGAGAGAGGUGGGAAUCCCGCGGCCUUCGUGUUCGUCCCGCGCCCAGGUCGGGUGCGCUUGCAGUAGGGGGUUACAAGCGUCCACGCGGGAGAGGGAGCGAGCGGCUCCAAGCGAGCGCCUGUCUCGUCCUCGUCCCCGCGCGGCCAACCCUCUCUAAGAGGGCCCUGGUCCUUCCUUUUAUAGGCGUAAGGAGAGGAUCCAGGUGUACAAUGGGGGGUGUAGCAGAGUGCUACGUGUCUAGCGGAGGAGAGCUAGCGCCCUAAGUACAUGCUGUUGUGGCAGCCGGAGAGAUUUUGGCACCCAGCUGGUGUGAUGUCGUGGCCGUGAGAGGAGCGAUGGAGCCUGGCGGAGGGACAGCUGUCGGAGCGGUCGAGUCCUUGCUGACGUCCUCUUGCUUCCGUAAGGGGGCUGAGAGCCGCCGUCGUCACAGAGUACGCGGGGCGCCAUCAUUGCCUGUCUUGCGGAGCUAGCCAGAUGGGACGCCGGUCUUGUUCCAUGCGGCCCGAGUCAGCUCGGGGUAGGGUGAUGAUGGCACCUCCUGUUGACGUGGCUGGUCUACGCCCUAGGUUGGGUGAUGUGGAAGCUCCUCCGAAGCCGAGGUCGAGUCUGUCUUCCGUGGUCGAGGUCGAGUCCGAGCCCCUGGGUCGGGCGAGGCGGAGUUCGUCGUCUUCUGGGGCUGAGCCCAAGUCCGAGCCCUGGGUCGGGCGGAGCGGAGUUCGCCGUCUUCCGGGGCUGAGCCCGAGUCCGAGCCCUGGAUCGGGCGGAGCGGAGUUCGCCGUCUUCCGGGGCUGAGCCCGAGUCCGAGCCCUGGGUCGGGUGGAGCGGAGUUCGCCGUCUUCCGGGACUUAGCCCGAGUCCGAGCCCUGGGUCGGGCGGAGCGGAGAUCGCCGUCUUCCAGGGCUGAGCCCGAGUCCAAGCCCUGGGUCGGGCGGAGCGGAGUUCGCCGUCUUCCGGGACUUAGCCCGAGUCCGAGCCCUAGGUCGGGCGGAGCGGAGAUCGCCGUCUUUCGGGGCUGAGCCCGAGUCCGAGCCCUGGGUCGGGCGGAGCGGAGUUCGCCGUCUUCCGGGACUUAGCCCGAGUCCGAGCCCUGGGUCCGGCGGAGCGGAGCUUCCUAUGAUGCCUUCGGCAGGGCCUGACUGCCUGUCAGUUUCACUCUGUCAAGUGGCACCGCAGUCGGAGCGGCGCAGGCGGCGCUGUCCUCCUGUCAGGUCGGUCAGUGGAGCGGCAAAGUGACAGCGGUCACUUCGGCUCUGCCGGCUGGGGGGCACGCGUCAGGAUAAAGGUGUCAGGCCACCUUCGCAUUAAAUGCUCCUGCGAUUUGGUUGGUUGGUGCGGCGAUUUGGUCAGGGUUGCUUCUUAGCGAAGGCAGGGCCUCGAGCGAGCCGGAAAUAUGUUCGUCGUUGGAGGGGGGCCUCGGGCGAGACGGAAAUCCUCCGGGGUCGGCUGCCCUUGUCCGAGGCUAGGCUCAGGGCGAGGCGUGAUCGAGUCGCUCGAAUGGACUGAUCCCUGACUUAAUCGCACCCAUCAGGCCUUUGCAGCUUUAUGCUGAUGGGGGUUACCAGCUGAGAAUUAGGAGCCUUGAGGGUACCCCUAAUUAUGGUCCUCGACAGUAGCCCCCGAGCCUCGAAGGGAGUGUUAGCACUCGCUUGGAGGCUCUCGUCGCACUUUUUUGCAAGGGGACCAGCCUUUCUCGGUUGCGUUUUGUUCUGGUGGGUGCGCGCGAGCGCACCCGCCGGGUGUAGCCCCCGAGGCCUCGGAGGAGUGGUUUCACUCCUUCGAGGUCUUAAUGCCUCGCGUAAUGCUUCGGCUGGUCUGGUUGUUCCCUCAUGCGAGCUGGCCGUAGCCCGGGUGUACGGUCGGGUCCCAAGUUCUCGGGCUGGUAUGUUGACGCUGUCAAUGGUUCGGCCGGAGCCGGGUUUGCGAGAGCAGCCCCCGAGCCUCUGCACAGGGCAAGAGGGCGAUCAGGGACAAACUCGGCUUUUUUACAUACGCCCCUGCGUCGCCUUUCCGCAAGGAGGAGGGGGGGAAAACGCCAUGUUGCCCUCGAUGGGCGCCGAACAUGGUGUCUCCGGUGAGCUGCAAGUGGGUGAUCCGAGUGGACGUCCGUGCUCCGUUCGUUAGGGGUCGGCUAGGGGCCCAGAGGCACGCCCAAAAGUACCUGCGGGUGAUCUGCCGGACCCGGUCGCCUGGCGACGGGGUCCGAGGGCUCGAUGCCUCCCUCCGAUGGGAUUCCGUUACAAGAUCGUUCCCGCUGGUCUCGGAAAUGUCCUAGGGUACCUCGGGAGCGCAGCCCGAGCCUUGGUUAUGUAUCGAACGUACCCAUGGUCAUCCCUCGCUCGGCGUCUGAGGCGGCUAUGAACCCUUUGGGGGCCAGCCUUCGAACCCCUGAUCAGUAAUGGGCGCUGUCGGGGACCAUAAUUAGGGGUACCCUCAAGACGCCUAAUUCUCAGCUGGUAACCCCCAUCAGCAUAAAGCUGCAAAGGCCUGAUGGGCACGAUUAAGUCAGGGAUCAGUCCACACGAGUGACUCGAUCACGCUUCACCCGAGCCUAGCCUCGGCCGAAGGCAGCCGACCUCGAGAGACUUCCGUCUCGCCCGAGGCCCCCUUUUUAUGGCGGACACAUCACCGGCUUGCCCAAGGUCUUGGCUUCGCUCAGAAGCAACCUUGACUAAAUCACCACACCGACUGACCAAAUUGCAGGGGCAUUUAACGCAAAGGUGGCCUGACACCUCUAUCCUGACACGCGCCCCCGGCAGAGCCGAGGUGACCGCCGUCACUCCACCGCUCCACUGGCCAGUCUGACAGAAGGACAGCGCCACCUGCGCCACUCCGACUGCAGUGCCACUCGACAGAGUGAGUCUGACAGGCAAUCAGGCCUUGCCAAGGGCGCCACGACGAACUCCGCUCCGCUCGACCCCAGGGCUCGGACUCGGGCUAAGACCCGGAAGACGGCGAACUCCGCUCCGCCCGACCCCAGGGCUCGGACUCGGGCUAAGACCCGGAAGACGGCGAACUCCGCUCCGCCUGACCCCAGGGCUCGGACUCGGGCUAAGACCCGGAAGACGGCGAACUCCGCUCCGCCCGACCCCAGGGCUCGGACUCGGGCUAAGACCCGGAAGACGGCGAACUCCGCUCCGCCCGACCCCAGGGCUCGGACUCGGGAUAAGACCCGGAAGACGACGAACCCCGCUCCGCCCGACCCCAGGGCUCGGACUCCGCCCUGGCCUCGGCCGAACGACCUCCGCCUCGCCCGACCCCUUGGCUCGGGCUCGGCCACGGCAACUGAAGGCAAGACUCAACCUCGGCUUCGGAGGAAACCCCACGUCGCCCCGCCUAGAGCACAGACCGCCACGUCAACAGGAAACGUCAUCAUCAUCCUACCCCGAAUCGACUCGGGUCACGGAGAACAAGACCGGCGUCUCGUCCGGCCAGCUCCGCCAGAGGGGCAAUGAUGGCGCUCCACGAGCUCUAUGACGACGGCGGCCCCCAGCUCUCUUACGGCAGCAGGACAACGUCAGCAGGGACUCGACCGCUCCAACAGCUGUCCCUCCAUCAGGCUCCGCCGCACCUCCGAUAGCCACGACAUCACGCCAGCAGGAUGCCCAGAUCUCUCCGGCUGCCACAUCGGCAUGUACCUAGGGCACUAGCUCUCCCUCCGCUAGACACGUAGCACUCUGCUACAUCCUCAUUGUACACCUGGGUCCUCUCCUUACGACUAUAAAAGGAAGGACCAGGGCCUUCUCAGAGAAGGUUGGCCGCGCGGGACCGAGGACGGGACAGGCGCUCUCUUGGGGCCGCUCGCUUCCCUCACCCGCGUGGACGCUUGUAACCCCCCUACUGCAAGCGCACCCGACCUGGGCGCGGGACGAACACGAAGGCCGCGGGACUUCCACCUCUCUCACGCUCGGCUCCGGCCGCCUCGCCUCUCCCCCCUCCGCGCUCGCCCACGCGCUCGACCCAUCUGGGCUGGGGCAUGCAGCACACUCACUCGUCGGCUUAGGGACCCCCCUGUCUCGAAACGCCGACAGUUGGCGCGCCAGGUAGGGGCCUGCUGCGUGCUGACGAAUAGCUCCCCGUCAAGCUCCAGAUGGGCAGUCUCCAGCAACCUCUCCGGCCCGGGACGGUGCUUCGUUUCGGGGCUCUCGAGUUCAUGUCCUUCGACAGCAGCUACGACAUGAUACUUCUUCCACCGCCGUGCGACCACGACAAUGGCGGCCGACAACCCGCCCGCCGGCGGCGGAAUCGACGACGUCUUCCCCGCAUGGUGGAAGAGCCAUAUUCGGGCUCGCUCCGUUCUCUCCCCCGCCAACGGAGGGGAAGGCGGAGCCGUCAAGGCCAGACGGGAGGCCGCGCUUCGUCAGCCAUCGAGCGAAUCGACGCCCCCGACGCCCCGACGGGAGGCACGCCGGACGUCGACCUCGUGUUCGAGACGGAGGCGAGCGCCGUCCCCCCGUGGCACGCUGACCCUGAGCAAGAAGACGACGCCGGCGCGCUCGCGGAAAGCCUGCAGGACGUCGCCCUCGAACCAGAGAUGACGGCGCAACCAGUCCUCGAUGUGACUACGUCGCUCCUCGUCGACCAAAAGGUAACGACUAACUCCCAUCUUGCGUCAUUUCGACUCGGCCUCCACCCGCCAAACGACCUCGGUUUGGCGGGCGCUCUCAUUGAGGCGAGUGCAACCCCACUGAGGUUCUGUAUGCGGUCGCCUUGGGACCGACUGACGGACGUCUCGACCUACGGGCCCUCUGGGUCCGAGGAAGAUGACGACCCCAGCAUCGGUUGGGAUUUCUCCGGACUUGGCAACCCCAGUGCCGUGCGGGACUUCAUGGCCGCAUGUGACUACUGUCUGUCCGACUGUUCCGAUGGAAGCCGCAGCCUUGGCGACGAGAGCUGCGGCCCAAGCCGCGAAUGUUUCCACAUCGAGUUAGGGAAUCCCACCGAAGGCAACCAUCUUGGCAUGCCGGAGGAUGGUGAUCUCCCUAGGCCGGUGCCUCGCGCCGACAUCCCACGGGAGCUAGCUGUGGUCCCCGCUCCGGCGGGGGGUUACGACCCACAACUCGAGCAAGUCCGCGAGGCGCAGGCCAGGCUCAACGAGGGAACGGGAGCGCUUGAGCCGAUCCGUCGGGACGUCGGACAGGCAUGGGUGGGCCAACCCCUGGCCGGAGAAAUACGUCAUCUGCCCCAAGGUCUCCAGCACCGCGUCGCCAACGACGUCAGGAUCAGGCCGCCGCCCGCAUCCAGCGGGGUCGGUCAGAACCUGGCAACCGCAGCAAUGCUCAUCCGCGCGAUGCCGGAGCCGUCAACCACCGAGGGUCGGCGGAUCCAGGGAGAACUCAAGAAUCUCCUGGAAGGCGCCGCGGCCCGGCGGGCCGAGAGCACAGCAUCCCGAAGGCAAGGAUAUCCCUCGGAACCUCAUGCCGCGACUUCCCGAUUCAUGCGGGAAGCCUCGGUCUACACCGGGCGCACGCGCAACACCGCGCCUGCGGCCCCGGGCCACCUCGGCAACGAGCACCAUCGACGCGACCGUCGGGCUCACCUCGACGAACGGGUGCGCCGAGGCUAUCACCCCAGGCGUGGGGGACGUUACGACAGCGGGGAGGAUCGGAGUCCUUCGCCCGAACCACCCGGUCCGCAGGCUUUCAGUCGGGCCAUCCGACGGGCGCCAUUCCCGACCCGGUUCCGACCCCCGACUACUAUCGUAAAGUACUCGGGAGAAACGAGACCGGAGCUGUGGCUCGCGGACUACCGCCUUGCCUGCCAACUGGGUGGAACGGACGACGACAACCUCAUCAUCCGCAACCUCCCCCUGUUCCUCUCCGACACUGCUCGUGCCUGGUUGGAGCACCUGCCUCCGGGGCAGAUUUCCAACUGGGACGACUUGGUCCAAGCCUUCGCUGGCAAUUUCCAGGGCACAUACGUGCGCCCCGGGAAUUCCUGGGACCUUCGAAGCUGCCGGCAACAGCCGGGGGAGUCGCUCCGGGACUACAUCCGGCGAUUCUCGAAGCAGCGCACCGAGCUGCCCAACAUCACCGACUCGGAUGUCAUCGGCGCGUUCCUCGCCGGCACCACUUGCCGCGACCUGGUGAGCAAGCUGGGUCGCAAAACCCCCACCAGGGCGAGCGAGCUGAUGGACAUCGCCACCAAGUUCGCCUCUGGCCAGGAGGCAGUCGAGGCUAUCUUCCGAAAGGACAAGCAGCCCCAGGGCCGCCCAUCGGAAGAAGCCCCCGAGGCGUCUGCUCCGCGCGGCGCCAAGAAGAAAGGCAAGAAGAAGUCGCAAUCGAAACGCGACGCCGCCGACGCGGACCUUGUCGCCGCUGCCGAGUAUAAGAACCCUCGGAAGCCCCCCGGAGGUGCAAACCUCUUCGACAAGAUGCUCAAGGAGCCGUGCCCCUACCAUCAGGGGCCCGUCAAGCACACCCUCGAGGAGUGCGUUAUGCUUCGGCGUCAUUUCCACAGGGCCGGGCCACCCGCCGAGGGUGGCAGGGCCCACGACGACGACAAGAACGAAGAUCACCCAGCAGGGGGGUUCCCCGAGGUCCGCGACUGCUACAUGAUCUAUGGAGGGCAUGCGGCGAGUACCUCGGCUCGGCACCGCAAGCAAGAGCGCCGGGAGGUCUGCUCGGUGAAGGUGGCGGCGCCAGUCUACCUAGACUGGUCCGACAAGCCCAUCACUUUCGACCGGGCCGACCACCCCGACCAUGUGCCAAGCCCGGGGAAAUACCCGCUCGUCGUCGACCCCGUUGUCGGCGAUGUCAGGCUCACCAAGGUCCUGAUGGACGGGGGCAGCUGCCUCAACAUCAUCUACGCCGAGACCCUCAAGCUCCUGCGCGUCGAUCCGUCCUCCGUCCGAGCAGGCGCUGCGCCCUUCCACGGGAUCAUCCCUGGGAAGCGCGUCCAGCCCCUCGGGCGACUCGACCUCCCAGUCUGCUUCGGGACACCCUCCAACUUCCGAAGGGAGACCCUGACGUUCGAAGUGGUCGGGUUCCGAGGAACCUACCACGCCGUGCUAGGGAGGCCAUGCUACGCGAAGUUCAUGGCCGUCCCCAACUACACCUACCUGAAGCUCAAGAUGCCGGGCCCCAACGGGGUCAUCACUGUCGGCCCCACGUACAAACACGCGUUCGAAUGCGACGUGGAGUGCGUGGAGUACGCCGAGGCCCUCGCCGAGUCCGAGGCCCUCAUCGCCGACCUGGAGAACCUCUCCAAGGAGGUCCCAGACGUGAAGCGCCAUGCCGGCAACUUCGAGCCAGUGGAGACGGUCAAGGCCGUCCCCCUCGACCCCAGUGGCGACACCACCAAGCAGAUCCGGAUCGGCUCCGGGCUCGACCCCAAAUAGGAAGCAGUGCUCGUCGACUUUCUCCGCGCGAACGCCGACGUCUUUGCGUGGAGUCCCUCGGACAUGCCCGGCAUACCGAGGGAUGUCGCCGAGCACUCGCUGGAUAUUCGGGCCGGAGCCCGACCCGUCAGACAGCCUCUGCGCCGAUUCGACGAGGAGAAGCGCAGAGCGAUUGGCGAAGAGAUCCACAAGCUAAUGGCGGCAGGGUUCAUCAAAGAGGUAUUCCAUCCCGAAUGGCUUGCCAACCCUGUGCUUGUGAGGAAGAAAGGGGGGAAAUGGCGGAUGUGUGUAGACUACACUGGUCUCAACAAAGCAUGUCCGAAGGUUCCCUACCCUCUGCCUCGCAUCGACCAAAUCGUGGAUUCCACUGCUGGGUGCGAAACCCUGUCCUUCCUCGAUGCCUACUCAGGGUAUCACCAGAUCCGAAUGAAAGAGUCCGACCAGCUCGCGACUUCUUUCAUCACGCCGUUCGGCAUGUACUGCUAUGUCACCAUGCUGUUCGGCUUGAGGAAUGCAGGUGCGACGUACCAGCGGUGCAUGAACCAUGUGUUCGGCGAACACAUCGGUCGCACGGUCGAGGCCUACGUCGAUGACAUCGUAGUCAAGACUCGGAAGGCUUCCGACCUCCUCUCCGACCUUGAAGUGACAUUCCGGUGUCUCAAGGCGAAAGGGGUCAAGCUUAAUCCUGAGAAGUGUGUCUUCGGGGUGCCCCGAGGCAUGCUCCUAGGUUUCAUCGUCUCCAAGCGAGGCAUCGAGGCCAACCCGGAGAAGAUCGCGACCAUCACCAGCAUGGGACCCAUCAAGGACUUAAAAGGGGUACAGAGGGUCAUGGGAUGCCUCGCGGCCCUGAGCCGCUUCAUCUCACGCCUCGGCGAAAGAGGUCUGCCUCUGUACCGCCUCUUAAGGAAGGCCGAAUGUUUCGCUUGGACCCCUGAGGCCGAGGAAGCCCUCGACAACCUGAAGGCACUCCUUACAAAGGCGCCGGUCUUGGUGCCGCCGGCGGGCGGAGAAGUCCUCUUGGUCUACGUUGCCGCGACCACUCAGGUGGUUAGCGCCGCGAUUGUGGUCGAGAGGCAGGAGGAAGGGCAUACAUUGCCCGUUCAGAGGCCGGUCUACUUCAUCAGCGAAGUGCUGUCCGAGACCAAGAUCCGCUACCCACAAGUUCAAAAGCUGCUAUACGCUGUGAUCCUGACAAGGCGGAAGCUACGACACUACUUCGAGUCCCAUCCGGUGACUGUGGUGUCAUCCUUCCCCCUGGGGGAGAUCAUCCAGUGCCGAGAGGCCUCGGGCAGAAUCGCAAAGUGGGCGGUGGAGAUCAUGGGCGAAACGAUCUCGUUCGCCCCUCGGAAGGCCAUCAAGUCCCAAGUGUUGGCGGAUUUCAUGGCCGAAUGGGUCGAUACCCAACUACCAACGACUCCGAUCCAACCGGAGCUCUGGACCAUGUUUUUCGACGGGUCGCUGAUGAAGACGGGGGCCGGUGCGGGCCUGCUCUUCAUCUCGCCCCUCGGAAAGCACUUGCGCUACGUGCUGCGCCUCCACUUCCCGGCGUCCAACAAUGUGGCCGAGUACGAAGCUCUGGUCAACGGAUUGCGGAUCGCCAUCGAGCUAGGGGUCAGACGCCUCGACGCCCGCGGUGAUUCGCAGCUCGUCAUCGACCAAGUCAUGAAGAACUCCCACCGCCGCGACCCGAAGAUGGAGGCCUACUGCGACGAGGUUCGGCGCCUGGAAGACAAGUUCUUCGGGCUCGAGCUCAACCACAUCGCUCGGCGCUACAACGAAACCGCAGACGAGCUGGCGAAGAUAGCCUCGGGGCGAACGACAGUCCCCCCGGACGUCUUCUCCCGGGACCUGCAUCAACCCUCCGUCAAGCUCGACGACGCGCCCGAGCCCGAGGUACCCUCGGCUCGGCCCGAGGUACCCUCGGCUCAGACCGAGGUACCCUCGGUUCAGCCCGAGGUACCCUCGGCUCAGCCCGAGGUAACCUCGGGCCGGCCCAAGGUACCCUCGGCCCCCGAGGGCGGGGCAUUGAACAUCGAGGAAGGGCAGAGCGGGGCCACGCCAGACCAAGAUUGGCAGGCCUCGUACCUGCAAUAUCUCCGUCGAGGAGAGCUACCCCUCGACCAAGUCGAGGCUCGGCGGGUAGCGCGACGCGCCAAGUCAUUCGUCUUGCUGGGCGACAAAGAGGAGCUCUACCAUCGCAGCCCCUCGGGCAUCCUCCAGCGAUGCAUCUCCAUCGCCGAAGGUCGGGAACUGCUGCAAGAAGUACACUCGGGGGCUUGCGGCCACCACGCAGCACCCCGAGCCCUUGUUGGAAAUGCUUUCCGGCAAGGCUUCUACUGGCCAACGGCGGUGGCUGACGCCACUAGAAUUGUCCGCACCUGCGAAGGGUGCCAAUUCUAUGCGAAGCGGACGCACCUGCCCGCUCAGGCUCUGCAGACAAUACCCAUCACCUGGCCCUUCGCUGUAUGGGGUCUGGACCUCGUCGGCCCCUUGCAGAAGGCGCCCGGGGGCUACACGCACCUGCUGGUCGCCAUCGACAAAUUCUCCAAGUGGAUCGAGGUCCGACCUCUGAACAACAUCAGGUCCGAGCAGGCGGUGGCAUUCUUCACCAACAUCAUCCAUCGCUUCGGGGUCCCAAACUCCAUCAUCACCGACAAUGGCACCCAGUUCACCGGCAAAAAAUUCUUGGAUUUUUGCGAGGAUCACCAUAUCCGGGUGGACUGGGCCGCCGUGGCUCAUCCCAUGUCGAAUGGGCAAGUAGAGCGUGCCAACGGCAUGAUUCUACAAGGGCUCAAGCCUCGGAUCUACAACGACCUCAACAAGUUCGGCAGGCGAUGGAUGAAGGAACUCCCCUCGGUGGUCUGGAGCCUAAGGACGACGCCGAGUCGUGCCACGGGCUUCACGCCGUUUUUCCUGGUCUACGGGGCUGAAGCUAUCUUGCCCACUGACCUGGAAUACGGCUCCCCGAGGGCGAGGGCAUACACCGAACAAAGUAACCAAGCUAGCCGAGAGGAAUCGCUGGACCAGCUGGAGGAAGCUCGGGACAGGGCUUUGCUACACUCGGCGUGGUAUCAACAGUCCUUGCGACGCUACCACGCCCGAGGGGUCCGGUCCCGAGAACUCCAGGUGGGCGACCUGGUGCUUCGGCUGCGACAAGAUGCCCGAGGGAGGCACAAGCUCACGCCCCCCUGGGAAGGGCCAUUCGUCGUCGCCAAAGUUCUGAAGCCCGGAACAUACAAGCUGGCCAACAAUCAAGGCGAGAUCUACGGCAACGCUUGGAACAUCAAACAGCUACGUCGCUUCUACCCUUAAGAUGUUUUCAAGUUGUCCAUAUACCUCGCACCUACGCAAAGUUUAGUUGUCAAGGAAGGGUCGGCCUAGCCCCGGCAAAGCCCGACCCUCCCUCGGGGGCUAAAAGGGGGGAGACCCCCUCUGCGUCGAAUUUUUCCUCGAAAAAGGAUCUCUUUUUAGCAGGGUUUCUUCCGUGCCUCUUGACUACUUCGGAAAGCGGAUCCUGGAAACGACGAGGUACACGUAAGCAGCCAAGGCUGACCGAGCCGAGGGACUCCUACGCCUCCGGGAUACGGAUACCUCACUCGUCCCUUUCUGCGAUAAGUAACUUGCGCUCGGGUAAAGCGACUCCGUGGACCGAACGAGUCAUCACGUUCGGAAGCUCUCCUGCCGAAGCAGUCCUUCAAGCUUUCCCGACUAAGUCGGGGACAGGGCCUCAUGGACGGGUGAAAGUACGCGUAAGUGGCAAGGCCGACCGAGCCGAGGGAUUCCCACGCCUCUGGGAUACGGAUACCUCACUCGUCCCUUCCGCGAAAAGCAACUCUUGCUCACACAAACGUCCCUGUUACCGACAGAGUCCAGAUGCUCGAAGCAGGAGGAAAAAAGACGCAGCUUCGCAAGCGCGGCGAGGGCGUGUUCUUCUGGCCUCGGCGGCCGCAGAAAGCGCACGCUACAAGAUGAUCUGAUCCUGCAGGCUCGGGUCUUCACGCCGAAGGGAGCCGUAGCACCCUCGGCAUCGACGACGUCUACAGCAAAGCCCGACCCAGCCUCGGGCGGCGCCGAGGUCCAGGGGCCCCUCCAGGAAUCCGGCCCGAGCAGGCGGCUCAACCGGUUACCCCUGAGGCCUCGGGCAACCGGCUUCCAAGGGCGCUAGCCCGAUCCGAGGUCUCGACUGACCGACUUGGGCGUCGGCUCCGCUGACGGGCAACACGGCUAGGCUCCGGCCAACCAGGUUCCCCAUUCUCGAGUCAACUCCGCCUCUGUUCAUACUGAUGUCGCUACCCCCAGCCUCAAUCCACCAAAGGGCGGCCGAGGGGUCUCUUCAACUAAGCUAGAGGAGCCUCACAUAACAAGGCCGAACGGGCCGAGGGAUUCCUACGCCUCCGGGAUACGGAUACCUCACCCGUCACCUUGACAUGGGGCAACUCAUGCUUGGUGAAGCGGUUCAGACAAUCAAACAGGCGAGACUUAGUGCUCGAAAAUGAGGAAAAAACACGGCUCCGUGCCAAAAUUACAUACACGUUCAGGCCUCGACAGCCACAAUGAACGAACUCACUGGCAUUCAAAGUGCCAUUACAAACGGAACUCCGGUUCCCCCUCCGCAGGUACGAACAACCCCACUCCGAGGGGGAAGGCCUGCGGAGCAACGGAAGACCGACGAACGGCGCGCCGUCACCUGCUCCAGCAGUGGCGACGACGGCGACUUCUGCUCCGGGGGGCCGAACAGCGGCAACGCUGACCUCAGGGUGGAUGCCGCUGUCAGGAGGCCCCCGCCCGUGCCAAAACUCGUGAGGCAAGGACGGGCAGAAGGCCGUAGAAGUUGGAGGUCAGCCCGUGGCCGGUCCCGGCCGCCGCGCCGGCGGAAGAACCUCUUCCGGCUGCCGUGGCAGACGCCGACGCCGCAAGGGGCCCCGAAGCCACUCGCGGCUGAAGACUAGGCACGCUGCAGCUGCCGGACGCCACGGGCAAUGCCCGCUUCUCCCCCCAUCACUGAGUGAAGGAGCGGGCCACCGCCCACGCAGGGGCCGACCCCAACUCGGCACUCUCCCCUCCCCAGCCUUGGUGAUGAAAAUCCUUGAGGCUGAGGAAGGGGCAGAGGCCGCAGCCCGGCUCGCUUUCCCCCACCAUCAAGCUGGAGGUCGCCAUCUCGGGUGACCGCCGGUGAAGGGGUGCGACCGGGCUGCGUGAUGAAAAUCCUUGAAGCCGAACGAUGGCUGAGAGGUACCAACUCCCAUGGAGUUGCGUUCCUCCAACGAGGAGGCGGAAAGGCGGCGGAUAUCCCCCAUCCGGGGGCUUGGAAGACGGGAAGACCCGGCGCUUAAGGGAGGAAGAAGACAUGGUUGCCUUACGAAAGGAGCCUCCCUCCUUUUAAAGGCAACUCCCCCUACGUGCGCCCCCAGGCGCCGCGGGCCGAGUCUUCUCCAACACGCUCCAAGGCCCUCCCCUGCGACUCGGGGGCUGGGUCCCGCAUGUCAUGCAAGCCGGCACAGGGCAGAAGAAGCCAAACCGCCGCGCAUGGUGCGUACGACCGUCCAGCGGUUACAGGCGACCCCCCAUUUUCGCCCAGACCAACGGGCAGAAGGGGCGGGCAGCCAUGCAGGCGGCAUGCAACCGUGCCAGAUGGACGCGCUUCUCCGACUUCUGACACGCCAGCUUGGAACCCAGGCCCACGCGUCGAGCAACCGGCACGCCAGUUGCUGCAUGCAAGCAACCGCACCGCCACUUGUGCCACCAUCGCGCCUCUUCGGUUGCGAAGCCUAUGCACGACUCGAGGCGACCCAACAGCGCCAGACUGGCGCGUCGGUCAAAGCGACCGAAAGUGGGCCGGCAGUAAUAGCGGUGGCAGGCGGGCGGGCGCAGCGGUCACGUCGUCAGUCAGGCUCACGUCCCAUCCUGAGACAGCAAGAGAGCCUCCUCUCACGGCGUGAAGACGGUGCACCCGUGACCCGUUCCUCGAACGGAUCACCCGCGCGCAACGGCCGCCCCGCCAACCACUCGCCCCGUCGCAUUAACUCCGCGGCGGGACACGCGGCGCCUCUGGUAGGAGGAGCGCGCGACGCUUCACCUUCGCCGUAAUAACCGCUUCAGAAAAGGUACGCCACGUCGUCCGAUUUCGUAUCCUUUUCCGUUUUCCUCUUUCUCUAUCUCUUGCAACAGGGACCGGGGAAGGGGGAUACCCCGAAAGGGAUCCUUCUCCGCGAAGGAACCGGGCUCCGAGCCCCCCAUUACUGAUCAGGGGUUCGAAGGCUGGCCCCCCAAGGGUUCAACAGCCGCCUCAGAUCGCGUGGGCCCGACACCCACUACUGGUCAGGGGUUCGAAGGCCAGCCCCCCGAAGGGCUCCAUGGCCGCCUCAGGCUACUCGGGCUCCGCGCCCAUUACUGAUCAGGGGUUCGAAGGCUGGCCCCCGAAGGGUUCACAGUCGCCUCAGACACCGAGCGAGGGAUGACCAGGGGUACGUUCGAUACAUAACCGAGGCUCGGGCUGCGCUCCCGAGGUACCCUAGGACAUUUCCGAGACCAGCGGGAACGAUCUUGUAACGGAAUCCCAUCGGAGGGAGGCAUCGAGCCCUCGGACCCCGUCGCCAGGGGACCGGGUCCGGCAAAUCACCCGCAGGUACUUUUGGGCGUGCCUCUGGGCCCCUAGCCGACCCCCAACGAACGGGGCACGGACGUCCACUCGGAUUACCCGCUUGCAGCUCACCGGAGACACCAUGUUCGGUGCCCAUCGAGGGUAACAUGGCGCACUCCCCCCCUCCUCCUUGCGGAAAGGCGACGAAGGGGCGUAUGUAAAAAGCCGAGUCUGUCCCUGAUCGUCCUCUCGCCCUGUGCAGAGGCUCGGGGGCUGCUCUCGCAAAAACCGGCUCCGGCCAAAUCGUUGACAGCGUCAACAUACCAGCCCGAGAGCUUGGGCCCCGACCGUGCACCCGGGCUACGGCCAGUUCGCAUGAGGGAACGACCAGACCAGCCGAAGCGUUAAGCGAAGUAUUAAGACCUCGAAGGAGUGUAACCACUCCUCCGAGGCCUCGGGGGCUACACCCGGCGGGUGCGCUCGCGCGCACCCACCGGAAUGAAAUGCAACCGAGAAAGGCUGGUCCCCUUGCAAAAAAGUGCGACAAAAGCCUCCAAGCGAGUGCUAACACUCCCUUCGAGGCUCGGGGGCUACUGUCGGGGACCAUAAUUAGGGGUACCCUCAAGACGCCUAAUUCUCAGCUGGUAACCCCCAUCAGCAUAAAGCUGCAAAGGCCUGAUGGGCACGAUUAAGUCAGGGAUCAGUCCACACGAGUGACUCGAUCACGCUUCACCCGAGCCUAGCCUCGGCCGAAGGCAGCCGACCUCGAGAGACUUCCGUCUCGCCCGAGGCCCCCUUUUUAUGGCGGACACAUCACCGGCUUGCCCAAGGUCUUGGCUUCGCUCAGAAGCAACCUUGACUAAAUCACCACACCGACUGACCAAAUUGCAGGGGCAUUUAACGCAAAGGUGGCCUGACACCUCUAUCCUGACACGCGCCCCCGGCAGAGCCGAGGUGACCGCCGUCACUCCACCGCUCCACUGGCCAGUCUGACAGAAGGACAGCGCCACCUGCGCCACUCCGACUGCAGUGCCACUCGACAGAGUGAGUCUGACAGGCAAUCAGGCCUUGCCAAGGGUGCCACGACGAACUCCGCUCCGCCCGACCCCAGGGCUCGGACUCGGGCUAAGACCCGGAAGACGGCGAACUCCGCUCCGCCCGACCCCAGGGCUCGGACUCGGGUUAAGACCCGGAAGACGGCGAACUCCGCUCCGCCCGACCCCAGGGCUCGGACUCGGGCUAAGACCCGGAAGACGGCGAACUCCGCUCCGCCCGACCCCAGGGCUCGGACUCGGGCUAAGACCCGGAAGACGGCGAACUCCGCUCCGCCCGACCCCAGGGCUCGGACUCGGGCUAAGACUCGGAAGACGACGAACCCCGCUCCGCCCGACCCCAGGGCUCGGACUCCGCCCUGGCCUCGGCCGAACGACCUCCGCCUCGCCCGACCCCUUGGCUCGGGCUCGGCCACGGCAACUGAAGGCAAGACUCAACCUCGGCUUCGGAGGAAACCCCACGUCGCCCCGCCUAGAGCACAGACCGCCACGUCAACAGGAAACGUCAUCAUCAUCCUACCCCGAAUCGACUCGGGUCACGGAGAACAAGACCGGCGUCUCGUCCGGCCAGCUCCGCCAGAGGGGCAAUGAUGGCGCUCCACGAGCUCUAUGACGACGGCGGCCCCCAGCUCUCUUACGGCAGCAGGACAACGUCAGCAGGGACUCGACCGCUCCAACAGCUGUCCCUCCAUCAGGCUCCGCCGCACCUCCGAUAGCCACGACAUCACGCCAGCAGGAUGCCCAGAUCUCUCCGGCUGCCACAUCGGCAUGUACCUAGGGCACUAGCUCUCCCUCCGCUAGACACGUAGCACUCUGCUACAUCCCCAUUGUACACCUGGGUCCUCUCCUUACGACUAUAAAAGGAAGGACCAGGGCCUUCUCAGAGAAGGUUGGCCGCGCGGGACCGAGGACGGGACAGGCGCUCUUUUGGGGCCGCUCGCUUCCCUCACCCGCGUGGACGCUUGUAACCCCCCUACUGCAAGCGCACCCGACCUGGGCGCGGGACGAACACGAAGGCCACGAGACUUCCACCUCUCUCACGCUCGGCUCCGGCCGCCUCGCCUCUCCCCCCUCCGCGCUCGCCCACGCGCUCGACCCAUCUGGGCUGGGGCAUGCAGCACACUCACUCGUCGGCUUAGGGACCCCCCUGUCUCGAAACGCCGACAGGCGCGGAGCCCGAGUAGCCUGAGGCGGCCGUGGAACCCUUCCGAGGGGCCGGCCUUCGAACCUCUGACCAGUAGUGGGUGUAGGGCCCACGCGAUCUGAGGCGGCUGUCGAACCCUUCCGGGGGGCCAGCCUUCGAACCUAUGAUCAGUAGGGAGGCUCGGAGCCUGGUUCCUUCACGGGGAAGGAUCCUUUUCGGGGUAUCCCCCUUUCCCGGUCCCUGUUGCAAGAGAGAGAAAGAGGAAAAAAGGAAAAGGAUACUAAAUCGAAUGACGCGGCGUACCUUUUUUGACGCGGUUAUUAUGGCGAAGGUGAAGCUUCGCCUGCUUCUCCUGCCAGAGGCGCCGCCUGUCCCGCCGCGGAGUUAAUGCGACGGGGCGAGUGGUUCGCGGGGCGGCCGUUGCGCGUGCGCGAGCCGUUCGAGGAACGGAACACGGGCGCGUUGUCUUCACGCCGUGAGAGAGGGUUCUCUCGCUGCCCCCGGAUGGGACGUGAGCUUGGCUGACGACGUGACUGCUGCUCCUGCCCGCCUGCCACCGUCAUUACUGCCGGCCUAUUUUUGGCCGCACUGACCGCCGUGCCAGGCUGGGGCUGCUGGGUCGUGCGCUGGGUCGCCUCGAGUCGCGGUAUUGGUUCCGCAGUCGAGGAGGCGCGGUGGUGGCACAAGUGGCGGUGCAGUUGCAUGCACGAAGCAUUCGGCGCACCGGUUACAUGACGCGUGGGCCUGGGCCUCCAUGCUGGGCGUGUUGAGAGUCGGAGAAGCACGCCCACUUGGCGCGGAUGCAUGCCGCCUGCAUGGCUGCCCGCCCCUUUCGCCCGUCGGUCUGGGCAAAAGUGGAGGGUCACUUGUAACCGCUGGGCGGUUGGGCGCACCGCGCACGGCGGUUUGGCUUCUUCUGCUCUGAGCCGGUUUGCAUGACGUGUGGGACCCAGCCCCCGCGCCGCAGGGGAGGACCUUGGAGUGUGUUGGAGAAGACUCAGCCCGCGACGCUUGGGGGCGCAAGUAGGGAGAGUCUCCUUUAAAAGGGGGCGACCCCCUUUGGAAGGCGACCAUGUCUUCGCGCUCCCUUAUGCAUCGUGUCUUUCCACUUUCCAAGCCCCCGGAUGGGGGAUACCCGCCGUCUUUCCGCCUCAUCGUUGGAGGAAUGCAACUCCGUGGGAGUUGGUACCUUUCAGCCAUCGUUCGGCUUCAAGGAUUUUCAUCGCACAGCCCGGUUGCACCCCUCCGCUGGUGGUCACCCAAAACGGUGACCUCCAGCCCCUGGAUGGGGAGAGGCAAGUCGGGCUGUGAUCUUGGUCCCGCCCUCAGCCUCGAGGGUGUUCGUCAUCCUCGCUGGGGCGGGGAGCGAGGCGAGCCGGGGCUCUACCUCCCGUGCGGGCCGGCGGGCCACCUCUUCUUCCAGCUUCUGGUGGUGGCAACCAUCCUCUAGCUCUGCGGAGGAGACGUCCUCCAGCCAUGCCGGGGAAGGCGAACUGUUGCUGCCCAGCUAGGAUGCAACAUUCCGUCCUCUUCCUCGCUUUCGUGGCGAGGACAGGGGCGAGGACCUGCCGGUGCGCUUUGGAGCAGCCCGCUCUUUGGCUUUAAUAGCUAGUUCGCGUCCCUUGAGCGGGAACGCGAACAAGAGCCCUCCGGCGGCCGCGUCCAUCCUGGGACCAUGGCUGCUGCUGCAGAGGUCACUGGUGGGUCCCCUGGUGCUCGUUGCCCCGCAGGCUCCCCGAUGUGGAGGUUGUACAUACCCGCGGGGACGGAACCAGAGUUCCGUCUGUAAUGGCACUUCGAAUGCCAGUGUUUUUGUUCAUUGUGGCUGUCGAGGCCUGAACAUGUAUGUAAUUUUGGGCACGGAGCCGUGUUUUUUCCUCAUUUUCGAGCACUAAGACUCGCCUGUUGGUUGUCUGAACCGCUUCACCAAGCGUGAGUCGCCCCGUGCAAAGGUGAUGAGUGAGGUAUCCAUAUCCCGGAGGCGUAGGAGUCCCUCGGCUCGGUCGGCCUUGUUGUCCGAGGCUUCUCUUGCUUAGUUAAAGGAACCCCUCGGCCGCUCUUCGAUGAGCCGAGGCCUGGGGUAGCGGUGUCAGCACGGACAGAGGCAGAGUCGGCUCGAAAAUGAAACCUGGUUGGCCGGAGCCUGGCCGGGUCGUCCGUUAGCGGGACCGACGCUGGAGUUGACCAGCCGAGGCCUCGGGUUGGGCUGACGCCCUUGGAGGACAGCUGGCCGAGGCCCCGGGGUGACCGGCCGAGCCGCCUGCUCAGGCCGGAUUCCCGAAGAAAACCCUGGCAGUGAUUGCCCGGGCGUGGUGAUGACGUCGUCCUUUAGAGUGGAGAUCCUCAGACCGCGUCGCCGUCCGAGGCCAGGUCGGACCUCGCCGAAGGUGUCGUCGAUGCCGAGGGUGCUGCUGCCCCCUUCCAGCGUCAAGACCCGAGCCUGCAGGAUCGGAUUGUCUUGUAGCGUGUGUCUCCUGCGGCCGCCGAGGCCAAAACACACCCUCGCUGUGUUGUAAAGCUGCGUCUCUUUUCCUCUUGUUUCGAGUAUCUGGACUUUUUUGUCGGUAACAGGGAUGUUUGUGCGAGCGAAAGUUGCUUCUCGCGGAAGGUGAUGAGUGAGGUAUUCGUAUCCCGGAGGCGUAGGAGUCCCUCGGCUCGGUCGGCCUUGCCGCUUACGCGCACUCUUACCCGUCCAUGGGGCUCUGUCACCGACUCGGUCGAGAAGGCUCGAAGGAUCGCUUCGGCAGAAGAACUUCCGAACGUGAAGACUUGUUCGGUCCGCGGAAUCACUUAUCUGAACGUGAGUUACUUAUCGCAGAAGGUGAUGAGUGAGGUAUCCGUAUCCCGGAGGCGUAGGAGUCCCUCGGCUCGGUCAGCCUUGGCUGCUUACGUGUACUCUGUCGUUUUCAGGAUCCACUUUUCGAAGUAGUCAAAAAGCACGAAAGUCAUUCUGGCAGAAAAGAUCUUUCUUCGAGGAAAAUUUCGACACAGAGGGGGUUCCCCCCCUUUUAGCCCCCGAGGGAGGGUCGGGCUUUGCCGAGGCGAGGCCGACCCUUCCUUGAUGACUAAACUUUGUGUGGGUGCGAGGUAUAUGAACAAGUUGAAAACAUCUUAAGGGUAGAAGCGACGUAGCUGUUGGAUGUUCCAAGCGUUGCCGUAGACCUCGCCUUGACUGUUGGCCAGCUUGUACGUUCCGGGCUUCAGAACCUUGGCGAUGACGAACGGUCCUUCCCAGGGGGGCGUGAGCUUGUGCCUACCUCGGGCGUCUUGUCGCAGCCGAAGCACCAGGUCGCCCACCUGGAGGUCUCGGGACCGGACCCCUCGGGCGUGGUAGCAUCGCAGGGACUGCUGGUACCGCGCCGAGUGUAGUAAGGCCUUGUCCCGAGCCUCCUCCAGCUGGUCCAGCGAGUCUUCUCGGCUAGCUUGGUUGCUUUGAUCGCUGUAGGCCCUUGUCCUCGGGGAGCCGUAUUCCAGGUCUGUGGGCAAGACGGCCUCGGCCCCGUAGACUAGGAAGAACGGCGUGAAGCCCGUGGCUCGGCUCGGCGUUGUCCUCAGGCUCCAGACCACAGAGGGGAGUUCCUUCAUCCAUCACUUGCCGAACUUGUUGAGGUCGUUGUAUAUCCGAGGCUUGAGCCCUUGUAGAAUCAUGCCGUUGGCACGCUCUACUUGCCCAUUUGACAUGGGAUGAGCCACGGCGGCCCAAUCCACCCGGAUGUGGUGAUCCUCGCAGAAGUCCAAAAACUUUCUGCCGGUGAACUGGGUGCCGCUGUCGGUGAUGAUGGAGUUCGGGACCCCGAAGCGAUGGAUGAUGUUGGUGAAGAAUGCCACCGCCUGCUCGGAUCUGAUGCUGUUCAGAGGUCGGACCUCGAUCCACUUGGAGAAUUUGUCGAUGGCGACCAGCAGGUGCGUGUAGCCCCCGGGUGCCUUCUGCAAGGGGCCGACGAGGUCCAGACCCCACACAGCGAAGGGCCAGGUGAUGGGUAUCGUCUGUAGAGCCUGAGUGGGCAGGUGGGUCUGCCUCGCAUAGAAUUGACACCCUUCGCAGGUGCGGACAAUUCUAGUGGCGUCGGCCACCGCCGUCGGCCAGUAGAAGCCUUGUCGGAAAGCAUUCCCGACAAGGGCUCGAGGCGCUGCGUGAUGGCCGUAAGCCCCCCAGUGUAUCUCUCGCAGGAGUUCCUGACCUUCGGCGACGGAGAUGCAUCGCUGGAGGAUGCCAGAGGGGCUGCGGUGGUAGAGCUCCUUCUCAUCGCCUAGCAAGACGAACGACUUGGCGCGCCGCGCCACCCGCCGAGCCUCGGCUCGGUCGAGGGGUAGCUCUCCUUGGUGGAGAUAUUGCAGGUACGGGGUCUGCCAGUUUCGAUCAGGCGUGACCCCGCUUUGCUCCUCCUCAACGCGCAGUGCCUCACCCUUGAGGGCCGAGGGUACCUCGGGCUGGACCGAGGGCGCCUUGGGCCGAGCUAAGGGUGCCUCGGGCUAUGCCGAGGAUACCUCGGGCUGGGCCAAGGGUACCUCGGACUGGGCCGAGGGCGCCUUAGGCUCGGCCGUGUCGUUGAUCUUGACGGAGGGUUGGUGCAGAUCCCGGGAGAAGACGUCCGGGGGAACCGUUGUUCGCCCCGAGGCUAUUUUAGCCAGCUCAUCCGCAGUCUCGUUGUAGCACCGAGCGAUGUGGUUAAGCUCGAGCCCGUAGAACUUGUCUUCCAAGCGCCGAACCUCAUCGCAGUAGGCCUCCAUCUUCGGGUCACGGUAGUGGGAGUUCUUCAUGACUUGGUCGAUGACAAGCUGCGAGUCACCGCGAGCGUCGAGGCGCCGGACCCCUAGCUCGAUGGCGAUCCGCAACCCGUUGACCAGAGCCUCAUACUCAGCCACAUUGUUGGACACCGGGAAAUGGAGGCGUAGCACAUAGCGUAUGUGUUUCCCGAGGGGCAAGAUGAAGAGUAGGCCUGCGCCGGCUCCCGUCUUCAUCAAUGACCCGUCGAAAAACAUGGUCCAGAGCUCCGGUUGGAUCGGAGCCGUCGGUAGCUGGGUGUCGACCCAUUCGGCUACGAAGUCCGCCAAGACCUGGGACUUGAUGGCCUUCCGAGGGGCGAACGAGAUUGUCUCGCCCAUGAUUUCCACCGCCCACUUUGCAAUCCUACCCGAGGCCUCUCGGCACUGGAUGAUCUCCCCCAGGGGGAAGGAUGACACCACAGUUACCGGAUGAGACUCGAAGUAGUGUCGCAACUUCCGCCGCGUCAGGAUCACUGCAUACAGCAGCUUCUGAACUUGUGGGUAGCGGAUCUUGGUUUCGGACAGUACCUCGCUGACGAAGUAAACUGGCCUCUGAACGGGCAAUGCAUGCCCCUCUUCUUGCCUCUCGACCACAAUCGCGGCGCUAACCACCUGAGUGGUCGCGGUGACGUAGACCAAGAGGGCUUCUCCGGCAGCUAGAGGCACCAAGAUAGGCGCCUUUGUGAGGAGCGCCUUCAAGUUCCCGAGAGCUUCAUCGGCCUUAGGGGUCCAAGUGAAGCACUCAGCCUUCCUUAAGAGGCGGUACAGAGGUAGACCUCUUUCGCCGAGGCAUGAGAUGAAACGGCUCAGAGCCGCGAGACAUCCCAUGACCCUCUGUACGCCUUUCAAGUCCUUGAUGGGCCCCAUGCUGGUGACGGCUGCGAUCUUCUCCGGGUUGGCUUCGAUGCCCCGCUCGGAGACGAUGAACCCCAAGAGCAUGCCUUGGGGCACCCCGAAGACACACUUCUCGGGAUUGAGCUUGACGCCUUUCGCCUUGAGACAUCGGAAUGUCACUUCAAGGUCAGAAAGGAGGUCGGAAGCUUUCCUCGUCUUGACUACGAUGUCAUCGACAUAGGCUUCGACUGUGCGGCCAAUGUGUUCGCCGAACACAUGGUUCAUGCACCGCUGGUACGUCGCGCCCGCAUUCCUCAAGCCAAACGGCAUGGUGACAUAGCAGUACAUGCCGAAGGGUGUGAUGAAAGAAGCCGCGAGCUGGUCGGACUCUUUCAUCCUGAUUUGAUGAUACCCUGAGUAGGCAUCGAGGAAAGACAGGGUUUCACACCCAGCAGUGGAAUCCACGAUUUGAUCGAUGCGAGGCAGAGGGUAGGGAACCUUCGGACAUGCUUUGUUGAGACCAGUGUAGUCUACACACAUCCGCCAUUCCCCCCUUUCUUUCUCACAAGCACAGGGUUGGCAAGCCAUUCGGGAUGGAAUACCUCUUCGAUGAACCCUGCCGCCAUUAGCUUGUGGAUCUCCUCGCCUAUCGCUCUGCGCUUCUCCUCGUCGAAUCGGCGCAGAGGCUGCUUGACGGGUCGGGCUCCGGCUCGAAUGUCCAGCGAGUGCUCGGUGACCUCCCUCGGUAUGCCGGGCAUGUCCGAGGGACUCCACGUGAAGACGUCGGCGUUCGCGCGGAGAAAGUCGAUGAGCACUGCUUCCUAUUUGGGAUCGAGCCCGGAGCCGAUCCGGAUCUGCCUGGAGGCGUCGCCGCUGGGGUCGAGGGGGACGGCCUUAACCGUCUCCACUGGCUCAAAGUUGCCGGCAUGACGUUUCACGUCUGGCACCUCCUUAGAGAGGCUUUCCAGGUCAGCGAUGAGGGCCUCGGACUCGGCGAGGGCCUCGGCGUACUCCACGAACUCCACGUCGCAUUCGAACGCGUGUUUGUACGUGGGGCCGACGGUGAUGACCCCGUUGGGGCCCGACAUCUUGAGCUUCAGGUAGGUGUAGUUGGGGACAGCCAUGAACUUCGCGUAGCAUGGUCUUCCCAGUACCGCGUGGUAGGUUCCUCGGAACCCGACCACCUCGAACGUCAGGGUCUCCCUUCGGAAGUUGGAGGGCGUUCCGAAGCAGACGGGAAGGUCGAGUUGUCCGAGGGGCUGGACGCGCUUCCCGGGAAUGAUCCCAUGGAAGGGCGCAGCGCCGGCUCGGACGGAGGACAGAUCGACGCGCAGGAGCCCGAGGGUCUCGGUGUAGAUGAUGUUGAGGUCGCUGCCUCCGUCCAUGAGGACCUUGGUGAGCCUGACGUCACCGAUGACGGGGUGGACGACGAGCGGGUAUUUCCCCGGGCUCGGCACGUGGUCGGGGUGGUCGGCUUGGUCGAAGGUGAUGGGCUUGUCGGAUCAGUCUAGGUAGACUGGCGCCGCCACCUUCACCGAGCAGACCUCCCGGCGCUCUUGCUUGCGGUGCCGAGCCAAGGCAUUCCCCGCUUGCCCACCGUAGAUCAUGAAGCAGUCGCGGACCUCGGGGAACUCUCCUGCUUGGUGAUCUUCCUUCUUGUCGUCGUCGUGGGCCCUGCCACCCUCCGCGGGUGGCCCGGCCCUGUGGAAGUGGCGCCGAAGCAUGACGCACUCCUCAAGGGUGUGCUUGACGGGCCCCUGGUGAUAGGGGCACGACUCCUUGAGCAUCUUGUCGAAGAGGUUGGCACCUCCGGGGGGUUUCCGAGGGUUCUUGUACUCGGCGGCGGCGAUAAGGUCCGCGUCGGCGGCGUCGCGUUUCGCUUGCGACUUCUUCUUGCCUUUCUUCUUGGCGCCGCGCUGAGUCGACGCCUCGGGAGCAUCUUCCGAUGGGCGGCCCUGGGCUGCUUGUCCUUUCGGAAGAUAGCCUCGACCGCCUCCUGGCCGGAGGCAAACUUGGUGGCGAUGUCCAUCAGCUCGCUCGCCCUGGUGGGGGUCUUGCGACCCAACUUGCUCACCAGGUCGCGGCAGGUGGUGCCGGCAAGGAACGCGCCAAUGACAUCCGAGUCGGUGAUGUUGGGCAGCUCGGUGCGCUGCUUCGAGAAUCGCCGGAUGUAGUCCCGGAGAGACUCUCCCGGCUGCUGCCGGCAGCUUCGGAGGUCCCAGGAAUUCCCGAGGCGCACGUACGUGCCCUGGAAAUUGCCGGCGAAAGCUUGGACUAGGUCGUCCCAGUUGGAGAUCUGCCCCGGAGGCAGGUGCUCCAACCAGGCGCGAGCGGUGUCGGAGAGGAACAGGGGGAGGUUGCGGAUGAUGAGGUUGUCAUCGUUCGUUCCACCCAGUUGGCAGGCCAGACGGUAGUCCGCGAGCCACAGUUCCGGUCUCGUCUCCCCCGAGUACUUUGUGAUAGUAGUCGGGGGUCGGAACCGGGUCGGGAACGGUGCCCGUCGGAUGGCCCGGCUGAAGGCCUGCGGACGGGAUGGUUCGGGCGAGGGACUCCGAUCCUCCCCGCUGUCGUAGCGUCCCCCACGCCUGGGGUGGUAGCCUCGGUGCACCCUCUCGUCGAGGUGGGCUCGACGGUCGCGGUGAUGGUGCUCGUUGCCGAGGCAGCCCGGGGCCGCAGGCGCGGUGUUGCGCGUGCGCCCGGUGUAGACCGAGGCUUCCCGCAUGAAUCGGGAAGUCACGGCAUGCUGGAAGCCCUGGGGCAGAUGGCGUAUUUCUCCGGCCGGGGGUUGGCCCGCCCAUGCCUGCCUGACGUCCCGGCGGAUCGGCUCAAGCGCUCCUGCUCCCUCGUCGAGCCUGGCCUACACCCCGCGGAUUUGCUCGAGCUGUGGGUCAUGGCCCCCCGCCUGAACGGGGACCACAGCUAGCUCCCGUGGGAUGUCAACGCGGGGCACCGGCCUAGGGAGAUCACCAUCCUCCGGCAUGCCGAGAUGAUUGCCUUCGGAGGGACCCCCUAGAUCGACGUGGAAGCAUUCGCGGCUUGGGCCGCAGUCCUCGUCGCCGAGGCUGCGGCUACCGUCGGAACAGUCAUAGAGGCAGCAGUCACAUGCGGUCAUGAAGUCCCGCAUGGCACUGAUGUUGCCAAGUCCAGAGAAAUCCCAACAGAUGUUGGGCUCGUCGUCUUCCUCGGACCCAGAGGGCCCGUAGGUCGAGACGUCCGUUAGCCGGUCCCAAGGCGACCGCAUGCGAAACCCCAGAGGGUUUGGACUCGCCUCUACGAGAGCGCCCGCCAAAGCGAGGUCGCUAGGCGGGUUGAGGCUGAAUCCAAAUGACGUGGGAUGGGAAUCGGUCGGUACCUCUUGGUCGACGAGCAGCGAUAAAGUCACGUCGGGGACUGACUGCACCGUCGUCUCAGGUACGAGGGUGACGUCCAGCAAGCUUUUCGCGAGCGCGCUGGCGUUGUCCGCUUGCUCGGGAUUGGCGUGUCGCGGGGAGUCAGCGCCGUCUUCGUCUCAAGCACGAAGUCGAUACCCGGUGCGCCCCCCGUUGGGGUGCCGGAACUGUCGACUCGCUCGACAGCCGACGAGGCGCUGCCUCCUGCUUGGCCUUGGUCGCCCUGCCUUCCCCUCCGUCGGCGGGGGAAAGGGCAGGAUGAGCUCGAAGGUUGUUCUUCCACCACGCGGGGAAGACGUCAUCGAUUCCGCCGCCGGCGGGCGGGCUGUCGGCCGCCAUUGUCGUUGUCGCGCGGCGGUGGAAGGAGUAUCAUGUCGUAGCUGCCGUCGAAGGACAUGAACUCAAGACUCCCGAAAUGGAGCACCGUCCCGGGUUGGAGAGGUUGCUGGAGACUGCCCAUCUGGAGCUUGACGGGACGCUGUUCGUCAACACGCAGCAGGCCCCUACCUGGCGCGCCAACUGUCGGCGUUUCGAGACCGGGGGGGUCCCUGGGCCGACGAGUGAAUGUCGUCGCGUGCCCCAUCCCAGAUGGGUCGAGCGCGAGGGCAAGCGCGAAGGGGGGAGAGCGAGGCGGCCGGAGACCGGCGUGAGAGAUGUGGGAAUCCCGCGGCCUUCGUGUUCGUCCCGCGCCCAGGUCGGGUGCGCUUGCAGUAGGGGGGUACAAGCGUCCACGCGGGAGAGGGAGCGAGCGGCUCCAAGCGAGCGCCUGUCUCGUCCUCGUCCCCGCGCGGCCAACCCUCUCUAAGAGGGCCCUGGUCCUUCCUUUUAUAGGUGUAAGGAGAGGAUCCAGGUGUACAAUGGGGGGUGUAGCAGAGUGCUACGUGUCUAGCGGAGGAGAGCUAGCGCCCUAAGUACAUGCCGUUGUGGCAGCCGGAGAGAUUUUGGCACCCAGCUGGUGUGAUGUCGUGGCCGUCGGAGGAGCGAUGGAGCCUGGCGGAGGGACAGCUGUCGGAGCGGUCGAGUCCUUGCUGACGUCCUCUUGCUUCCGUAAGGGGGCUGAGAGCCGCCGUCGUCACAGAGUACGUGGGGCGCCAUCAUUGCCUGUCUGGCGGAGCUAGCCAGAUGGGACGCCGAUCUUGUUCCCUGCGGCCCGAGUCAGCUCGGGGUAGGGUGAUGAUGGCGCCUCCUGUUGACGUGGCUGGUCUGCGCCCUAGGUUGGGUGAUGUGGAAGCUCCUCCGAAGCCGAGGUCGAGUCUGUCUUCCGUGGUCGAGGUCGAGUCCGAGCCCCUGGGUCGGGCGAGGCGGAGUUCGUCGUCUUCUGGGGCUGAGCCCAAGUCCGAGCCCUGGGUCGGGCGGAGCGGAGUUCUCCGUCUUUCGGGGCUGAGCCCGAGUCCGAGCCCUGGGUCGGGCGGAGCGGAGAUCGCCGUCUUCCGGGGCUGAGCCCGAGUCCGAGCCCUGGGUCGGGUGGAGCGGAGUUCGCCGUCUUCCGGGACUUAGCCCGAGUCCGAGCCCUGGGUCGGGCGGAGCGGAGAUCGCCGUCUUCCGGGGCUGAGCCCGAGUCCGAGCCCUGGGUCGAGCGGAGCGGAGUUCGCCGUCUUCCGGGACUUAGCCUGAGUCCGACCCUGGGUCGGGCGGAGCAGAGCUUCCUAUGAUGCCUUCGGCAGGGCCUGACUGCCUGUCAGUUUCACUCUGUCAAGUGGCACCGCAGUCGGUGCGGUGCAGGUGGCGCUGUCGUCCUGUCAGGUCGGUCAGUGGAGCGGCGAAGUGACGGCGGUCACUUCGGCUCUGCCGGCUGGGGGGCGCGCGUCAGGAUAAAGGUGUCAGGCCACCUUCGCAUUAAAUGCUCCUGUGAUUUGGUCGGUUGGUGCGGCGAUUUGGUCAGGGUUGCUUCUUAGCGAAGGCAGGGCCUCGGGCGAGCCGAAAAUAUGUUCGCCGUUGGAGGGGGGCCUCGGGCGAGACGGAAAUCCUCCGGGGUCGGCUGCCCUUGUCCGAGGCUAGGCUCGGGGCGAGGCGUGAUCGAGUCGCUCGAAUGGACUGAUCCCUGACUUAAUCGCACCCAUCAGGCCUUUGCAGCUUUAUGCUGAUGGGGUUUACCAGCUGAGAAUUAGGAGCCUUGAGGGUACCCCUAAUUAUGGUCCCCGACACUAAUACUCAGCUAGACUUACCCGGUGUGAGGAGUCUACUCCUCUACCUCUAGACAUGCAGCUGUUUGGCUGUGGGGUUUGGUUGCCAAAAGCACUAGCUGAGUUUCUAAGUCAAGUUUUAACUUUGUCAAAUUAAGUGUGACUCUCUUAAGGCUAAAAGUGUACUAUCUACUCAUACAUGGUAGCAAGCAUUAUUAGCAAUCAACAGCUUGUAUCAACUCAUCAUAUUUCCACUUGUUACUCAAUGCAGUACAAUGGAUCAAGCAGUCUCAUUAGCUGCGAGAAGCAGACGAUUCGAAUCGAGUUUUUAUCCUUGCAAGGUAAACCUAAACACACGACAUGUAGGGGCACUCCGUCCCCACACACAUCAACCGUCCCCAUCGAUUCCCUGUCAGCAGAACAGGGCUCACCGCCUUGGCGUACAAUGCCUCACUGACCCCGACUGCCGUCGUGCAGUGACCGCACUUGUACCCACCAUAACCGGAAUGGGAGACCACGUCUCAGGUCGCGUGAGGGGCAAAGUCUACUGCUAGGUUCAAUCAGGUACUAGGCUUACCGAUUUACCAUAUUUCUCGGCAUGUGCUUAGUACGUUCAAUCGCUUGACACAGGUAUCCGCACGUUAAUCCUUAUUCCAAUUUCACCUCGCAGACCACGCAUCCCCAUGGAUCCGUGUCCACCAACCAACUAUCAAUAUGAUAUGAAAAGUGGGUACAACCAAUUCCUGAUCUCCUGCGAGUGCUAGAAAAAUCACUCGUCUUCUACCGAGAUCCUAAUUCAAUAAAGCAACUACUCGACCUAGCAUAUUAGUAUCCAUCUCAAAAGGAUUCCUGAGAUCAUGCAAGUAGGGUUUCAAACAAUUCCUACACCUAAGUGCACAAUCAAUCCUACAAUCAUUAAGUGAAGUAAAAUAGCAUAAAUAACAGGUUAUGCAUAAACCGGGGCUUGCCUUCCAAAGCAGUGGCAGACAGGUCCUCUAGUGCAGGCUCUGGUGCUGGAUCUGGGGCUACCUCCUGAGCAGCUCCUUGCUCCGGCACGAGGACGUACUCUCCGUCAGCAAGGUUACAGUCUAUCGAAAUGCAAUGAACAUGUAUGUCAUGAUUAUGCAGGAUUAAUAACAUUAUGCUAAAAAGAAAGCUAAGUUAAAUAGUAACUUAGGGUUUCUUAGUCAUGCGGGUCUUCCAGUGGGUUAUGCUUAUUACUUUUAGGCUUAGGUUUUCAUUGAGGAUAACCUAGUGGAUUUGUAUUGUCUUUAUACAUUUCAUUGGACAAAUUACAAGGGUUUUAGGAUGACACUAAUUACCAUUCUUCAUUUUCCUUUCUUUAAUUUCUCCUUAGGGUUUCUAGUGUAGGUUUGAACUAUGACAGUGGUUUAAUAUUUUCCAAAAAUUCUGUAAAAAUUACAGUGGGUUGCCAUCUGCUAUUCUAGCCUGUUUUCAGAAUUUGAGGCUUAAAACAUAAAGGCUAUGCUUUAGACAAAAAUAACAAGAGUUGUGUAAAAGGGGCCACUUUACAUUACAUCUCUUAAUUAGGGGUGAGUUCUGCCCUAAGGGUUAUUUUUGUUGGCAUCUAACAGUAAUAAUAGGCUUCUGUGCAAAAAAUCACAGCAAGCUAAGGGGUGGUUAUUUAGUUAUGAUUUUCUAAAGUUUAAUGUCAAAAAGGCACUUUCUACUACAUUGUUAUUUGAAAAAUGCCAAACAGCAGAUUUCAUAUUUUUUCUAAGUUUUUAAUAACAAAAAAUUAACUAUCCCAAGGAUGGGGGUGUUUUUACCUUGGGGUUAUUUUUGUAGGGUUUUUCUAUGGAGGCCAUUUUCUUACUAAGACAACUUAUGGAGAGAUUCAGAGAACAAAAGAAAGACCUGCUUAUGGUCUUCAUAGACUUGGAGAAGGCUUAUGACAAAGUACCUAGGAGUGUAAUGUGGUGGGCCUUGGAAAAACACAAAGUAGCAACAAAGUACAUUAAUCUUAUUAAAGAUAUGUACACUAAUGUUGUGACAAGUGUCCGAACAAGUGAUGGAGACACCGAUGACUUUCCAAUUAACAUAGGACUACAUCAAGGGUCGGCUUUGAGCCCUUAUCUUUUCGCUUUGGUGAUAGAUGAGGUCACAAGGGACAUACAAGGAGUUUUACCGUGGUGUAUGCUUUUUGCCGAUGAUGUGGUACUUAUUGAGGAGAGUAGGAGUGGUGUUUCUCAAAAGUUGGAAUUGUGGAGGCAGACGCUGGAAGCAAAAGGUUUUAGGCUUAGUAGGUCUAAAACAGAGUAUAUGAAGUGUGAUUUCAGUGCCAUGGGGUAUGAGGAUGGCGAUGUUAGUCUUGAUGGGCAAGUGGUACCCAAGAAAGACACUUUUCGUUACUUAGGAUCAAUGCUUCAAAAGGAGGGAGACAUCGAUGAGGAUGUCAGUCAUAGAAUUAAAGCCGGAUGGUUGAAGUGGCGACAAGCUGCGGGUGUCUUAUGCGACCACCGGGUGCCACGCAAACUAAAAGGCAAAUUCUACAGGACAGCAAUCCGGCCGGCUAUGUUGUAUGGAGCAGAAUGUUGGCCCACUAAAAGACGACAUGUCCAACAACUAAGUGUGGCAGAGAUGCGUAUGUUGCGCUGGAUAUGUGGCCACACAAGGAGAGAUCGAGUCCGGAAUGAUGAUAUACGAGAGAGAGUAGGAGUGGCGCCAAUUGAGGAGAAGCUUAUGCAACAUCGCUUGAGAUGGUUUGGACAUAUCCAACGAAGACCUGAAGAGGCACCAGUGCAUAUCGGAAUAAUUAGGCGUCCCGAAAAUGUGAAGAGAGGUAGAGGUCGACCAACUUUGACGUGGACAGAGGCUGUGAAGAGAGACCUGAAGGAGUGGAAUAUUGACAAAGAGCUCGCCGCAGAUAGGAAGGGGUGGAAGUGUGCAAUUCACGUGCCAGAACCCUGAUUGAUAGUUUCGCUUUUCCUCCUUAAUCGUUUGACCUUUUUCUUGUGUCCAUUUUAGAUCUUGCUGGUCCUUGUGGGUUUUAUCUCUUUUAUGUGUUUCCCCGUUUCGUUGUUUUCGGUUCUCCUUUGCCUUUGUUUCCCUUUUCUGUUCUUUGGGGGUUGAGCUCUGAGGUUUUCAUACGGGGUUUCAUCUCUAGCCUACCCCAACGUGCUUGGGACAAAAAGGCUUUGUUGUUGUUGUUGUUGUUGUUGUUUUCUAAGUUUUCAUUGUUUUAUUCAAAUAAAAGGUAUCCCACUUAUUUUAUACUCAACCAGGGUAUGAUAGAUUUUUCCAGUGAACUAUAUUGAAUAAGUAUCCUAACAAAAAUAGGGGUGCCCUCUGGUUCAUUAUUUGAAUCACCUUUUCUAUUUUUCUUAUCCUUAAGCAUAUUAUAGAAUAAGGGGUAAAAACUAACUUAAUGGAGUGGACAGAGAGGUUUAACAUUUUUAAACAGGUCAGUAGGUAGAUUUAAACUUCCCCAAAUUUUUCUAAUCCUAGUCAAAUAGUACAACUAUUUUUUCUUUCUAUUAUUGAGCUUUUGGCCAAAACUAUACUUAAAUAAGAACCUUAUAGUUUUCUACAGUACAUAGGGGUUUUGUAUUUUUCUUAAGCAGGUUACAUUAUUUAGAGUCUGACAAAAUUGGUUUGACCAAAUUUGGAUGAACUAAACAGAAGUUAUGAAUUUUUAAAGCUUCUGUUCAAUUUAAAAACAAAGAUUGAAUAAGAGUUUCCUGGAAAAACAGUUUACACUGAGGCCCCUGGGUUUAGACUAAAUCAACUCGCACAAAUCUACCCCUGCGCCACUGUUCCCUUGGGUCGCUGACAGUUCAAAAAGCCCCCUGACCUUCUCUUCCUCUCACCCGCAGUCCUUCCCCCAAUGUAAACAGUACCCGCGGGAAAGAAAAGGGUGGCGCGGCUUACCGGCGGUGAGAUAGGUCCAGCGAAGGGCAGGGUUGGCUCGGGGAGGCUCUGGCGGUCACAGCGAGGUGCGGCUCGACGGCGGGGAUGGCCGGAAUCGCUCGGUCCACGUGCGCAGGCGGGUGUUCUCAUCGGCGGCGAGUGUACCGGCCAAACCACGGCGAUCUGGUUCAAUCCAAGGGCACGGUGAGCUUCCUGGGGUGACGUAUAGGCUAUCUGUGCAGUGAAUCGAGAAAUGGCUCAGUGAUUUACCCGGUCCACGCACUCCGGCGGGGUUGUGAACUCCGGCGGGGUUGUGAACUCCGGCGACCGUGGACUGGCCUCUCCGGCGAAGUAGGCUUCGAUUCCUCGCCCGGGGAGCUUCACCGAGGUGUGCUUACUCGUCUCAGAGGGUUGGAUGGGGCUGGGGAAAGCUGGACUGGCCGGUCUACGACGGCAGUGGCUCGGGUGGCCGCGGACACGCCGCGCACGAGCAAACGGCGGUGAACUGAGCUCCGGUGAGGUUUGAGCGUGCGCGGAAGAGUGUAACCGACGCCUGGGUGGGCUUUAUAGGCGCGAGCGCGGGACAGGGCGCCGGCUGGCCGUUGGCGCGACGCGGGGCACGCGGGGGCGCGCGCGGGCGUGCUCUGGCGAGCUCAGAGCACGUCGAACACGUGGCUCGUUGCUUCUGCCCGUGUUCUUCCCUCUGCUGAGCGGCCAAAACGUACGAAUCUUACCCUAUCGCCUGUGGGAGAUCUCUUCCCUGCACCUAGAGCUACCUAGUUCAUGUGAGUUCCAAGAGUAGAUGUGGUCGGGUUAGAGAGAUAUGAGGGUGGGAAGUCGGCUGUGUCAGACAGGUCCAAACCGAGACAAAAAUGGUGCGAAGUCAUGUCAAACGUCCUAGGGUAGGUGUCACCUCUUUCCAGGGCAUUCUAGGGUUAAUUUGGCGCCACUUUGUCAAUUGGGUCGAAGUGUUUUGAAUUUUGGAUUAAGGUGAACAUGUGGGAUCUUUGCUCAAGGGUUAGUUUUUAUACUUAGGCAAAUUCUGAUUUUUUCCCUUGUGCUCAACAUUUGGUGAACUUUUUGGGACUUUUCUGAAAUCGUUUUGGGGGUACUUUCUUACUAUUAUUUGUAGGUUAUGAAGCAUACUACAACUUUUAUAUUUGGCCCAAGCCAUGAUCAUAAGGUGUACAUGACCUUUUGAUCCUAGCUUCAAUUAGGGUUCCUAUUGCUCAAGGAGGGUUUGCUUUAGGGUUUUGGGAAAUCCCCCCCCUUAGAUGUGCAUGAAAAGCUAGGGCAUGAUAUCCAAGAUGGUUUGCACUUGCUUAGGACCUUGAAUUCCAUGUUUGAUGUACUUUGCCCAAAUCAAUCCUCAUGUGAUAAUAGGUUAAAAGGGGUAGCCCUGGGUGGACACCCUGAGUAACACCUGGGGUGUUACAGCCCUCCCCCCUUAAAGGAAUCUCGUCCCGAGAUUUUAGGUAUAGUCCCUUGGAGGGGUGCUUGAAGGUGUGCUACUUUUUCUCUUACUCAAGUUUCUCUGGUUAUCUGCUCUUCGAAUGUCAUUCUCUUUCCAACUUCAGAAGGAAGCCCUUUUUAAGUUAAGUCCACAACUUAGACUAUCCUUGUUACCUAAGCUUUUCUUAUAAUUGAAUUCAAAGGGCAGGUGGGGGUGGGGUUUUGGGGUUACGUACCGACUCCUUUGGGUAGAAAGUCGGGGAAAUGAGAGCGCAGAAAAUCCUCAGUCUCCCAUGUGGCUUCUUCUGCUGAAUGGUGACUCCACUGAACCUUAUACAUUCUGACCGACCUUGCCCGAGUUGAUCUCUCCUUUUGAUCUAAUACCUUGACGGGGUACUCUUGGUAGGACAAGUCUGGUUCUAUCUUAAUAUCUGGUUCUGGCAGCACUUCAGUGGGUAGACGAACACAUUUCCGCAGCUGAGAUACAUGGAACACAUUGUGAACUGCUGACAUGUGAGGUGGCAAUUCCAACUGAUAGGCUACAGGUCCACAACUUGCUUUGAUUUCAUAGGGUCCAAUGUAGCGAGGAGCUAACUUGCCCUUGAUCCCGAAUCUCUCGACACCCUUGGUGGGUGACACUUUAAGAUAAACAUGAUCUCCCACCUCAAACUGUAGAGGCUUCCGCCUCUUAUCAUGAUAGCUCUUUUGCCUGGCCUGAGCAGCUUCUAGGUUCUUCUUGAUGAUCCUGACCUUUGCCUCUGCUUCAAGUACCAAGUCUGGCCCAAAAAUUUCCCUCUCUCCUGCUUGAGACCAAUUCGGUGGGGUCCUACACCUUCUCCCAUAUAAGGCUUCAAAAGGUGCCAUCUUCAGACUGGACUGAUAGCUGUUAUUAUAGGAAAACUCUGCCAAAGAAAGACACUUGUCCCAAUCCUUCCCGUAGUGUAGUGCACAUGCUCGCAACAUGUCUUCCAGAACCUGAUUCACCCUUUCUGUCUGACCAUCUGUUUGGGGAUGGUACGCUGAGCUUCGUAUUACUUGGGUCCCAAGUGGUUCUUGCAGCUGUUCCCAAAAGCGUGCCACAAACAGUGCUCCUCUGUCAGAUAUGAUGGUCUUUGGAAUACCAUGUAAUCGCACUAUUUGAUCAACAUAAAUUUCUGCAUACUUCUCCGCCUUGUGGGUGGUGUGCACUGGCAAGAAAUGAGCGGUCUUGGUCAACCUGUCCACAAUAACCCAAACGGAGUCAUGGUGCCUGGAGGUAUUGGGCAAUCCUACGAUGAAAUCCAUGCAAAUGUCCUCCCAUUUCCAAGAUGGUAUGGGAAGGGGUUGCAAAGGACCCGCUGUCUUCAAGUGACUAGCCUUGAUUCUCUGGCAGGUGUCACACUCGGAGAUGUACUUGGCAAUUUCCCUCUUCAUUCUGGUCCACCAAUAUAAAGUUCUGAGAUCAUGGUACAUCUUGUUGCUACCAGGGUGCAUGGAGAAUUUGGAAAGGUGAGCUUCAUCCAAUAUCCUCUUUCUGAGCUCAGGGUCCUUGGGAACAACCAAUCGGUCUCCAAACCAUAAAAUUCCCUUGUUGUCCUGACGGAAGCACUUGUAUUUCUCUGCCUUUUGCUUGAUCAUUUCCUUAAUCAUUUGAACACCCUUAUCCUCAAUCUGUGCCCUCACUAUUUGCUCUUGCAAUGUGGGUUCCACCGAGAUAUAACUCAAGUCACCUGAAGAAACAACUUCCAGGUUCAGCUUGCACAGCUCAUCGCACAGGGUGGUAACUCUUGUAUCCAUGCUUAUACAAUUGCACUGGGCCUUUCUGCUCAAGGCAUCUGCCACAACAUUGGCUUUGCCAGGAUGGUAAUGCACUUCCAAAUCAUAGUCCUUGAUUAACUCCAACCAUCUCCUUUGCCUCAUGUUCAGAUCUGCCUGAGUGAAGAUGUAUUUGAGACUCUUGUGAUCAGUAUAGAUGUUACAGUGAGCUCCCAUCAAAUAUUGUCUCCAUAUCUUAAGAGCAUGAACCACAGCUGCCAACUCCAGGUCAUGUGUAGGGUAGUUCUGCUCAUGGGGCCUGAGGGCUCGGGAAGCAUAAGCAAUGACUCUGUUCUCUUGCAUCAAGACACAUCCCAAUCCUGUACCAGAAGCAUCACAAUAAACUUCAAAUGGCUUGGUGUUGUCAGGUUGAGCCAGCACUGGGGCUGUUGUCAAAUGCUGCCUCAAAGUAUGAAAGGCAUCUUCACACUUUUGGCUCCAAUCAUACUUGACUCCUUUCUUCAACAAUUUAGUCAUUGGUUUGGCAAUCCUGGAGAAAUCCGGAAUAAAUCGUCGAUAAUACCCUGCCAAUCCCAGAAAACUCUGAAUUUGCUUCACUGUAGUCGGGGGUUUCCAAUCCAUCACCUCUUGCACCUUCUCAGGAUCAACUGAUAUCCCAUCCUGAGAAAUUGUGUGACCCAAAAAUUUGAUCUCCUUUAGCCAGAAUUCGCAUUUAGACAACUUAGCAUAAAGACGAUGAUCGCGCAGUCGCUAGAGCACGAUGUGCAGGUCCUCAGCAUGUUCGUCUUCAUUCUUGGAAUAGACCUUAAUAUCAUCAAUGAAAACGACCAUGAACUUAUCCAACUCUGGCAUAAACACUGAGUUCAUCAGGUACAUGAAAUAAGCCGGGGCAUUGGUCAGCCCAAAAGACAUCACCAAAAACUCAUACAACCCAUAUCUGGUUGAGAAGGCCGUCUUGGGAAUAUCGCUGGCACGGAUCUUGAUCUGAUGGUAACCUGAGCGAAGGUCUAUCUUGGAGAAUACCUUGGCUCCCACUAGCUGAUCAAACAGAACAUCAAUACGGGGCAGCGGGUAUUUGUUCUUGAUUGUCACCGCAUUGAGAGGGCGGUAGUCAACACACAUCCUCAAACUUUCAUCCUUUUUCUUCACAAAUAAUGCUGGACAUCCCCAUGGUGAAGUACUUGGGCAAAUAAACCCCUUGUCCAACAACUCUUGCAAUUGCUUCUUCAAUUCUGCCAAUUCCGCGGGAGGCAUCCUAUAAGGUCUCUUGGAGAUAGGAGCAGUCCCGGGUUGUAACUCGAUUGCGAACUCAAUGUCUCGGUCUGGUGGCAUCCCUGGCAACUCAUCCGGAAACACAUCCGGGUAGUCACGGACCACUGGGAUCUUUUCCACUGGGGACUCUAUCAUAACGAAGGCACAAGAACGGGUACAACCCUGGUCGGGCAGAUAUAAGGUAAUCUCGCCAUCCAAAGGAGAGUGGAUUUCUAUGGCUCUGGCUGCAACAUCAAUCACCGCGUGGUGCCAUGAUAACCAAUCAGUCCCUAAGAUGAUAUCCACACUAUCCAAUCCCACUAUUAAGAGAGUGGUUUUGAAAAUGAAACUACCCAGCUUAAUUGGUACGUGUAUAUUGAUCUGAUAGGUGGCAACCCUGCCUCCUGGUGUUGAGAUUGUAAUGCCCCCAUUGGUGUGGUGAAAAGGCAAUUGACACUUGGCACUAAAUUUGGUACUGAUAAAACUGUGUGAUGCACCAGAAUCAAAAAGAACAAUAGCAGGAUAAUUCAAAACUGUAAAGAUACCAGUCAAGAUGGGUGCUCCCUCUGGAAUAUCGGCCAUGGUGGUGAAGUUUAGCCUGCCCUGCCUCACUUGCACCUUCUGCCUCUUGCCUUGGUUCUGAUUAACAUUCUGCCCCUGCCUCUGCUGGUUCCUGGGGCAAUUUUUGGCAUAAUGUCCGGUGUUGCCACAUGUGAAACACUUGUUAUCAUUUGCCUGGCGGUACUGCUGCUGCUGCUGGUUGUUCCUCUGAGCUGGAAACUGGGUACGGUUGGGUGCCUGCUGCUGCUGCUGUGGUCGGAUCACCCAUCUUCCUUGCUGCUGCUGGGGUCCCCUGUUUUGUGUGUCGGACACAAUCCUGAAGCGUUGUGGCUGAGCUGAGGGUCCUGCCACAGGGGUCUUCCUCUUCUUUUCUGCCUGUCGAGCUGUAAUGCAGUCCUCCUGGGAGAUAGCCAUGUUGACCAACUCAUUGUAGCUGUUGGCCCUGACGGUGUUGAGACGCUCACGGAGCUUAGUGCUGAGCCCCCUCCUGAACCUGUCUCUCUUCUUCUCAUCCGUGUCUGCGUGAUAUCCAGCAUACUGGCACAAGUCAUUAAAAGCCUGGGCAUACUGCAACACUGUCAUGUUGCCCUGAGUGAGUGCUAGAAACUCGUUGAGCUUUCGGUCCAUAAUCCCGGCUGGUAUGUGGUGUCCUCUGAAAGCUGCCUUGAACUCCCUCCAUUCCACCUCUCGAUCUUCUGGCUGCAUGGCAAGAAAAUGGUCCCACCAAGUCCUUGCGGGUCCGCGAAGCUGCUGGGUGGCGAACCUGACUUUAGUGACCUCUGAGCAAGCUCCAUGGAGUAGCGGGAAUUUGGAUUCCACCACUCGCAACCACACAUCUGCGUCAAGUGGGUCCUCUGCCCUUGUGAACAAUGGGGGCUGAGUACUGAGGAACUCCUGGUAGGUAGCUGCCGCGGGGUGACGCUGAUGGUCUCCGCCACCAUAGUGCUGAGGUGGUGGCUGACGCUGAGCUAGCUGCCCCAAGAUCUCAUUCUGCUGAGCCAUCAGCUCCUGCAGAGUGGGAGGCGGUGGCGGCGGUGGAGGGACGCGCUCAUUCUGGCCACGACGCUGCCUCCCGGCCAUCUGAAAAACCACAUAUAUACUUAACACCAUAACUCCAAGUUUAAGGCUUAAUCGCGGCGAAAAGAGUUAAAAGCAAAAUGAUAGAUUCCAACUUAAACCGAAAGGAUUUAAAAAGGCAUAAAUUUUUCCUUCCAAAUUCAAAACUGAUAACAGCAUCAAACAUGCUUCCAAGAGGGUUUGUCACGAUUACAUCAAUUGUCCCAAAAAGACUCAACUCUAUCUAGCCUAGUACCCCAAGGGUGCAAAAGCUAAGCUAGCUGCGAGGAGUUCUACCAUCCGACUUCUAACUCUGUCCUGAACCCUAGUGAGCGAACGAGGCAACACUCGACUCGGGGGAAGGUGGUCUCCCUGAGCCAGCAGUGUCCACACUAGAGGCAGGCUCCUCUCCUCCCUCGAUGUCGACGUCCUCGUUGGCCUCCAGGUCCUGGAUCUCCUGGUGAUGCAUAUCCAGGUGCUCAUUAGCCUCAGCAAGCUGUUGCUGGGUGUUAAUGAGCUGAUCCUCGAGAACCUCGAUGGUGUUCUCCCUGGUGCCCACUAGUUCCUCCAACUCUUGGAUAUCAGUGGAUAGCUGCUCCACCUGCAAGUCCUUCUCCACCAUUUCAGUAGACAAAUCAACCACAAGCUCCUCCCUGUUGUCCAGCGUAAUCUUUGUCGCCUCCAAUAGUGCCAUCAGAUGGGACAUCGCCUCGCCGCGCAUCACUUGCAGACGGUACAGAGCAUUCAUGCAACGUACUGUCAAGUGCGCAGUCUGUCCUGGGUAGAUGGCCCAGAUAUCCUUGGUAUGCUCCACCCGAUCCUUCCACAUUGGGUCGUCCUCCCUUUCGGCGGGGAACAAGCCAAUGGGGUGGGUAGCCAGCUCCAAAGGAUGGAAUCCGCAGAAAGUGGUCAACCCGUGUAGAGCGAUCGCCUCGAUCGUGUCCUCAGCUCGAUCUCCAAAAGACUCGGAGUCCAACGAGUGCCAGCCUGGCUGCAGGGGAUGAGGCUCCAAGGUCAUCCUCACCCUACAGCGGGGUACUCGGUGCUUCUCGAACUGCUGCACCGCGUACUGAGGGGGUGUCGUGUAUCCAGCCCCCUGAAGUACCUCCCACAAAAUGCGGGGAAAGCCCUCUCGUGCAAGUCCGUCAGUGUGGGACAGUGCAUUUCCGUCCUCUGAGGAUCCGUGGGAAGUCAUCUGUGUACGGUUAAGCGUAAGUAAAAGAAAAAGAAUUAUAAAAAGAACAAGAAAAAAUAAAACUCUGCCUUUCUCUAGUUAAAUAAAUAAUAAAAAUAAAAAAAUACUGGGGACCUAGUUGGUUAUCAUUUUGUAAUUAGGUCCUCACUUAAUUUUUCAUUUGUUAAAUUUUAAGAAUGCAUGCAUGCUCGUCCUGAACGACCUCACAACAAGAUAGAAGGAAUAGGGAAGAACUCCCAUCCUGUAAAAGUGGCCUGUAGGGCCUAAUUACUUAGCCACCUAGCUACCCUUCUAUCAUCCUAAGGCUUCACGUCCUAGGUCUAUCCUGCUCGUCCUACUAUCUAUCCAACAUUGUUCCUAUCAAGUUUUAUUUUGGAAAAAUGAUGGUAUUCACAUUUUAUUGAUUCCUCUGUGGUGGUACAAGCUCCGAUACCAGCUGUGGCGGAACUGCCCGAAUUAUUUCAACUUAAGUGCCUAAGUCCCGCCUUAGAGGCUAGACCACACUUAAAUGGGAAUAACCCAUCAAUCCCUCGGAUCUAGUCCGACACGGCCACUGACAGGAUCAAGUACCACAAUCUCACUCGAUGGUGAGUCACAGAGCAAAUACAAUAAAGCAUAAAACCAUGCAUUAAGGAGUAUUAAAUUAUUACAUCAUCAUCGGAGUUUUGCAAAAGUAGUCAUCAUUGUUUGAAGUACAGCGGAAAUAAACUAACGAUAAAUAAAUAGAGAGAUGGGGAAGCCUGUCCCAUCACUCCUCACGCUCCUCCUCAGCCGAGGCAGUGUCCCACUCGACAGUCCAACCCGGUGGCAAGAUGGACGGCCAAGUCACUCCAGCAACCAUGUCCUCCAGAGAACCUGUAAAAUUAUGCCACGAGCAAGGCUGAGUAUACUAAUACUCAGCUAGACUUACCCGGUGUGAGGAGUCUACUCUUCUACCUCUAGACAUGCAGCUGUUUGGCUGUGGGGUUUGGUUGCCAAAAGCACUAGCUGAGUUUCUAAGUCAAGUUUUAACUUUGUCAAAUUAAGUGUGACUCUCUUAAGGCUAAAAGUGUACUAUCUACUCAUACAGGGUAGCAAGCAUUAUUAGCAAUCAACAACUUAUAUCAACUCAUCAUAUUUCCACUUGUUACUCAAUGUAGUACAAUGGAUCAAGCAGUCUCAUUAGCUGCGAGAAGCAGACGAUUCGAAUCGAGUUUUUAUCCUUGCAAGGUAAACCUAAACACACGACAUGUAGGGGCACUCCGUCCCCACACACAUCAACCGUCCCCAUCGAUUCCCUGUCAGCAGAACAGGGCUCACCGCCUUGGCGUACAAUGCCUCACUGACCCCGACUGCCGUCGUGCAGUGACCGCACUUGUACCCACCAUAACCGGAAUGGGAGACCAUGUCUCAGGUCGCGUGAGGGGCAAAGUCUACUGCCAGGUUCAAUCAGGUACUAGGCUUACCGAUUUACCAUAUUUCUCGGCAUGUGCUUAGUACGUUCAAUCGCUUGACACAGGUAUCCGCACGUUAAUCCUUAUUCCAAUUUCACCUCGCAGACCACGCAUCCCCAUGGAUCCGUGUCCACCAACCAACUAUCAAUAUGAUAUGAAAAGUGGGUACAACCAAUUCCUGAUCUCGCGCGAGUGCUAGAAAUAUCACUCGUCUUCUACCGAGAUCCUAAUUCAAUAAAGCAACUACUCGACCUAGCAUAUUAGUAUCCAUCUCAAAAGGAUUCCUGAGAUCAUGCAACUAGGGUUUCAAACAAUUCCUACACCUAAGUGCACAAUCAAUCCUACAAUCAUUAAGUGAAGUAAAAUAGCAUAAAUAACAGGUUAUGCAUAAACCGGGGCUUGCCUUCCAAAGCAGUGGCAGACAGGUCCUCUGGUGCAGGCUCUGGUGCUGGAUCUAGGGCUACCUCCUGAGCAGCUCCUUGCUCCGGCACGAGGACGUACUCUCUGUCAGCAAGGUUACAGUCUAUCGAAAUGCAAUGAACAUGUAUGUCAUGAUUAUGCAGGAUUAAUAACAUUAUGCUAAAAAGAAAGCUAAGUUAAAUAGUAACUUAGGGUUUCUUAGUCAUGCGGGUCUUCCAGUGGGUUAUGCUUAUUACUUUUAGGCUUAGGUUUUCAUUGAGGAUAACAUAGUGGAUUUGUAUUGUCUUUAUACAUUUCAGUGGACAAAUUACAAGGGUUUUAGGAUGACACUAAUUACCAUUCUUCAUUUUCCUUUCUUUAAUUUCUCCUUAGGGUUUCUAGUGUAGGUUUGAACUAUGACAGUGGUUUAAUAUUUUCCAAAAAUUCUGUAAAAAUUACAGUGGGUUGCCAUCUGCUAUUCUAGCCUGUUUUCAGAAUUUGAGGCUUAAAACAUAAAGGCUAUGCUUUAGACAAAAAUAACAAGAGUUGUGUAAAAGGGGCCACUUUACAUUACAUCUCUUAAUUAGGGGUGAGUUAUGCCCUAAGGGUUAUUUUUGUUGGCAUCUAACAGUAAUAAUAGGCUUCUGUGCAAAAAAUCACAGAAAGCUAAGGGGUGGUUAUUUAGUUAUGAUUUUCUAAAGUUUAAUGUCAAAAAGGCACUUUCUACUACAUUGUUAUUUGAAAAAUGCCAAACAGCAGAUUUCAUAUUUUUCCUACGUUCUUAAUAACAAAACAUUAACUAUCCCAAGGGUGGGGGUGUUUUUACCUUGGGGUUAUUUUUGUAGGGUUUUUCUAAGUUUUCAUUGUUUUAUUCAAAUAAAAGGUAUCCCACUUAUUUUAUACUCAACCAGGGUAUGAUAGAUUUUUCCAGUGAACUAUAUUGAAUAAGUAUCCCACCAAAAAUAGGGGUGCCCUCUGGUUCAUUAUUUGAAUCACCUUUUCUAUUUUUCUUAUCCUUAAGCAUAUUAUAGAAUAAGGGGUAAAAACUAACUUAAUGGAGUGGACAGAGAGGUUUAACAUUUUUAAACAGGUCAGUAGGUAGAUUUAAACUUCCCCAAACUUUUCUAACCCUAGUCAAAUAGUACAACUAUUUUUUCUUUCUAUUAUUGAGCUUUUGGCCAAAACUAAACUUAAAUCAGAACCUUAUAGUUUUCUACAGUACAUAGGGGUAUUGUAUUUUUCUUAAGUAGGUUACAUUAUUUAGAGUCUGACAAAAUUUGUUUGACCAAAUUUGGAUGAACUAAACAGAAGUUAUGAAUUUUUAAAGCUUCUGUUCAAUUUAAAAAAAAGAUUUAAUAAGAGUUUCCUGGAAAAACAGUUUACACCGAGGCCCCUGGGUUUAGACUAAAUCAACUCGCACAAAUCUACCCCUGCGCCACUGUUCCCUUGGGUCGCUGACAGUUCAAAAGCCCCUGACCUUCUCUUCCUCACCCGCAGUCCUUCCCCCAAUGUAAACAGUACCCGCGGGAAAGAAAAGGGUGGCACGGCUUACCGGCGGCGAGAUAGGUCCGGCGAAGGGCAGGGUUGGCUCGGGGAGGCUCUGGCGGUCACAGCGAGGUGCGGCUCGACGGCGGGGAUGGCCGGAAUCGCUCGGUCCACGUGCGCAGGCGGGUGUUCUCGUCGGCGGCGAGUGUACCGGCCAAACCACGGCGAUCUGGUUCAAUCCAAGGGCACGGUGAGCUUCCUGGGGUGACGUAUAGGCUAUCUGUGCAGUGAAUCGAGAAAUGGCUCAGUGAUUUACCCGGUACACGCACUCCGGCGGGGUGGUGAACUCCGGCGACCGUGGACUGGCCUCUCCGGCGAAGUAGGCUUCGAUUCCUCGCCCGGGGAGCUUCACCGAGGUGUGCUUACUCGUCUCAGAGGGUUGGAUGGGGCUGGGGAAAGCUGGACUGGCCGGUCUACGGCGGCAGUGGCUCGGGUGGCCGCGGACACGCCGCGCACGGGCAAACGGCGGUGAACUGAGCUCCGGUUUGGUUUGAGCGUGCGCGGAAGAGUGUAACCGACACCUGGGUGGGCUUUAUAGGCGCGGGCGCGGGACAGGGCGCCGGCUGGCCGUUAGCGCGACGCGGGGCACGCGGGGGCGCGCGCGGGCGUGCUCUGGCGAGCUCAGAGCGCGUCGAACACGUGGCUCGUUGCUUCUGCCCGUGUUCUUCCCUCUGCUGAGCGGCCAAAACGUACGAAUCUUACCCUAUCACAUGUGGGAGAUCUCUUCCCUGCACCUAGAGCUACCUAGUUCAUGUGAGUUCCAAGAGUAGAUGUGGUCGGGUUAGAGAGAUAUGAGGGUGGGAAGUCGGCUGUGUCAGACAGGUCCAAACCGAGACAAAAAUGGUGCCAAGUCAUGUCAAACGUCCUAGGGUAGGUGUCACCUCUUUCCAGGGCAUUCUAGGGUUAAUUUGGCGCCACUUUGUCAAUUGGGUCGAAGUGUUUUGAAUUUUGGAUUAAGGUGAACAUGUGGGAUCUUUGCUCAAGGGUUAGUUUUUAUACUUAGGCAAAUUCUGAAUUUUUCCCUUGUGCUCAACCUUUGGUGAACUUUUUGGGACUUUUCUGAAAUCUUUUUGGGGGUACUUUCUUACUAUUAUUUGUAGGUUAUGAAGCAUACUACAACUUUUAUAUUUGGUCCAAGCCAUGAUCAUAAGGUUUACAUGACCUUUUGAUCCUAGCUUCAAUUAGGGUUCCUAUUGCUCAAGGAGGGUUUGCUUUAGGGUUUUGGGAAAUCCCCCCCUUAGAUGUGCAUGACAAGCUAGGGCAUGAUAUCCAAGAUGGUUUGCACUUGCUUAGGACCUUGAAUUCCAAGUUUGAUGUACUUUGCCCAAAUCAAUCCUCAUGUGAUAAUAAGUUAAAAGGGGUAGCCCUGGGUGGACACCCUGAGUAACACCUGGGGUGUUACAUCUCUGUCCCUCUCCCUCCACUCUCUUUCCUAUAUAUACACUCCCUCUCCCUCCUCUCUCUUCUCUCUCUCUCUCCCUCCCUCCACUCUCUUUCCUCUCUCUUCCCUUUCCCUCUCUCCUCUCCUCUCUCUUCCCUCUCCCUCCUCUCUCUUCCCUCUCCCUCUCUCCCCUCCUCUCCCUCUCUCUCACUCUCUAGAGACGCGCGUAGGGUUUACACUCUUCCCUCUCUCUUCCCUCUCACUCUGUCACUCUUCCUAGGCCUAGGGUUUACACGCGCGGCGGCGGCGUGUGCACGGCGGCGGCGGCAUGCCCGAGCGAUCAUAGUCGAAGAAGGGAGAGAGAGAGAGGAGAACGUACCUACGGCGUGGGGACGACGACGUCGACGACGGCGGCGCACGGCGGAGAAGAUCGCCGGGGCGAAAUUUCGGCAGCCUGACGGCGGGAAGUGUGAAAGGGAAUUAGGCUUACACCUAUUUCCUAAUUGAUUUUGGUGGUUGAAUUGCCCAACACAAAUAAUUGGACUAACUAGUUUGCUCUAGUCUAUAAGUUAUACAGGUGCCAAAGGUUCACACUAAGCUAAUAAAAAGACCAAGAAAAGGGUUCAACAAAAAGAGCAAGGGACCACCGAAGUGUGCCCUGGUCUGGCGCACCGGACUGUCCGGUGUGCCACCGGACAGUGUCCGGUGCACCACCGGACAAUGUCCGGUGCACCCGGGAACUCCAAGCUAAACUUCGCACCUUCGGGAAUUCUGAGAGGCGCUUCGCUAUAAUUCACCGGACUGUCCGGUGCCCCAGGGGAGAGCGGCUCUGAACUCGCCAGCUUCGGAUUUCUGCUCCGCUAAAAUUGACCGGACAUGUCCGGUGCACACCGGACUGUCCGGUGAGCCAGCGGAGCAACGACUACUUCGCGCCAACGGUCGACUACAACGCAUUAAAUGCGCGCCUGCGCGCGCAGAGGAGCAGUGCACGCGCGGGUGGCACACCGGACAGUCUACAGGACUUGUCCGGUGCGCCACCGGACAGCCAGGCGGGCCCACACGUCAGAGCUCCAACGGUCGGAACCCAAUGGCCUGGUGACGUGGCUGGCGCAUCGGACAGUGUCCAGUGGCGCACCGGACUGUCCGGUGCGCCAUGCGACAGCAGCCUCCACCAAACGGCUAGUUUGGUGGUUGGGGUUAUAAAUACCCCCAACCACCCCACAUUCAAGUGAUCUAAGUUUUCCACCUUCCAACUACUUACAAGAGCUCUAGCAUUCAAUUCUAGACACACCCAAGUGAUCAAAUCCUCUCCCAAUUCCACACAAAGCUUUAGUGACUAGUGAGAGAGAGAUUUGUUGUGUUCUUUUGAGCUCUUGCGCUUGGAUUGCUUUCUUUCUCAUUCUUUCUUGAGAUCAAACUCACUUGUAAUUGAAGAAAGAGACACCAAUCGUGUGGUGGUCCUUGUGGGAACUUUGUGUUCCAAUUGAUUGAGAAGAAAAGCUCACUCGGUCCGAGGGACCGUUUGAGAGAGGGAAAGGGUUGAAAGAGACCCGGUCUUUGUGACCACCUCAACGGGGAGUAGGUUUGCAAGAACCGAACCUCGGUAAAACAAAUCCGCGUGUCACACUCUUUAUUCGCUUGUGAUUUGUUUUGCACCCUCUCUCUCGGACUCAUUAUUAUUUCUAACGCUAACCCGGCUUGUAGUUGUGAUUAACUUUGUAAAUUUCAGUUUCGCCCUAUUCACCCCCCUCUAGGCGACUUUCAAUUGGUAUCAGAACCCAGUGCUUCAUUAGAGCCUAACCGCUCGAAGUGAUGUCGGGAGAUCACGCCAAGAAGGAGAUGGAGACCGGCGACAAGCCCACUACAAGCCACGGGAAGGCUUCAUCGGAAGAGUCCCGCAACAAGGGGAAAGGGAAGGAGAAGAAAGCCUCUUCCCACAAGUCGCAUCGGAGUGGCGACAAGAAAAAGAAGAUGAGGAAGGUGGUCUACUACGAGACCGAUACUUCAUCACCUUCCACCUCCGGCUCCGACGCGCCGUCCAUUACCUCUAAGCACCAUGAGCGCAAGAAGUUUAGUAAGAUCCCCCUACGCUAUCCUCGCAUUCCUAAACAUACGCCUUUACUUUCCGUCCCAUUAGGCAAACCACCAACGUUUGAUGGUGAAGAUUAUGCAAGGUGGAGUGAUUUGAUGCGAUUUCAUCUAACCUCACUCCACAAAAUUAUAUGGGAUGUCGUUGAGUUUGGUGUACAGGUACCAUCCGUAGGGGAUGAAGACUAUGAUGACGACGAAGUGGCCCAAAUCCAACACUUCAACUCCCAAGCCUCAACUAUACUCCUCGCCUCUCUAAGUCGAGAGGAGUAUAAUAAGGUGCAAGAGUUGAAAAAUGCUAAGGAGAUUUGGGACACACUAAAGACCGCGCACGAAGGAGACGAGGUGACCAAAAUCACCAAGCGGGAAACGAUCGAGGGGGAGCUCGGUCGCUUCCGACUUCGCCAAGGGGAGGAGCCACAAGACAUGUACAACCGGCUCAAAACCUUGGUGAACCAAGUGCGCAACCUCGGGAGCAAGAAAUGGGUGACCACGAAAUGCUUAAGGUUAUUUUAAGAUCACUCGUUUUCCUUAACCCUACUCAAGUUCAAUUAAUUCGUGGCAAUUCUAGAUAUACACUAAUGACUCCCGAGGAAGUAAUCGUGAAUUUUGUGAGCUUUGAAUUGAUGAUAUAAGGCUCAAAGAAGAUCAACGAGCUUGAUGGCCCCUCCACGUCCGAAGCACAACCGGUCGCAUUCAAAGCGACGGAGGAGAAGAAGGAGGAAUCUACAUCAAGUAGACAACCAAUCGACGCCUCAAAGCUCGACAAUGAGGAAAUGGCGCUCGUCAUCAAGAGCUUCCGCCAAAUCCUCAAGCAAAGGAGGGGGAAAGACUACAAGCCCAGCUCCAAGAAAGUUUGCUACAAAUGUGGUAAGCCCGGUCAGUUUAUAGCAAAAUGUCCUAUUUCUAGUGACAGUGACAGGGGCGAUGACAAGAAGGGGAGAAGAAAGGAGAAGAAGAGGUACUACAAGAAGAAGGGCGACGAUGCCCAUGUUUGCCGGGAGUGGGACUCCGACGAGAGCUCCAUCGACUCCUCCUCCGACGAGGACGCCGCAAACAUCGCCGUCACCAAGGGACUUCUCUUCCCCAACGUCGGCCACAAGUGCCUCAUGGCAAACGACGGCAAAAAGAAGAAGGUUAAAUCCAAAUCCUCCACUAGAUAUGAGUCCUCUAGUGAUGAUAAUGCUAAUGAUGAGGAAGAUAACUUACGCAUUCUUUUUGCCAACCUAAACAUGCAACAAAAAGAAAAGUUAAAUGAAUUGAUUAGUGCUAUUCAUGAGAAGGAUGAUCUCUUGGACACCCAAGAGGACUUCCUUAUUAAAGAAAAUAAGAAGCAUGUUAAGGUCAAAAAUGCUUAUGCUCUAGAAGUAGAAAAGUGUGAAAAACUAUAUAGUGAGCUAAGCACUUGCCAUGAAACUAUUGACAACCUUAGAAAUGAAAAUGCUAAUUUGUUAGCUAAGGUUGAUUCAAAUAUGUGUGAUGUUUCAAUUUCAAAUCCUAGCAAUGAUAAUGUUGAUUUUCUUGCUAAGAUUGAAGAAUUGAACUUUUCUCUUGCUAGCCUUAGAAAUGAAAAUGAAAAAUUGCUUGCUAAGGCUAAAGAAUUAGACGUUUGCAAUGUUACUAUUUCCGAUCUUAGAGAUAAAAAUGAUAUAUUGCGUGCUAAGAUUGUUGAACUUAAUUCUUGCAAACCCUCUACAUCUACCACUGAGCAUGUCACUAUUUGCACUAGAUGUAGAGAUGUUGAUGUUAAUGCUAUACAUGAUCACAUGGCCUUAAUUAAACAACAAAAUGAUCAUAUAGCAAAAUUAUAUGCUAAAAUUGCCGAGCAUGACUUAGAAAACAAAAAAUUUAAAUUUGCUAGAAGCAUGCUCUAUAGUGGGAGACGCCCUGGCAUCAAGGAUGGCAUUGGCUUCCAAAAGGGGGACAAUGUCAAACUUAAUGCCCCUCCUAAAAGAUUGUCUAAUUUUGUUAAGGGCAAGGCUCCCAUGCCUCAGGAUAACGAGGGUUACAUUUUAUACCCUGUCGGUUAUCCCGAGAGCAAGAUUAGGAGAAUUCACUCUAGGAAGUCUCACUCUGGCCCUAAUCAUGCUUUUAUGUAUAAGGGUGAGACAUCUAGCUCUAGGCAACCAACCCGUGCUAAGUUGCCUAAGAAGAAAACUCCUAGUGCAUCAAAUGAUCAUAACAUUUCCUUUAAAACUUUUGAUGCAUCUUAUGUGUUAACUAACAAAUCCGGCAAGGUAGUUGCCAAGUAUGUUGGGGGCAAACACAAGGGAUCAAAGACUUGUGUUUGGGUACCCAAAGUUCUUGUGUCUAAUGCCAAAGGACCCAAAACCAUUUGGGUACCUAAAGUCAAGAACUAAACUUGUUUUGUAGGUUUAUGCAUCUGGGGGCUCAAGUUGGAUCAUUGACAGCGGGUGCACAAAUCACAUGACAGGGGAGAAGAAGAUGUUCUCCUCCUACGAGAAAAACCAAGAUCCCCAACGAGCUAUCACAUUCGGGGAUGGAAACCAAGGUUUGGUCAAAGGAUUGGGUAAAUUGCUAUUUCAUCUGACCAUUCCAUUUCCAAUGUUUUUCUUGUUGAUUUAUUAGAUUACAAUUUGCUUUCCGUAUCUCAAUUAUGUCAAAUGGGCUACAACUGUCUUUUUACUGAUGUAGGUGUCACUGUCUUUAGAAGAAGUGAUGAUUCAGUAGCAUUUAAGGGAGUGUUAGAGGGUCAGCUAUACUUGGUAGAUUUUGAUAGAGCUGAACUCGACACUUGCUUAAUUGCUAAGACUAACAUGGGUUGGCUCUGGCACCGCCGACUUGCCCAUGUUGGGAUGAAGAAUCUUCAUAAACUUCUAAAGGGAGAGCACAUUUUAGGAUUAACAAAUGUUCAUUUUGAGAAAGACAGGAUUUGUAGCGCAUGCCAAGCAGGGAAGCAAGUUGGUGCUCAUCAUCCACACAAGAACAUCAUAACGACUGACAGACUGCUGGAGCUCCUACACAUGGACCUAUUCGGCCCGAUAGCUUACAUAAGCAUCGGCGGGAGUAAGUACUGUCUAGUUAUUGUGGAUGAUUAUUCUCGCUUCACUUGGGUGUUCUUUUUGCAGGAAAAAUCUCAUACCCAAGAAACAUUAAAGGGAUUCUUGAGACGAGCUCAAAACGAGUUCGGCUUAAGGAUAAAGAAAAUUAGAAGCGACAACGGGACGGAGUUCAAGAACUCACAAAUCGAAGGCUUCCUUGAGGAGGAGGGCAUCAAGCAUGAGUUCUCUUCUCCCUACACCCCACAACAAAAUGGUGUAGUGGAGAGGAAGAAUAGAACUCUAUUGGACAUGGCAAGAACCAUGCUUGAUGAGUACAAGACUUCGAAUCGGUUUUGGGCCGAGGCGGUCAACACCGCCUGCUACGCCAUCAACCGGUUGUAUCUACACUGAAUCCUCAAGAAGACAUCAUACGAACUCCUAACCGGUAAAAAGCCCAACAGUUCAUAUUUUAGAGUCUUUGGUAGUAAAUGCUUUAUUCUUGUUAAAAGAGGUAGAAAAUCUAAAUUUGCUCCUAAGACUGUAGAAGGCUUUUUACUAGGAUAUGAUUCAAACACAAGGGCAUAUAGAGUCUUUAACAAGUCCACUGGACUAGUUGAAGUUUCUUGUGACGUUGUGUUUGAUGAGACUAACGGCUCUCAAGUAGAGCAAGUUGAUCUUGAUGAGAUAGGUGAUGAAGAGGCUCCGUGCAUCGCACUAAGGAACAUGUCCAUUGGGGAUGUGUGUCCUAAGGAAUCCGAAGAGCCUCCAAAUGCACAAGAUCAACCAUCCUCCUCAACGCAAGCAUCUCCACCAACUCAAAAUGAGGAUGAGGCUCAAGUUGAUGAAGAAGAAGAUCAAAGAGAUGAGCCAUCUCAAGAUGACGGCAAUAAUCAAGGGGGAGACGCAAAUGAUCAAGACAAGGAGGAUGAAGAACCAAGACCGCCACACCCAAGAGUCCACCAAGCAAUCCAACGAGAUCACCCCGUCGACACCAUCCUCGGCGACAUUUAUAAGGGGGUAACCACUAGAUCUCGUGUUGCACAUUUUUGUGAGCAUUACUCUUUUGUUUUCUCUAUUGAGCCACACAGAGUAGAGGAAGCACUACUAGAUUCGGAUUGGGUGAUGGCGAUGCAAGAGGAGCUCAACAACUUCACUAGGAACGAGGUAUGGCAUUUAGUUCCACGUCCUAAUCAAAAUGUUGUAGGAACCAAAUGGGUUUUCCGCAACAAGCAAGAUGAGCAUGGUGUGGUGACAAGGAACAAAGCCCGACUUGUGGCCAAGGGAUACUCCCAAGUCGAAGGUUUGGAUUUUGGUGAAACCUAUGCACCCGUAGCUAGGCUUGAGUCAAUUCGCAUAUUACUUGCCUAUGCUACUUACCAUGGCUUUAAGCUUUACCAAAUGGACGUGAAAAGUGCUUUCCUCAAUGGACCAAUCAAGGAAGAGGUCUAUGUUGAGCAACCUCCCGGUUUUGAAGUUAGUGAGUACCCUAACCAUGUUUAUAAACUCUCUAAGGCGCUUUAUGGGCUCAAGCAAGCCCCAAGAGCGUGGUAUGAAUGCCUUAGAGAUGUCCUUAUCACUAAUGGAUUCAAAGUCGAAAAGGCUGAUCCUACACUCUUUACCAAAACACUUGAAAAUGAUUUGUUUGUAUACCAAAUUUAUGUUGAUGACAUUAUAUUUGGGUCUACUAACGAAUCUACAUGUGAAGAGUUUAGUAGGAUCAUGACACAGAAAUUCGAGAUGUCUAUGAUGGGAGAGUUGAAGUAUUUCUUGGGAUUUCAAGUAAAGCAACUCCAAGAGGGCACCUUCAUUAGCCAAACGAAGUAUACUCAAUAUAUUCUAAGCAAGUUUGGGAUGAAGGAUGCCAAACCCAUCAAGACACCCAUGGGAACCAAUGGGCAUCUCGACCUCAACACAGAAGGUAAAUCCGUCAAUCAAAAGGUAUACCGGUCGAUGAUAGGCUCUUUACUCUAUUUAUGUGCAUCUCGACCGGAUAUUAUGCUUUCCGUAUGCAUGUGUGCAAGAUUCCAAGCCGACCCUAAGGAAGCUCACCUUACGGCCGUAAAACGAAUCUUGAGAUAUUUAGUUUAUACUCCUAAGUUUGGGCUUUGGUAUCCUAGGGGAUCCACAUUUGAUUUGAUUGGUUAUUCACAUGCCGAUUGGGCGAGGUGUAAAAUUAAUAGAAAGAGCACAUCGGGGACUUGCCAGUUCUUGGGAAGAUCCUUGGUGUCUUGGGCUUCAAAGAAGCAAAAUUCCGUAGCUCUUUCUACCGCCGAAGCCGAGUAUAUUGUCGUAGGACAUUGUUGCGCGCAACUACUUUGGAUGAGGCAAACCCUUAGGGACUACGGUUACAAAUUAACCAAAGUUCCUCUUCUAUGUGAUAAUGAGAGUGCAAUCCGCAUGGCGGAUAAUCCGGUUGAGCAUAACCACACUAAACACAUAGCCAUUCGGUAUCAUUUCUUAAGGGAUCACCAACAAAAGGGAGAUAUCGAGAUUGCAUACAUUAAUACUAAAGAUCAAUUAGCCGAUAUCUUUACCAAGCCACUAGAUGAACAAACCUUUAACAAACUUAGGCAUGAGCUAAAUAUUCUUGAUUCUAGGAAUUUCUUUUGAUGUUUUGCACACAUAGCUCAUUAAUAUACCUUUGAUCAUGUCUCUUUCAUAUGCUAUGACUAAUGUGUUUUCAAGUAAAUUUCAAAGCAAGUCAUAGGUGUAUUGAAAGGGAAUUCGAGUCUUCGGCGAAGACAAAGGCUUCCACUCCAUUCCAUAACUCAUCCUUCACCGUCGCUCCGCAUCACUCUUCAACUUUGGUAUAAUCUUCACUCAUUUAUUUAUGACCAAAGGGGGAGAAAGUAAUUAAAAGGGCUUAUAUAUCACUCAAAGUAUCCGUUUUUGGCGAUUCAUGCCAAAGGGGGAGAAAGUAUUAGCCCAAAGCAAAAGGACCGCACCACCACCUAGUUUUUAAAACUAAUGAUUUUCAAUUAGUAAAUUUUAAAUUGGUAUCUUAUUGUGUUCAAAAGGGGGAGAAAGUAGUAUUUUCAAAAUCGAUAUCUUAAAACCCUCUUGAACACUAAGAGGAGGAUUUCAUUAAGGGGGAGUUUUGUUUAGUCAAAGGAAAAGCAUUUGAGACAGGGGGAGAAAAUUUCAAAUCUUGAAAAUGCUUUGCAAAAUCUUAUUCAUUUACCUUUGACUAUUUGCAAAAGGACUUUGAAAAAGGAUUUGCAAAAACAAAACAAGUGGUGCAAGCGUGGUCCAAAAUGUUAAAGAAAAAGAAACAAUCCAUGCAUAUCUUAUGAGUAGUUAUAUUGGCUCAAUUCCAAGUAACCUUUGCACUUACAUUAUGCAAACUAGUUCAAUUAUGCACUUAUAUACUUGCUUUGGUUUGUGUUGGCAUCAAUCACCAAAAAGGGGGAGAUUGAAAGGGAAUUAGGCUUACACCUAUUUCCUAAUUGAUUUUGGUGGUUGAAUUGCCCAACACAAAUAAUUGGACUAACUAGUUUGCUCUAGUCUAUAAGUUAUACAUGUGCCAAAGGUUCACACUAAGCCAAUAAAAAGACCAAGAAAAGGGUUCAACAAAAAGAGCAAGGGACCACCGAAGUGUGUCCUGGUCUGGCGUACCGGACUGUCCGUUGUGCCACCGGACAGUGUCCGGUGCACUAGGGAACUCCAAGCUAAACUUCGCACCUUCGGGAAUUCUCAGAGGUGCUUCGCUAUAAUUCACCGGACUGUCCGGUGUACCACCGGACAGUGUCCGGUGCCCCAGGGGAGAGCGGCUCUGAACUCGCCAGCUUCGGAUUUCUGCUCCGCUAAAAUUCAUCGGACAUGUCCGGUGCACACCGGACUGUCCAGUGAGCCAGCGGAGCAACGACUACUUCGCGCCAACGAUCGACUGUAACGCAUUAAAUGCGUGCCUGCGCGCGCAGAGGAGCAGUGCACGCGUGGGUGGCACACUGGACAGUCUACAGGACUUGUCCGGUGCGCCACCGGACAGCCAGGCAGGCCCACACGUCAGAGCUCCAACGGUCGGAACCCAACGGCCUGGUGACGUGGCUGGCGCACCGGACAGUGUCCGGUGGCGCACCGGACUGUCUGGUGCGCCAUGCGACAGCAGCCUCCACCAAACGACUAGUUUGGUGGUUGGGGUUAUAAAUACCCCCAACCACCCCACAUUCAAGUGAUCUAAGUUUUCCACCUUCCAACUAUUUACAAGAGCUCUAGCAUUCAAUUCUAGACACACCCAAGUGAUCAAAUCCUCUCCCAAUUCCACACAAAGCUUUAGUGACUAGUGGGAGAGAGAUUUGUUGUGUUCUUUUGAGCUCUUGCGCUUGGAUUGCUUUCUUUCUCAUUCUUUCUUGAGAUCAAAAUCACUUGUAAUUGAAGCAAGAGACACCAAUCGUGUGGUGGUCCUUGUGGGAACUUUAUGUUCCAAUUGAUUGAGAAGAAAAGCUCACUCGGUCCGAGGGACCGUUUGAGAGAGGGAAAGGGUUGAAAGAGACCCGGUCUUUGUGACCACCUCAACGGGGAGUAGGUUUGCAAGAACCGAACCUCGGUAAAACAAAUUCGUGUGUCACACUCUUUAUUCGCUUGUGAUUUGUUUUGCACCCUCUCUCUCGGACUCAUUAUUAUUUCUAACGCUAACCCGGCUUGUAGUUGUGAUUAACUUUGUAAAUUUCAGUUUCGCCCUAUUCACCCCCUCUAGGCGACUUUCAAAGUGUAAAAGACUGGGCGCCAAAGACUUAGCGAAAUUUUCGGCCCCGCGCGCGCUCCUUUAUAUAGGAUAUAUUUCUACUGGCGGUUGUCAUCGAGAACCGCCAGUAGAAAUGCCUUCCACAGACUGUGGAGGCCAUUUCUACUGGCGGUUUUCGUUGUGAACCGCCAGUAGUAAUAUUUUAGUAUAUUAUUUUUUAUUGUAUAUUCAUAUAUUAAGUAUAUAAAAUUUUAUACAUAUUAAAUAUAUAAAUAUAUAUAUAUUUAGUAUACAUAAUAUAUAUAUAUUACUUCUCUCUCUCCCUCCUCUCUCUCUCCUCUCUCUCUCCUCUCUGUCCUCUCCCUAGCUCCUCUCUCUCCCCUCUCUCUCCUCUCUCUCCUCUCUCUCUCCUCUCUCUCCUCUCCCUAGCUCCUCCCUCUCCCCUCUCCCUCCUCUCUCUCCCUCCUCUAUCUCUCCCUCUCUCUCCUCUCUCUCUCUCCUCUCUCUCUCCUCUCUCUCUCCUCUCUCUCCUUUCUCUCUUCUCUAUUUCUCCUAUCUCUCUCUCUCCUCUCUCUCCCUCUCUCUCUCCUCUCUAGAAAGUCACCAGAAUGCCCGUUCUUGCAGUGUUUAAAUACUACGUCGUCUCCUGGCUUCGCGUCUCUCGUCACCAUUGGUGUGAAGUUCUUUCACAAGUAUCAGAUCUGGUAAACAUCUUUCCAAGUUCUUUCACAGCAUGUUCUUUGAAGAUGCUUGUUUCUUACUGCCUGAUAUAUAUAUAUUUAUUAGUCGAAUAGUCCUCCCUACUUUUAUUUUACCUCGUGUUCUAGGUGAUAAACCAUGACCGGCAAAAAGACCACGACUUCCUCUGACGGCGGCACUCCAAAGAAAGCCAAGGUGGUGGUGGAGGAUGAGGAAGAGGCGGGGUUGGAGGAUGAGGAAGAGGCGACUGUGACACUAUCCGUGGAGAAGGACGCGCUGAAGAACGGGCAUUCUGGAUGUGCAAAGUGCUGCAUCCGCACGGACGGUAAGUGCUGGACCUGCUCCGAGCGCAUUGGCAACAAUAGCUCUCUCUCCCUCUCCCUCUCCUCUCUAGAAAGUCACUAGAAAGUCAUGUAAAAUUACAUGCUUCGGUUUGUCGCUAACAAUAAUCAAUUACAUGACAUGUCCUAACAAUAAUCAAUUACAUGACAACUAUAUAAUCUAGGGAGCUAUUGUUCUGCCUUGUCCAUCGUGGCGUACCCAGGGCAUCGAAUUGCGUGGGAUGCUUCGCUCAACGUUCCUUAUCUUGGUUGGAUGGUCUAUGAAAAGAGACAUGUCGUUGAACUGGUUAAAAUCCUCUAAAUCAGAUACACCAUCAACUCCUAUAGCUUGUUGUUUUCCAGGAAAACUACAUACUUCGGUUUGUCGGUUCUUUUCUUCUCAUUGUUAGAAAUGAUUUGUUCAGCAUAGAAGACAUGUGCAGCAUGAUUAGCAAGGAUCCAUGGGUCAUCUUUGUAACCUACCUUACUUAGAUCAAGAACUCUGACCCCAUAUUUGUCUACCGUGACAUGUUUGUCUUCAACCCAUUGACAUCGGAAAACCGAGAUCCGAAAUGUAUCAUAGUCUAGUUCCCAUAUGUCCUCAAUAAAGCCAAAAUAUGUAAUAAUCUCACCAGUUUCAUCAUCUAUGGCCUCGCAUCGAACACCACUAUUUUGUGACAUGCUCUUUUUGUCCUUGGACUUGGUACAAAAUGUGAAUCCACUAAUGUCAUAGGUUUGCCAUGUUGUGACCUGGCGUGAUGGUCCAGAUGCCAACCCCUUGAUGGUUUUUUCUUCUAAUGUUUCUCCACGUGGAAUGUCCUUCACCAUUAGCCAUGUGUUGAACUGCUGCUUAUGUUGCUUCAUUACCCAAUCAGCCGUAUGCCCAGGAUUUUGCUCGUGAAGCUCAUUGAUGUGUUGUUGGAUAAAUGGCUCUAUUAUCGCUAGCUGAUGUAGGAUGCUGUGAUGUGCCUCAAGUACUGUAUUGUAAUCUGGUGGGAUGAAAGAUUUCCGUCCCAUCCUCUCGCUUCCAUACAAUCUACCCUCGUGUCGUGAUGGAGGCAGACCUAUUGCAACCUGGUCUUUUAGGAUACUAUUGCAGAAUGGACCUCCGGACUCAAUGGCCUCUUCGGUAUAGUACCCCUCUAUCAUGGAUGCCUCGGGACGAGCACGGGUUGAUACAUAGCCAUUCAGUAUUGACAUGAAAUGCUCAUACGUCCACAUUUCAUGCAAGUACAUAGGACCCAAUGCCUCUAUUUGUGGCACCAAGUGCACCACAAGGUGCACCAUAAUAUCAAAGAACGAUGGAGGGAAACACAUCUCAAACUGUGAUAUUGUCUCCACUGCGAAUUCCUGAAGAGAUGCCAACUCAUCACGGCCAAUUACCUUUUGUGAAAUUUUGUUGAAAAAGUAGCACAACCGUGUGAUUGCCAUCUUUAAAAACAAAGGAUUAUAGCCCUGAUGGCAAUAGGUAGGAAUGUAGUCAGCAUGACAUGACAAUCAUGUGAGUUGUAGUUGGUGACUAUCAGGUCUUUCAUUGACACAAUACUCCGUAUGCUAGAGCAGAAUCCAGAUGGGACUUUCAAAUUCUUAAUCCAAACACACAUCGCAUGUUUCUCAUCUACAUUGAGAUUGUAGUUUGCUGCUGGGAGAUGGUACUUCCCAUUUUCUUGAAGAACAGGAUGUAGUUCCUUUUUUAUGCCUAAAUUUACCAAGUCCAUGCGUGAAUUGAGCCCUUCUUUUGUUUUGCCCUUUAUGUCUAGCAAGGUGCCAAUUAUGCUUUCAAACACGUUCUUCUGAACGUGCAUACCAUCGAUCGCAUGUCGCACAUCUAACUCUUUCCAGUAAGGCAAGUACUCGAAGAAAAUAGACUUUUUCUUGAAUAUAGCCCCCGGAGCUGGUUUGGCAUCCUUCCUUGUUUUUCCGUCUUUUGUCUUCUUCCCGAAAACAAACUUGAUAUUCCUGACUAUUUCAAAAUCUCUAUGACCUCUAUUGUUACCUAAUGGAGCAGUAGAAUGUAGUUCAGCAUUAUUGUCAAAGUACUUAUCCAUCUUUCGCAUGCGGUACCUGUGUCCUUCCAAUAAAAAGCGUCUGUGCCUCAUGUACACUAUCUUCUUAGAUGCAGUAAGGGACACGUAAGCAGUUUCAUCAAUGCAUACUGUGCAGCCAACCUUUCCCUUAAACUGGCCUGAUAAUGUGAACAAGUGCAGGGUAAUUGUUGAUCGUAACAAAAAUAAUUGCUCUCAGCGUGAAUGAAUCUUUACGAUACUCAUCCAACAUUUGAACACCCGUUACCCACAAUAUUUUCAUAUCCUCCAUUAAGGGCUGUAAAAAUACAUCCAUAUCAACUCCAGGUUGUGUAGGUCCAGAAAUAAGGAUGGUUAGCAAAAUGUACUUCCGUUUCUGCAUCAACCAUGAAGGAAGGUUGUAUAUGGUGAGGAUCACUGGCCAUGUGCUAUGCUUGCUGCUCCUUUCAGCAAAUGGAUUCAUUCCAUCAGUACUCAGUGCGAACCUAAUAUUUCUUGGUUCAUCAGCAAAGUCUCGGUGGUUCUCAUUGAAAUCUUGCCACUGCUUCCCAUUGGCUGGAUGUCGAAGCUUCCCAUCGUUUUUGUGCUCAUCAGAAGCAUGACAGCUCAUAAGUUUGGCAUCCUCAGGGUUAGCGAACAAACACCUCAACCGAUCGACGAUGGGGAGGUACCACAUCACCAAAGAAGGAAUCUUUUUGAGCGCAUAAUAGUCUACUUCUUCUUUUUCUUUGCUCAUGGAUUUUGAAGUCUUCUUUUUGGCUUUCUUUCGCUUCUUCCCUUUAGACACAGAUGCAACACACUCUUCCUCUCGAUAGUCUUUAUUCGUCUUGUACCUACUUGCACCACACUUUGGGCAGCUCUCCAAGUCUUUAUAAUCAUCACCUCGAUAAAGGAUACAAUGAUUUCUACACGCGUGGAUCUUCUCCACGCCCAUAGUGAGUGGACUGAUUAGUUUCUUUGCAUAGUACGUGUUAGCAGGCACUUUGUUCUCCUUUGGAAGCAUGUCUGCGACAAUACUCAAGAACGCAUCGAAGCCAGCAUCAGACAGACCAUAUCUAGCUUUUAACAUCAACAGCUUUAACACAGACCGGAGCGUCGUGAACUCUUUGGUACAGCCCUUAGACUCGUCGUACAAAGGCUCUUCUGCUGCCUUCUUCAGGGACUCCAUACCUUUCAUGAAGAACACCGAUGGAUCUGUAUGACGAUGCAACAUUGCCUCUAACAACUCUGCAUCUUCCUCGUCCAUAACAUUUGGUAGAACAUGGGUUCUUUCACGUUCAUUUCCUCCAGCGUAACCAUGAUCAGUAACAUUUGGCACUACAUGUUCGCUCUGUGGAAGAGGUUGUUGUGUCUCGUGAACGAACUGAAAGCUGUCGUCGAUGUUCGCAGGGUUUCUAGCUGUAUAAGGCGAAGAGCUACCCUCUCCAUGCUUUGUCAAAAUUAUGUAAUCCUUCACAAAUCCUCGGCAUACCAGAUGAGAUAUGAUUUGUUCUGUGUCAUCAAACACAACAGCAUUUUUGCAGUCCAUGCAUGGACAAUAUAUGUGCUUUGUCUUUGUUCUCCAAGCAUGGUUCGUAGCGACAACAAUAAACUUAUGGACCUCAGAUAUGUAUGAUGGAUCUAGCCUUGAUAAGUUAUACAUCCAGGAUAUCCUCUCCAUCAUCACCUGUAAAAAAAGUAACAUAAAACACACAAGACACACAAAUUGGCAAGAGAAACAUAUACCAAUAUUUCCUAACAACUAAAUAUAUCAUGGAUUAAGAAAAUUGGCAAAAGAAACAUGAACAACCUUUCUUAGCGACCUUCUUCCAAAAAAUAAAGAUCAAAACCUCCCCCUUGUAUUUUGUGAAAUCUGGCCUUCCAAUAAAAGUUGGGCUGCGCGCGAGCUACACAGUUUUUGUCGGGAAGGAUGAAGGGGUAUUUAUACAACAAAGGUCAUAGGCGGUUGGAUCGAUUAGGCAACCUAACUACUUUAUCUCUAACAAAUGGUGAAACCCUAGAUCCAAAAUGUGGCUAAAAUGGAGGAAAAAUGAACAAAAUUUGGCAAAAGAAACAUAAGCCAAACUUUCCUAGCAACUAAUAAACAAAAACUCUUAAUACCCAAACCUAUCUCUAACACAUGGUGAAAGCCUAGUUUCAAAAUGUAGUUAAAAUUGAGCAAAAAUGAACAAUAAUUGGCAAUUGAAACAUAAUUAAACCAACCUUUCAUAACAAUUAAUAAAAACAAUCUUAAUUACCAAAACUAUCAUCCUCCCUCUCCAUACAACACAUUCACCAUUCCUUAAGCAACUAAAUAUGUGUCAUGGAUAAACUGAUUUGAGAACUAAACAUGAAAAAGGAGAGGGAAUAGACAAAAUCUAACCAUCUUAAGCAACCUCAUUUGAGGAAAUAGAGAAAAUAACCUAGCUAUACUCUUCUCUCUCACAUGUAAAACCCUAGAUCCAAAAUGUGGCUAAAAUUGAGCAAGAAUGAACAAAAAUUGACAAAGAAACAUAAACCAACCUUUCUUAUCCACCUUCUUCCAAAAAAUGAAGACCAAAACCUCCCCCUUGUAUUUUGUGAAAUCUGGACCUCCAAAAUCGCCUCCAAUGGAAGUUGGAUGCGAGCAUACAACUCCUGUCGGGGGGAAGAAGAGGGGUAUUUAUAACACAUAGUUCACUGGCGGUUGGCUUGAAAAACCGCCAGUGGAAACCUAUUUCCACUGGCGGUUAUCUUAACACAACUGCCAGUGGAAAUAGGAUAUUUCCACUGGCGGUUGGUGUAACAGAACCGCCAGUGGAAACUAGAUUUUCACUGGCGGUUCUGUUACACCAACCGCCAGUGGAAAUAUCCUAUUUCCACUGGCGGUUGUGUUAAGAUAACCGCCAGUGGAAAUAGGUUUCCACUUGCGGUUCCCAAGCCGGGCCCACCUGGUUUUUUUACUGGCGCGCGGUAACUAAAACCGCCAGUGAUAAUUUAUGGGUGCCGCAGGCUUUGAGCUCUUUUCUACUAGUGAGCGCUUCCUGUGAGUGGGAGUCUAUGCACGUGUCGACACAUGCAUCUCUCUCUUGUUCUGGAUCUGCCAUGCCCUGCUUCCUCCUCUCGACCUUGCCACCGGGCCUAGGUCACGGCCAUCGCCUGUGCCGGACUCGUCCAACCUACUACUAUGAAGCGUGCGAAAGGCGGGGGCCGACUGCACGACCGAGAUGGAGGUUACGACCACCUCUAUGGGCCCCGACCACCUCAUCAUUGCCAUCUUUCUCGGGGCAUCUGCACUUUCCGUCGCCGAGAGUCUGUGCACGUGCUGACACAUGCCUCUCUCUUGUUUCGGAUCCGCCACGCCUUGCCUCCUCCUCCUGACCUCGCCACCGGGCCCACGCCCCCCCUCGCCAUCGCCCAUAUUGGACUCAUCCAGCCUGCUGCUACGGAGCGCGCGCUAGGUGAGGGGGUCGAGCGCGUGGCCGAAAUGGAGGUUGUGGUGAGGUGCAUUUAUCUUAUUAGGUAUCACUAUUUUGUUUACCUUCCUAGUAGAUCUACUGUUUGUAAGAUCCAUGGCACGUUUAUCAGAAACGAGUGAAACUGAGAGUAGAUCUACUGUCUAUAACAUCUCCAUGGAUUUAUCAGGUUCCUCUACUUUGCAUUUUAUUGGGACAUGUUUUGUCUUUUCAAUACCUUAUGGCCCUUCAGUUUCAGUAACUUGAGAGGAAACUUUUGUUAUCAACCUUUUAGGUGUCUUUGCUUGCAAAUCGUUUAUUUUCUUAGGGCUGGAAUUAACUGAAUUAGCAUCAAUUUGUGGCAUUUAUGGAUCCUCCAGAUACUUGGGGCACAUUUCCUUAGUCCGCAUAUGCCCAACAUAUACAACAACAAAGAGACACAAAGGCAUGGAACAUAAUAAUAGUUUGAGUUCUGAAGGUCGCAUGCAAGAAAUUGUUUUUCUGGUCCUACCUGACCAUAGGUUCCAUAAACAAGACUCUUCACACCCAAUUUUAGAAGGCAAACCAAAUUCGAACCAUGUACGUGACCGGACCAGAAAUUCACGUACACAACAAUUACAUAAUUGGACAUCAUUUCACAUUGCUCAAAAUAAUAGCGGAAAUAGUACUUUAUUACAUCAAAAUGUCCAAGACAUCCACAGAGUCAUUAACUUAAGUCAUAGACAUAAUCAAAGUGUGAAUACGAAACAUAGUACGAUAAGGCCUUCACAGACAGCUGACUGGGGGUUUGCCACUAAACUAAUCUAGAACUCAUCGAAGUCCUGAAACUCCUAGAAGUCUUCCAUGUUGCCUUCAUCUUCUCUUGAGCAUUGGUUGCAAUGGAGACAACCUAGGGGGUUUGGUGUUUUAAAGCAAGGGUGAGUACACAUCAACGUACUCAGCAAACAUCCCGUUUGGCUAAAGUGGACUAGCUGUAUGUGGAGUUAAACUUAAAGGAGUUGCUUUUAGUUGGUCAAGUAUUUAUUACUAGUAGAAAGCCAAGUUUUAUCAAUAAUCUCAAGUUAUUACCCAAGUGGUACUCCCUCCAAGAGGAAAUACCAAACACCAUAAAGAUAGUCAUCAUCAUUAAGCAUCAUCAUAAAAGUUAACCGGAUUAACUCUAAUCAAAGGAGCUCCCAAGGCUGCUCAUAACCGCGAGCUCGACUAAUAUAUCAGUUUCUAACACUCUGCAGAGGUUGCACACUUUACACACGAGCCAUGAUUCCCUUUCUGCCUGAGGAGCGCUACACCCAUUGACCACUACCUAUGUGGCCUGGCAGGGUAUCACUACGUAGCCUUUACAAAGAUUCCCCUGGUGUGUAGUUGCCCGUUAGGUUUCACUAGUCAUACAAACAUAGUACUCCUUCCUAAGGUGGGUGACUAACAAAACCAAAUCGAAUGAACCUCGGCACCCACCCUUAGCAGAGCAAGCACUAUGCCCCAGCCCCCAUUGAUGGCACAACGACGAAGCCAACUACACCCCAAAGUUUAUCCAAUUAAUCAGCUAAGGGUGUCUCAUUCCACCCUUAUGGUUGUACUGUUUUCCGGGUGGUCAUCCAACGAACAGGUCCUUACGGAGAGGUACUCCGAAAACAACCCGAGUCCCCUAAAAUAUCACAAGUUCAUCAUCAUAAUCAAGAUAGCAUCAUUGUAUCAUAAUUGUUCUCACCAUGUUCAUUGAUUAAAGUAAAGAAAUAACAUAAUACUAAUCGUAGUAACCAAUUCCCAAAGGGUAAACAAGGACAGGAAAACAAAAUACUAGUCAAUCCUUAGGUUGAUCAUGGUAUGCGGGACAGUGAAUUAUAAAGUAAAUAGGACAUAAUGGGUCAGAGGACACUUGCCUGCACCAGGUUGCUGCUCAGGGAAGUCACCUGCAGCACACUCGGAAACCUCAGACUGCUCGUUGUCUACGCAAAACAAUCAUUCAUUCAGCACACUUGGGAAAUGACAAAGGAUCAGUACACCAAUCAUAUGCAAUAGAGUAAACACAGGUUCAGUAAAAGAUACAGGCACACAGGUGAAAUCUAAGUGUUGGGUAGAUUAAUGUUACCUAGUCGUCUGUUGUUUUAUAACUAAGUCUAUUUCAGUAAAUUACAUUACUUAAGAAAACUCAUUCCACGGAUGAGAUUACAUUAAAUGAGGUUAGGUCCACAACUUUAGGCACAAGAACAUCCACUAAGGUUCUACAUUUUAUUUUAAAAUUAAUAAAUAUUCUAUCACCUUAAAUUAACCUAGAGACUAGCCACAAAAUUGAGACAUGAAAACAGUGAAUGAUUAUAAUUUAAACAAAUAGAGAAUAACAUUAUGAAUAUUUUGCAAUUUGAACCACCUAAUUUGGAGUUCAUAUGCAAAAGAUAUGAAAUUUACAAGUUUUAGAAUUCAAAAACACUAAAUUAAACCCAUUUCUAUGAUUAAAAUAAAGUCCAGGCGUCUCUCUGCAAGAAAUCAGGGGCUUGGGCGCAAGAACAUAGGACGACAGGUUAAUACUUGGAAACUCGAGGGGUUUCUUAACAAAAUUUCCAAGAGAACAGGUAUCAAACACUCUCGGCCAUCCGAUCACAGAUCGACAGACGAGAUUAGAUCCUGCGGGCGAGCGUGCGCGGGCGCGAGCGAGCGCUGACAAGCAGGCCAGGGCAGUCAGCGACUCGGGGCGAAGGCGGGCUGACUGGUUGGGCCCAGUGCCAAGGGGCGCAGGCAACCGACGGGUGGGACCUAGAGGCAGGGGUGCGCGCUCAAAGCGGUAUCUGGGGAUCCGAGGCUUUGGAUCGGGAGUUGACGGUUGGGAUCUGGCACACGGGGGUAACAGCACGGCGGCAGGCGCUGCUUCGCCCACGACGAUGAAGCUGCUGGAGCUGAGGUAGGCGCGGCCUCCAGGGGGCUUGAGGCCACCGGAGUUGGCCAGGACCGGUGAGGGGGGCCCGACGAACUCAAUGGCGGGAUUCCGGCCGUGAGAACGGGACUAGGGACGAGGGAAUGACUGAGGAAGCGCUCCGGGCAGGUCGUAGUUACUCCGACGAGCAAUCUCGACCACGGGGAGGCGAAAUCGAGUGCACUGAGGCCAGUACUAGCUCCGAUGAAAGCUGCGGGACACCUACGGCCAGAGCGCGGCCACAGGACGGGACUAGAUUGGCCGGACACUGAGCAGGCACGGCAAACCAGUGCGGCAGAGCUCCGGCGAGCGUGGACUCACUACGGCAAGGCAAAAUCAGGGCAACCAGAGCAUGGGAACGGGUUCCUCACCUCGGGGCGGCGCUCGAGGAGGCUUGGCGCGGCGUCUGGUGCUCCGGGAGACUAGCACGACGAGUGCUUUCCUUCGGCGAGCUCUGGCGACGGUGGCGGCUAAGCAUGAGAGACGGCGAGAAUGGGCGAAAUGGUGCAGGGGAGGGAGAGCGGGUGUGGGUGGGUAGGGGUGUAAACGGAUAUCCGAACUUUUAGGACAAAUUUAAUAUUUUAAAAUAGAUAUGUAUGAAAUUUGAUGCUAAUCUCUUCUUAUAUUAUGAAGCACAUUAUUAUAAAUAAGAAUAAAAUUUUGUAUAAAUUAUUUCAUACAUUAUUUACUCCAUACAACAAAAAAGGUAAAAAAAUAUUUGUAUCCGUAUUCGAUUUGUAUCCAAAAUUUAUAUUUAUUAUUUGAGAAGAUAUAUGAUAGAUUUGAGGUUUACCUUUCAUGAAUCUUUAUAAGCUCAAUACUAAAAACAAGAAUAUAAAUUUGCAUAGCAGAUUCUAUAUUCUAUUAAUUCACAAUCAAAGAAAAAAGACCAAAAAACUGUUAUCUGAAUAAGAAUCCGUUUACACCCCCGCGGGUGGGGCUCAAAAAGGAGCUGGGGACGUGGGUAGGCGAUGUGGCCGGGGUUCUCGCCGUGCGUGCGCGCGGGUCAGUGGCGGUUCGCGGGGAGGGCGGAGCUGACAAGAGGGUCCCACGGCGCAGCGAGAGAUAACGUGGGGUGAACGGGCAACUGCGCUAACGGGCGGGGCCCAUUCCGCAGAGGGAUAAAGGGGCGCGCGCGAGGGGAAAUGGCGCAGACAACUCGGUCCCACCAGUCAGAGAGAGAGAGAGGGAGCGGUUGCGCGCGGGUGAAGGAUACAGCGCCGAUAGGUGGAUCCCAUCGCGCAGCGAGAGAGGGCGUGGGCGCUCGGAGCUGGGCCUAGCUGGGCCGAAAGUUGAGGCUGGGCUGAUCUCUGGUUUUUCUUUUAUUCUGAAUUUUCUAUUGCUUUUCUUUUUAUUUACUCUAUUGAAUUCAAUUCAAAUCAAACCACAAAUUCAAAUUCAAAUAUUUUAAACAUGUGUAUCAACCAAAAACAAAGUUUAAACUCAGCAUGAUGCAACAUUUCAUGUCUCCCCUAGGUUUUGAUAUUCUAAAGAAAAUAAUACACCUCUCAAUUAAAUAUCCAAAACUCUAUUAAAAGAAGAGAGAUAAAAUCUAUAGAGGUUACAAAAGAAGUAACACCUAAAUUUGAUAGAUAUUAAAGAAAAAAUUUAUAUCCCAAAUUAAAGGUGUUACAAAGACUAUCCCCGAUUGUACCUAGUAUCUUCUUCUGAAAAUAUGGAAAAGCAUGGCACAUAAGACCACAAUAGCAAUGACCAGAUCGGCUUCUAUAUGAAUCAAGCGUUUGAGAAAGAAAGCUUCUGAAUGAAUCGUCGAACUAACACAUUCAAAUUCCAGAAAAAUUUAGCAACAUACUUGCAACCUAAUACUUUUAUAGGCACAAUAGCAAACCAAUAUCCAGCAAUACCUUAAAUUGCCACUAUAUUACAAAUACAAACUUGUGCGUUUUGGCAGCUACUUCUGCCUGAAGCCUGACGGAGAGAAAAACACCACAAGUACAACAUAAUUGACGCACUGAAUAUCAUUAUACCAUGUACUUGUAAAAAACAUUAUAUUGGCACUUAGCAAUGGUGCAGGUGUCUAAUAUCAAAAUAGGUAUAUAUAAUGGUGAAAGAAGCUGAUUCAAGCCAAGAAACAAAAAUAUUCAUGCGGUUAGAACUUGACAUACCAGCCAUGUUAUAGGCUUACCUUAGGACCAUCCUUUCCUAGAACACUUCUCUUUUUAACUAGAAGGAUCUCAUUUGCAUCGAGUGUCAUCUUUGGUUUUAGUUUUGAGGGCAAACCCCCCUCAGCAAAAGAAUUUACAACCUGCAUGGAGUAGGAUGAAUAACAUCGUUACAGAUUAUUUCUGUCAGAAUAACAAUAAAUCAAAGGGACAUGAUAAUGAAGACCAGGUAAAGAACCUUGGAUAAACUAAUACCUCUUUUCCUUCUGUUGAUGUGCUCUCCUUUGGGAUUAAUAUCAGUGGACAGUUGGCAUUGUGGUUAGCUGAGAGCUCCAGUGGGGACUAGUGCUUAGAUCAAAGCUUUUUAGAUAUAAGGAACGAACUUUCCAGAACUGUCUAGAUUGUUUAAAAUAAGUAUUCCAAUGUAAUGAUUUGUGAUGUUCAUGUUGUUAAAAUUGAAGAUUCGAAUGAUGCAUCUGUUGUGGUUUCUGCAGUGAUUACAAAUGCUGGUGUUGCUUCCUGUAUUACAAGCGAAGCUCCCUUGGUUAAUAUGCAUUUAGAAGACGUUGCGCCUGAAAUAAAGGACUCAGAAUUUUAAUAGGUCAGUGGGUAGGAUUCCAUUCUGCUCUGCUGGGAGGGCAGUGAGUGCUUCUAACACCUCAAAUCCAUCAAUUUAAAAUAAUACAUUAAUAGUUAUUUAAAACCUAGUAGGGAAUAAAGUAGAAAUUUGAAACAAGUGUUUGACCUCAUUUGUCUUUAGAGAAUGAUUUUUGUUUGCUCAUAAUUGAUUGAUGAUUUUAUAAAAUCCCUUUUAUGUGAAACCCACUUAAUUAAAAUAGGAACUUUGGUCCAAAAAUAAAUAUUUCAAUUAUAAAUAAUUCUUGUAUAAUUAUUAUGAUUUUUUGAAGUAUUUAAAAAUAUAUUUAUUUAUAUUUAUGGGUUAUAAAAAAGAUUUUGGAACCCCUAGCCGAACCGACCGAUUUGGCCCAUAUAGGCCCAGACGCCACUCCCCCUCCUUUCUCCCACUAACGAGCGGGCCACACCCGGCCCCUUCCCCUUCCUCCAGCUGCUCCCAUGCCCGACCCCACGCCAGUGCGUGCGCCCGCGCCUGGCCGGACCGUCCGCGCCCUCUCGGCUGCGCCCGACCCUUGCCUCCCCGCGCCCGAAACAGCUGCCGCCGGUCCUUCCUAUCCCCCACUUCCCCUCUCUCCAUCAAUGGAGGUAACCGCCGCCGCCAUAGCUGGACGUCGGCAUCUCCCUCCCCGGCUCUUCCUCUCCCUCUCCCCCUCUAUAAAAUUGGCCACUACCGAGCUCUCCCCUCUCCUGCCGAGCUCGCCCUCUCCUUCUCCCUCUCUCCCCUUCUCUCUCUCGCUCGGCCACAGCAGCCGCCGCUGGACCGUUCGCUGCCACGUCCGUGCCCCUACCCCGGCCUUGUCUCGGCCGCACGCCCUCGUCUCGGUCGCGUCCGUACAGUCUGCGCUCGUGCCUCACCGUCGACCACUCCCUGCUCGAUGCCGUUCCUCCUCUCCCUUCAUUCGUCGACAAACCGCUCAAACACAAGAACUAGAGGUUGAAGACAACUCGAAUUUUAUUUAAAUUUUCAAAAUCAUGUUUUAUGUAACUAUUUGUUUUAAUUUGUGUAUAUUGUGAUGUGUAUGUAAAUGCUUGAUUUUAAGUGUAUGUGAUGAAUUAGUAUAUUAUUAUCUUUCAUAUGGUGUAUGUUAAUUGUUUACAAUUUUUUAGAAUUUAUGUUUAGAAAGAAGAAUGACAGGAUUUGGUAGACCACGUGUUAGUGAUGAAAACACUAGAUGAGUGAUUUCACAAUUAAAUCUUGUUUAUAAUGAAUUUAGAGUUUAGUCGAGAUGUAUGUACUCAUAGGUUCAUAUACUUAAUUUAGAUCCACUAAAUAAAUAAUAGAAGCUUUAUUAACAUUGAGAUAAUAUAAGUAGUACCCAUGUUCAUAAUAAUCCAAAUAGUGUAGUCUAAUCAGUGGUUUAAUUUACUAAUAAAAUUACUUGACCUCUGAUUAUUAUGAUGACAUUUUUCCUUUAAAAAGAACGGAUAAAACUAAAAGUAGACACUUGUUUAUGGUAGAAAUAAUUAAUUAAUUUAUUUCUGUAGAGUUGGUUAAAUCACUACCUCUAAGCUAUGUUAUGUAAAGUACUUUGUAGUCGAAUUUCCAUAUAUCUUUCACUAGUGAUAAUCCAAAAAUAGAAUUUAUAUUUUAUGUCAUAGCAAAUGGAUGUCAAUAAGUGUAGAUUAAUGAUAUGAUUACGAACUAGGUUUUAUUCUAGACGUUUUUUAGUAUGGUUUGUAUGGUGAAUGUUAUUCAUGUAAUGGGGUAUGUUACUCAUGUAAUGGUGUAUGUUUAUUUAUCGAUCAAUGUUUUCUUUUGUGAAAGCAUCUAGGCCCCUGGUUGGUUUUAGUGAUUAAUGACAACGUAAUGUUAUAUGUGACUAACGUGUGUUUUGCAGAGACAAAUGGUAAGUUAGGUCGCAUUACAGGUAGUACUACAACGGUGAAAACAAUCCCGGAAAUGAGAACUCGAAGCGACGGCUAAAGCGACGAAACAAAAGGUGAAUGUCUACGUAGUCCGAGUGUCAAGGAGUUGCGGACACUCGUGAUUUAGUUAGGUCUUUUAUUUUGUUUUAGCCGUACUAUAAAGUGGGGUUGUCGAUGAGUAGUUUGACCAAGAGAGUUCUAGUGUAGUGUUGGUGCAUAUUCACACUCACAUAUAGUGCUAGGUGACACUCUAGAACAUACUCACAAGUUAGAAUGAAAACCGAUUUGAAAAACAGCGGAAAAUAGAAAAUAGGGUUUCUGACUGUGGGGCACCGGAUUGUCCGUUGCGCCCUCUGCCAGGUGGGGCCGGAUGGCCCGAGGAAGGGUUUCCCCGCGCGUAGAAACUCGAGAGCGCAAGGUUCCCGAGUGGAAUUUUAGUGGCGCAUCGGACAGCACACCAGACAGUGCACCGGACAGUGACUGUUCACUGUCCGGUGUGCCAUCAGCCCAACGGCUAGCUGUCAAAACUAGCCGUUGGAGUCGACCGUUGGCGCACCGAACUGUCCGGUGCGCCCAUGCACAGAACAGUGUUGGUAACAGCUAGUUGGUGGGUGAGGGCUAUUUAUACCCCCUCCACCCACCAUAUUCAAUGUCUUGCUGCCCACAUUAAUUCCUGCACAUUGGAAGAGCAUUGCAAGCACCAAAAUCCUAGUGAGGUGAUUAGAGAAUCUUAAACCCGCAUUUGGACCUCAUUAGCGCUAGCGAGAGCCACCUAGAGCACACACACCACUUGCAUUAGGCUUCUCUUGGUCAAGCGAAAGUCUACGACUUGUUACUCUUGGUGAUCGGCAUCACCUAGACGGCUUGGUGGCGUUGGGAGCUCGGUGAUCACCGUGGAGAUCUUGUUGGUGACCCAACUCAAGUUUGUAAGCGGUCGUGAGGGAUCCACCAUGCCGGAGUGGCAAAGGAUCAUCUCGUAGUGAGCACUUGGUUCUUGCAAGGACCAAGGGGGAGCGAUACCCUUGCGCGGGUGCUCCAACGAGGACUAGUGGAGAGUGCCGACUCUUCGAUACCUCGGGAAAAAUUGGAGGAGUCUUCUAAACCUUGCUUUACAUUCCACACUUAAUUCAAGAAUUUUACAUUGUGUAUUUGUUUAGCAAGUAUUUGAAGUAUUGUCCUAGCAUUGUUGUAUUUCUGUUAUUAUUCUCUUAGUGCUAGUUGUUGGGGUGAAGUUGGGCUCUUGCUUAGGUUUUAAUUAGUGUUGAUUUUUUAGAAAAGCCCAAUUCACCCCCUCUCUUGGGCGUCGUGAUCCUUUCAAUUGGUAUCAGAGCCUUGUUGCUCUUAGAUUAGCUUAAUCGCUAGAGUAACGAUGUCCAGUGGGGAUGGUCCUCCUCCCGUUUUUGAUGGCGACGAUUUUCCAUAUUGGAAAAUUCGUAUGGAAGCAUAUUUAGAGGCUAUAGACAUUGGUGUCUACAAAGCCGCCACACAAGGAUUCCCCGAACCUAGAGAUCCCACAAAUCUUGUAGGUGAAGAGUUUAAUUAUGAGAAAUGGAAUGCUGAGGCCAAAAACACCCUUUUUAGAGGCCUUUGCAAAGAUGUGUUUAAUAGAGUUAGAAAUCUUAAAAAUGCUCAUGAUUUGUGGAUGGACAUUUGUGCUCUACAUGAAGGAACUAGGAGUGAGCGUGAGGAGCGAUAUCACAUUGCUAUGAGAAAGUUAAAUUCUUUUGAAAUGCUUGCUAAUGAAAAUGCCAAUGCUAUGUACUCACGUCUCAAUAUUCUUGUAGAGGAAGUAAAUGGCUUGGGGCUUACACAAAUUUCACAAUCGGAUGUUGUGAGGAAGAUUCUCAAUGUCCUCCCAAUUGACAAAUAUGGACACAUUGUCACUAUGCUGCAUCAAAUGGAUCUUUCAGUUACCACACCUACACAUAUAUUGGGAAAGAUCAAUGCUCAUGAGAUGUACAUGCACAUCAAUGACAAGGAUGAGUCAUCUUCCAAGAGAAAGGAUUUGGCUCUCAAAGCAAAUCAAGAAAGAAAAGGAAAAGCUAAAGUACAAAUUGAGGAAAAAUCCUCAAGGAUGAUGACCUUGAUACUAACAUUGACUUGAUGGUGAGGAAGACCACCAAGAUGUUAAAGAAGCUCAACAGAGAAGGCAUCAAAUUUGAUUCAAGAAAGAAUAAAUUCUUUUCCAGUAAAAGAAAGCCCAUUUCUGAAAUGGAUUGCUACAACUGUGGAGAGCUCGGUCAUCUUGCUCAUCAAUGUAACAAGCCCAAGAAGAACAAGUUCAAGGGCAAGAAAGAAGAUGACAGCGAUGAUGAGAAAAAGGAAAAGAGAUUCUUCAAGAGGAAGGAUGGGAAGUACAAGAGGUUCCACAAAAAAAAAUGGAAAGGCAUAUAUUGUUGGUGACUGGCUCACUGGCAUUGAGUCAUCAAGUGGAUCUUCUUCAAGUGACGAAGAAAAUGAUGAAAAAGUUGCCGCCAUCGCUGGGGACUUCUCUUCACCACCACCAUCGCCAUCAUCGACUUCUCACCUAUGCCUCUUGGCUAGAGGUGAACGGAAGGUGAACUACAAGAUCGGUGGGAGCCAUUGGGUUAUUGAUAGUGGAUGCACACAACAUAUGACAGGCAACCCACGGAUGUUAACCUCACUUGAUGAGAAUGUUGAUGGACAAGACAAAAUCACAUUUGGGGACAAUUCAAAAGGGAAAGUUCAAGGACUUGGCAAGAUGGCAAUUUCAAAUGAUCUAUCAAUUUCAAAUGUUCUCUUGGUUGCACCUUUGAGCUUCAACUUAUUAUCAGUGGGUCAACUCUGUGAUCUUGGACUUCAAUGCUUAUUCACUCCAAUAGAGGUUAUUGUAUCAAAAAUGGAUGAUGAAUCAAUGGUGUUCAAAGGAUUUAGAUACAACAAUCUCUACUUAGUGGAUUUCACCUCAGAAGAUGCAGACUUAAGAACUUGCCUCUUCACCAAAGCAUCACUUGGAUGGCUCUGGCAUAGGAGGCUUGCACAUGUUGGGAUGAGCACACUCAAGAAGGUAUUAAAGAAGGACAUGGUUAGAGGAUUAAAGGAUGUUAUAUUUGAAAAGGACAAGCCUUGUAGUGCAUGUCAAGCUAGGAAGCAAGUUGCUAAUACACAUCCUACAAAAGCUUUCUUGUCGACAUCAAGGCCACUGGAACUACUUCAUAUGGAUUUAUUUGGACCUACAAAUUAUGUAAGUGCUGGUGGCAACCUCUACUAUCUGGUGAUAGUUGAUGAUUUCUCAAGAUACACUUGGGUGUUCUUUCUCCAUGACAAAUCUGAAGUUGCAUCUAUAUUCAAGAAGUUUGCCAAGAAAGCUCAAAAUGAAUUUGAUUGCAAGAUCAAGAAGAUUAGAAGUGAUAAUGGUAAAGAAUUUGACAACACCAACAUUCAUGAAUACUGUGAUGAGAUUGGGAUCAAGCAUGAAGUAUCUGCAACAUAUACACCUCAACAAAAUGGAGUUAUUGAAAGAAAAAACAGGACCUUGAUCACACUUGCAAGAACAAUGAUUGAUGAGUAUAACACACCGGAGAGGUUUUGGGCCGAAGCUGUCAACACUGCAUGUUAUGCAUCAAACAGGCUAUUUCCUCACUGGCUGCUUGCGAAGACUCCCUAUGAACUGCUAAAUGGGAAAAAGCCAGACGUCUCCUUCAUCCAGGUAUUUGGAUGCAGAUGCUACAUUUACAAGAAACACCAUCACCUAGGGAAGUUUCAAAGACGUUGUGAUAUUGUUUUUCUAUUGGGUUAUUCAUUAAAGUCCAAAGCAUAUCGAGUAUUGAAUCAUGCCACUAGCGUGGUAGAAGAAACAUAUGAUGUGGAAUUUGAUGAGACUAAUGGCUCCCAAGAAGCACUUGAAAAUCUUGAUGAUGUAGGUGAUGAGCCACUCAGGGAAGCCAUGAAGAACAUGCCAAUUGGAGCUAUCAAACCAAAAGAAGAUGAAGAAGAGGUGCCAAACAUUGACAGGCCUUCUUCAUCAAGUGUACCACAAGAUGAUGAAAAAGAUGAGAGGCAUGCAAAUGAAGAUACAUUUGUUUCUCAUGAACAAGCAAGGUGUAACACCCCAGGGUCCACAAACACCCCGGAAUGCUACUGAACUACAUAUCUGACAUCCAUAUAUAAAAUUUCGGCAGCAUCUCUUUUGAAAGAUUGCAUAAACGAGGGGCAACAGUGUAUAAACAUAUAUCAUGAAAAAAAACAUACUAAGCAUUAUUAAUCUGCUAGCAAAGGAAAGUUAAACAUAACGAUAUGAACUGAAUUAACCAGUGCACACGACUAGGAAAAAACAAACAUCAUUUGUCAUCGAGUUUCUAAUUAAAUCAUGGCUGCAAGUGGGCAUCGUUAUUAUAAUAGUGAAGGUGAACGUGCUGCUACUUCCCUCAUUCCCAACAUGAAUCAAGUACCUGCAUUGAGUAAUGCAAGAGUGAGAUGAUACAUCUCAGCAAGCAAAUUGUUUUGACGAGAUAUUUAAACCACAAAUUGAAUUAAACAACAUUUUAAAGGAAUCACAAUUGAGAUCAGAAAUACUUGUAGAUAUAGAACUCAAUAGUCCCAAUAUAACCAAUACCAUCUCAUUUCCUCGAACAACCACAAUAGGUUGUAUAACCCUUCCCUGCGUCAACAAUACCUGCAGAUAUCACUUCAAUGUAUGCAUAGGAAUGCAAUGUGUAGGUCAUCUGCCCUCAUACCUCUGAGAGUAUAAAACCACAUCAUCUGCUAAUAUCACUUCAAUGAAUGCAUAUAAAUGCAAUGCAUAUGUCCUCUGCCUUCAUACCUCUAAGGGUAUGAAGCCGCAUCGUACCCCUCCUCGGGAACGUACGAUGCUAAGUUGUACCGGUACGGUCGGACCAUAGGUCACGACCAAACUUCAGAUGCAAAUGAAUCAUGUAAUGCAUAUGGCAUGCUGCAUUUAUCAAUACACUUCACUUCCUUCAGAUACAAAACAAACCUCAAAUAAUACUUCAUCUGCCUUCAGAUACGAUACAGACCUCAAAUAAUACUUUAUCUGCCUUCACGGGUGUAAAUUAAUCUCAUGGGUUAUACUCGAACCAUAAUCAUCAUCAAUAUAUGAUUGAGCAUCAGUAUAAUACAAUCAAGUAAAGCAUCACCAUAGAGUUCAAUUAUGAAAGAAUUCCAUAAUUCUGAAUAUUAGAGUGUUGGCGAUAAAAAAACAACAAUUCAAAACGGUAGAAACCACUGCUACAAUCACUUGCCUUCAUCGAGGAAGAAAGAUGUACUAGGCAUGAUCCGGAGUGUAGCCACCUGCUAGCGGGCAUAAAAUUUAGUACAAAUAUUUGACAAACAUUUGCCAACAAUCAACAAAUCGCUCCUACACUUGAAACCAAGACCCGGUGGAAAGACUCCCACCCUGAACCACAUGCCAAACAACAACAACACUGUUUGUUAAUUUUAUAUCUUUAAAAUUAUAACAGUGGUGAUAUUAAACAAAUACUCUAGGAGUGUAUACACAAAAUACUCUACAACUUCAGUAUUCAAUGGAUAAUUAAAUUCUGCCAUCUAUAAGUUCUAAAACAUCUGAUAAGAUAAAUGUCUGAAUCUGUUUCAGACAGCAACAUAGUUAACUUCAAAAUUCAAUAUCUACCAAACUACUCAACCAAAAAUUAUGAAAUUCUGCUGGCAGUAAGAACUUUUAUCCCUCUACAAAUGUCUCCAUAGUUGGAACAGCCAAUUCGGCUAUUUACUAUAUGAAACCCACCAGUGAACAGACCCGCUCAUUUUUGUCAGGCAAACAGGAACAUCCACAGUAAAACAAACAUACUGGAGUUUCAUAAUUCAUAUGAAUGCGCUCUUUAACAAUCUGGAAAGCUUAUAAAAUUGUCUACAACUUCUUUUACAAUCCUAAAGUUUAAUUCUGUAGAUAAAAUUGCCUAAAUCUUAAGAGAACAGAUUCUGCACAGAAUUAUGAGACUGAAAAACUGCUAUAAUCAAACUGCAAUAACUUUCUGAUCUGAUGUCCGAUUGAGGUGUUCUUCGCGGCCACGGAAAGAUAUACAAAUUAUCUACGACUCAUAGACAGACGUUUUAUUUUUUUGAGGCCACUAAGAUCACGGAAAACUGGCAUGAACAGAAACUGUUGAAUCUGCCAUCCUGCAGAAACUAAUUUCGAGAUCAAAAUCUAAUCUCCCAUCUAAUCCAACCAAAAAAACUAAUUGCAGGGCCUAAAACUCAUCCAAAACAAGAGAAAGCAUUCAUCAAGUGGAGAAAAGAGAGAGACGAAAGGAAAUCCAACCAAUUCUUGGAUAGGAACGACGAUGAUGAGCGACGGUAUGCCCUUAUCUCCCCUCUCUUCUCUUCUCUUCUUUUUUCUUCCUCUCAUCUCUUGGGGCAAGGCACAAAAGGGUGACGGCUGCUAGGGGUGGGAGGACGUGGAUUCUAGGGUUAGGGAGGUAUAAAUAGAAGGAAACUUCCACAAUCCUAAUAUCCAAUGGCUCAGAUCAACCGGCACUCGAAAAGACUCAUCUGGACUUCAAACAAGGCAAACUAGUGAUUGAUCGGAAUCAUCUUGAUGAGAUCUAUACAUCUACGACCUCCGAUCAUCCAUAGGACACACCAUAUUUGGAUUAUAAAAAUGGUUUAUUUUUUUAGGGUGUUACAUUCUACCCCCCUUAAAAAGAAUUCGUCCUCGAAUUCGACCACUCCAAGCAAAACAUCCAAGGUACCCCAAAUAGCACCACCAUUGAAAACAUGGGUCCAUUAUUGGUAUUAAUCAACACAAGAACUUCUACCUCGGACUAAUGGUCUAAGGAAGCUACACAACCUGACAACAAGCAUGAAACAACCUGCAAUGAAGCUCAAAGCAAGUCAUAGAUGCGAUCAACACUACGAUUUCACAACAUCGAAUUUGGAUGCAGCCAUACAUCAGCAUCAAUGUCUUAAAACGACACUCUUUUAUGAAGGAGUAAUAUGCACUAAGCACAACCCUUACCAACUUCAAUAAUUUAUUUUAAUUCAAUGGUAAAACAUCCACACCAGAUGAACGUAUAAAAAGAUCAAACACCUCACCUCACAGCACCACAAAACAAGUGGUUCUAUUGAAACAAAACUCCUAAUCUUCCUAAACCCCGUUCUUGCCAUCAUGAAAAGAUAAUCAUGUAAUCUAACAUUCUUUGCACCCCACAAAAGGGAGAAACUCUACAGAACUAAUGGAGCAAUAAAGCAGACAAGAAGCCCAUAACAUUCUGUGCGGCACAUUUCAUCGAAGAAAUGCCAAAAACUCCACAAAGAGCAUUGAUAGCACAACAACAACACAAUACUUGCUUAACCAAUGUCGCUAUACUUCAUCCAACAACUCAACUAAGAAAAAUAACCAAACUAGUAAGGUUAACCUACAAAUAAUAUAAUUCUUCAUCUACUGUAGUUCAGAAACUUACAUUUCAUUCUAUCAUACGACGCACUCAAAGUACUAGACAUACGAGGUCAAUGAUAACCCCGUAAUCCUUCACACAUUUGACAAACAUCUCAAGUUGAUGUAAAAAACCACAUCAUUUAGGAAUAGGUGACUAACCACACACAACCAACUCUAGGCUAGGCAAUGACUUCAUUCAAACCAAUAGAUAGGUGGUCCAACAAUGGAUCCACCAGCAUGCAUCAGGGAGAGAACCAUCUGAUCCUCAACGUAUUAAUACAUAAUCAAUAGAUCAAGAAAAACAAAGAUUUAUUCUACAACUAGCAUGACUAACAUGCAACCACUUUAAACCACCUCCAACUGUAACACCCUGGGGUCCACAAACACCCCGGAAUGCUACUAAAACACACAAUAGAAGAGAGACAUGUAAGCCAUUCUAGCUUUGUAAAGACUUCCCCAAAAUUCAUAUAAAAGUACCAAUAUUCAUUUCUUUCAGAACUAGUUUCUCGACAUAAACAAUCAUUCUUUGCAAAGAUAGUUGGAACUAUCCACCAACCACUCAACAACUUUAAUUCAAAUUGAUGGUUACCUUGUAACCCAAAACACGCAAUUCACACUCCUCUUAGGAACAUCCUCAAUCAAGCAUAUAUAACAAUAUUAUUGCAAUAAAACUCAACCAUGAAAAACAUGAUGAAAUCAACAUAGGCAUACUUGUAUAUCACAAGCAUAAUAACAACUUCAAUCUUACCAAAGACCAGCGAUAUCAAUCGCAUUAAUAAAACAAUAUAAAGAUUUAGAGAUAAAUCAUAUUAGGCAUUAAGUCAUAAACAACAUACCACAUUACCGUAAAGGAAUAGGGAUGGGUGAAAUUAUUGUCAUAUGCACUUCAAAGACACUAAUAUAUAUCAAAGAUAUUUGAACUCAUACCCUUCCUAUAUGUGCAAGUGUGUCAAAUUUAUUUUCAAAUUGCCAAGAAUCUAAAGCCUAUGCUUUGAUACCAACUGUAACACCCCAGGGUCCACAAACACCCCGGGAUGCUACUGAACUACACAUCUGACAUCCAUAUAUAAAAUUUCGGCAGCAUCUCUUUUGAAAGAUUGCAUAAACGAGGGGCAACAGUGUAUAAACAUAUAUCAUGAAAAAAAAACAUACUAAGCAUUAUUAAUCUGCUAGCAAAGGAAAGUUAAACAUAACGAUAUGAACUGAAUUAACCAGUGCACACGACUAGGAAAAAACAAACAUCAUUUGUCAUCGAGUUUCUAAUUAAAUCAUGGCUGCAAGUGGGCAUCGUUAUUAUAAUAGUGAAGGUGAACGUGCUGCUACUUCCCUCAUUCCCAACAUGAAUCAAGUACCUGCAUUGAGUAAUGCAAGAGUGAGAUGAUACAUCUCAGCAAGCAAAUUGUUUUGACGAGAUAUUUAAACCACAAAUUGAAUUAAACAACAUUUUAAAGGAAUCACAAUUGAGAUCAGAAAUACUUGUAGAUAUAAAACUCAAUAGUCCCAAUAUAACCAAUACCAUCUCAUUUCCUCGAACAACCACAAUAGGUUGUAUAACCCUUCCCUGCGUCAACAAUACCUGCAGAUAUCACUUCAAUGUAUGCAUAGGAAUGCAAUGUGUAGGUCAUCUGCCCUCAUACCUCUGAGAGUAUAAAACCACAUCAUCUGCUAAUAUCACUUCAAUGAAUGCAUAUAAAUGCAAUGCAUAUGUCCUCUGCCUUCAUACCUCUAAGGGUAUGAAGCCGCAUCGUACCCCUCCUCGGGCAACGUACGAUGCUAAGUUGUACCGGUACGGUCGGACCAUAGGUCACGACCAAACUUCAGAUGCAAAUGAAUCAUGUAAUGCAUAUGGCAUGCUGCAUUUAUCAAUACACUUCACUUCCUUCAGAUACAAAACAAACCUCAAAUAAUACUUCAUCUGCCUUCAGAUACGAUACAGACCUCAAAUAAUACUUUAUCUGCCUUCACGGGUGUAAAUUAAUCUCAUGGGUCAUACUUGAACCAUAAUCAUCAUCAAUAUAUGAUUGAGCAUCAGUAUAAUACAAUCAAGUAAAGCAUCACCAUAGAGUUCAAUUAUGAAAGAAUUCCAUAAUUCUGAAUAUUAGAGUGUUGGCGAUAAAAAAACAACAAUUCAAAACGGUAGAAACCACUGCUACAUUCACUUGCCUUCAUCGAGGAAGAAAGAUGUACUAGGCAUGAUCCGGAGUGUAGCCACCUGCUAGCGGGCAUAAAACUUAGUACAAAUAUUUGACAAACAUUUGCCAACAAUCAACAAAUCGCUCCUACACUUGAAACCAAGACCCGGUGGAAAGACUCCCACCCUGAACCGCAUGCCAAACAACAACAACACUGUUUGUUAAUUUUAUAUCUUUAAAAUUAUAACAGUGGUGAUAUUAAACAAAUACUCUAGGAGUGUAUACACAAAAUACUCUACAACUUCAGUAUUCAAUGGAUAAUUAAAUUCUGCCAUCUAUAAGUUCUAAAACAUCUGAUAAGAUAAAUGUCUGAAUCUGUUUCAGACAGCAACAUAGUUAACUUCAAAAUUCAAUAUCUACCAAACUACUCAACCAAAAAUUAUGAAAUUCUGCUGGCAGUAAGAACUUUUAUCCCUCUAUAAAUGUCUCCAUAGUUGGAACAGCCAAUUCGGCUAUUUACUAUAUGAAACCCACCAGUGAACAGACCCGCUCAUUUUUGUCAGGCAAACAGAAACAUCCACAGUAAAACAAACAUAACUGGAGUUUCAUAAUUCAUAUGAAUGCGCUCUUUAACAAUCUGGAAAGCUUAUAAAAUUGUCUACAACUUCUUUUACAAUCCUAAAGUUUAAUUCUGUAGAUAAAAUUGCCUAAAUCUUAAGAGAACAGAUUCUGCACAGAAUUAUGAGACUGAAAAACUGCUAUAAUCAAACUGCAAUAACUUUCUGAUCUGAUGUCCGAUUGAGGUGUUCUUCGCGGCCACGGAAAGAUAUACAAAUUAUCUACGACUCAUAGACAGACGUUUUAUUUUUUUGAGGCCACUAAGAUCACGGAAAACUGGCAUGAACAGAAACUGUUGAAUCUGCCAUCCUGCAGAAACUAAUUUCGAGAUCAAAAUCUAAUCUCCCAUCUAAUCCAACCAAAAAAACUAAUUGCAGGGCCUAAAACUCAUCCAAAACAAGAGAAAGCAUUCAUCAAGUGGAGAAAAGAGAGAGACGAAAGGAAAUCCAACCAAUUCUUGGAGAGGAACGACGAUGAUGAGCGACGGUAUGCCCUUAUCUCCCCUCUCUUCUCUUCUUUUUUCUUCCUCUCAUCUCUUGGGGCAAGGCACAAAAGGGUGACGGCUGCUAGGGGUGGGAGGACGUGGAUUCUAGGGUUAGGGAGGUAUAAAUAGAAGGAAACUUCCACAAUCCUAAUAUCCAAUGGCUCAGAUCAACCGGCACUCGGAAAGACUCAUCUGGACUUCAAACAAGGCAAACUAGUGAUUGAUCGGAAUCAUCUUGAUGAGAUCUAUACAUCUACGGCCUCCGAUCAUCCAUAGGACACACCAUAUUUGGAUUAUAAAAAUGGUUUAUUUUUUAGGGUGUUACACAAGGGUACAAGCCGAAGAUGUUGAUGCUCCAGGAUCUUCUUCCCAAGUGGUUGACAAGAGAACUCAUCACUACUUCAAGCUCACCCUCAAAACCAAAUCAUUGGGAGUCCUUCACAAGGGGUUAUUACUCGAUCACAUAAACAUGCUUAUUUUAUUGAACAUCACUCCUUUGUCUCUUGUGUUGAACCUACAUGCAUAGAUGAGGCGCUACAGGAUCCGGACUGGGUGAACGCCAUGCAUGAAGAACUAAACAACUUCACUCGUAACCAAGUUUGGACCCUAGAGAAGCCCCCACAAGAUGCAAGAAUCAUUGGAACAAAGUGGGUGUUCAGAAACAAACAAGAUGAUCAAGGCGUGAUUGUAAGGAACAAGGCAAGAAUUGUUGCAAAGGGAUUCUCUCAAGUUGAAGGCUUAGAUUUUGGAGAGACCUUUGCACCGGUUGCUCGACUGGAAGCCAUCCGUAUCCUACUCGCAUAUGCAUCAUGCUAUGAUAUAAAGCUUUAUCAAAUGGAUGUAAAAAGUGCAUUUUUAAAUGGCUUCAUAAAUGAACUUGUAUAUGUUGAGCAACCACCUGGGUUUCAAGAUCCUAGAUAUCCUAACCAUGCUUACAGGUUGUCCAAGGCACUAUAUGGAUUAAAGCAAGCUCCAAGGGCUUGGUAUGAGCGUCUUCGCGACUUCCUCAUCGAGAAGGGCUUCAAGAUCGGGACCGUCGACACAACUCUAUUUACAAAGAAACAUAACGAUGAUAUUUUCAUUUGUCAAGUAUAUGUUGAUGACAUAAUCUUUGGCUUGACAAAUGACUAUCAUUGCAAGGAAUUUGGUGAGUUGAUGUCGAAGGAGUUCGAUAUGUCAAUGAUUGGUGAGCUAAUGUACUUCCUCGGCUUUCAAGUCAAGCAAAUGAAAGAUGGUAAUUUUCUCUCACAAGAGAAGUAUACCAAAGACUUGUUGAAAAGGUUCAACAUGGAGAAGUGCAAACCAAUCAAGACACCUAUGCCAACAAAUGGACAUCUCGACCUAGAUGAGGGAGGUAACCCGGUUAAUCAAACUCUCUACAGUUCUAUGAUUGGUAGUUUAUUGUAUCUUACCGCAUCUAGGCCCGAUAUCAUGUUUAGUGUCUACAUGUGUGCCAGAUUUCAAUCAAAUCCUAAGAAAGCUCAUCUUCGCGUUGUUAAAAGAAUUCUUAGGUAUCUCAAACACACCUCAAGCUUUGGUCUGUGGUAUCCCAAAGGAGCUACUUUUGACUUAAUUGUCUAUUCUGAUUCGGAUUAUGCCGGUUGCAAAAUUGAUAGAAAAAAGUACUUCUGGGGGAUGCCAUCUGCUUGGGAGAUCACUAGUAUCAUGGACAUCCAAAAGGCAAAACAAUGUUGCCUUGUCAACUGCGGAAGCGGAAUACAUUGUCGCAGGUGCUUGUUGCACACAAAUUUUAUUUAUGAAACAAACUCUUCUAGACUAUGGCGUAGUUCUAGAAAAGGUACCUUUGUUAUGUGACAAUGAGAGUGUUGUUAAAAUUGCUAAUAACCCUGUACAACACUCUCGCACCAAGCACAUUGAUAUCCGUCAUCACUUCCUUAGAGAUCAUGUUGCAAAAGGAGAUAUCAUUUUAGAAGGAGUGAGGUCGGAAGAUCAAUUAGCGGAUAUUUUCACUAAGCCACUUGAUAAAACCCGCUUUUGCAUGUUGAUGAAUGAAUUAAAUAUACUUGAUCGCAGAAAUUUUAUUUAAGAUGUCGAAUGGUGUUGUCAAGCUUGCAUUGCAUAUUUAAAUUUCUUGUAUUGUAUCUAGGGCUUGUCUAACCUAGUUGAGAUAACCGCCAACAAAGCGAGUGAAAAAGCUUAACUCGGGAUCAAACUUGACAAGUCUUAGUUUUAAGCUUUUAGUACUUAAAUUCUUACUUACUAUACAAUUGUUGGUUCUUGAGAUAUGCAUGAGGUACUGCACUUAGGGGGAGUAUUCAAAACUCAAAACACUAAUGAAAACCCCUAGUGCAAGGCCAAAAUGCAAAUUUCACCAUUUGCCUAUUUUCUCUAAAAAUUAUCUAGCCUAUAGAAAAAUAUUUUGAAAAUUAUGAGAAAAUAUAUGAGGGUGCCAAUACCUGUCCCAAAAAGUGUUAUUUUGUGUGAUUAUAAGUUGGGAUUUGGUUUGGUUGAAAACUAGAUAGAAAAUUUGAAAAAUUUCAAAAUUCUCUCUGUCUGGGCUCACCGGACAGUCAGGUGUGCACCGGACACUGCACUGUGCACUGUCCGGUGCACCGGCAGCCGCGCGCGUAUAUCCCCUCUCCUGUGCGCUGUCCGGUGUGCACCAGACAGGCACUGUAGACUGUCCGGUGCGCCCAUAAACGGUUUUUAAAAAACCUUUCCCCGCCCGAGCCCGAGGCUGGGUGUUUUUUCUCUGGCCACUGCCUCUGCUCUCUCUGUCUCUGGCGACACCCUCUGCCCUCCGGCGACCCUCCCCUCGCCGGCGGCCGUGCUCCGAUGGCCUAGCUCCAGCCUGUGCUCGGCCCCCUCCUCUGGUGAGCUCCUCCCUCAUCUUCUCCUCUCUCUCUGUUUCAAGAAGCAGUGAAGCUCUCUCUCCUUCCUCCUUUUGUGCAAAUUCAAAUCCUUGUGAAAUUCCUGUGAAUCAAAGUGUUGGAUGUGUGUCCUUGUGUCCCAUUGUAUCCCCCUGCAGGUCUUGAGCUCCUUAGGGAGGGUUUCACCACCUAAAAUGGGCAUUUCACUCUAAACCUAAAACACCGCACGCCACAUGCUCGGUGAAAUGCCCAAACCAGCCAAAAAUGUUGCAAUCGAUCCCAAAUUUUUCAGGCACCUUCACAAUACCUCCAGUAACAUAUUUGCUAAAUUUCACGCCAAUUCGAUAUACGAGGCUUCAAUUUCACACAAUUCCCCAUUUCUAGCAAUCAAUUCCGAGUCGAGUGCCCAAAUUCCAUUUUCUUCGCCUAAAAUCAAACCAAGCACACACUUCACUCAUAUUUACCCAUAUAAACCAAUUUGUGAAGUAUCGGCUCAAUUCCCUGUCAUUUCAUGCCUCACUUCAAAUUUCAAACUUCCUAUGGCACUAUUUCUCGUUCAAACGCCGUUUUCGCGUCGUUUGACCUCUCGAUCGCCAUAACUCUCUAUUUCUAUGCCAUAACACUCUAUGUAUGUAUUUAUUCACAUUUCAUAUACUUAUGACUAUGUGACUAAUACGUGCUCACCUCUUCUGUCAUUUCAGUGACUUUGUCUGCCCGUGAGCCAUCUCCUGUCCUGCUUGGGUUCUCUCCCUCUCGUGUGAUAUUUCCAGGUAGCUCUUCGCUCUUUUGUCAUUCUAUCGACUGUUAUCUUCUUGUGCUUAGCUUCUCUCUCUCAUUUGCAGUCGUCAGGUCAGGAUGCCGCGCACGAAGAAUGUGUCGGCGCCAGGGGGAGGAGAUGAUGAGGAUCCUCCUCGCCCUUUCAGGCAGGUCAAGGGGAAGACAGUUUACUUGGAGCAGCAGGAAGGCCGCAAGAAGCGGCGUCUGGACAGAGCAGCCCGAGCAGCAGCGGCAGCUGCUGAGCAGGCAGAGCGAGGAGCUCAGCUACAGAUUCCCUCCGACCAGAUUGCUUACCGAGUGCGUCGCCUCGCAUCUCGGCCUCGCUCCUCUGCACCUACCACUCCCGCCACUGCUACCACUCCACCACCCACUUCGCCCGCUCCAGUCACUCCUGCUCCAUCCACCACCUCAGCCAUACCUACCACCUCCACCACUCCAACUUCCACUGCUCCUCCUCCCGCUCCCCUUUCCGCUCCUCCUAUCCCAUCUGCUCGCUUCUGGGAGUGCGAUGAGACUGAGGUGCAACCUCUGGCUACGGAUCCCAGGCUAUUUGAUCUUCAGCGUGCUACAAUGGCACGGGUACGUCGAUUCAGACACGUACCCGUGGAGACUUGGCUACCGGCUCAGAGGGACCCUGCUGUAGUUGAUCUCUUCAGCACCCGGAUUUAGGAGUCUUUCUUCAGAGCUCAGAUGUCUGCACAGAUUGCUCUGUGAGUGCACCGGCUUCUGGACCUUCCUGCAUUUCUGCUGGCCGCCGGUGCUGACUCUGAGGUACACCUCUCCUAUCUGCCUGGACUUCUCACUCUGUUGACUACCAGCGGCAGAUAUGUUGAGGAAUGGGUCCGAGUUUUCUAUGCUUCAGUAUGGAUAGACCCUGAUCACCAGUGGAUGAGAUUCUGCUUUGAGCGAGAGGAUGUUACCAUUCAUGCCAGCCAGAUUCGCCAGUUGUUUGGAUUCAACGAGUCAUCGACUCGUCUUCACAGCUUGUACUAUGGCACCUCUGAUCCUCCUCGUCGCCCUCACGGUGGAGUUGCUCCUGGUACAGCUCACGUCGCGGCUUUGUUCUGACCGCCCUUCUCAGAUGGGUCGUGAUGUUCUCCGGCAGACUUCACCACAGCGGCCAAGUUUCUAUAUCAGCUCAUGAGACGGACGCUUCUUCCACGGAUGGGUUACAGGGAGGCUGCCACUCAUAUCCCGCUUUGGCUCCUUGGUGCCCUAGUUUCUCACUCAGAGUUUGAUGUUGUGGAUUUCCUCAUUUGUGAGAUCGAGGACAGCGUAUUGGAUGGUCUACGUGCCCGGCGAUAGCUACCGUAUGCUCACUAUCUUUGCCACAUCUUCGCUCAGCUGAUUCGGCCACCACAGUUCUAGGGCACUCUUGAGGCCUCUCGCCUCCUCUUUGGGUCAUACCAUCCAGCUCCAGAGGAUCCUGUGCUGGUACCUGCUCCAGUGGUUGACACUCAGGCCGAGGAUACCGCUUUUCACCAGUUCGAGACUCAGGGUGCAGCAGUCCCUGACGAUGAUGAUGAUGACUUUGGGGUUCCACCCCCGCCUCCGCCUCCUAUGCCUCCACGCACUCAUGAUCAUGAGGCUGGGAGUUCCAGUGGUGCUGCCCCUGCUGCCUAUAGCAUCCCAAAAAUUCAAAUCUUGGAAUCUUCUCAAACUUGCUCUAAAUUCAAAAUGAAUUUCAAAUUUCAUUUCAAAAUGUUUGUUUGUGAGUUGAUAUCAGCAAAUGAAAUAUAGUGGUCUAUAUUCUCUCCAAAAUCCUCCUCAAAAUAUCCUACAAAUAUUUCCCUAGUGAUCCCCCAUUCUUUCCAGAAAUACUACCAAGAUAUUUCACCAGUGAUCCCCUUCAAGUUCUUUCCAGAAAUACUCCCCAGAUAUUCCACUGAUAUAUCUCCAAGUAUUUUCCUCCUAAGAAAUACCUUCAGAAUCAUUUUUCAAGUCCCUACAAAUAUUUUCUUCAUAACUUUCCUCAUGCUCAUACGUACGCGUAUGCCUCCAGUGUCAUACGGUGAGCUCUACAAGCUAAUUACACUCAUAUAAGACAAAUCCAUGCUAAUCUCCCACUAAUCCUCUCAUCCUCCCACUAAUCCUCUCAUCCCUCCCCCUAAUCCUCCCACCAUGGCUAUAAAUAGAGCGGCAAGGGCCUCCUCUCAUCCCACCCCAAGCCAUUUCAUGGCAACUCUCUCCCCCCCACACACACGCCCACUCCAUCUCCCACACAAGCACACACUAGCACAAGGAUCGUUUGGUCGUUCUUCGAUCAUUCGUCCUCCGUUCUUAGUUUGUUCGUUCGUUCGUCCGAUCGUUCAUGGUUCGUUUGUCCGAUCGUUCGUCCGUUCGUUCGUCCAAAUAAUCUUUUUCCUGCCGUUAUGCUGCCAAAAUUCCGAUCGUUCGUUCGAUCAUUUGAUCGUUCAUCAUUCAUUCAUAGUUCCUAUUCAUCGUUCAUCGUUCGUUCAUAGUCCCUAUUCAUCGUUCUUCCAGAUAAUCUUUGUCCUGCCGUUAUGCUGCCGAAAUUCCGAUCGUUCGUUCAUCCGAUCAUUCGAUCGUUCGUCUGUUCGUUCAUAGUUCCUAUUCAUCGUUCGUUCAUCGUCACUAUUCAUCGUUCAUCGUUCGUUCAUACGCUAUUCACUGUUACUAUUCAUCAUUGUUACUACUCAUCGACGCUAUUCAACAGCCUUACUAUUCAUCGUUACUAUUCACCGACACUAUUCAUCAUCGUUACUAUUCAUCGAUGAUAUCUAUGGUACCUUUUCGUCGUCACUAUUCAUCAUUACUAUUCAUCGUUACUACUCAUCGUUACUAUUCAUCGAUCAUCUGAUCACCCCAAAUUUCAACUACUCAUCCGUUAUGCUGUACAGUCCACCUAAGACCAGCCAGACCAAUAUUUCAGUCAUACGAACUCCGGUGACUGUGAUUUUCCUUCUAGUGGGAACUUCCCAUCUGAUCACCCAUCCCAGGUUUCUCCAAGUUGAGCACGCUUAACUUUGAGAUUCCUUCGAACCAGGCUUCCAAACUCCGAUUCUUGUUUCUAAAUUCUUAUCGAAUUAUUCCCUAUCUGUAACACCCGGUUUUUUGAAGGCAAACCGAAUGCGAACCAUGUACGUGCCAGGAUCAGCAAUUCACGUACACAGCAGUUACAUAACAUGGACAUCAUCACACAGUGCUCAAAUAGUAUUAAAAAGGGAAAUAAUAGUCGAUUACAUCAUAUGUCUGAGACAUCCACAUAGUCUUUACAAUAAUCAAACUGCGAAAACGAAGCGUAGAUAAACGCGGCCUUCACAGGCAGCCGACUGGGGGUUGCCGCUAACCCACGCCUAGAACUCGUCGUAGUCUUGGAACUCCUGGAAGUCUCCUUCCACGGCUUCAUCUUCUCCUGAGCAGUGGCUGCAAUGCGGGCAACCUGAGGGGGUUGGUGUGUAGAGCAAGGGUGAGUACACAUCAACAUACUCAGCAAGUGUCAUGUCUGGUUGUAGUGGACUAGCUUUAUGUGGGGGGAAGUCAAGCGGUUGCUUUUAGUUGGUCAGAUUAUUAUUACUAGUAGAGAAGGCCAAGUUUUAGGGUUAACCCACGUUAUUAACCCAAACGUACUCCUUUCCAAACGGAAAGAGUACCACUUACCAUUACCAGAGUCAAAACCAAGAACCAUCAGUCUCAUUGCCACCUGCAAACCGAACAUCUCUGAUCAAGAACCACUAAUCACUGGAGCUCCCUUGGCCGCUCAUAACCGCGAGCACGGCUGAUAUAUCAGUUUCAUAACACUCUGCAGAGGUUGCGCACUUUACCCAUGAGCCGUGAUUUCCUUUUUGCCUCGGGUUGUACGAACCCUUGAACACUCCCAAGGUGAGUAGGCAGGGUAUCACUAUGUAGCCUUUACAAAGAUUCCCCGGGGCUGUAGCCACCCGUUAGGUUUCCUAAAUGUACCGCACUCCUCCCCAAGGGACAAAUCAACCUUGGUAGAGCGAGCCGCAUACACCGAGCCCCAUUGACGGCACGACGGCGAAGCGAACUACACCCCGGAUCCUCUAAUUAUUCAGCUAAGGGCACCCCAUUCCACCCUCAUGGUUGCACUAUUUUCCCGAGCGGUCAUCCAACGAACAGGUCCUUACGGAGAGGCACUUGAGAAACCGCUCGAGCCCCCUUAAAGGCCACAAGUAUAACAUCAUAAUAAGAAGAGGGAAAACAGCGUAUCAUUGAUCAUUCUCAUCAUGUUCAUUGAUUAGAGUUGAGCAAUAGCAUAAGACUAAGCAAUAAUAAUCCAACCCAAAUAGGUAAACAAGGACAUGGAUAACAAAGCUAGUCAAUCCUUAGGUAUAAAUGUGUAAUGCGGGAGGUGAAUUAAAGAUUGAAUAGGACAGAGAUGGGUCAAGGGACACUUGCCUCCACUAACCGACUGCUGCUUAGGGGCUUCUCCUGCGAGUUCUUCGGGCUCUUCAACCGGAUCGUUCUCUAUGCGAGUGCAAACAUACAUACAUCCAUCCAUUCAAAUUAGGAAACAAACAGUACACCAUACAAGAGAACAAGUAGAUUAAACAUGCAUAGAAUAUGACAUACGAUAUUGCAUUUACCAUGGCUAGAAAGAGACGGGGGAAGGUCUCGCAGGGGUUAAAGCUUAUGCUCGAGGCGCAUUACGAGUAGACGAAUAACUAGACGUUACGUGCUCUAGUUCCACUUAGCUCUAACAAAAAGGAUUAGCUACAUGCACUAAUAGAAACAUAACCACUUUCAGUUGAUCAACAUUAAAUGAGAUAGACGAUUAACUAUAUGAAUUAACUAACGUAACCAAUUUUUAAAUUGAGUUUCCUAUUUCAUUAACAUGAACAACGUGAUUAGCGCGCAUAAAAUAUACGGGGGGGUGGACGGGCACGUCUAGGGGUAGACGAGGGCACGGCGAGCCGUGCCAAGGCACCACGCACUACGCGAGCAGCGCGCGCGCAAGGCCGCACACACGCACCGCGAACUAGCCGUGCACACGUCGGGGCCGCGCGCUGGCCGAGCUCAAGGCCGCGCGCCAUAGGCACGCUAGGCCGAGCUUCAAGGCCGCGCCGGGGCCGUCACGACGCGAGCAGGACACGCUGGGGCGGGCGGGCGAGCACGCCGGGGCGGGCGCGCCAUGGCCAUGCGCCAUAGCCGGCGAGGCCGGGCUGCCAUGGCCAGGGCAGGGGGCUCGCCGGGCGGGGCGAGAACGCCGCACACCACGGCGGGCCGCCAUGGCCGCGCCAUGGCCGGGACGGGGCCGAAGCCAGGCGGGCGGGGCGGAAAGUCGGGCGGAGGAGCGCGCGCGGGCGGGGCGGGGCACGCCGCGCCGCCAUGGCCGGCCACGCUGAGGGGAGGGGCGGGGCGCUCGCACCGGGGCGAGACGUCGGGCCGCCAUGGCCGGCGAGGCCGGGCCGAGCGCCGCCGGGACGCCGCGGGCGGGGCGAGCCGCACCGGCGCGGCACGAGGAGGGGGCGGGUCGGCUGGAGGCGGGCGCGCCGCUCCGCGCCACCGGGACGGACGGGGGCCGGAGGGCGCCGAAGGCGGGGGCGGGCGGGUGCCGGCGAGCCGAGGCCGGCGCGGACGGGCCCACGCGGGCGAGCGCUCCCGCGGAGCGGGGAGGGCGCCGGCGAGUCGGGGAAAGGGGGAGGGAGGGGAGAGGGAGGAGGAGAGGGAAGGGAGGCCGGGCUCACCGUGGGCGAGGGCGCAGGCGGGCGGCGGCGCAGGCGGUUCCGGGCGUCGGGGCGAGGUGGAGCAGGGGAGGAGAGAGAGAUUUGGGGCGGGGAGAGAGGGUGACAGGUGGGGCCCGUGGGGAAGAGGCGGCGGCGGGCGUAACCGUCGCGCCGCACGCGGGGGAUGCGGGAGGGGGGCGCGGCUGGGCCGUCUCUUGGGCCCAAAGCGGAGGAGGCGCGGGGCGGGGGGGGGAGGUGGGCCGCGGCACCGCCAGCCCAUGGCGCGAGGGGGGGAAAGGAGAGGGGGCGAGGCCGGUUGGGCCGGCCGGCCAGCUGGGUCGCGCGCCAACAGGGGGGCGGCUAGGCCAAAAAAAGGGAGGAGAGGGAGGGGAGAGAAAAGAAAAGAUUUUCUUUUUCUAAUAUCUAUUUUCUAUAUGAAUGCUUUCACACUUUCAAACAAUCAAAAAAAUGCAUGGUUCAGCAUGGUGCAGCAAACCAAAGAAAAUAACCCUAGGGUUUACUAUUGUCACAUGACUUAAAGUUUUGAAGACGGGUGAGGUUUUAGCGAAAAGAAAUGGGAAAGAGGGGUAACGCCCGAAUUUAGCGAGCGAUAGGAAACGAAAAAAAUUCAACUCGAAAUUCGGGGUGUUACAAACCUAUCCCCCUUAAAAGAAUCUCGCCCUCGAGAUUCAGGGUUGGCCAGCAAAGAGCUCAGGUAUUUGGCCAUCAGAUCUUCUUCACGCUCCCAGGUUGCUUCUUCCUCAGAGUGGUGAUUCCAUCUGACUUUGCACAUUCUUAUGGUCUUCCAUCGGGUGACUCUGUAUGCGGUCUCAAGGAUUUACGUUGGCUUCUCAACGUAGGUCAAGUCCUCCUGGACUUCAAGACCUUCAACUGGAAAUUGCUCCUCUGGCACCCGCAAGCACUUCUUCAACUGAGACACGUGAAAGACAUUAUGCACUGCAGACAAAUUCUCUAGCAGACUGAGCUGGUAGGCCACUUCUCCACGCCUUGCGAGAAUCUGAUACGGGCCAAUGUAGCGGGGUGCUAGCUUGCCUUUGACUCCGAACCUUCUGACUCCUCUGAUCGGUGACACUUUCAGAUAGAUGAAGUCUCCAACCUCAAAACUCAGCUCUCUUCUUCUUGUGUCUGCAUAGCUUCGCUGCCUUGAUUGCGCUAUCUACAGAUUCUCUCGGACCAUCUUGAUGUUCUCUUCAGCUUCAAGCAAAAUGUCUAGCACGACCACUUGCUUUUCUCCAGGCUGAUCCCAUUGCAAUGGAGUUCUACAACUCCUUCCAUAAAGCGCCUGAAAGGGUGACAUCUUCAAGCUGGCCUAGUAACUGUUGUUAUAGGAAAACUCUGCAUAGGCCAAUCUCUUGUCCCAUCCGGACUGAUCUUGCAACGCACAGGCUCUCAACAUGUCUUCAAGGAUUUGAUUGGUCCUUUCGGUCUGACCAUCUGUCUGCGGAUGGUAGGCUGAACUGAAAUUCAGAUGUGUACCCAAGGCUUCAUGCAACUGCUGCCAGAAAUAAGAGGUGAACUGCGUUCCUCUGUCUGACACUAUCUUCUUUGGCACACCAUGAAGACAAACGAUCCGAGACAUGUACAACUCUGCCAAUACUGCACUGCUGUAGUUGGUCUUGACAGGUAUGAAGUGGGCUGACUUGGUCAAACGGUCCACUACUACCCAAAUGGAAUCGUAGCCGGCUCGAGUGCGAGGCAAUCCGACUAUGAAAUCCAUGCCGAUUUCAUCCCAUUUCUACUGAGGGAUUUGCAACGGUUGCAACAAUCCAGCUGGCCUCUGGUGCUCUACCUUGAUCCGUCGACAACUAUCACACAUAGCCACAUACUCUGCGAUUUCCCUCUUCAUUUCGUACCACCAGAAUUUCUUCUUCAGAUCCUGAUACAUCUUCUCACUACUAGGGUGAAUCGAAUAGGCUGUCUCAUGAGCUUCCUUGAGGAUCAACUCCCAAAUAGACUGGACAUUGGGAACGCACAAGCGGUCUUUGAACCAUAUCACACCUUUUGCGUCUUCCCGAAAAUCUUUGCCUUUGUCGUCGAGAAUCAGUCGCCGGAUCUCACUGAUCUUCUCAUCAUUCUUCUGCGCUUCUUUGAUUUCCCGCUCCAGGGUAGGUUCCAACUCAAUUGUGACUCCUCGCGUGUUGUUCAGAAAUCCGAGACUCAACCUAUCAAAUUCUUUGGUCAACUCAUAAGGCAUCGGACGAGCGACCAUCAGAUUGACUUGACUCUUCCUGCUCAAAGCAUCUGCCACUACGUUCGCUUUGCCUGGAUGGUAAUGAAUCUCCAACUCAUAAUCUUUGAUCAACUCUAACCACCUGCGCUGCCUCAUAUUCAGCUCUGACUGAGUGAAUAUGUACUUCAGACUCUUGUGGUCUGUGUAAACAUCACAUUUCUGUCCAUACAGAUAGUGCCUCCAUGUCUUCAAUGCGUGAACCACUGCUGCCAACUCUAGGUCAUGGAUUGGGUAAUUCUUUUCAUGAACCUUCAGCUGUAGGGACGAGUAAGCCACAACUCUUCCCUCUUGCAUCAACACACAUCCCAAACCGGUGUAGCAAGCAUCACAAUACACCGAGAAGGGCUUGUGCACAUCAGGCAAGACUAAGACAGGCGCUGUAGUCAACUUCUUUUUCAGCGCUUCGAAGGCCUCUUGACAUUUCUGGGUCCACUUGAACUCGACCUUGUUGCCUAGCAACACUGUCAAUGGUUUCACAAUCUUUGAAAACCCUUCAAUGAAUCAUCGAUAGUAUCCGGCCAUUCUAAUGAAGCUCUUGAUUCCUCGGGCAUCUGUUGGCGCUUUCCAGUUCAGAAUGUCUGCCGCUUUCUUCGGUUCCACAGCCAAUCCUUCUUUGUUGAUUAUGUGACCCAAGAACAGGACUUCAUUGAUCCAGAACUCGCACUUUCUCAACUUUGCAUACAACUGGUGCUCUCGCAAUCUCUGCAAUACCAUCCUCAAAUGAUCUGCAUGCUCUUCUUCACUUUGAGAAUAAAUCAGAAUGUCAUCGAUGAAUACCACCACAAACUUAUCAAGAUAAUCCAUGAAUACACUGUUCAUCAAGUUCAUAAAGAAGGCUGGUGCAUUUGUUAGACCGAAAGACAUCACUGUGAAUUCAUACAACCCAUACUUGGUAAUGAAUGUCGUCUUCGAAAUGUCUGAAGGUCAGAUCCUGAGCUGAUGAUAACCUGACCUCAGGUCUACCUUGGAGAACACGCUGGCUCCUCUCAACUGGUCGAAUAGAUCUUCUAUUCUGGGCAAGGGGUACUUGUUCUUAAUGGUGACCUCAUUUAGAGCUCGAUAAUCGAUGCACAUCCUUUUGGUGCCAUCUUUCUUCUCCACAAAUAGGACAGGGGCGGCCCAAGACGAGGUGCUUGGCCGGAUGUAACCUUUCUCUGACAGCUCAUCAAUCUGCUUCUUAAGCUCAACCAACUCUGGUCCAGAUAUUCUGUAAGCUCUCUUAAAGAUAGGGGCGGUUCCAGGAAGAAGCUCUAUAGCGAACUCAACUUUCCGUUCUGGUGGCAUACCUGGUAGGUCCUUUGGAAACACAUCUGGGAACUCGGACACAACCUAGAUACUCUCCAUUGGGCCUGCUUCACAGCUAUCGACUGUCAUCUGAUAACAACUUCCUUUCUUCGGCUCAGGUGGAACUAACUCGGUCACCACUUCCUCUCCUAGUGGGGACACCAACUUGAUUGUCCUCUUAUCACAACUGAUAAUUGCCUGAUACUUAUCUAGCCAAUUCAUCCCUAGGAUGACAUCUAUUCCCUGAGUACCCAUCACUAUGAGAUUAGCGGGAAACGCUAUCCCCCUUAUUUCCACACUUACAUUCAAACAAAUGCUAUCGGCUCGAAUUCUACCACCGGCUGAGUCAAUUUGAAUGGGGGUUGACAUGGUAGUUAUUGGACGAUUAUGUGCUUUUACCCAUGAUGCAGUAAUGAAAGAAUGUGUUGCUCCAGUAUCAAAUAACACUUCUGCAAUAUAGGAGUCGACUGGAAACAUACCUACUAUCAUGUCAGGGGUCUCCUGAACUGCUUCAGCCUCCAAGUGGUUCAGUCUCCCAUGGUUAUAGCGUGGCUGAGAGCGGUUGCCUGCUCCAGGCUGAGACACAUUCUGCUUUGCUGGGGCAUUGGGGCCUAACUGCUGCUGAGCUGCCUUCUUCGGACAUUGCAUCACCCAAUGGCCUGGCUCUCCACAGUGGAAACAUGCUCUAUUUCCAACCUGAGCUGGUGCUGCCUGAUUGUUCUGCUGAGUUGCUGGGGCAGGAAGAUGAAGUGCCUACUGAAUCUGCCUCUGAAACUGACCUCCUCCUGACUGAUUGUUCUGACGAUUCUGAUACUGGUGCUGAGGAUACUACCUUUGGAAUUGCUGAUGUUGAGGUGGACGCUGGUUCUGCCUGAACUGCUGAGGUUGAUUGCCUGAGAAACGAGGACGAUUGCUGCUUCCAGGCUGGGGUCCAUGAUCUUGCGCUUGCGAUCCUCCAUCUCCUUACGCUUCCUCUCUGUCAUGAUUGCUCUGUCAAUCAAGUGCUGGAAUGUCAGGAAGGUAUGAUUCAUCAGUUGGUAGUGUAGAGGGUCAACCAAGCCUCUCAGGAAACGGUACUAUCGCUUGGCGUCGGUGUUAACAUCUUCAGGAGCAUAGCGAGACAACUGCAGAAACUUGUUCCGGUACUCACUGACAGACGAUGACCCUUGCUUCAGAGCCAGGAACUCCUCCUUCUUCACUGUCAUCAGACCUGCAGGAACAUGGUACUAACGGAAGCUACCUCUGAAUUAUUCCCAGGUGAUGGUGUCGGGGUUGGCAUGGGUGGCGAGAUAAGACUCCCACCAAGACUGAGCUGCUCCUCUCAACAAACGAGGACCAUACAAGACUUUCUCCCUGUCAUCGCACUAAGCGGUAUGCAACUCUCGCUCCACAGUGUGCAGCCAGUCUUCAGCAUCCAUGGGGUCAGAAGAAUGAGCAAACGUUGGGGGAUGACCUCUCAUGAAUUUAGCAUGUUUCUCCCUCGACAUCUGAGGCAUCUGAGGCUGAGGUGGGGCCUGCUGUUGUUGCUGCUGCUUAAUGGCGGCCAGAGUCUGACCGAUGGCUUGAACUUCUUGGGUCUGCAUCAGAAACAUCUGCUCGAUGGACAUCGGGGGCGGGGGUGGUAGUUGCUAUUGCUGAGGCACCUCAUCCUGCUGAGUGGCUUGCUCCUGCUGAGCACGCCUUCCUCCUCUGCGCCUGUUCUCUGACAUGUGCAGAAUGCAACCACACAUCAGAACUGAUCUUGCGAAUCUUGCAGCAUAAGAAAAGAGUGUAGAAUUCUUCAACAACACUGAACAGAUGAGCAUCUUCAUUGAUCUCCAACACAGACCACACAGCUUCUCAGAUAAAGAGGAAAGUGGAAUAAAAGGCUUCCCAACUAGAUAACUAACUUCAUUAACAUAUAACAGGUAAACCAAAAUGCAGGGGAUACCCACAUUCUGGUGACAGUCAUUACAAAGAUCCAAAUCAAACAUAGUUCAUCAUGACAAACAUAAAUGCACAGGAUAUAACAAACUACCCUGUCUAACUAAGACUAACUAAGAGCGAGACUAACACUAAGACUGAGACUAAGACUAAGACUAAAACUUCUAUAUUAAGCAUUUAUUACAAGACUCAACACUAACGAUCUAUGGUUCUAAAUCUAUCUUGGUCUUGCAGUCGGGAUUGCCAUAAGGCUGGUGUCCACGCCGAGGUGAGCGGUACAGGUGCUGAGUCCCGACGGGAGCGGGGGAACCAUCGUCCAGGUGACGACGUUCCGCGCGCUCAGCCCGUAGCAGGGCGAUCUCAGCAUGAGCCCUACUCAGCUCGUCUAAUGCAUGGUCCAGCUCCGUGUUUAGCAAGGCGGCUAGGUUGACUGUGCUGCUCAACCUAGGAUUGUCCUCUCCGAUAGGUGAAACAAUCACGCCUCCUGUGCUGCCAGAUGGACGGUGGGGGUAAUACUUCAGGUUGAGACCGUCAGCUACCAUGCCGAGCACUGAGCAGUAGUGCGAAAGCGCACGCCGUGCGGCAUCUUGCAUGGCCGCCUCAGCUGAGUCUCGCUCAGAGAUAGAAUAGUGCUUUAAGCAGGCCUCCGCACCCUGGAGACUGUUCUCCGGACGGCGCACCAAGCAGGUCGCCUCCCAGUGGUCCGGGUAGACCCUGCGACUAUGCUGGUAGACCACAUAGUGAUACUCGAUAGACCAAGUACGCCGGUCAAGUGCCCGACGUAGCAGGGUGUCGAGCGUAUCGUGGAAGUGACACCCGCGAGUAGCGUCGCGAGUGAUGGGUCGAGCAACCCAUCCUUCCGGCUCCUGGUCAGCAGAAAAGCUGGUGUCGUGGCUCGAGCUGUCGUCGCCACCUCCGUCGUCUGGGUCUCCUCCAGCAGCUACUCCAGAGGCUAGGGCGCCCAGUGGUGGUGCAGGGGGCGCCUCCAGAGGAAGCACAGGGGAGCAGCUCCUCACAGACUCUAUCUCCUGCUGGAGCGAGAAAGAAGAGCCAUGCUGCUCCUGUCAUCGAUGCUCCUGCUCCUCAUGCAGGCGGUGGUGCAGCCUCUCCAUGUGACUGGACUGACUGGUCAUUGGACGGCGAAGCGGACGUUCCAUGAGACGAGAGGGUAAGAAGGGGAUGACAGACUUCCGUGCAGUGUGUCUAAGACGAGCCAUCUACAAAAGACACCGCAAGCAUAAGAGUGAGAAUAGAACUAGUAUGACCAGCAAGUAAACCAUCAAUAAAUAAGGAAUUAGAAUAAACAAAAAGAUUUUUAGCAAGGUAUAAUAUAUAGUAGAACAUAGGUUUGGUUGAUAUGACCAACUUUUGAAGGGAUUCCAAAGCCAAGGCAGGGACAGAGGUCUAUAAUCCUUAGAACGACCAUUGUACUCUAGGUUAGCGGUCCUACAGUCAGCACGGCUUUGAUACCACCUAUGUCACACCCGGUUUUUAGAAGGCAAACCGAAUGCGAACCAUGUACGUGCCAGGAUCAGCAAUUAAUGUACACAGCAGUUACAUAACAUGGACAUCAUCACACAGUGCUCAAAUAGUAUUAAAAAGGGAAAUAAUAGUCGAUUACAUCAUAUGUCUGAGACAUCCACAUAGUCUUUAUAAUAAUCAAAGUGCGAAAACGAAACGUAGAUAAACGCGGCCUUCACAGGCAGCCGACUAGGGGUUGCCGCUAACCCACGUCUAGAACUCGUCGUAGUCUUGGAACUCCUGGAAGUCUCCUUCCACGGCUUCAUCUUCUCCUGAGCAGUGGCUGCAAUGCGGGCAACCUGGGGGGGGUUUGGUGUGUAGAGCAAGGGUGAGUACACAUCAACAUACUCAGCAAGUGUCCUGUCUGGUUGUAGUGGACUAGCUUUAUGUGGGGGGAGUCAAGCGGUUGCUUUUAGUUGGUCAGAUUAUUAUUACUAGUAGAGAAGGCCAAGUUUUAGGGUUAACCCACGUUAUUAACCCAAACGUACUCCUUUCCAAACGGAAAGAGUACCACUUACCAUUACCAGAGUCAAAACCAAGAACCAUCAGUCUCAUUGCCACCUGCAAACCGAACAUCUCUGAUCAAGUACCACUAAUCACUGGAGCUCCCUUGGCCGCUCAUAACCGCGAGCACGGCUGAUAUAUCAGUUUCAUAACACUCUAUAGAGGUUGCGCACUUUACCCAUGAGCCGUGAUUCCCUUUUUGCCUCGGGUUGUACGGACCUUUGAACACUCCCAAGGUGAGUAGGCAGGGUCUCACUACGUAGCCUUUACAAAGAUUCCCCGGGGCUGUAGCCGCCCGUUACGUUUCCUAAAUGUACCGCACUCCUCCCCAAGGGACAAAUCAACCUUGGCAGAGCGAGCCUCAUACACCGAGCCCCAUUGACGGCACGACGGCGAAGCGAACUACACCCCGGUCCUCUAAUUAUUCAGCUAAGGGCACCCCAUUCCACCCUCAUGGUUGCACUGUUUUCCUGGGCGGUCAUCCAACGAACAGGUCCUUACGGAGAGGCACUCGAGAAACCGCUCGAGCCCCCUUAAAGGCCACAAGUAUAACAUCAUAAUAAGAAGAGGGAAAACAGCGUAUCAUUGAUCAUUCUCAUCAUGUUCAUUGAUUAGAGUUGAGCAAUAGCAUAAGACUAAGCAAUAAUAAUCCAACCCAAAUAGGUAGACAAGGACAUGGAUAACAAAGCUAGUCAAUCCUUAGGUAUAAAUGUGUAAUGCGGGAGGUGAAUUAAAGAAUGAAUAGGACAGAGAUGGGUCAAGGGACACUUGCCUCCACUAACCGACUGCUGCUCAGGGGCUUCUCCUGCGAGUUCUUCGGGCUCUUCAACCGGAUCGUUCUCUAUGCGAGUGCAAACAUACAUACAUCCAUCCAUUCAAAUUAGGAAACAAACAGUACAUACAAGAGAACAAGUAGAUUAAACAUGCAUAGAAUAUGACAUACGAUAUUGCAUUUACCAUGGCUAGAAAGAGACGGGGGAAGGUCUCGCAGGGGUUAAAGCUUAUGCUCGAGUCGCAUUACGGGUAGACGAAUAACUAGACGUUAUGUGCUCUAGUUCCACUUAGCUCUAACAAAAAGGAUUAGCUACAUGCACUAAUAGAAACAUAACCACUUUCAGUUGAUCAACAUUAAAUGAGAUAGACGAUUAACUAUAUGAAUUAACUAACGUAGCCAAUUUUUAAAUUGAGUUUCUUAUUUCAUUAACAUGAACGACGUGACUAGCGCACAUAAAAUAUACGGGGGGUUGGACGGGCACGUCUAGGGGUAGACGAGGGCACGACGAGCCGUGCCAAGGCACCGCGCACUACACGAGCAGCGCGCGCAAGGCCGCACACACGCGUCGCGAACUAGUCGUGCACACGUCGGGGCCGCGCGCCAUAGGCACGCUGGGCCGAGCUUCAAGGCCGCGCUGGGGCCGUCACGACGUGAGCAGGACACGCCGGGGCGGGCGGGCGAGCACGCCAGGGCGGGCGCGCCAUAGCCGGCGAGGCCGGGCUGCCAUGGCGCUGGGCAGGGGGACGGGACCGGGGGAGUAUGAGCGCGCUCGCAGGGCGCCGGAGUCGGGUCAGGGGGCUCGCCGGGCGGGGCGAGAACGCCGCACACCACGGCGGGCCGCCAUGGCCGGGACGGGUUCGAAGCCGGGCGGGCGGGGCGGAACGCCGGGCCGGCGAGCGCGCGCGGGCGGGGCGGGGCACGCCUCGCCGCCAUGGCCGGCCACGCCAAGGGGAGGGGCGGGGGCGCUCGCGCUGGGGCGGGACGCCGAGCCGCCAUGGCCGGCGAGGCCGGGCCGAUGUCACACCCGGUUUUAGAAGGCAAACCGAAUGCGAACCAUGUACGUGCCAGGAUCAGUUAUUCACGUACACAGCAGUUACAUAAUAUGGACAUCAUCUCACAGUGCUCAAAAUGGUAUUAAUAAGGGAAAUAGUCGAUUACAUCAUACGUCUGAGACGUCCAUAUAGGUCUUACAAUAAAUCAAAGUGCGGAAAAGAAACGUAGAUAACCGCGGCCUUCACAGGCAGCCGACUGGGGGUUGCCGCUAACCCACACCUAGAACUCGUCGUAAUCUUGGAACUCCUGGAAGUCUCCUUCCACGGCUUCAUCUUCGCCUGAGCAAUGGUUGCAAUGCUGACAACCUGGGCGGGGGGGUUUGGUGUGUAGAGCAAGGGUGAGUACACAUCAACAUACUCAGCAAGCAUCCCGUUUGGCUGUAGUGGACUAGCUUUAUGUGGGGAUAAGUCAAGCAGUUGCUUUUAGUUGGUCAGAUUAUUACUUACUAGUAGAAAGCCAAGUUUUAGCAUUAACCCAAGUUAUUAACCCAGACGUACUCCUUUCCAAACGGAAAGAGUACCACUUACCAGCACCAUAAUCAUAAUCAAAACCAUCAAUCUCAUAUCCACCUGUACCGAAGUAUCUCUGAUCAAGUAUCACUAAUCACUGGAGCUCCCUUGGCCGCUCAUAACCGCGAGCACGGCUGAUAUAUCAGUUUUUCAAACACUCUGCAGAGGUUGUGCACUUUACCCACAAGCCGUGAUUCCCUCUCUGGCCCGGGCUUGCAAGACCCUUAUUCACUCCCGAGGUGAAUGGCCAGGGAUUCACUACGAAGCCUUUACAAAGAUUCCCCGGGGCUGUAGCCACUCGUUAGGUUUCCUAAAUGCACCGCACUCCUCCCCAAGGGGCGAACCCAAACUUGGCAGAGCGAGCCGCAUACACCGAGCCCCAUUGACGGCACGACGGCUAAGUGAACUACACCCCAGAUCCUCUAAUUAUUCAGCUAAGGGCACCCCAUUCCACCCUCAUGGUUGCACUGUUUUCCCGGGCGGUCAUCCAUAGAACAGGUCCUUACGGAGAGGCAAUCGAGAAACCGCUCGAGCCCCCUUGAUGACCACAAGUACCACAUCAUAAUAAGAGAAGGGAAAACAGCGUAUCAUAGAUAAUCUCAUCAUGUUCAUUGAUUAGAGUUAAGCAAUAGCAUAAAGCUAAACAGUAAUAAUCCAACCCAAAUAGGUGAACAAGGACAUGGAUCACAAAAGCUAGUCAAUCCUUAGGCAUAAAGGUGUAAAGCGGGAGGUGAAUUAAAUAAUGAAUAGGACAGAGAUAGGUCAAGGGACACUUGCCUCCACCAACCGACUGCUGCUCAGGGGCUUCUCCUGCGAAUUCCUCGGGCUCUUCGACCGGAUCGUUCUCUAUGCGAGCGCAAACAUACAUACAUCCACAUAUUUAAUACAAAAGAACAGUACACCAUACAAGGGAACAAAUAAAGCGAAUAUGCAUCAAGUAUAACAUUUGACAUUGCAUUUGUUAUGGUUAGAAAGAAACGGGAAAGGGUCUCGCAGGGGGUUAAAUCUUAUGCACCAAUGAUUAGUUAAAUUAUGCACUCUAGUUUCAAUAGGUUCCUAACAAAAGAAUUCUGUUAUAUGCACUAGUGGGAACCUAAUCAUUUUAAGUUGAUCAACAUCGCACGAGAUAAACAAUUAACUACAUGAAUCAAUUAGCAUAACGGAAUUUUAAAUUAAGCUUCAUAUUUCAAUAACAUUAACAAUGAUUAGCCUACCUAAAAUAAAAUAGCUAUGAUCACAGAAAGUAAAUAAAAUAAAAUAAAAAAAUAAAAAAAACAGAGGGGGGGCGGUUGAACCGGCCCUGCGCAGGGGGCGCGGCCAGGGGCGCGCGGCUGGGCGCGGCCGGGCGGGCGGCCGAGGGCGCGGUCGGGCCAGGGCGCGGCCAGGGCUGGCCAGCGGCCGGCUGGGCGGCCAGGGGGGCGCGCCGGGGCGGCCAGUGGCCGGCUGGGGGGCACGGCCGGGGCGGCGGGGGGCGCGGCCAAGGGCCGGCUGGGGGCGCGGCCAAGGCGGUGGCCGAGGAGAGAGGAGGGGGAGGGGGGAGGGAGGGAGGAGGGAGAGAGGGAGGAGGGGGGGCUCACCGGCGAGGGGCGGCCGACGGCGAGGGCGGCGGCCGGCGCUAGGGCAGGGGGCUGCGCUAGGGCAGGGGGCGGGUAGGGGCGGCGGCUAGGGAGAGAAUGAGAGAGGGAAAAAAUGAGAGGGAGAGGGAGAGGGUUUGGGGAAAAAGGGGAGGUGGGGGGGCGGUUGGGCCUGCCAAGGCCCAAGAGGGGGCGCCAGGGGCGGCUGGGCCGGCCAGGGUUGGCCCACGGCGCGGGAGAGAGAGAAAAAGAGGAGAGAGAAAAAGAAAGAAAAGAUCUUCUCCUCAUUUUCGAAAUCCGAUCUUUCUACAUGAAUGCAUUUGCACUUUCAAAGCAAUCAAAAGAAAUGCAAGGUUCGGCAUGGUGCAUCAAACAACAUAAAGUAUUUAGGGUUUUUCUUACACGGGAAAUCCAAACCGAAUCCCGCUAGAACUUUGGAAAAGGUCAAGGUUUAGCGAGGGAAAAAGAAAAAGAAAAGGUAACGCCCGAAUUUUGGCGAGUAAAGAAAAGAAAAAAAUUCAACUGCAAAAUUCGGGGCGUUACAAACCUAUCCCCCUUAAAAGAAUCUCGCCCUCGAGAUUCAGGGCUGGCUAGCAAAGAGCUCUGGGUACUUGGCCAUCAGAUCAUCUUCACGCUCCCAGGUUGCUUCUUCCUCAGAGUGGUGAUUCCAUCUGACUUUGCACAUUCUGAUGGUCUUCCUUCGGGUGACUCUAUCUGCAAUCUCAAGGAUCUGAGCUGGCUUCUCAACAUAGGUCAAGUCCUCCUGGACUUCCAGACCUUCCACUGGCAACUGCUCUUCUGGCACACGCAAACACUUCUUCAACUGAGACACAUGAAAGACAUCAUGCACAGCAGACAAAUUCUCGGGCAAACUGAGCUGAUAGGCCACUUCUCCACGUCUUGCAAGAAUCUGAUACGGACCAAUGUAGCGGGGUGCUAACUUGCCUUUCACUCCGAAUCUUCUGACUCCUCUGAUCGGUGACACUUUCAGAUAGACAAAAUCUCCGACUUCGAAACUCAGCUCUCUUCUUCUUGUGUCUGCAUAGCUUCGCUGCCUCGAUUGCGCUAUCUUCAGAUUCUCUCGGACCAUCUUGAUGUUCUCUUCGGCUUCAAGCAAAACGUCUGGCCCAAACACUUGCUUCUCUCCAGGCUGAUCCCAUUGCAACGGAGUUCUGCAACUCCUUCCAUAAAGCGCCUGAAAUGGUGACAUCUUCAAACUGGCCUGGUAACUGUUGUUAUAGGAAAACUCUGCAUAAGGCAAUCUCUUAUCCCAUCCGGACUGAUCUUGCAACGCACAGGCUCUCAACAUAUCUUCAAGAAUUUGAUUGGUCCUUUCGGUCUGGCCAUCUGUCUGCGGGUGAUAAGCUGAACUGAAAUUCAGAUGCGUGCCCAAAGCUUCAUGCAACUGCUGCCAGAAAUGAGAGGUGAACUGCGUUCCUCUGUCUGACACUAUCUUCUUUGGCACACCAUGAAGACAAACGAUCCGAGACAUGUACAACUCUGCCAAUACUGCACUGUUGUAGCUGGUCUUGACAGGUAUGAAGUGGGCUGACUUGGUCAAACGGUCCACCACUACCCAAAUAGAAUCGUAGCCGGCUCGAGUGCGAGGCAAUCCGACUAUGAAAUCCAUACCAAUUUCAUCCCAUUUCCACUGAGGGAUCUGCAACGGUUGCAACAAUCCAGCAGGUCUCUGGUGCUCUGCCUUAAUUCUUCGGCAACUAUCGCACAUAGCCACAUGCUCUGCGAUUUCCCUCUUCAUUCCAUACCACCAGAAUUUCUUCUUCAGAUCCUGAUACAUCUUCUCACUACCAGGGUGAAUCGAAUAAGCUGUCUCAUGAGCUUCCUUGAGAAUCAACUCCCGAAUGGACUGGACAUUGGGAACACAUAAGCGGUCUUUGAACCAUAUCACGCCUUCUGCAUCUUCUCGAAAAUCUUUGCCUUUGCCUUCUAGAAUCAGUCACCGGAUCUCACUGAUUUUCUCAUCAUUCUUCUGCGCUUCUUUGAUUUCGCGCUCCAAGGUAGGUUCCAACUCAACUGUGACUCCUCGCGAAUUGUUCAGAAAUCCGAGACUCAACCUGUCAAACUCUUUGGCCAACUCAUAGGGCAUCGGACGAGAGACCAUCAGAUUGACUUGGCUCUUUCUGCUCAAAGCAUCUGCCACUACAUUUGCUUUGCCUGGAUGGUAAUGAAUCUCCAACUCGUAGUCUUUGAUCAACUCUAACCAUCUUCGUUGCCUCAUGUUCAACUCUUACUGAGUGAAUAUGUACUUCAGACUCUUGUGGUCUAUGUAAACAUCGCAUUUCUGUCCAUACAGGUAGUGCCUCCAUGUCUUCAGUGCGUGAACCACUGCUGCCAACUCUAGAUCAUCGAUUGGGUAAUUCUUCUCAUGAACCUUCAGCUGUCGGGACGAGUAAGCCACAACUCUUCCCUCUUGCAUCAACGCACAUCCCAAACCUAUGUAACAAGCAUCGCAAUACACCGAGAAGGGCUGGUGCACAUCGGGCAGGACUAGGACAGGCGCUGUAGUCAACUUCUCUUUCAGCGCUUCAAAGGCCUCUUGACAUUUCUGGGUCCACUUGAACUCAACUUUGUUGCCUAGCAACGCUGUCAUUGGUUUCGCAAUCUUCGAAAACCCUUCAAUGAAUCGCCGAUAAUAUCCGGCCAUUCCAAUGAAGCUCUUGAUUCCUCUAGCAUCCGUUGGCGCUUUCUAGUUCAAAAUGUCUGCCACUUUCUUCGGAUCCACAGCCAAUCCUUCUUUGUUGAUUAUGUGACCCAAGAACAGGACUUCACUGAUCCAGAACUCACAUUUGCUCAACUUUGCAUACAACUGGUGCUCUCGCAAUCUCUGCAACACCAUCCUCAAAUGAUCUGCAUGCUCUUCUUCGCUUUGAGAAUAAACCAGAAUAUCAUCAAUGAAUACCACCACAAACUUAUCAAGGUAAUCCAUGAAUACACUGUUCAUCAAGUUCAUGAAGAAUGCUGGCGCAUUGGUCAAACCAAAAGACAUCACUGUGAACUCGUACAACCCAUACUUGGAAAUGAAUGUCGUCUUCGGAAUGUCCGAAGGUCGGAUUCUGAGCUGAUGAUAACCUGACCUCAGAUCAAUCUUGGAGAACACACUGGCUCCUCUCAACUGGUCGAACAGAUCUUCAAUCCUGGGCAAAGGAUACUUGUUCUUGAUCGUGACCUCAUUCAAAGCUCGAUCGACAUCGGGGGCGGGGGUGGCAGGUGCUGCUGCUGGGGCACCUCCUCCUGUUGACCGGCUCGCUCCUGCUGAGCACGCCUUCCUCCUCUGCGCCUGUUCUCUGACAUCUGCAGAAUGCAACCACACAUCAGAACUGAUCUGGCAGAUCUUGCAGCAUAAGAAAAGAGAAUAGAAUUCUUCAACAGCACUGAACAGAUGAGCAUCUUCACUGAUCUCCAACACAGACCACACAGCUUCUCAGAUAGAAAGGAAAGUGGAAUAAAAGGGGUUUCCCAACUAUAUGACUAACUCCAUUAACAUAAUAGGUAAACCAAAAUGCAGGGGAUACCCACACUCUGGUGACAAUCAUUACAAAGAUCCAAACCAAACAUAGUUCAUCAUGACAAACAUAGAUGCACAGGAUAUAGCAAACUACCCUGUCUAACUAAGAUUAACUAAGACUGAGACUAACGCUAAGACUGAAGCUUCUAUGUAUAUAUAUUUCGUAUUAAUUACAAGAUCCAACUCUAACGAUCUAUGGUUCUAGAGUUAUCUUGGUCUUGCAGUCGGGAUUGCCAUAAGACUGGUGUCCACGCUGAGGUGAGCGGUACGGGUGCUGAGUCCCGACGGGAGCGGGGGAACCACCAUCCAGAUGACGACGUUCCGCGCGCUCAGCCCGCAGCAGGGCGAUCUCAGCACGAGCCCUACUCAGCUCGUCUAAUGCAUGGUCCAGCUCCGUGUUUAGCACGGCGGCUAGGUUGACUGUGCUGCUCAACCUAGGAUUGCCCUCAUCGACGGGUGAGACAAUCACGCCUCCUGUGCUGCCAGAUGGACGGCGGGGGUAAUACUUCAGGUCAAGACCGUCAGCUGCCCCACCGAAAACCGAGCAGUAGUGCGAAAGCGCACGCCGUGCAGCAUCCUGCAUGGCUGCUUCAGCUGAGUCCCGCUCAGAGAUAGAAUAGUGCUCUGAGCAGGCCUCCGCACCCUGGAGACUGUUCUCCGGGCAGCGCACCAAGCAGGUUGCCUCCCAGCGGUCCGGGUAGACCCCACGACUAUGCUGGUAGACCACACAGCGAUACUCGACGGACCAAGUAUGCCGGUCAAAUGCCCGACGUAGCAGGGUGUCGAGCGCAUCGUGGAAGUGGCACCCGCGAGCAGCGUCGCGAGUGAUGGGUCGAGCAACCCAUCCUUCCGGCUCAGGGUUAGCAGAGAAGUCGGUGUCGUGGCUCGAGCUGUCGUCGCCAUCUCUGUCGUCUGGGUCUCCUCCAGCAGCUACUCCAGAAGCUGGGACGCCCAGUGGUGGUGCAGGGGGCGCCUCCAGAGGAAGCACAGGGGAGCAGCUCCUCACAGACUCUAUCUCCUGUUGGAGCGAGAAGGAAGAGCUCUGCUGCUCCUGUCGUCGACGUUCCUGCUCCUCACGCAGGCGGUGGUGUAGUCUCUCCAAGUGGCUGGACUGGCCGGCCACGGGACGGCGAAGCGGACGCUCAGCAAGGCGGGAGGGUAAGAAGGGGAUGACUGACUUUCGUGCAGUGUGUCUAAGUCGAGCCAUCUACAAAAGACAUCGCAAGCAAAAGGGUAAGAACAGAAUUAAUAUGACCAGCAAGUAAUAAGUAAAUGAAGGAUCAGAAUGAAACACAAUUUUUUAGCAAGGUAUAAUAUAUAGUAGAACAUAGGUUUGGUCGGUAGGACCAACUUUUGAAGAGAUAUCAAAGUCAAGGUAGGGACAGAGGUCUAUAAUCCUUAGAACGACCAUUCUACUCUAGGUUAGCGGUCCUACAGUCAGCACGGCUUUGAUACCACUUAUGUCACACCCGGUUUUAGAAGGCAAACUGAAUGCGAACCAUGUACGUGCCAGGAUCAGUUAUUCACGUACACAGCAGUUACAUAAUAUGGACAUCAUCUCACAGUGCUCAAAAUGGUAUUAAUAAGGGAAAUAGUCGAUUACAUCAUACGUCUGAGACGUCCAUAUAGGUCUUACAAUAAAUCAAAGUGCGGAAAAGAAACGUAGAUAACCGCGGCCUUCACAGGCAGCCGACUGGGGGUUGCCGCUAACCCACACCUAGAACUCGUCGUAAUCUUGGAACUCCUGGAAGUCUCCUUCCACGGCUUCAUCUUCGCCUGAGCAAUGGUUGCAAUGCUGACAACCUGGGGGGGUUUGGUGUGUAGAGCAAGGGUGAGUACACAUCAACAUACUCAGCAAGCAUCCCGUUUGGCUGUAGUGGACUAGCUUUAUGUGGGGAUAAGUCAAGCAGUUGCUUUUAGUUGGUCAGAUUAUUACUUACUAGUAGAAAGCCAAGUUUUAGCAUUAACCCAAGUUAUUAACCCAGACGUACUCCUUUCCAAACGGAAAGAGUACCACUUACCAGCACCAUAAUCAUAAUCAAAACCAUCAAUCUCAUAUCCACCUGUACCGAAGUAUCUCUGAUCAAGUAUCACUAAUCACUGGAGCUCCCUUGGCCGCUCAUAACCGCCGAGCACGGCUGAUAUAUCAGUUUUUCAAACACUCUGCAGAGGUUGUGCACUUUACCCACAAGUCGUGAUUCCCUCUCUGGCCCGGGCUUGCAAGACCCUUAUUCACUCCCGAGGUGAAUGGCCAGGGAUUCACUACGAAGCCUUUACAAAGAUUCCCCGGGGCUGUAGCCACCCGUUAGGUUUCCUAAAUGCACCGCACUCCUCCCCAAGGGGCGAACCCAAACUUGGCAGAGCGAGCCGCAUACACCGAGCCCCAUUGACGGCACGACGGCUAAGUGAACUACACCCCGGAUCCUCUAAUUAUUCAGCUAAGGGCACCCCAUUCCACCCUCAUGGUUGCACUGUUUUCCCGGGCGGUCAUCCAUAGAACAGGUCCUUACGGAGAGGCACUCGAGAAAUCGCUCGAGCCCCCUUGAUGACCACAAGUACCACAUCAUAAUAAGAGAAGGGAAAACAGCGUAUCAUAGAUAAUCUCAUCAUGUUCAUUGAUUAGAGUUAAGCAAUAGCAUAAAGCUAAACAGUAAUAAUCCAACCCAAAUAGGUGAACAAGGACAUGGAUCACAAAAGCUAGUCAAUCCUUAGGCAUAAAGGUGUAAAGCGGGAGGUGAAUUAAAUAAUGAAUAGGACAGAGAUAGGUCAAGGGACACUUGCCUCCACCAACCGACUGCUGCUCAGGGGCUUCUCCUGCGAAUUCCUCGGGCUCUUCGACCGGAUCGUUCUCUAUGCGAGCGCAAACAUACAUACAUCCACAUAUUUAAUACAAAAGAACAGUACACCAUACAAGGGAACAAAUAAAGCGAAUAUGCAUCAAGUAUAACAUUUGACAUUGCAUUUGUUAUGGUUAGAAAGAAACGGGAAAGGGUCUCGCAGGGGGUUAAAUCUUAUGCACCAAUGAUUAGUUAAAUUAUGCACUCUAGUUUCAAUAGGUUCCUAACAAAAGAAUUCUGUUAUAUGCACUAGUGGGAACCUAAUCAUUUUAAGUUGAUCAACAUCGCACGAGAUAAACAAUUAACUACAUGAAUCAAUUAGCAUAACGGAAUUUUAAAUUAAGCUUCAUAUUUCAAUAACAUUAACAAUGAUUAGCCUACCUAAAAUAAAAUAGCUAUGAUCACAGAAAGUAAAUAAAAUAAAAUAAAAAAAAAUAAAAAAACAGAGGGGGGGCAGUUGAACCGGCCCUAGGGGCGGUUGAACCGGCCCUGCGCAGGGGGCGCGGCCAGGGGCGCGCGGCUGGGCGCGGCCGGGCGGGCGGCCGAGGGCGCGGUCGGGCCAGGGCGCGGCCAGGGCUGGCCAGCGGCCGGCUGGGCGGCCAGGGGGGCGCGCCGGGGCGGCCAGCGGCCGGCUGGGGGCGGCCAGCGGCCGGCUGGGGGGCACGGCCGGGGCGGCGGGGGGCGCGGCCAAGGGCCGGCUGGGGGCGCGGCCAAGGCGGUGGCCGAGGAGAGAGGAGGGGGAGGGGGGAGGGAGGGAGGAGGGAGAGAGGGAGGAGGGGGGGCUCACCGGCGAGGGGCGGCCGACGGCGAGGGCGGCGGCCGGCGCUAGGGCAGGGGGCGGGUAGGGGCGGCGGCUAGGGAGAGAAUGAGAGAGGGAAAAAAUGAGAGGGAGAGGGAGAGGGUUUGGGGAAAAAGGGGAGGUGGGGGGGCGGUUGGGCCUGCCAAGGCCCAAGAGGGGGCGCCAGGGGCGGCUGGGCCGGCCAGGGUCGGCCCACGGCGCGGGAGAGAGAGAAAAAGAGGAGAGAGAAAGAGAGAGAAAAAGAAAGAAAAGAUCUUCUCCUCAUUUUCGAAAUCCGAUCUUUCUACAUGAAUGCAUUUGCACUUUCAAAGCAAUCAAAAGAAAUGCAAGGUUCGGCAUGGUGCAUCAAACAACAUAAAGUAUUUAGGGUUUUUCUUACACGGGAAAUCCAAACCGAAUCCCGCUAGAACUUUGGAAAAGGUCAAGGUUUAGCGAGGGAAAAAGAAAAAGAAAAGGUAACGCCCGAAUUUUGGCGAGUAAAGAAAAGAAAAAAAUUCAACUGCAAAAUUCGGGGCGUUACAGCCGAGCGCCGCCGGGACGCCGCGAGCGGGGCGAGCCGCACCGACGCGGCACGGGGAGGGGGCGGGGUCGGCUGGGGGCGGGCGCGCCGCUCCGCGCCACCGGGACGGACGGGGGCCGGAGGGCGCCGAAGGCGGGGCGGGCGGGCACCGGCGAGCCGAGGCCGGGGUGGACGGGGUCGCGCGGGUGAGCGCGCCCGCGGCGCUGGGAGGGCGUCGGCGAGCUAGGGAAAGGGGGAGGGAGGGGAGAGGGAAGAGGAGAGGGAAGGGAGGUCGGGCUCACCGCGGGCGAGGGCGCAGGCGGGCGGCGGCGGUUCCGGGCAUCGGGGCGAGGUGGAGCAGGGGAGGAGAGAGAGAUUUGGGGCGGGGAGAGAGGGUGACAGGUGGGGCCCGCGGGGAAGAGGCGGCGGCGGGCGUAACCGUCGCGCCGCGCGCGGGGGAUGCGGGAGGGGGCGCGGCUGGGCUGGCUCCUGGGCCCAAAGCGGAGGGGGCGCGGGGCGGGGGGGAGGUGGGCCGCGGCACCGCCGGCCCACGGCGCAAGGGUAGGGAAGGGAGAGGGGGCGAGGCCGGUUGGGCCAGCCGGCCAGGUGGGCCACGCGCCAAGGGGGGUGGCUGGGCCAAAAAAGGGAGGAGGGGGAGGGGAGAGAAAAGAAAAGAUUUUCUUUUUCUAAUAUCUAUUUUCUAUAUGAAUGCUUUCACACUUUCAAACAAUCAAAAAAAUGCAUGGUUCGACAUGGUGCAGCAAACCAAAGAAAAUAACCCUAGGGUUUACUAUUGUCACAUGACUUAAAGUUUUGAAGACGGGUGAGGUUUUAGCGAAAAGAAAUGGGAAAGAGGGGUAACACCCAAAUUUAGCGAGCGAUAGGGAAAGAAAAAAAUUCAACUCGAAAUUCGGGGCAUUACACUAUCCAACCAUGUCAUCCCUUAAGCAUGGUUCAUGUUCCAGAAAACUCCCAAAAUACUCUUGUCCCAUAUUCUGCCUAUAAUUCUCCUAUUCAUACUAAGUCAGAUGAUUCAUUCGUCACUAUUCUCACCAACAGUGAACUUCACUGUGCUACACCACAUACACCCAGCUAUAAAUACACCCAGCUACCCUCUCCCUCCCCACACACACUCAACACCCUCAACUAAGGCAAACACCCCACCCACUCAGUUACUCUGCUCUGCCGGCUACACGCAUAGUGUCGCUUCGCCUCCAGUCCACCCUCCUGGUAAGCACCUCCACUCCACCACCAGACACAGAUUCUGCUCAAGAAUCUACCCAUCCAUGUAUCGCUAUUCUGACCACUAUACUAAAUAUCUAUUGAUAUACUUGCUGGUUUGUAUGUUUGCUUGUUCAUGAUGCAUAGUUAUCGGAGCGUUCGUGUCGUCUCGUGGAGGCCAGAUCUGCAAGUCUACGCCAGGCGGUGGAGCUAGAAGCCAGUUCCGCGAGCUCCCCUUCUCCCUUCGCCGAAUAAGCACGGCAAGCUCACUGGAUCCCUUUGAUGCAUAAAUUACCUAUGAUUUUUCAACCACAACCCUCAGCCUGUUAUUUUAUGCAUGAUAUGCUUUUGAGACAAGUUAUUAUGGCCACCCAGCUGCUUGACGCAAUCAAUCCUUGAUAUAUUUGUUACAAAUGAUUUAAGAAAAGGUGUGAGUUUUCAAAAGAAAAUGCUUUUCAAAGUGUUUAUGAUGAAGGGUUUUCACCCUUAUCACCUUUGAGUAGGGAUGAUCAGGGACUCCCUGGUUUUGGGGAAGGCCUAAGGUGAUGGCUCAGCUGGUUUAGGUGUGGGCAGAAGGAUUAUCCCCUCACAUAAGGAUCGGUUUAUCAUCCUUCACUACCUGUACUCAUGAUAAGUACAACCACUCGAGACUGUAUGGGCAGUCACUCAAUCUAAACUCGUACGGUCCAAACCCCAGGGUUAUGAAGGCUGGGGAGCAGUGGGAGGAUAAGGAGGGGGAAUGUUUUGUCCAGUUUGGACAUGGCGGUGGCCUGACUCCUUCCGGUAUAACCGCUAAGGUAAGGACGUGUGAGGAAAGAAAGAGAUUCGGUUUCGGGUCUCACUAGCUAUGAGAUCGUAGAGCCGGACUAGUGGGUAAAGUGUACACCUCUGCGCAGAGUUUGAAAACCUAUUCGAAUAGUCUGUGUCCACAGCAUUGGACGAGUCUGGUGUGGUAUGGAAAUUAGUGUUUUGUUUUCAAAAAAAGGGGUGCGUUUGAGAAAAGUGGUUUUUAAAAGGUCCGGCGGUUGAGCCAUGAGCUAUGGUGGACGGGAAGUCCAGUAGCUGUUUUUGAAAAUGAAAAACAGUGGGAAACUACUGAGAUACCUGGAUGGUUUAGUCCAAGGGAUUUUGUUCUAAUAUUGAAAAACUUCCUGCUCCUUUGGGAGAGGAAGCGCUUUGCAAAAUACAAAAUGUUUUACAAAACAACCCUGCAUAAAAUAUUGUUGUUUCUGCAAAAUAUCCUGAGCUCCACAUAUUCCAUGCAUUAUAUCUGAUUUCCCCAUUCCGCGGGUGAAGGUGGGCUGCUGAGUACGUUUGUACUCACCCUUGCUUAUUUGUUGCUUUUCAGAAAAGGAGAUCGGGUAAGAGUUACGACUGUUCCCAACCUUGCUUGUGGCUGUUGGACCGCUGAUUUGCUUCGUUGCGUAUAUCGGGCUACUUCAGCCCCACUCUGAUGAUAUGUCCCGAGUUGUGGACCAACUCUUAAAGUUGUUCACCUUUAUAGGUUUGUCUCGUUUAAGCAGAUUUGGUAUCAUCUGAUGUAUAAAUGUGUUUACUAGCCUCCUGGGACUAGUAAUUGUAUCACAUUUGAGUCCCAGAGGAUUUGGGGCGCUUAAGGUGGUAUCAGAGCUAUUAGGUUGGCCGCAGGACGUAACCCUUAGCCUGAUCCAAAAGUUUUUGAGUCCAAACUAUUUUCUUAAAAAAAUAAAUUCUUGCUCUUAUCCCUUCAUUUCAAAAAUGCUUUCCCCCUUUCCUUCUCUCAAAAGUCAGAUGGAGGUUGAUAAACCCAACGGGUAGAAGGGUGCCCGAUCUUUCGAUGAGAGAUGAUGGAGGUGGAAAACUUGUUGGAGAACGACGUUGGCUGCCCGACUACCACAACCAAGAUGGUGUGGUGCCUUGAGCGACAGGUACACCGUCUCCUGGUAACUACGAUUUGGGGUGGAGGUCGACGUUGUGCUAUCCGACUACAACAACCACAAGGGUGCUGCGCCUUAGCGAUAGUUACACCGGCUCCUGUUGUUGCUGCUCUUGCCGUGCCAAGAACAACCUUGAACCUGCAAGCAAUCGAGAACAAUCAAGAACAAGAUAAAAAGCAGACACUCACGGAUCUGAUAGAGUUGGGGUUCUGUUUCAAGUAUCCGGGUGGUCUAGCCGACACACGCGUUUACAAGGAAGUAGCAAAGGCUAAACUUACAUCAAACAAAAACCCAAGUUCUUUGGUGGCUGCUAGUUGCUUAAAUAGAGGAAUAGAAAGGAGUUUUAAUGGAGAAUGAAACUCUCUCGGCAGUUUCUGGACGCCUCGUUUGGUUUCUGUCAUUGAUUCUUGAUGCACAUGAAAGUAGACGAAGAGAGCUUUCCAACAAGUAGUUAUUUGCACUAAACAACCUUGGGAGUGGAAAGUUAUGCUCCAUUUAAUUUGGUGCAUGCUGCAGUUACGAAAUUGACUUGGGUAGAGCAGGAGUUCACUCGGCAGUUUCUGGACGCUUAGUGUCUGAUCUCUCGUUGAUUCUUGAUCCACUAGAAAGUAGACAAAGAGACCUUUCCAACAAAUGCUUAUUUGCAUUAAACAACCUUGGGAGCUGAAAGAUAUGCCCUCUUAAACUUGCACUUGUUGUAGUUUCGAAAUCCCCUCAAGUGGAGCAACUUUUAUUGCCUUGUUGCCUUCUCAAAUUCUAGAUGGUUCACCUCCCAAACACCUUAGAAUAAUAAAAUAAUCACAAGGUAUUAGUACCUCAUUUAAGGAAUGAUUAGCUUUAACAACAAGGAACGAGUUCACCUGAUAAUUAAAUUUACGUGCACGGACUCGUUUCACUGGUCCAUGAUUAAAUGGUGAAGGAGGUCGCUGGUGUGGUGUAUUGAUGGCAGUGAUGUCCUCAUCAUCCUCCCCUUCUUGUAAUAGAGUCGUCCUCGACUCUAGUGUAUGCUCCUCACCCAAGUAUAUCUUUAAAUUUGAUGAUGUGCUUGCUUUGUUGGAAAUGUUGGAAAUAUCAUUACUUGGUCCCCAAUCAACUUCUUUGUUCCUCAAUGUCUUUGUAGCAGGAGCCAUUAACAUGGUCAUAUCUGUGCGGGUUAUGUUCUCAUCAUUCUCCCCUUCUUGAUAGCAAGCCGUCCUCGGUUUUGCAUCAUGAUUGAUGUUGAUGACUAAGCUUUUAUUAAUGUCUUUCAAAUAUAAACCUGAAACUUCAACUAAAGUACAUGGAAACAAGAGAUUUUUUUCUUCUUGAGAACAUACCAAUAUCUUAUUUGCACAAAGUGAAGAAACAACAUAUCUAGAUGAAAUAGAAAUUCUAUGCACAAGAAAUUGUCCUAUGUUGUUGUACUUGCCAGCAAUAUAAAAUAUAACAUGAGAAGGACAUGGUAUAGUUGUUCUAGCAAAUAAAAUAUUUUCCAAAUUACCGAGCUCAAAAAGAUCAUCAAAUUCAAUAUAGCCCCAAGUAUUUAAAGAAGAGAGCAAAUUUAUUUCUUCAGUUUCGUUUGCAAUACAAAUUACAUGUUCCUUUUUAGCCAAAAUGUUUGGUUCAAUAAUAGAUGUAACAUGUUCAUUUACUAGUUGUUGUCUUAGUACAUGUGAAUCAUUAUCCCACAAAUCUUCACUAUCACAAGUGUCAGCAAUCAAUUCUUCUUGUGAUGAUGGAAAAACAACAGCUGGUUUUAUUAUUUUGUGUUCUUGAUCAGCAUGUAGAGCAGAUGCAAAAGAGGAACUAUGGCUCACAUGUUCAGUGCUUGUAUAAUUGUAUAAUAGAAUCUCAUUUUCAGCUUUACAUGCAAGCAAAAACAAGUGAGAAAUGUGUUUGUAUGCUUCAUGCAUGACUAUAGUCUGAAUUUCAGAAUUGAGUCCUUUCAUGAACCUAGUCAUUAUAUCUUCCAUGCAUUCAUCUAAACGAGCAAACAUGGUACAAAUUUUAAAAUCAUAAUAAUAAUCUUUCACAGUCCUAGCACCCUGCUUUAAGGUGUCUAAUUUAGAAAGCAAAUGAUCAGCAUAGUAUGCAGGAAUGAAUGCAUCUCUAAAAUGAAGUUUGAAGUCUUCCCAAGAUUGUGGAACUUUGUUGUGCCUACAAAUGUAUUUCCAUUCCAUCAAUGCGUGCUCAGUUAACAAAUUAGAGGCAAUAUAAAUCUUUUGUUUUUGAGAUAGAUCAUGCUUAUCAAAUUCCUUAUCUACCUUUAGCUCCCAAUCAAUGUAUGCAUGAGGAUCGAAUUUACCGGCAUAUAAAGGCAAGUGUUGAAUGAUGCCUCCAAUAUAACGUUCGGUUGGGUCAAAAAUGUCCAUAUCACCUGCCAUGUUUAGUAAAGACAAGAAACAAUAAAAAAUAUCUUUGAUUCUAUAAACUAGUAGGAAUCAUUGUUGUAAUCUCUCACUCUCAAACUGGUUAAACAAGUUCUUACAAGUUCUCACCACGCAAAGCAGGAGGCGCUGGCAAACAGCACGAACAACAACAACAGUGGCUGCUAGCACAACCUGGUGGUGUUGUAGAAAAUUUUGUGGAUUUAUAGGUGGUUGUUAAUACAAUAGUUCCAAGGAAUAGCUAGUACCACGUUAGCCACAGCAAGUUGAAUAAACGUUCCACAAUGGUGUUGUGCUGGUCCUAGUCCAAACCGUAAUAGAGACGCGAGCCGUUACACAAAUAGUAUCACCAAAAGCUCAGAACAACAAUCUGAUUUCUGAAACUAUAAAAAGAAGGCACACAAACUGCCUUUUGUUUUGUUGCACUUACAAAUUUUAUCUACCAAAAUUCAGAACUGGUUUUCUCUCUUUUUUGCACGUGUCUUUUUUUGUUUUGCUGAUUAGUGCGGCUUUUUUUAUGCACUCGCCUUUUGCUUUCUCUUCUUUUUGGUUGAAUUGCAGCAAGAGGUCUAAACUGGUGAUUGAAACAAGGUGGUGCGAACUCGAAACUCUAGCAGUAAGAAAACUUUAGACCAGCAACUCGACCCAAAUGCAGCAACUGUGAAUUCAACAAGUCUAAAACUAAGUAGUAAAGCAAAGGCUCAAACUGUUUUUAGGUGAAUUUCUGAUCUAAAUAUAUCUUUGGGCAAAAGUGGACUGUAGGUAAAUAAAACAAGGAAGAUUGAGUUCUCUCACCGAGCAACCUGAAAUCUGAUACCACUUGAUAAACCCAACGGGUAGAAGGGUGCCCGAUCUUUCGAUGAGAGAUGAUGGAGGUGGAAAACUUGUUGGAGAACGACGUUGGCUGCCCGACUACCACAACCAAGAUGGUGUGGUGCCUUGAGCGACAGGUACACCGUCUCCUGGUAACUAUGAUUUGGGGUGGAGGUCGACGUUGUGCUAUCCGACUACAACAACCACAAGGGUGCUGCGCCUUAGCGAUAGUUACACUGGCUCCUAUUGUUGCUGCUCUUGCCGUGCCAAGAACAACCUUGAACCUGCAAGCAAUCGAGAACAAGCAAGAACAAGAUAAAAAGCAGAUGCUCACGAAUCUGAUAGAGUUGGGGUUCUGUUUCAAGUAUCCGGGUGGUCUAGCCGACACACGCGUUUACAAGGAAGUAGCAAAGGCUAAACUUACAUCAAACAAAAACCCAAGUUCUUUGGUGGCUGCUAGUUGCUUAAAUAGAGGAAUAGAAAGGAGUUUUAAUGGAGAAUGAAACUCUCUCGGCAGUUUCUGGACGCCUCGUUUGGUUUCUGUCAUUGAUUCUUGAUGCACAUGAAAGUAGACGAAGAGAGCUUUCCAACAAGUAGUUAUUUGCACUAAACAACCUUGGGAGUGGAAAGUUAUGCUCCAUUUAAUUUGGUGCAUGCUGCAGUUACGAAAUUGACUUGGGUAGAGCAGGAGUUCACUCGGCAGUUUCUGGACGCUUAGUGUCUGAUCUCUCGUUGAUUCUUGAUCCACUAGAAAGUAGACAAAGAGACCUUUCCAAUAAAUGCUUAUUUGCAUUAAACAACCUUGGGAGCUGAAAGAUAUGCCCUCUUAAACUUGCACUUGUUGUAGUUUCGAAAUCCCCUCAAGUGGAGCAACUUUUAUUGCCUUGUUGCCUUCUCAAAUUCUAGAUGGUUCACCUCCCAAACACCUUAGAAUAAUAAAAUAAUCACAAGGUAUUAGUACCUCAUUUAAGGAAUGAUUAGCUUUAACAACAAGGAACGAGUUCACCUGAUAAUUAAAUUUACGUGCACGGACUCGUUUCACUGGUCCAUGAUUAAAUGGUGACGGAGGUCGCUGGUGUGGUGUAUUGAUGGCAGUGAUGUCCUCAUCAGAGGUUCACUACCAAACCAGCUUUUGCCAGAAUGAAGAUGGUUUCCCCAAGUUGCUGAGAGCAUGCACAGUCCGCCUCGGAAUCAGGAGCCAGCCAGAGUAUGAUGGCCGUGAAUUCGUCGAGCAUGGCACAGAGAAGUGUGUCGUGACUGUAUACAUUGGAUCCAGUCCGCACCAUGUGGAAUGGAGUGUCACUGCUGCUGGGCACAGAUUCAAAGACACCUGCCAAGUCGUCGCUCGCAAGGCAUUGAGGACCCUGUGUCAGAUCUAUGAAGAAGAAGUGGCCGACACCCCGCUCAGAUUCUUUCCGCCCUUUCAGAGAGACCGUCCAGUUUGGAUGGCCAGGAUGCGUGCAUUGGAAGGACAGCAGCUGCUUGAGGACGACCCCACAGUCGUGUACCUCACUGUAUACCUGCUCACCCUAGAUGCACAGUAUGAUUUCUUGGCUCGGCACCACCGUCAGAUGAUUGCCCGAGCAGAAGAUGCAGAGAAGCGCAACCGUCAGCUCCAUGUGGAUCUCACCACAGCUCAAGCCCGUGUAGCUGCCUUGGAAAGUCGUGAAGUCAUUGCUGUUGAAGCCCUGAAGCAAGCCAAGGAUGAGCACGUCCAGAAGUUGAUGGUGGCCUACUUGGUAACCCAUAACCAACGUAGAGCCCUGCGGAUCCAAGAGCCCGCUUCAUCCAACCCAGUUCAACCCAGGAGAGCCGAAGAUCCCCAAAUUCUUGAAGGUCACCCGGUCUCUAUCAGAGGAGAAAAGAAGGCUUGGGAACUCCCGAAAAGAGCCAUAGUCUUGCAAGGAAUGCCAGUCUCCCCUAAGGCUAUGGAUAAACAAGAGCACCCUGAAUCCUCAGAAGAUUCUAGCACCGUCCCGUGAGAUCAAAGAAGAAGCUGCAAGCACCCCGCCAGCACCAUCACCCUCUGAGAAGCUACAAGAGUCAGUCCCGCUUGAAGAAGAGUUCGACCCCGUCUUGCCAUCUCUGUCGCUGCCAGAAGAAGUCAUCAACAUCAGCUCCCUCUUGACCAAUCCAAGAGAUAUCUCAGAUUGAAGUUGUGCGCCAGCCUGCCAGAAGAGAAGUUGCCUGGUCUGAAGUUAGUAUGCCCAGUCCUCUGCAUGCAUUGGGUAGUGAGGUUUUUCUUCACUUUGGCUAGAGCCCUGCAUGUAUGAAAGGUAACUGUGUAGACUCGUGUUUUGCAAAACUCUAAUUGUGUGGCCCCCUAGGGCAUUUCAAAAUGAAUUUCACUUGAUGUUUUCUCCCCUUUUGAGUGCAUAUGUGAUGUUUUAACGUUAGUGCUCAUAAGUUCCAUUUAGCAUAGUUCUCAAUUCAGGAGCCAAGCAAUAGUAGUUAUGCUUAGCCCCUGAAUCUGAGUAGUCCGUGCUUUGGAAAAACUCUAUUCUUCCCUUAUUCAAAACAUUUGAUUUGUUUGUGCUUAUCAUUGCUGAGCUUAUGUGUUUUCUUUCUUUUUAAGAAAGGUUUUCUCUAAAAACAUAGAUCACAAAUUAGAGCUAAUCCUCACCUUAUGCUUCCAUUCUCACCUUAACCCAUCUCAAGAGAAAAGCACCUUACCCAAGAAGAUACCAGAAAGCUUACCCUUGAAGCCGGGAAUAAGCUACAGAAGAAACUCGUCCAGCCGCUCAGUCAAAAGGACCGACCUUGGGAAUCAAAGCACUGCCCCUGAGUCAAAGUAAACAAGAAAAGAGGACAAAAGGAGUUAUUACCAUAUAAAGAGGCAAAGAUUCUUGGAACCAGAGACCACAAACAUCAGGGUCAUUGACCCCACCACUCAUCCAUGCCCCCCGCACGCGUGCCUGCCUCCAUGCGCACCACCACCGCCCCACUUCCCCUUUGCAGCACACCCACCGCCAUUACCGCCAGCAACACCACCCCUCCCCUCCGUCGCACCUGCUGCCUCGUGUCACCUGCUCCAUCACCGCCACUUCGCACCCGAGCACCCCCACUCGCCUAUAAAUCCCCCCCAACAACUCCCUCAGUUCCUAUUCCACUCAAAGCAAAACACUCCCGAUAAAAUACCCUCUGUCAAAUCGCAAGCAACUCCAUUUUCCACUAUUCACCGUUACUAUUCAUCAUAGUUAAUAUUCAUCGGCACUAUUCACCAUCAUACUAUUCAUUGUUACUAUUCACCAACACUAUUCAUCAUCGUUACUAUUCAACGAUGAAACCUAUGGUAACUUUUCGUUGUCACUAUUCAUCGAUCAUCCGAUCACCCCAAAUUUCAACUACUCAUCCGUCAUGCUGUCCAGUCCACCUAAGACCAGCCAGACCAAUAUUUCAGUCAUACAAACUCUGAUUACUGUGAUUUUCCUUCUAGUGGGAACUUCCCAUCUGAUCGCCCGUCCCAGGUUUCUCCAAGUUGAGCACGCUUAACUUUGAGAUUCCUUUGAACCAGGCUUCCAAACUCCGAUUCCAAUAAUUCUUGUUUCUAAAUUCUUAUCGAAUUAUUCCCUAUCCAACCAUGUCAUCCCUUAAACAUGGUUCAUGUUCCAGAAAACUCCGAAAAUACUCUUGUCCCAUAUUCUGCCUAUAACUCUCAUGUUCAUACUAAGUUAGAUGAUUCAUUCGUCACUAUUCUCACCAACAGUGAACUUCACUAUGCUACACCACAUACACCGAGCUAUAAAUACACCCAGCUACCCUCUCCCUCCCCACACACACUCAACACCCUCAGCCAUGGCAAACACCUCACCCACUCAGUUACUCUGCUCUGCCGGCUACACGCAUAGUGUCACUUCGCCUCCAGUCCACCCUCCUGGUAAGCACCUCCACUCCACCACCAGACACAGAUUCUACUCAAGACUCUACCCAUCCAUGUAUCGCUAUUCUGACCACUAUACUAAAUAUCUGUUGAUAUACUUGUUGGUUUGUAUGUUUGCUUGUUCAUGAUGCAUAGUUAUCGGAGCGUUUGUGUCAUCUCGUGGAGGCUAGAUCUGCAAGUCUACGCCAGGCGGUGGAGCUAGAAGCCAGUUCCGCGAGCUCCCCUUCUCCCUUCGCCGAAUAACCACGGCAAGCUCACUGGAUCCCUUUGAUGCAUAAAUUACCUAUGAUUUUUCAACCACAACCCUCAUCCUGUUAUUUUAUGCAUGAUAUGAUUUUGAGACAAGUUAUUAUGGCCACCCAGCCGCUUGCCGCAAUCAAUCCUUGAUAUAUUUGUUACAAAUGAUUUGAGAAAAGGUGUGAGUUUUCAAAAGAAAAUGCUUUUCAAAGUGUGUAUGAUGAAGGGUUUUCACCCUUAUCACCUUUGAGUAUGGAUGAUCAGGGACUCCCUGGUUUGGGGGAGGGCCUAAGGUGAUAGCUCAGCUGGUUUAGGUGUGAGCAGAAGGAUUAUCCCCUCACAUAAGGAUCGGUUUGUCAUCCUUCACUACCUGUACUCAUGAUAAGUACAACCACUCGAGACUGUAUGGGCAGUCACUCAAUCUAAACUCGUACGGUCCAAACCCUAGGGUUAUGAAGGCUGGGGAGCACCGGGAGGAUAAGGAGGGGGAAUGUUUUGUUCGGUUUGGACAUGGCGGUGGCCUGACUCCUUCCGGUAUAACCGCUAAGGUAAGGACAUGUGAGAAAAGAAAGAGAUUCGGUUUCGGGUCUCACUAGCUAUGAGAUCGCAGAGCCAGACUAGUGUGUAAAGUGUACACCUCUGCGUAGAGUUUGAAAACCUAUUCGAAUAGUCUGUGUCCACAGGAAUGGAUGAGUCUGGUGUGGUAUGGCAAUUAGUGUUUUGUUUUCAAAAAAAGGGUGCGUUUGAGAAAAGUGGUUUUUAAAAGGUCCGGCGGUUGAGCCAUGAGCUAUGGUGGAUGGGAAGUCCAGUAGCAGUUUUUGAAAAUGAAAACCAGUGGGAAACUGCUGAGAUACCUGGAUGGUUUAGUCCAGGGGAUUUUGUUCUAAUAUUGAAAAAUUUCCUGCUCCUAUGGAAGAGGAUGCGCUUUGCAAAAUACAAAAUGUUUUACAAAACAACCAUGCAUAAAAUAUUGUUGUUUCUGCAAAAUAUCCUGAGCUCCACAUAUUCCAUGCAUUAUAUCUGAUUUCCCCAUUCCGCGGGUGAAGGUGGGCAGCUGAGUACGUUUGUAGUCACCCUUGCUUAUUUGUUGUUUUUCAGAAAAGGAGAUCGGGUAAGAGUUACGACUGUUCCCAACCUUGCUUGUGGCUGUUGGACCGCUGAUUUGCUUCGCUGCGUAUAUCGGGCUGCUUCAGCCCCACUGUGACGAUAUAUCCUGAGUUGUGGACCAACUCUUAAAGUUGUUUGCCACCUUUAUAGGUUUGUCUCGUUUAAGAAGAUUUGGUAUCAUCUGAUGUAUAAAUGUGUUUACUAGCCUCCUGGGACUAGUAAUUGUACCACAUUUGAGUCCCAAAGGAUUUGGGGCGCUUCACUGCCCCUCCUGCCAUUGACCCUGCUCUUGCUGCGAUCCUCCAGACUCUUACUCAGCAGCCGUCUCACUUGGCAGCGGUCCAGCAGCAGAUGUCCGAGUGAAUGAUCUCGAUGUUUCAGACCAUUCAGGACAGACAGGAUACUCUGCAGCAGCAACUCCUCCAGGACCAGGCUGAGAACAGGGCAUUCAUGACUCUCAUGCUUCAGCAUACCGGUGUUCUGGCUCCCCCAGUUCAGUCUUCACCGCCUCCACCUUUUCAGGUUGCUGUUGUGCUAGCCAUUCAGGCAGGACCUCCUCUUCCUACAGUCGGUCCUUCUUCCUCUUCGCUCCGGCCGGUCACCCUAGUUUUCACGUCACCGGUCAUCAGCUCCGUCAGCACUCAGCUGCCAAUGCCACCAGCUCCUGUUGUUACCACUGCAGCUAUGGCGGUGUCUCUGACUUCCUCAGCUCCUGCAGCGCAGCCUCAGUCCAAGUCAGUACCAGCUCUAGCUUCUACGAUAGAUCCUGGAUCCAAGACUGACUCUGACCCGCAGCUAGCGUUCGCUCUACUGCCACGACCGUGACCGGAUGCGCCACCGCCACCUCCUCCCUCUUCUGAUGUGUAGGUUCGGGUUCCCUUUUGGUGUUUGACGCCAAAGUGGGAGAGAUAUGAGUUGUGAGAGCUAGGGGGAGUUAGGGAGUUAGUAGAGAGUCAUUUUGAUGUAAUAUAUGUGCUUGUUACUCUCUUUACUAGCUCCACUUUUGUAUGAUGAUUUUGGCUCACAAACUCUAUUAUAUACUUUCGAUGCUUAUGUUGACUAUGUGUGUAUUAUGUUUUCACCUUAUAUGUUAUCACCAGUCUUCUAGUUCUUGUUCAUCGAUUUGAUUUCACUUUUAUAUGAACAAGAAACUUACGAUGUGUAUGCGCUCAUUCCUAUUAUUAUGUUACACACUCCUGUCAAAGAUUACUGAGUACAACUAACCAUCUUCUCUAUUGACAGAAAUUUCAAAACAAACUACUCUCACAAAUCUUGUAGGGUUGUCAUCAAUCACCAAAAAGGGGGAGAUUGAAAGCAUCUAGGCCCCUGGUUGGUUUUAGUGAUUAAUGACAACGUAAUGUUAUAUGUGACUAACGUGUGUUUUGUAGAGACAAAUGGUAAGUUAGGUCGCAUUACAGGUAAAAGUACUACAACGGUGAAAACAAUCCCGACAAUGAGAACUCGAAGCGACGGCUAAAGCGACGAAACAAAGGGUGAAGGUCUACGUAGUCCGAGUGUCAAGGAGUUGUGGACACUCGUGAUUUAGUUAGGUCUUUUAUUUUGUUUUAGCCGUACUAUAAAGAGGGGUUGUCGAUGAGUAGUUUGACCAAGAGAGUUCUAGUGUAGUGUUGGUGCAUAUUCACACUCACAUAUAGUGCUAGGUGACACUCUACAACAUACUCACAAGUUAGAACGAAAACCAAUUUGAAAACAGCGGAAAAUAGAAAAUAGGGUUUCUGACUGUGGGGCACCGGACUGUCCGGUGCGCCCUCUGCCAGGUGGGGCCGGAUGGCCCAGGGAAGGGUUUCCCCACGCGCAGAAACCCGAGAGCGCAAGGUUCCCGAGUGGAAUUUUAGUGGCGCACCGGACAGCGCACCGGACAGUGCAUCGGACUAUCCGGUGUGCACCGGACAGUGACUGUUCACUGUCCGGUGUGCCAUCAGCCCAAUGGCUAGCUGUUAGAACUAGCCGUUGGAGUCGACCAUUGGCGCACCGGUGGUGCACCGGACUGUCCGGUGCGCCCAUGCGCAGAACAGUGCUGGUAACGGCUAGUUGGUGGGUGAGGGCUAUUUAUACCCCCUACACCCACCAUAUUCAAUGUCUUGUUGCCCACAUUAAUUCCUGCACAUUGGUAGAGCAUUGCGAGCACCAAAAGCUUAGUGAGGUGAUUAGAGAAUCUUAAUCCCGCAUUUGGACCUCAUUAGCGCUAGCGAGAGCCACCUAGAGCACACACCACUUGCAUUAGGCUUCUCUUGGUCAAGCGAAAGUCUACGGCUUGUUACUCUUGGUGAUCAGCAUCACCUAGACGGCUUGGUGGUGUUGGGAGCUCGGUGAUCACCGUGGAGAUCUUGUUGGUGACCCGACUCAAGUUUGUAAGCAGUCGUGAGGGAUCCACCGCGCAGGAGUGGCAAAGGAUCAUCUCGUAGUGAGCACUUGGUUCUUGCGAGGACUAAGGGGGAGCGAUACCCUUGCGCGGUUGCUCCAACAAGGACUAGUGGAGAGUGCCGACUCUUCGAUACCUCGGGAAAAAUUGGAGGAGUCUUCUAAACCUUGCUUUACAUUCCGCACUUAAUUCAAGCAUUUUACAUUGUGUAUUUGUUUAGCAAGUAUUUGAAGUAUUGUCCUAGCAUUGUUGUAUUUCUAGUAUUAUUCUCUUAGUGCUAGUUGUUGGGGUGAAGUUGGGCUCUUGCUUAGGUUUUAAUUAGUGUUGAUUUUUUAGAAAAGCCCAAUUCACCCCACCCUCUUGGGCAUCAUGAUCCUUUCAUUUUGUAUGUACAAUAUUUCAUGGUAGAAGACCAAAAUACGUUUGAAGAUGAUCCGCAGAACACCUUUGUGCAAGGCAAGUGGAUUCUCCCUCUGUAUUUAUGUUUGUACCCAAAUAAUACAUAUAAUCAUUUUUACUUUUUGUUAUCUACAUAAAUUUGAUGUGAUUUGCCUAAAUAGGAUGUAAGACCUAAAAUUUGUAGGAGAAAAUAUAUAUAUAUAUCAUAAAAUAAUAAAAUGAAGAACCAAAAAUAUAUAUAAUAGUGUGGUGAGAAUUUUUGAAGACCUUUGAAAAUCUAUUACAGCCCGUUUGGAUGUUGGCAUUCAACCUUAGAAUUCAGAAUUGAUAUUGGACAACUCGAAUACCGUUGUUUGGAUGUACGAGAAUCCAGAAUUGGAAAUGGUGCCCAAUACCAGCUCACCAUUCGAUGCACAUGUGCCCUACUGCCACCAAUUCGGAGCCUCUUCCCUCCUAAUUGUAGGGAAUCAGGCUGACGCUCGUUGCUCCUCUGUACAAAUUCAAUUCCAUGUUUUGUGCAUCCAAACAGAAAUUGAGUUUGGAUGGCUCUUGUGAUUCCAAAAGCCAAUUUUAUGGCCGUCCAAACAACGGUUUUCAUUUGUAAUCCAUUUCAAUAUCAAGCCUGAUUUGGUAUUCUCUCCAAUUCAUUUCCUUCCCUUUCAAUACCGACAUCCAAACGAAGUAUUAGGAUUCUUCCUUCUAAUAUUCAAACAAUAAUAUUAAAUUAGUUAAAGUAACUAAUAAAUUAAUAAAGAAAGGUUGAUCUCUUGAUGAUGAAUUUUGUGGUGAUGCAUUCUAUGGAACACAUAAACUUGACCUCCAAUUUUAAAUAAAAACAUAAAAUAUAAAAUGAAAGGAAAUGUUUAGGAAACCAUUUAUUCAUCCCAUAAAUAAAUGACAAGGAAAAUAAUAAAUAAUAAUAUUGGAAUCAAUGGAAGAUGUAUUCACAAUUGAAUGGUAAUUAAUAUUUGAAAAUCUGGACUUCAAAACAGAAAUUAAAAACUUAGUUUGAAAUCUUUAAAUUUGGGAUUUGAAAAGAAAAUAGAAAAAAGGAAAAGAAAAGGAGAAAGCAGCUUGGGCCAAAACCCACAUUCUGGCCCAUCUUUGUCCCCCCCCACCGGCCCGAGUCUGCUGUCGCGUGGCCUGUGAACCCACACUCACUGACAUGUGGGCCCGUCUUCUUCGCGCGCGCCGCUCUCAGCUUAUGCCGCUACCAGGUGGGGCCGUCUGUGUCAGCUUCUUCCUCAACAAAACACCGCGAAGAUGGCGUGCGCCAGCCUUGGUCAUUGCUCCCUCCCCGGAUUCCUCGCGCCUCUCGGUGUAUAAAACUAGAGCCCCAUUUCCUCCCCUACCCUCCAUCCAACCAGAGAGCGUCUACGUCGAGCACAGGGAGAAGAAUGAGUGGUAGAAGGUUCCGUCGCCAAGGAUCUUGCCCACGUCGCCGCUUGGGAUUCAAUUGGGGACCUGGAGGGUUUCGUCCUGGUGUGGGGUCGGCGCACCUUGCUUCGCUGUGUGAGAAUUUGGGCUGGAGGUCCGAACAAUUGAUCGUCGGAGGCCGAUUCCGCCGCUGGACCACAUCCCAUCGUGGUCGGUCCUCACCACCGCUUAAUCACCAGUAUGAUCAUGUUUCCCUAAUUCGCCAUCGACCCCUCUUCUUGUAGCAUCCGUCCAAUCGGGAUUUGGGGCACGGGCGCGCUAAUUCAUCGCGCUGCGGCGAGCUCGCCGGCAGUGCUCCGGUUGCCCUCUCCCUAUCGCAACCGGGAGGUGGGAGACGAUACAUUGGUCGUUGAUCCCCUAGCAAGCGGUUAGGAUUAGAUAAUGGGCGGACUGUUGAUCCGGGGAUGUGAGGUGGAGAAUCGAUCUGGCGUACCCCUUCGCGCGUGCAGAUUCGGCCGUGGAUCUGUGAUCCGAUGGCUAGAGCAGUUAAAGCUGGUGAGAGUCUCCUAUGUCCGUUGAUCGCGGAUCCAUCGGCUCUGGUAGCAUACCGGUUGGAUUCAACGGCAGAUCUAAUCUGGAGCGUUGGUUUUUAAUCGUGCGGCUGGGGCGCAUGCAUACCCCUUUGAUCCUGUACAUUUGCAUAAGAGCCCCUUGGCUUCGAGAUAAUAAACCCACCAUCCAUCCAUGUGUAGUAGAAUCAAAUGAAUCCCAGAAACUUACAAAGCAGCCCCUGUGCUAUUAAGGAAUUGUGUCCCCAGUCCAGAAUUAUUAGGGGUAUUCAUAAUUAAAUCAGAAAAUGAAUUUUAAUAUAAAAAAAAUCCAGAAACUUAUUUAAUUCAUAGAAAAUCUAUUCUAACUCCGAAUUGAACCAUUCUAGUGACAUUAAUUUUGUUUUAAUAUUGUUCAUCACCUAGUACCUCUGUUUAGCCAUGAAACUUAGAUUAAAAAUUAUGCAGUUAGUUUCUUUUCAUCUACCACUUAAAACUUCAGAAAAGCAUGAUUAAUUCAUUUUAACCCUGUUUUAAUCUGUUCAAAUUGCAUUAGCUUCAUAAUAAAAUUGCUCAGGCUUUAGUGACACUGUUUUGUCAUGUUCUUAAAAUAAUUAAAUACCUAUACUUAUAGGGUUAACUGUCUUAGCCCAAUGAAAAGAGGUAUUUUAAUAUGGUUCCUCUAAAAUUGACUCAAGUAUGAUCUUUAAGUAGAUUAUAAAUUAGAGUAAAAGUUGAGUUAGUCAUAUCUUUAAUAUCCUUACUCAUAUAGUUUACAUAAUCAACAUAGAAUAUAGUUUUACAUACUUAAUCAUGAAGAUCUUCAAUAAAUCAUAACUCCUUAACCGUAGCUCCGAAUUUAAUGGUUCUCAAACCCACGAUCUCGUAGCGACACGUAAAUUAUUAUUACGCAGUUUAUUCUUAUGUUUGGUCUGAUGUUAAUUUUACCUAUACCAUGUUUGUCUAUAUUGCUACGACUAGCGCGAGGUCACGAGUCAUCUGAAGAGCAAGUUGGUACCU
rnacentral:lncRNA from 1 species